rnacentral:lncRNA from 1 species
CUUAUUUUAUUAUUCAUAUCCAUAAAAGUAACCAUUAUGCUGGUCCCCCGAACUUAGCAUAAGACAGUAAUUUAAAAAAAGAAAAAAAAGGACGUUUUUAGAUACCAAAACAAGCACAAAGCGAGACAUACAAACAAAUGUUAUGCUACUGCAUUCAAGCAGAAGCCACCAACUGUUCACGACGGCGUUUGAAAACAACCAACAUUUCAUCCUGAUUGGGAAGGUUUUCUUCAAUUAUGGGGACUUGCUUGAAAUUUUCAAGCCAGGCAUGCAAGCGAGGGAAUUUGUGUGAUUCAAAUAGUUUAACUCCCACUGCAUCUUCAAUGACUUGCAACCAAUAAACAAUUGAACCAAACGCUAGGUCCACUAAACCAAUAUUGUCUCCAUUGAAAAAUUUUUUCUCUCCCAAGCCAUGCUCUUCAACGGUUUGUAGCAUUUCCAAGGCUUCCUUCAUUGUGUUUUGUAGUUCUUGUCCAGUGCUACGAAACAUUUUCCAAACCGCAACACCCUGCCACAAAUAUUUUACAUCUGAUUUUAUCACCGACAUGGUUAAUUAAUAAUAAUAUGUAUAUAAAAGCGAAAUAUCGUUAGACAAUAUGCACACGUGUCGCAAUAAACUUUAAUUAGAGGUUUAAUAAGUUAAUUAAGAGAGUUCAACCACUGAGUUGUAAAAUCUGUCAUUAGCUAGUAAAUUCACUUUUUCCCAAUGCUUCAAAAGUCAUCAAAAUUCCCCGUGAAGUUAAAAACGGUUGUGUUAACUUUAACUUAUUACAUCUUUUCAUAUUUAAGGAUAAAACAUUGAAGACACCAGAAAUUAACAGUUUAGAGAACUUUUUACAAAUAAAUAUGAAAAAGACCCCUGGGUGGCUGGGCUCGACUGGCUAUGAAUUCACUUUCACUUUGCGCCAUCACCCGAGUUCGAGUACAUAUAGAGAAUAAGAGUUAGUGUUUGGCGGGUGGAUUUUCUUAUCCUCGUCACCUCAUCUAGAUCUUAAAAUAAAUCAAUAAAUAAACAAAUUUGAAAAGAAUGAACUUAAUCAUAAACGUGUUUGCCAGAGUUGUGAGCGAACCUUGUCUUCAGCGAAUUUGAUCCAGAAUCGAGCAUGAGCUCUAUCAUAAGGAUUAUUUGGCAUCAAGGAGGGAUUCUGUGGCCACGUCUCUUCAAUGUAUUGUAGAAUAACCAUGGACUCACAAACUGGUUUUCCGCCAUGGACGAGCACUGGGAUCUUCUUGUGAACCGGAUUAUACUUCAAAAGCAAUGCACUUUUGUUUGAGAGAUCUUCGGAAACAAAUUCAUAUGGCACGCCUUUCAAUUUCAGAGCCCAAAUCACCCUGUAAACAAAUGGACUCAGCAGGGUCCCAUGAAGCUUCACUUCAGCCAUGAUAAUUCUAAGAUUGAAUUUGAAUUAUCGGUUUUUGUGAUCGAUGUUGUGUAUGGCUGUUAACUCAUUACAUAUGUUUCUGAAUUUAUAGUGAUUUAUGGUAUGCACUUUCUUGAGCAGAAAGCUUCAAUUUUCCAUUAAUAAAACGAUUAAUGAUGAAUUCAAAGAACUAGUGCGAUGACUUUAAUUAAAUAUUUUUUACGUUGUGUGCAACCGCAUUUUGAGGUUAAUUUAAAGGAUAUUAUUUUCUCCUCAUCAAAAUUUUUAUAUAAAAAAAUAUAAUUAUGUGAUUGGUAAUUAUUAAAUAAAAUAAAAUAAAAAAUAAAUUUUGACCGUAAAUAAAUAAAAGUUCAUACAGGUUAGAAAGAGUUUUUAACACUCAAAUAAAUGGACCCAAUUCCUAAUUUAAAAGGCUAACCGAUGAGAUCAAUAAUUUGGUCAACCAGUCAGAGAUAACCAUACAAUAAUUAAUAAAAAAUUUGCCAUUUGUUUUACAUUUAAGACCUUUGCGUCAUGCAUGAUGAUCAAUUGAUCAUGGAUCAAUUAGUCAACAAGACAUUUGCCUUUUGUGCAUGUAUCCACAUUGGACGCAAAUAUAAUUUGUUAUAAAAAAAUUGGACUAAAUUAUUUUUUAAUAUAUUUUUUAAAAAUAAUACAUCUGAUCCUAGAGGGCCUGUUAUUUAGUUCGUGAAUCUUAUAACAGGACAGGACCCAUGAUUUUUUUUACAAAAAAAAUCUUAUGGGUCCCCUAUUAUUUAAUUUGUGGAAUUGACGGAGGUAGCUUAGAGUUUCAUUUUUGUAAUUUACAGCUUUCAAUAAAUUCUGAUAAUAUUAGGCGGUAAAAGUCGGCAAGGCUGGAGGAGUAGAUCUAUAAAAUUUGCUAGCACUUUGCACUAUCUGUUUGGUGCCCAAAAACACACAUAUAUAUCAUCCACUUUUUAUUUAACGCUGGGUUUUUUUCGACCCAUAAUAAUUUCUCUUUGCACAUCAACUUGUUAAUAAAAACUUUUAUUGUCAAGAUAAAUUGUUAGUAAUUACUUCACUAAUCCUCCUUUUUUUUUGGGCCAAUUUCUCUUUCGCAACUGAAAAAAUUUAAUUCACAUCAUGUGAUAGUAUGAUUGCAAAUAAAUUUGAAGUUAUCUCUAGCAAGUUGUUCAAAAAUACAUUGACAUGUCUUGUGUAUAAAACUAAAGAACAAUAGCAAACCACUAUCCUAUAGCCGACCGCUGCUAUUAGGACGGAAAAAUUAGUCGUAAAUAUGUAAAUUUGUCUAAACCCAUUUACAAAAAUAUGUCCACUGCGAAUAAUUUUGUAGAUUGCGGAUAAGUUUGGUAUUUUAAAUUUAAGUUCGUUGUAGGUUACGGAUGGAUUCAAUAUUGAGAAAAAAUUUGGUAGGUGUCUGCCGACUAGCAUUUUUUAAAUUAUUUAUGUUUUUAAUUUUAAUCACAAAGAUUGUCUUAAAAAAAUUUAAUCAUAAAACAGUUAGGAAUGGCAAGUGCUCUGGAAACAUUAUGUGGGCAAGCAUAUGGAGCUCAGCAAUAUCAAAGAAUUGGAACUCAAAUUUACACUGCAAUAUUUUGUUUAUUCUUAGUAUGUUUUCCGCUUUCCUUUCUAGGGAUUUACAUGGGAAGGCUGCUAGUUUUGGUAGGCCAAGACCCCCAGAUUUCACACGAAGUAGGCAAGUUUAUAAUCUGGCUUCUUCCAGCUCUGUUUGCUUAUGCAGCAAUGCAGGCGCUUAUUCGAUAUUUUCAGUCUCAAAGUUUGAUCAUUCCCAUGUUCUUAAGCUCCUAUGCCGCUCUUUGUUUGCAUAUUCCCAUCUGUUGGGGUUUGGUAUUCAAGUCUGGACUGGGAAACCUUGGAGGAGCAUUGGCAAUUGGUAUAUCGUAUUGGUUGAAUGUAACUUUCUUGGCAAUUUACAUGAAGUUCUCCACUGCUUAUGCAGAAUCCAGGGCUCCAAUUUCAAUGGAGUUGUUCCGAGGAAUUGGAGAGUUCUUCCACUUUGCUAUCCCUUCUGCAGUAAUGGUUUGGUAUGUUAAUUAUCUUCUGGAGUUUCAUUUUCCCUUCUCAUAGAUAUCGUAGACACGUCAUAAAUUUUCAUGCAUCUUCUUUUGUUUAUAAUUUUGCAGCCUAGAAUGGUGGUCAUUUGAAUUGCUCAUUUUAAUGUCAGGGCUGUUGCCUAACCCACAGCUUGAAACUUCAGUCCUAUCUGUAUGGUAUGUUGACAUAGACUUUGUAUGUGAAAGUUCUAUACAGAGAAGCACCUACCAAAGGAAAUAGAUUUUUUUUCUUUUUUUCUUUUUUUUCCCGACUGCUCAUUAUUUGUCAACUUCUUUGGGCAGUCUCAGUACUAUUCAAACCCUCUCUGCAAUCCCUUAUGGACUUGGUGUGCAGUGAGGUUUGUUCAUAACAAUCAUUUAAAUAAUAAUUGUUUUAUAUCAACUAAUUAGCAGAUUAACCAUUAUUUCCUUCUAUAGUACUAGAGUUUCAAAUGGACUAGGAGCUGGGAAUGUGCAAAGAGCCCGUGUAGCUGUCUAUGCUGUGGUCUUUAUGGCAGUCAUGGAGACUAUCAUAGUAAGUGCAUCUCUCUUUGCCAGCCGGCGUGUUUUUGGUUAUGUUUUCAGCAAUGAGGGACAAGUUGUGGAUUAUGUCACAACCAUGGCUCCUCUGGUUUGUUUGUCUGUCAUCAUGGAUAGCUUACAAGGAGUCUUUUCAGGUUAAAUUAACUUCUUCAACUCUCUCAAUUGCUAAAUAGUUCUCUUUAAGUAGAAAUAAUUUUUUUCAGGUUUCUAAAUUCUUUUUAUUAUUUUUAAUGUGUUGCAAGAGGAUGUGGGUGGCAGAAUAUAACUGCUUUUGUGAAUCUUGGGGCUUAUUAUUUGUGUGCAGUCCCAACUGCUGCCAUUUUGGGUUUCUGGUUAAAGUCUAGAGGAAGGGGCCUAUGGAUCGGGAUACAAGCCGGUGCUUUUACACAAACACUUCUGCUUGGCAUCAUAACAACAUUUACAGAUUGGGAAAAACAGGUCUGUUUCUCAACAUUUAAUCCCUUAAAAAUUAGAGAAGCUUAUUGGACUAUAUAUGUAAAUAUGUAGCAAUUUUUUUUCCCAACCAAGUAUAUGAUACCUUCUGACUGAAAGUUCAAGAUUAAAAUCAUUCAGCUUGAUCUGAAAUGGUUAGUAUUAUCAUCUUAUGCAGAAAUGGUUUUGCUCAUUGGGAAAAUGAUAUUCAAUAACAGACGUGCAAACUCAUUUGAAAAUUUGCUUUUUUGGAAGAAUUAUAACCAUUUUCUAGUUUGUUAAUUGUUACAAGUUCUGUGUUUCUAAGGGGUUUCUCAUGUUGCAGGCAAGUAAAGCAAGGAAAAGAUUAUCAAAGGGAAGAUCUUUAGCAGAUAACAGAGCAGUAUGCGAGUGAGCAGAGUCAAUCAAUGAGCUGAUAUAUACAUUUUCCAGUUGAAAGAGAUAAUCAUUGCUUGAGAAAAUGAGCUGAUCAUAUGUCAAUUGAUGGCCAAGAAGGUCCCCCAAUCUGAUCUAUGGAGCAUGACAUUUCAUAAAACUCUGUUUCUAGAGAAAAAAAAAAAAAUUAACAGCUUCUUAGGAUUGCAGCAUCAGGUGACUUAGCAUUUCCAGUAUGAAUGAAUUAUAAGAUAGAUGAUGCUGCAAAAAUGAAUAGAGAUAAAAAUUAAGCAAGAGAAAAUGUUUGAAUGUUAUUAUUUAAACCUUUUGUAGUGUUUAAGAGUGACUAACUAUCCCAAUCAACUCAAAACACUUCCCAAGAUCACAACCAAACAAACAAGAUGCACCAAGAAUCAAUCCAGCAGAAUACACACAGAUUAUUAGAACUGAAAGAAAUAAAGAAAAGAACAAGAAUUAACGUGGUUCAGCUAGCUUCAGUCUAGCUUACAUCCACGGGAGAAACAGAACCCAAUUCUAUUGAUUGUUCAAAGAAGUUACAGAGAGUUUAUCAAGCUUGUUACAGAGUCUCUCAAGAAGCCUUUGGUUUCCAGUCUUCUCAACUCACAAUAGCUCUUUCAUCACCCCUCUCUGUUGCCAGAAUCAGCUGUAUAUAACAGCUCGUUAACGAAUCAGCAACCAACCCAGAAAACCACGUGACAGUCAUGUGAGUUAACUGAUUCUAACGAACCAAGAACGCAACUUAUCCGUGCACGUGAAACUCUCGUGCAUCACUUAACCAAAACGACCUUCAUACAUGUCGUUCCAGGAGAUACGAGUUUGACUUUCCAAAACGCAGCAUCAGCUGACGUUUUCAACAACAGAUUUGCUUCACAUCACAACACCUUUUCCAGUGAUUGUAGAGAUAAUUUCUUUGUAUUGAACACUUUCACCAUCUGAAAGAUAAGGAAAAUAUUAAAAGAAAAAAGAAAAUUCUUAAAUCUUUUCCAUGUCAUUCUAGCAAAGUUGAAUUGUGAUUCUUAACCCUACACCACAAUGUAAGGUGGCCUGUGGCCUGUGGGUAACACACAAUUUGACAACCCCAUAUAUUAAGUAAUCUAGAUGGAGGACAUUAUAUUUUUCAAUUUUUUAAUUUUUGUUCUUUUUUUUUUAAUUCAAACGACACCUCUUUCAUUGUGGCAUUGGAAUGUAUAGAGAUUUGCACACUGAUUUUGGACCAUACUUCACAAAUAAUGCGACGCACAUCUUUCUUUCAGUACUUCUUCAGGAGGAUAAGCUACAGACGUUGUUGUCCUUUUACCUGAAGCAAGUGCAUGUGCAUGAAUUGUUGUUGUCUGUUAAUCUGCUGCCACUUUGCUGCCAAAAACUUGAAAAAUAAACCGGGAAAAUUUUCAAUAAGCAAAGUCAAACAACUAACCCCUGUUUUAAGUUAUAUUCCUAAGAAAACUUUUAACACUCAAAUAAAGCACACAGCUAAAGUAUUUCUAUCACAUUAGGUUUCGAGUGAGGUUUGAUUUACAUUUAUAUCAGAUAUACCAAGUGUUUUUUCUUCUUUUAAUUAAUGUAUAUUCCUAAGAAAACUUCUAAUUGAUUAUCCACAUAUAUAAACAAACCUAGCUCGCAAUGUGAAAUAUAUUAAAACAGCAACCAUAAGAUUUUCAAACAUUUAAAUUAACGGUGAUGAUAUUUCCACCCCAUGAAUUUUAUAAACCCACCCAUUUUUAAAAAAAAUAUUAUAAUCAGUUCACAUUAUUUUUAAAAAAUUUAAAUUAAGAAGAAAUUAAAAAAUUGAUCAAUAAAUUCAUAUUCAUUUCUUUUUUAAACUGUGUUUCUUUAUUAUAUUUAAUCAAUAAGAUUGCUUUAACAUAAAUUAGUAUGACUAUUUUACCCUCAUAAGGUAAAAGUACCAAAAUAUCUAAAAAUUUACUUUAACUUUAAUAAAUUUUUAUGCAAUUUUUUUAUAUUUUAAUGAUGUAUUAGUAAUUGUUAGUACAAUUAUUAUUACUCCACUAAACUAACAAGAUAUAAUUAGGACAUGUGGUGAAUUGAAAAUAAUUAAAUUUUAUAUAAUACAUAUUGGAUUAUAAAAUAUAAAAAAAAUGUCUAAGCAAUUAGUUACAAUAAUAUAUAUAUAUAUAUAUAUAUAUAUAUAUAUAUUUCUUAGAGUAAUUUGGUAAUUUUAUAUUACAAGGGAAAAAUAAUCAAAUUAAAUUUAUCUUGAAGCGCUUCAAAAGUUAAAGAUUGUUAAAAGACUAAGUCGGAAAAAAUAAGAAAAAAUAUUAUAAAAUUAAUUUAAUUAAUUAAUUAUUUAAAUUUUUUAUUAAUUUAUAAUUUUAUAAAAUAAUAUGAACUUAUUGUAAUUAUUUUAUAUAGGUGGACUGGGUUUAUAAAAAUAGCGGGGUGGAUAUACUUACACCCUUGAAUUAAUAGUUAGUAUAAAUUUUAGAUAUCUCCCCUAAAAUUUGACUUUGCUACACUUAGAGAGAAUGUAAACAUAUAUUGACAAUAUACCCCUUGGUCGUGUAUAAGGGUUAGGCACUGGUUAGGUAGUUGAGGGCAAUAACGUACAUGUUGCAUAUUUUUUUAUUUUUAAAUCUUACAAAAGCUGUUAUACUGUAACUAAUUAGACAAGAGCAGCGAAAAUGCAUACAGUGCUUUGAAGCUAGGGAAGCCCAAGGGGAUAGUAACCCAUUUUCAUUGUCAAUGCCUAGCUUCAUUUCUUCUUUUUUCUCAGCAUAACUUGAUGAGUGCUUAGCUUCAUUUCGAAGGUCGUGACACCAACUGAUUUUAGCAAAAGCAGAGAUACUUUGUGAUGCAGUAAGCUAACAAGUUUCUGAAAUCAACUAUGUUUUAAACCAAAUUCCGGCGACGACCAGCAGCUGAAAAAGCCGGUGAUUAAAGGUCAAUCUANNNNNNNNNNNNNNNNNNNNNNNNNNNNNNNNNNNNNNNNNNNNNNNNNNNNNNNNNNNNNNNNNNNNNNNNNNNNNNNNNNNNNNNNNNNNNNNNNNNNGGCAUUUUGGUCUUUUCACACUCAAUUGAGUUUUGUCUUAUUAUAAGAAUUUGUAAUGUCAACAACAAUUAUCAUAAGGGUAUAAUAGCCUUUCACCCCCCCAGGCGCAAAAAAAAAAAUUGCCCCAAAUAUAAAGAUCAUCUACAGUGUCAAUUAAUUAUGAAGGGCAUUAUUGCACAUUCACUCAACUACCUAACGGGUGCCUAACCUUCAUACAUGGCCGGGGGUAUGUUGUCAAUAUAUGGAUACAUUCUCUCUAAGUGUAGCAAAGCCAAACCUCAGGGGUGGUUUCUAAAAGUUUUCCUAAAUAGUUAAUAAUUUUAUACAACAGAUUCUUGGAUACCCCUCAAGUUCACUUAUUCUACGUUAUGGCUGACUUUCAAGAAAUUAAAUUCUACAUUAUGACCCCUAGGGAAACAACGUAGCCAAUAAAAUUAUAAAAUAUAUGUGUGUAAUAGUUGUCAAACCUGAACCUAUGUCGUUUAGCAAUUUACAAAAUGAGAAAGACGACAAAAGCCAAGUGUUAAGAGUGGCAGUGAGCCAACGAGACAAGCUCAAGUUCACUGUGUUUUUGUUGAACCUUCUGAAGACCCGAAACUCGAGGUUUGUUUUUCACGUUCCCUAAUCGUUUGACUACAUUUUAAUUCUGUGCUACGCUCGUUAAGAACUGUUCAGGCUUAUGAACUGUUCAGGCUAAGUGUUCGACGAAAUUCCUAAGUGAGUAUAUAUAAUGGUUUGCUCUUGUAUUUAUUCUGUUAUAGAAGGUUUUGCUUUGGGUGGUUAAAUAGAGGAGAUUAGACAUUGAACUUUAUGCACUUGUAUGUUUUCAAGUAAUUGUUUGCUGAGGCACAUGUACUUUGAAUGGCUUCAUUCAUCUACAGAGAUAUCAUAACAUUUUUGCUUAAUGUGAGUCUUAUUGUUGUUAAUUUGUCCAAAGUGAAGGCUUUUUUAACUUUUAUUUCUUUGAUUUAUUUAUUUAUUGGUGUGUCGAAGUUCUGUGUCUCAACUUUAUUUGAUAAGUUCUUUCAGACUACUAAUUAGAAGAAACAAAUGCUAGAGAGUGAGUAUGAGAGGGAAUGAUGUUUGGGCAAGGGGUGAUUUGUUCACUUGGCUCAUGAAGGACCCCAACUAUAAUGACAUGUAUCAAUUUCGCAGCCUAAUUGGAAGGUAAGCUCAUUUCUUGAUUUCCUUCAAUUUUCACUUUCAUUUUACUGUUUUCAAGUAGUAGGUAAUCUAAAUAAAAGUAAAAUCAGUAGUGAUUUGCUUCAAGUGCAUAUGGAUAGUAUAUCACAUGUGAGAAGAUUGUAUUUGUUAUAUGAAAAUCCUUAAUAACUGUAAUGAAAAAAUAUAUUCUCAAACCUGAUCGUGGAAUGUACUAUUUCUUAAUAUCUGAGUUUGGAUCCACACAUUUUUUGCCAUGCAAUUUGACAAGUUGUCAUGUCCUCAUAUUCUGCGCUAUCAUAAGUUUUGCCAAUCUGCAUAGGUGUUUAAUAGAUUGAGUUAAUCUAGUUUCGAGAGCAUGCCUUACUAAAGGGCAUCGAGUUUCUAAGUGAGGGCAAGCACAACUAUAAUUAUCUAUUUCAUAUCCUCCCUAUCAGCGGGGCAGGUCUGUUACCUCUAAAUUCUUUCAAUAACUUGGGGACGUUAAUCCUAUUAAUGACAGCCACAUAUUAUAAGUCAAGAAAACUGAUUUUUUGAUUAUUGAAAAAUCAAAUUUUUUGUAUUAUUCUAUUUAUGAUCUCAGUAACCUACAUGUUGCGAUUGUCUUGUAUGGAUCAUUGUUUCUCUUUUAAGCUGUUAUAGUGACAAUUUUUAGCUCUUAUUGCAGUUCUUAAAGUCAUUGCAAGCACAUGUUCUGUCGAUCUCCAUAAAUUCAGAUACAUAUGCAUAGUUAGCUAUUCAAACAACCACACUGGCAUUUAACUUCGAUAUUCAGAAAUAUGGCUGAAGUGAAGCUUCAUGGGGCAUGAGCGAGUGAAUUUUGUUACAGAGUGAUAUGGGCUCUGAAAUUGAAAGGCAUAGCAUAUGAUUACAUUGAAGAAGAUCUCUCUAACAAAAGUGCUUUGCUUUUGAAGCAUAAUCCAGUUCACAAGAAGGUCCCAGUGCUUGUUCAUGACAAAAAAUCAGUUUGCGAGUCCAUUGUUAUCCUUGAAUACAUUGAGGAGAUGUGGCCACAGAAUCCCUUAAUGCCAAAUGAUCCUUAUGAUAGGGCUCUGGCUCAUUUUUGGAUUAAAUUUGCCGAAGAUAGGGUUUUGCUUCAGAACUCUAGCUAAUGCCUUUAUAAGUUCAUUAUUUUCAUGUUUAUUAGUUAUUAGAGAAAAUGAUCAGUAUCCCCCAUUGUAUGUCAAAAUUAAUUAUUUGUUCUUUUAUGUUUUAAAACCUAUCAAAAUCUCCAUUGUCGUUCAAAAGAUUCUGUUAACCUUCAAUUUUUUUGUCUUUUACUAAUUUUACCUCUGGAAAAAUUUUUAUUAAUAGGAAGUUGAAAGUUUAAUAGAAUUUUUUUAACGGCAAGGGAAAUUUUGAUGGCUUUUGAAAUAUGAGAGAGAAAAGGAUUAAUUUACCAAAACAACAUUGUGGUUUUGUUGUUCAUUUACCCUUUGUCAUUCAAUGUAGUUGUUAACCUCUAGUAUAAGGGUGCUUGACAAAUGACAAGGAUAUGUAUUGGCUAAGUCUUUUAGUUCAUACAUAUUAUUAAUCAUGUGAUGAUAUUUUGGCGGGGAGCUACUGUUUGGAAAAUGUUUCGUAGCGUACAAGAUCAAGAGAAUACAAUGAAAGAAAUCUUGGAAAUGCUAAAAACCGUUGAAGAACAUGGCUUAGGAGAGAAGUAAUUUUUUCAUGGAGACAAGAUUGGCUUAGUGGACAUAGCAUUUGUUUCCAUUGUUUAUUGGUUGCAAAUCAUUGAAGAUGUAGCAGGAGUGAAACUAUUUGAAUUUCACAAAUUCACUCGCUUGCACGCAUGGUUUGAAAAAUUUAAACGAGUCCCAGAAAUUGAAGAGAACCUUCCUAAUUGGGGUGAACUAUUGGUUUUUUUCAAACGUCGCCGUGAAAAGUUGGUGGCCUCUUCCUCAUUGCAUUAGCACAAAAUUCGUGCAAUUGUAUUGUUGUCAAGAGGCCGCUCUUUGCUUAGUUUUUGAUUAUCUUGUGUGCUCAAUUGGGAGGCCCCGCUUUGCUGGGUACUUUCGUAUGGAUUUGAGUAAUAAUGGGGACUUGACUUUAUAUUUAUGAAUUAUUGCAUGUAUUUCGUUAAUUAUUAAUGGACUACUGACGGUUAUGUAUUGUUUGGGAAUUGUUUGGGAGGAAGUUUAAAAGCUGAUAUAUACUAAUGACUUGAAGAAAAGUCAACUUAUUUGAAGUAAUAUAACUCUAAAAAAUCAGAAGAAAAACUCUUUGUGGAAAAAGAUAGUUCUGGUAAACAUGCCCAGUAUUAAAGGGUAUUAUCGAAACUUAAAUGUGAAUGGUUAGAGCCAACAUGUGAACAGUACACCAUUAUGAAAAGAUUUUUUUUUUUCGCUAAGAAUAACAAGCCAAUAGGACUUUAGUGAUUUUUUUUAGAUCUAAUUUCUUGAGAGACUUCUUCAUCUUCUUCUUCCUUUAUGGUUGGGGUUUCUUUCUCCAUUUUAACACCACCAUAGGAAAUUUUAACCAUCUAUCUCCCAAAGAAGCCUUUUCCCUUACUCUUCUCCUGGAAAACUCUCUAAUCUCUAUAAAACUCAUAUCUCCCUCAUGUCAUUAUUCCUCAUAACCAACCUUUAAUAAAGUUUUGUCCAUAUUAUAAUGCAAAUUAUGUAAUACUUCAUUUAUAUAGUGGAUUGGAGAUGAGUUACUCUUAUGGAUGUAGAUCAAAGGGCCGAACAAUGUAAAAUCUUAUGUGUUCUCUAUUGUUUAUGCUUAUUUUCUAUUUAUUAGGAUGAUGAUAAUACUCAAAUCGUAUUCCAUACAUGAGCUCAUAUAGAGGCAUAGCACGAGCUCUAUUGAGCUCCCCAGAUAAGCUCUAUAGUUAAAGCUAUCCUCGAAUUCGCUAGAGCUACUUCCUAAACUCUCUUGAGCUCCCCAAAUCAAUUCUUUAAACUAAAUCCCAUGAGCUCCAUAGAGAUUACCUCCCAAAACACUUCAAUUUACCUCUCAAAUUACCUCAGUUCACCUUCCAGAUCACCUUAGUUAUUUCUUUUGUCCUUAACAGUAGAAAAACACACCUAGAUUUUUACUAGCUCAAUCUCCCCUCAAAUAUAAAUUUAUUUAUUUAAAUUAUAUUUAACCUUGUUCUGGUGAGGACAACCACUAAAUGAUUCAAAUCAGAUCCUAGAGAAAAUCCGAUGAAAACAUGUAUCUAUGUAUAAUAUUUAACAUCACCCUAACAAUCAAUACGAAUGCACUUGGAUUUAUUCUUAAUAGUACACAAAGUGGAAAAAGCAUGACAAGCAACACUUGCACACUCGAGGCUCAAUAUAAGCACAAACGUCAUAAUUCCAAGCAACAAACAAUGACCAUCAUUACUAAUUUUUUCUGAAAGCCACCAAAUUGGAAAAGUACUGCCAAGCAAUUAAUUAACGACUGCGACUUGCCAGCCUAAGCUUAUCCAAUGCUGAGAGUUCAUUAUUCUUCAAGGUUUGGUUAAUGUAAAUAUCUUUUAGAGUAAUUUCAGGGUAGAGCGGAGGAUUUUCUUCUGAUAGCAACUGUUUAAUUGGACCAUAUCGUCUCGAGCAACUAUUAUUCAUGAAAAACUUCCGAUUGAAAUUCUGGAGCCUUCCUUAUUUGAUAACACUCUAUAAUAGGCACUCUUGAACUUAUCAUUGGUAAUCAGCUGCAUAAACACAAACACGUUGGUAAUCAGCUGCAAAAACUCACACUUCAUAUAAACCAUAAUUAAGUUAUCUGAUAGAGAUUCAUGCUUGGGUGUUGACGUUCACAUGAAAUUUUGUAAGGACGAUUCUUUCACAGUAUUGUGAAAGAACGUUUCCGUACAAAAUUUAGUGCGAACGUCCCACUUGAGAAUUUUCAAUCUGAUGGAUAGUAUUUCUUAAUAAGUUAUCUAACACACACUUGCCUGCAUCAUGUAGCCUAAGUUUACAACUAGAGUUCCCGGAACAGGGGCAAUGUCAAACCAUUGAUCUUCGUGAAAGACUUGGAGGCCACCAAUUUGAUCUUGUAUGAGCACAGUGACAAAUUUAGGGUCAGAAUGUGUUGCUAUGCCGAUGGACAAUUCUGGUUGAGGGUAUUCAGGGUAAUAACCAUUCCCAAUAGUCAUUUCCUCUACACAACCUAUGUCUUUCAGGUAAUUGAGGUCAAGCCCUAAAGCUUCGGAUAGAAGUUCAAACAGAGUAUCCCCUGUUUUCCACAUUAGGUUGUUGUAUGCGAUCAUUAUCUCUCUGCAAAUUAAUAAAGACAAAAAAUAAUCACUACUAAAAGAAAGGGAGAAUGGCAUUUCGACUUUUAGAAAUUUUUUUUUUAUUGGGUUAACAACUAGAUGAAAUGAGAGUAAUAAAAACUUAUUAGGAACCCAAGUGAUGCAAAACGUUUUAAGAAAGAUGCGAGUGUUAUCCACUGUAAAAGAAAUAAAAUCUAUUGGUCAUCGUCCACAUACCUGCAAGCUUCAGGCAAAUCUUCAGGAUUUGAAAAAUCGCGACCCAUAACACAACUCAAAGUAUCUUUCAGUUAAGGAAGCUCAUUGUGCUAAGUUUAUGAAGAACAUGAAGGCAAAGAAGUUCUCAGUCUUAGUCAGUGAAGCAAGUCAAUAGUGCCAGCUCAUCAGUGCCAGAUCAGCAGAAUUAGUUACGGGAAUUAACAAGUCAGCAUAAGUUGUUAAUGCUUGUUACUAGUUUCUUUAGCAUGUGUAUGUAAAUAUCUUCAAGUAUAUAAGCUGUAGAAGUUCAGUUGGUAUGUAACGAAAAAGAAUUAAGAAAUAAGAACUUUGAUUUUUCAUCUGUAAAUUUUCUCUUGAAACCAACAGCCUUUAACUUUCUUUCAUGGUAUCAGAGCCAACCAUGGCUAGUUCCAGUACACCUAAUCAAGUUCAUUCCACAAACAAUCAAUUUCAAUCUACGCAAACUUCAUUUACUUUUGCUGCGACUGUAAACUCGAUCGAUCGAAUUUUCUUCUUUGGCGCAAACAAGUACUGACGUCAAUCAGAGGAAAUCGACUUGAAGGAUUAAUCUCAGAAGGUCAGAAUAUUCCAGAAUAGUAUCUAUCUCAAUCAAGAGCUGACAGAUCUAUGGAGAAGAUUGAGAAUCCAGCUUAUGUUAAUUGGAGAGCUCAGGAUCAGACUCUGCUUAGCUGGCUUCUUUCAACAAUAAGUGAAAGUAUUCUAAGCUCAGUUCUCAAUUAUGAUACUUCCUUCGAUAUUUGGAGAUCCAUUGAAAAACAAUUUAGAGUUCAAUCCGAAGCAAAAAUAAUGCAACUUAGAUAUGAAUUGGACACUUUGAGAAAAGAAUCAAUGUCAGUUGAAGAAUAUUGCUCAAAAAUGAAAACUCUUGUGAAUAAGCUUGCUUGUGCUGGUGAUAAUAUAACUGAAAAAGAUCUGUUGAUUAGGACUCUUAAUGGAUUAGGAUCUGGUUAUUUGGAUCUAGCUUCCAUAAUCAUAGCUAAUAAAAUGAACUUUGAUGAUGCGUAUGCACUGUUGUUGACACAUGAAGCUCGAUUAGAACAGAAUUAGAAUCCACAGCCUAUGUUUAAUGCCAACUAUAGUAUGGUGAAUGCAAAUUAUGCAAAUUCUUCGCAUAUGAGAGGUUUUCCUAGGAAAUGCUUCUAAUGGUCAAUAUGGAGGAAGAGUUCAGUAUUUUGGUCAUGGUAUGUUCUCUACUUCUUAUCCUAGAGGUUUUCCAGCUGGUAAUGGUGGUUUUGGUAGAGGGAAUGAUGUUGCAAGUUUUGGCAGAAAUCAGUUUCAACAUUUUCACAGACCACCACACAUCAGAAAUAUGUUUUCUCACGCACAUAAUCAAAACAAUUCUACUGGUGAACAUAAUGAACUGACACCUAUAUGCCAAAUAUGUCAUAAGCAAGGUCACACUGCUGAUGCUUGCUGGUAUCGAUAUGGUGAUAAUUACCUUCUUAAGAAUUUUGGCAUAGGUAAAAUGAUGGGAUCAAAGGCUGCUUAUAUGGCUAAUUUUGAGUCAUUUCCUUAUCAACAGUCAACAGAGGAAGAUUCUUAUGGAGUUGCAGAUAUUAACUACAGCUAUCAACCAGUGAAUUACUCACCUGUCUCUUCUUAUCAAUCUGAAGCUUUUACUUUCUCGGAAGCUUAUGUUGCUAACCUUGAAGGCUCAUCAGAUGAAGGGUGGUAUCUUGAUAGUCGGGCCACACAUCACAUUACAAAUAACAUGGGAAACAUGCAUGUGAGAGAAGAGUUCAGAGGUGCAGACCAGCUGACCAUUGGCAAUGGACAAGGUGUGAUUAUUACUCAUAUUGGUGAUGCUUGCUUUAGCUAUAAAAGUCUUAAUGCUGCCCACAAACACACACCUAUAGCACUUAAGGAUAUCUUAUUAGUUCCUUCUAUUACUAAGAACUUAAUAAGUAUAUCUAAGUUAACCACUGAUAAUAACCUUUCCAUUGAAUUUGUUGGUAAUGUGUGUUAUGUAAAGAAUUCACUGAAGGGACAAGUACUUCUGCAAGGUCUUGCUGAAAAAGGAUUAUACAAGUUGCUGUUACAAUCAUCUCAGUCAUCUCCUUCCUCUUUCUUGAGUCAAAUUUCUUCAAACAAGCCUCUGUCUAUGCUUUCUACAUGUCAUCUUCAAUUUCCUGUUAUAACGGAUGUCCAGAAUAAAGAUUCAAAGUCUGUAGCUUGUUAUCAAACUGCUGUCAAUUCUUUCUUUCCUUGUAAUGAAUUAGUUAAUAAAGUCAACUUGUUUCAUAGAUGAUUUGGUCAUCCUCAUUAUGAUGUACUAGUGCAUUUACUUAAGAAUGAUCAGUCUAUCAAUAUCUCUACUUCCAUUAUUAAACAAGCUGCACAACAAAUAUGUGAGGUAUCUCAAAUGGGUAAGGUUCAUAGGCUUCACUUCCCUGCAACUAAAACCAAAACUUCCCACAUACUUAAACUUAUUCUUACUGAUUUGUGGGGUCCUUCCCCUUAUUCUUCCAGAGUUGGUUAUGUUUAUUACAUCAGCUUUGUUGAUGAUUUCAGUAGGUACACUUGAAUCUAUCCACUGAAACUGAAAUCAGAAGCCUUACAAAUUUUCAAACUCUUCAAACUGCAAGUUGAAAAACAAUUCCAGUGUUCCAUUAAAAAGUUACAAUCUGACUGGGGGGGAGAAUAUCGAGCAUUCACUGAAUUUUUGAACCAAAAUGGAAUUAUUUUUAGACACUCUUGUCCAUACACACAUCAUCAAAAUGAGGUAGUUGAGAGAAAGCACAGACACAUUGUUGAGUUAGGACUUACACUUCUAACUCAAGCUAAAUUACCCUUAAACUUUUGGUGGGAAGCUUUCCAAACCUCAGUCUAUCAUAUUAAUAGGUUGCCUUUUGCAACUUUGAAAUUUCUUACUCCCUAUGAAAAGCUCUUCAAUCAUAAGCCAGAUUACAAAAUGCUCAAGUGCUUUGGUUGUGCAUGCUAUCCUUACUUGAGAGAUUAUAAUAAGUAUAAGUUUGCCUAUCAUUCUAACAAGUAUGUCUUUAUUGGUUACAGUCCUUCUCAUAAAAGGGUAUAAAUGUUUGCAUCCAUAUGGUCAGGUCUAUAUAGCUAGACAUGUCAUAUUUGAUGAGCAUUCCUUUUCUUACUCAUCAGAUUCUGUUUUCACUUCAAAUAAUUCAUGUCAACCUCUGUCAUUUACUCCUCAACAAGUGUAUCAUCUAUUCACUUUGUCAAUACCUUCUAAUUCAAAUGACAGUAACUCUUAUAAUCCUGUUUCUGUAAGUUCUACCAGCAGCAGUUCUCAUCAUUCAGUGAAUCAUACACAUAACAAUGACUCUCAGCCUUUGCCACAAAUAUUUGAGCCACAUACAGAAUCUCAUCAUUCCCUGCCUACUCAAUCAUUCACUACCAACACACUCUCUCCAUCACAAAUUUUAACCAACAUCAUUUCCACAACACUUUUGCUCCNNNNNNNNNNNNNNNNNNNNNNNNNNNNNNNNNNNNNNNNNNNNNNNNNNNNNNNNNNNNNNNNNNNNNNNNNNNNNNNNNNNNNNNNNNNNNNNNNNNNNNNNNNNNNNNNNNNNNNNNNNNNNNNNNNNNNNNNNNNNNNNNNNNNNNNNNNNNNNNNNNNNNNNNNNNNNNNNNNNNNNNNNNNNNNNNNNNNNNNNNNNNNNNNNNNNNNNNNNNNNNNNNNNNNNNNNNNNNNNNNNNNNNNNNNNNNNNNNNNNNNNNNNNNNNNNNNNNNNNNNNNNNNNNNNNNNNNNNNNNNNNNNNNNNNNNNNNNNNNNNNNNNNNNNNNNNNNNNNNNNNNNNNNNNNNNNNNNNNNNNNNNNNNNNNNNNNNNNNNNNNNNNNNNNNNNNNNNNNNNNNNNNNNNNNNNNNNNNNNNNNNNNNNNNNNNNNNNNNNNNNNNNNNNNNNNNNNNNNNNNNNNNNNNNNNNNNNNNNNNNNNNNNNNNNNNNNNNNNNNNNNNNNNNNNNNNNNNNNNNNNNNNNNNNNNNNNNNNNNNNNNNNNNNNNNNNNNNNNNNNNNNNNNNNNNNNNNNNNNNNNNNNNNNNNNNNNNNNNNNNNNNNNNNNNNNNNNNNNNNNNNNNNNNNNNNNNNNNNNNNNNNNNNNNNNNNNNNNNNNNNNNNNNNNNNNNNNNNNNNNNNNNNNNNNNNNNNNNNNNNNNNNNNNNNNNNNNNNNNNNNNNNNNNNNNNNNNNNNNNNNNNNNNNNNNNNNNNNNNNNNNNNNNNNNNNNNNNNNNNNNNNNNNNNNNNNNNNNNNNNNNNNNNNNNNNNNNNNNNNNNNNNNNNNNNNNNNNNNNNNNNNNNNNNNNNNNNNNNNNNNNNNNNNNNNNNNNNNNNNNNNNNNNNNNNNNNNNNNNNNNNNNNNNNNNNNNNNNNNNNNNNNNNNNNNNNNNNNNNNNNNNNNNNNNNNNNNNNNNNNNNNNNNNNNNNNNNNNNNNNNNNNNNNNNNNNNNNNNNNNNNNNNNNNNNNNNNNNNNNNNNNNNNNNNNNNNNNNNNNNNNNNNNNNNNNNNNNNNNNNNNNNNNNNNNNNNNNNNNNNNNNNNNNNNNNNNNNNNNNNNNNNNNNNNNNNNNNNNNNNNNNNNNNNNNNNNNNNNNNNNNNNNNNNNNNNNNNNNNNNNNNNNNNNNNNNNNNNNNNNNNNNNNNNNNNNNNNNNNNNNNNNNNNNNNNNNNNNNNNNNNNNNNNNNNNNNNNNNNNNNNNNNNNNNNNNNNNNNNNNNNNNNNNNNNNNNNNNNNNNNNNNNNNNNNNNNNNNNNNNNNNNNNNNNNNNNNNNNNNNNNNNNNNNNNNNNNNNNNNNNNNNNNNNNNNNNNNNNNNNNNNNNNNNNNNNNNNNNNNNNNNNNNNNNNNNNNNNNNNNNNNNNNNNNNNNNNNNNNNNNNNNNNNNNNNNNNNNNNNNNNNNNNNNNNNNNNNNNNNNNNNNNNNNNNNNNNNNNNNNNNNNNNNNNNNNNNNNNNNNNNNNNNNNNNNNNNNNNNNNNNNNNNNNNNNNNNNNNNNNNNNNNNNNNNNNNNNNNNNNNNNNNNNNNNNNNNNNNNNNNNNNNNNNNNNNNNNNNNNNNNNNNNNNNNNNNNNNNNNNNNNNNNNNNNNNNNNNNNNNNNNNNNNNNNNNNNNNNNNNNNNNNNNNNNNNNNNNNNNNNNNNNNNNNNNNNNNNNNNNNNNNNNNNNNNNNNNNNNNNNNNNNNNNNNNNNNNNNNNNNNNNNNNNNNNNNNNNNNNNNNNNNNNNNNNNNNNNNNNNNNNNNNNNNNNNNNNNNNNNNNNNNNNNNNNNNNNNNNNNNNNNNNNNNNNNNNNNNNNNNNNNNNNNNNNNNNNNNNNNNNNNNNNNNNNNNNNNNNNNNNNNNNNNNNNNNNNNNNNNNNNNNNNNNNNNNNNNNNNNNNNNNNNNNNNNNNNNNNNNNNNNNNNNNNNNNNNNNNNNNNNNNNNNNNNNNNNNNNNNNNNNNNNNNNNNNNNNNNNNNNNNNNNNNNNNNNNNNNNNNNNNNNNNNNNNNNNNNNNNNNNNNNNNNNNNNNNNNNNNNNNNNNNNNNNNNNNNNNNNNNNNNNNNNNNNNNNNNNNNNNNNNNNNNNNNNNNNNNNNNNNNNNNNNNNNNNNNNNNNNNNNNNNNNNNNNNNNNNNNNNNNNNNNNNNNNNNNNNNNNNNNNNNNNNNNNNNNNNNNNNNNNNNNNNNNNNNNNNNNNNNNNNNNNNNNNNNNNNNNNNNNNNNNNNNNNNNNNNNNNNNNNNNNNNNNNNNNNNNNNNNNNNNNNNNNNNNNNNNNNNNNNNNNNNNNNNNNNNNNNNNNNNNNNNNNNNNNNNNNNNNNNNNNNNNNNNNNNNNNNNNNNNNNNNNNNNNNNNNNNNNNNNNNNNNNNNNNNNNNNNNNNNNNNNNNNNNNNNNNNNNNNNNNNNNNNNNNNNNNNNNNNNNNNNNNNNNNNNNNNNNNNNNNNNNNNNNNNNNNNNNNNNNNNNNNNNNNNNNNNNNNNNNNNNNNNNNNNNNNNNNNNNNNNNNNNNNNNNNNNNNNNNNNNNNNNNNNNNNNNNNNNNNNNNNNNNNNNNNNNNNNNNNNNNNNNNNNNNNNNNNNNNNNNNNNNNNNNNNNNNNNNNNNNNNNNNNNNNNNNNNNNNNNNNNNNNNNNNNNNNNNNNNNNNNNNNNNNNNNNNNNNNNNNNNNNNNNNNNNNNNNNNNNNNNNNNNNNNNNNNNNNNNNNNNNNNNNNNNNNNNNNNNNNNNNNNNNNNNNNNNNNNNNNNNNNNNNNNNNNNNNNNNNNNNNNNNNNNNNNNNNNNNNNNNNNNNNNNNNNNNNNNNNNNNNNNNNNNNNNNNNNNNNNNNNNNNNNNNNNNNNNNNNNNNNNNNNNNNNNNNNNNNNNNNNNNNNNNNNNNNNNNNNNNNNNNNNNNNNNNNNNNNNNNNNNNNNNNNNNNNNNNNNNNNNNNNNNNNNNNNNNNNNNNNNNNNNNNNNNNNNNNNNNNNNNNNNNNNNNNNNNNNNNNNNNNNNNNNNNNNNNNNNNNNNNNNNNNNNNNNNNNNNNNNNNNNNNNNNNNNNNNNNNNNNNNNNNNNNNNNNNNNNNNNNNNNNNNNNNNNNNNNNNNNNNNNNNNNNNNNNNNNNNNNNNNNNNNNNNNNNNNNNNNNNNNNNNNNNNNNNNNNNNNNNNNNNNNNNNNNNNNNNNNNNNNNNNNNNNNNNNNNNNNNNNNNNNNNNNNNNNNNNNNNNNNNNNNNNNNNNNNNNNNNNNNNNNNNNNNNNNNNNNNNNNNNNNNNNNNNNNNNNNNNNNNNNNNNNNNNNNNNNNNNNNNNNNNNNNNNNNNNNNNNNNNNNNNNNNNNNNNNNNNNNNNNNNNNNNNNNNNNNNNNNNNNNNNNNNNNNNNNNNNNNNNNNNNNNNNNNNNNNNNNNNNNNNNNNNNNNNNNNNNNNNNNNNNNNNNNNNNNNNNNNNNNNNNNNNNNNNNNNNNNNNNNNNNNNNNNNNNNNNNNNNNNNNNNNNNNNNNNNNNNNNNNNNNNNNNNNNNNNNNNNNNNNNNNNNNNNNNNNNNNNNNNNNNNNNNNNNNNNNNNNNNNNNNNNNNNNNNNNNNNNNNNNNNNNNNNNNNNNNNNNNNNNNNNNNNNNNNNNNNNNNNNNNNNNNNNNNNNNNNNNNNUUGGUUCACUUCAACUAUCUAAGGAACAAACUCAAUGUGCAGCCUUGCCCCUUGAGUUUGAGGGGGGCUGUUAAGGAAGCUCAUUGUGCUGAGUUUAUGAAGAACAUGAAGGCAAAGAAGUUCUCAGUCUUAGUCAGUGAAGCAAGUCAAUAGUGCCAGCUCAUUAGUGCCAGAUCAGCAGAAUUAGUUACGGGAAUUAACUAGUCAGCAUAAGUUGUUAAUGUUUGUUACUAGUUUCUUUAGCAUGUGUAUGUAAAUAUCUUCAAGUAUAUAAGCUGUAGAAGUUCAGUUGGUAUGUAACGAAAACGAAUUAAGAAAUAAGAACCUUGAUUUUUCCUCUGUAAAUUUUCUCUUGAAACAAACAGCCUUUAACUUUCUUUCACUUUCCAAAAGAGGGUUGGUGCACUAUACAAAUUUAAAUUUGAACAAUAUUUAAUUUUUUUGGAGUAAUCACGAGAAUAAUAUUUCUGCUUAACCUCAACAUCUUGUUGAAAAAAAGCUACGGAUCCCAUCAAUGGCCUGAUCCAAAAUGCUUGUUGGGAUUCCAUGAUUGAUCACUUGAAAGAAACCCCACUUCUCACAAGCACUUCUAAUUUGGUCAAUUACCUGAGAACGCAAACUUGAAUCCUUGAGUAUUCUUUGAAGGUCUAUGAUAGGGAUGCUGAUUUUGGGGUCCCUGCAGAUUGGCUUAUCAUCAAACUUAUGUUUAGUGUGACGAUCUUGAAUGAUGAUCUGUGGAAUGGUUGUGAUCCCAGCAUCUACGAGUCCCUUAACACCAGCUUUCGUGUCAUCAAAAGCUUUCAACUCGCUAACUCUGUCACAAGUAAUGCUUCCCAUUGCUUGGUGAAUUAUCUUUUACCUGGUGAAUUAUGAAGUACAAAUGCUGACUUGCGGGUGAUUGCUUUUGGUAUAUGCCGUUUAUAUGAAUAUGAUUCCUAGCUUGCCACGUGCAACAUGUUGAAAUAUAGCGAUAGCAUGAAGAUGUGGAAAUUUGUAAAAUUUGAUCCUGCGUUAUUUAUCAUGAUUAAAUUAAUUAUAAAUUAUCAAUAAUAGUCAAUUCCGGGGACCACCAAUUACUGGGUGGCACAUCACAAUAAUAAAUUAUCAAUAAUAGUCAAUUCUGCAUUAUUUAAUAUUUAUGUGGAUAAAAUUUCAAUUAGCUACACUACAUUGUUGUUUGAUAGUUAACGGUUCACCUUCUCCAUUUGUAAAUAUUAUUAUGGACUUAUAGUGUGGCUUAAAAGCUAGAUCUUAAAUGAAAAGAAAGCUUUAAUGGUGAAAUAAAAAUUUAAAUAAAUGAUAAAGGGAUUAAAGGUUAACCUAAUGUUAACAAAAAUAAUUGUAAAAUAUACAUGUUUUAUCAUGUUAAUUGAUGUUUUUCCAGUAUGCACAUAAAAAAGAUCUAUUUUACAAUUGUUUCUGUUGGCGUUGGGGCAGAUUUUUUUUUAGUCUAAUUAAGUAUAUCAUAAGUUAAUAAUAGUGCGUAUUUUAACUUUAAUAAAUUUGGCCACUUAGAUUUUUAAUUCUGACUCCUUCCCUAAUCAAUCAAGAAAAAGAAUGCUUUUCUCCAUAAAAAUUAAAAUAGAAAAUUCAGCAAGGACAUAACUGCGGAGAUGUUUGAUCCUGGAUUUAUAUAUCAAAGCAACAUCAAAAUUAUAAUACUUCCUUGCCACCGAGAAGAGAUAUAUUCAAGAGCACUGGCCUUAUAAAGCCUAAACCAUACUAAACUACCUACAUGGAAUCUAAUGCGUACAUGCAAUGCUUUCUAAAGUGAAACUGUCGCUUGAAAAUAGAAUUCAUGUUCAGCAGCCUCUCUCUAUCCGGGCUCCAAUUUUAUAACAAGGCAGCUAAAUAAGAUGAUUUAGAUGGCAUCGGCAUCUGUAGUAUCGUUUGUCUGUAGUCCCUCAUUAUCUACGAUCUGAUCGCUCCCUAUAGUAUUGUUUGCCUGUAGUCCCUCAUUAUCUACGCUCUGAUCACUCCCUAUGUAGAGAAUCGACAAGAGCAAAUUGAAGCACACGUUCACAGCACUAAUAACUGUUAAACUCUUAUAGUACUUGUCAAGCCUACUAUCAUCCAGGGUUUCAGCAAAGUCGCCUUUGUUUGCCAAAAUGAAAAAGAUGUUAAAAAUGCUUCCUAUUCCGACGAAAAAAUAACUUAUUGCUGAUACAUGGUACUCCAUCCGUUCAGGAAAAUGAGAGCUCGAGUAUUCAUCACAUCCAUACCAGGCAAGCCCUUCCAUAAGACCUAAUAGACAGAAUUGUGGAACAAGCCAAAACAUGCUCAUAUUUUACAGUAAAUGUUAAAUUUCACAGCAUGUAAAAUAUAUAUAUAUAUAUACACACACACACACAUACCUAAUAAGAGGAUAUUAGGAGCUUUACCCUUAUAAAAAUAAUGCUAGAGAUCUCAAUAGUUAAGUUACAAUUGAUGUGACAUUAAUUCAUUUUGGCUCCACUUUGAUUAUAAUAAUGAUUAAGAAAAGCAUUUCUAGGAUCAUAAUGUCAUGCUAUACAAUUAGUUCCAACAAUUUUCGUUUCAGGCAUUGGGGCUAUUGUUCUGUACAGCGUCCAGAGAAUUUUCAGAAACCAACUUUGAGCUACUCAACAUGAUAGGAAUUAUCCUGUUAGCAGUGGGUGAAGUUGGAGCGGCGCCUCUUUUGGGACCAUUUCUUGCCGAUCAAUUAAGAGAACAUGGUAAAGGAGGGAGAACAGAAAAUUCAAAUGAGGAUCAAGUAAUGGCUCAGAAAAGAGUGUGGUGGCGGUUUGCCUGGUGCUGUGGUUCAGCUGCGGCAUUCUAUGCAAAUAAUAUUAAGACAUGGAAGAAGACUUUCAUGUUCACAUUGUUGUUUAUGGGGGGCAGUUUGAUCCUCUUGUUGUUGGGUAUUCCCUUUUAUCAUAGUAGACAAAUACCUCCUAUUGACCGUUUUGCUAUAAUCCGCGUUGUUAAAACCUCCCUGAAGAAAAAGCAUCUCAAUUAUCCUCUUUCUCCGGAGCUGUUCUUCAGUAAUGAUGAGGGAAACGUAUUACACUUGUCACCAAGAAUCAAAUUACUCAGGUAUAUGCCCAACAUGUAUACACCCACACCCGGCCCGUGGUCUGGCAAAAUUGUUGGGGAGACCCUCUUAUUUUUAUUAAUAAUUAUAUAAACCUCUUUAUGGACACAUUAAUACCCUUUUGUGUUCGGGAAUAGUCACACCGACCUCCAAGAUUUGUCCAAAAGGGCGUAUUUAUAAACGCGUCUGUGUGAUCAUUUUGCCAAACCAUGAGCUGUCGCUUUCUCUUUUCCUAAAAAAUUACCAAUAAAUUAAUUCUUUGAAUUGCAGAUGGAUAGACAAAGCGGCAAUUAUAGAGACAUCAAGUACUUCUAACGAACAAGAAGAGGCAGGCACACUUUGCACUGUGGCCCAGGUCAGGGAGUCAAAAUCUCUUCUUAAUGCGUACAUGCAAUGCUUUCUAAAGUGAAACUGUCGCUUGAAAAUAGAAUUCAUGUUCAGCAGCCUCUCUCUAUCCGGGCUCCAAUUUUAUAACAAGGCAGCUAAAAAAGAUGAUUUAGAUGGCAUCGGCAUCUGUAGUAUCGUUUGUCUGUAGUCCCUCAUUAUCUACGAUCUGAUCGCUCCCUAUAGUAUUGUUUGCCUGUAGUCCCUCAUUAUCUACGCUCUGAUCACUCCCUAUGUAGAGAAUCGACAAGAGCAAAUUGAAGCACACGUUCACAGCACUAAUAACUGUUAAACUCUUAUAGUACUUGUCAAGCCUACUAUCAUCCAGGGUUUCAGCAAAGUCGCCUUUGUUUGCCAAAAUGAAAAAGAUGUUAAAAAUGCUUCCUAUUCCGACGAAAAAAUAACUUAUUGCUGAUACAUGGUACUCCAUCCGUUCAGGAAAAUGAGAGCUCGAGUAUUCAUCACAUCCAUACCAGGCAAGCCCUUCCAUAAGACCUAAUAGACAGAAUUGUGGAACAAGCCAAAACAUGCUCAUAUUUUCCAAUUGUUUGAGCUUUUCCAACCUGCGAACCUCAACCUGCCAUGCCACUACACAGCAAACUGUAGUCAUCACCAUUCCAAUAAAUGUUCUCAACACUUGAGCUUGUCUCUUUUUAGUUUUUGGAACAAAAUUGGAAAUUAAAUUUUUUGACAGAUAAGAGAUCGUUGCACGAAUUAUCCCUUUAAAAGUUCGUAGAAAGAUUAAGUAUCUUUCAGAAAUCAUGUUGGCUCCCUGCCCAGGAAAAAAUGUAUUUCCUGCUGACAGAACCAAUCCAAACACAAUGAAGCUAGACCACAAUGGCAACAAUUUAAGAAGAGAUUUUGACUCCCUGACCUGGGCCACAGUGCAAAGUGUGCCUGCCUCUUCUUGUUCGUUAGAAGUACUUGAUGUCUCUAUAAUUGCCGCUUUGUCUAUCCAUCUGCAAUUCAAAGAAUUAAUUUAUUGGUAAUUGUUUAGGAAAAAAGAAAGCGACAGCUCAUGGUUUGGCAAAAUGAUCACACAGACGCGUUUAUAAAUACGCCCUUUUGGACAAAUCUUGGAGGCCGGUGUGACUAUUCCCGAACACAAAAGGGUAUUAAUGUGUCCAUAAAGAGGUUUAUAUAAUUAUUAAUAAAAAAAGAGGGUCUCCCCGACAAUUUUGCCAGACCACGGGCCGGGUGUGGGUGUAUACAUGUUAGGCAUAUACCUGAGUAAUUUGAUUCUGGGUGACAAGUGUAAUACGUUUCCCUCAUCAUUACUGAAGAACAGCUCCGGAGAAAGAGGAUAAUUGAGAUGCUUUUUCUUCAGGGAGGUUUUAAUAACGCGGAUUAUAGCAAAACGGUCAAUAGGAGGUAUUUGUCUACUAUGAUAAAAGGGAAUACCCAACAACAAGAGGAUCAAACUGCCCCCCAUAAACAACAAUGUGAACAUGAAAGUCUUCUUCCAUGUCUUAAUAUUAUUUGCAUAGAAUGCCGCAGCUGCACCACAGCACCAGGCAAACCGCCACCACACUCUUUUCUGAGCCAUUACUUGAUCCUCAUUUGAAUUUUCUGUUCUCCCUCCUUUACCAUGUUCUCUUAAUUGAUCGGCAAGAAAUGGUCCCAAAAGAGGCGCCGCUCCAACUUCACCCACUGCUAACAGGAUAAUUCCUAUCAUGUUGAGUAGCUCAAAUUUGGUUUCUGAAAAUUCUCUGGACGCUGUACAGAACAAUAGCCCCAAUGCCUGAAACGAAAAUUGUUGGAACUAAUUGUAUAGCAUGACAUUAUGAUCCUAGAAAUGCUUUUCUUAAUCAUUAUUAUAAUCAAAGUGGAGCUAAAAUGAAUUAAUGUUACAUCAAUUGUAACUUAACUAUUGAGAUCUCUAGCAUUAUUUUUAUAAGGGUAAAGCUCCUAAUAUCCUCUUAUUAGGUAUGUGUGUGUGUAUAUAUAUAUAUAUAUUUUUUUUUUUUUUACAUGCUGUGAAAUUUAACAUUUACUGCAAAAUAAUAAAUUUUUAAUUUAGCCCAAAGUACUAUAAAGUCCUGGGUCCGCCCCUGAAUAUAUAUAUUGCUUGCAAUGAUAGACAUAUGUUUUAAUUUCGUCUCUGUUUAGAAGUUUAGCAAAUUCAAAACAUAUUAACUUACAAGGAUGUAGGAGACAGUUGAAAAAAUGAGGAUUCUGAGAGGACGAAUGGCAUAACACGAAAUCCAGGCGGCAACAACCGUAAGAGUUGCUAAUAUUACAUCCUGAAUACUCGUAAAUAUUGCAGCUUUCUGAAGUGUGAAUACUUUUGAAUAUUCGGAGUUGGAGAAGUAAGUUAUCAAGACGCCCACUAUAGCCAAGUCUACGAGUUUGCGGCUUAUCAACAAACCUGGAAUCAAAAUAAUCAUUAGAAAAAAUGUUCGUGCUCACUAAAAAAAGCUUACACAUGAGGACUGCAAGAACAACGUGAGAGAACUAUUGUCAUGUUUUAUAAUUUAGCCCAACCUAAUCAAAGAUCUUAAGUACACCUCUCUUAACUGAAAUUAUUCUAGGGGAUUAUCUAUUUAGGAAUCUCAAAGUUCAUGAGCUCUUAAUACAUACACACAUACAUAUACAUACAUACAUCAUCAUGUUGUUAAAGUAAUGAUGUUAGUAAAAUACAAAAAAAAUAUAUGUACAUGUAUUAAAUUGUAUGAUUUAACAGAAUUAGUACAAAUAAAUAAAUUACAUGAUUUUGUAGUGCAUUGAAAAUUAAUUUUAUUAAACUAUACAAUUUACUAGUGUGUCUCCAUUAAAAAAAAUAAAGACCCUCAUAUAUAUAUAUAUAUAUAUAUAUAUAUAUAUAUGUAUACAAGUUUAUGUUCUGAAUAAAUACAUUUUUAAAAGAUAGGAUUACCUAAGGCCCCACACGCAAAAUUACCUGACAGAAAUGCAGCAGCCUUACAAAAGCAGACGUAAUAUCGUACCCAAGUUAUGAACCUGUUUUGAAGCUUCAACAGCUGAGAAAAUGGAAACAUUGUAGUUUCUGAAACUGCUUUUAUCUGCAAAGACUUCUACUUGUGAGUUGUGAAUCCCGAGACGAUGAAGAUUUUGUAAUUAUGCCAAAGUCUUUUAGGUAGUUUAUUCAAAUUAAAAAAUAAUAAGUCGCACUUCAAGACCACCUAUUGGUCACAUCAAGACCACCAUUUGGUCACAUAAGUCUUCUUUUUUUUCUUCUAACUUUAAUCCAGCUAGUCAGCUACGGUCCAACAGGUGCACCGUGCCCUCUUUUUGACAGCACCCCUUACUUUCUUCUAUAUUUACAGUUUAUUAAAGUAAUUUCUUUUUCCUCUUUCUUUCACCCCUCACCUUUACAAUCUUCCAAUUUUUUCCAUUUUCAAUUAAACCUGUAAUCAACCAAUUGCAAGCAAUAAGAAAAAAGUUGGCAAGCUAUUUGCUCUAUAAUACACAAGUAAUUAGGGGUGGGCAAAAUACCCGACCCGAUCCGACCCGAAAAAUUUCAGGUUCGGAUUGGAUCGGGUUAUUAAUAUAAUCCGAUCGGAUGAAAUAUUACAAACCCGAUCGGGUUGUGAUCGGAUCGGAUAAAACCCGAUCCGAUCCGAAAACCCGAUCGGGUUGCUAAAAAAAAUAUAUAUAUAUCUAUGGCCAAACACACACACACGGCACACAGCACACCACACAUAAUCACACAAAUCAGUGAAAUCACAUACUCAAAAGGUUACACUUUACAGUUUACACAAACACAAAACACACAAAAACAAAAAAAUCACAACACCCAACCCGUGAACCCACCCUCAAGAAGCAAGAAAACAUUCUCUCCUUCCCGCAAUCUGCUGCUGCCGUGUUGCGAGUCCGGCCAUCUGCUGCUGCGUCAGCGAUCUGCUGUUGCCGUGCUGUUGUCAUGCUGCUGCCGUGUUGCGUCCAGCCAUCUACUGCUGCGUCCACGAUCUGCUGCCGCCGUGCUGCGUCCACGAUCUGCUGCCGCCGUGCUGCGUCCAGCCAUCGCGAGGAAACUGCUGCUGCGUCCACGAUCUGCUGCCGCCGUGCUGCGUCCAGCCAUCGCGAGGAAACUGCUGCGCGUCCAGCCAUGCGCAAGCUGCUGCUGCACGCCCACCGAUCUGCUGCCGAAAACCCAGCCGCCGAUCUGCUGCUCCAAGGCUCAAGCUCCAACCCGACCCGAGUUUCUCCCUUAGUCCCUUAUGUGUUUUGAAUUUUGAAGCUUUCAUGGUGUAUUGGUAUAUAUGUUUUGAAUUGACCCGUUUAAUUUGACCCGAAUUGGUUUAAUUUGACCCGAAUUUAAUAUGAUCCAUUUUUAAUUCGAACCGAUUCAACCCAAAUUCAACCCGAUUUUUUACCCGAUCCGAACCGAUCCGAAUAUAUAUCGGAUCGGAUCGGGUCGGGUUGUAAGUUCGGGUUGUAUUCGGAUCAAUGUUUGCACAACCCGAAUAACUCGAAACUCGAUCGGGUUGACCCGAACCCGAUUUUGCCCACCCCUACAAGUAAUAAUGAAUUGAAGUUUUUAUAUAAAAAAAUUACAUAGAUGUAAUUUUUUUACGCACACUAUUUAUCAUCUACAAUGAAAUUAACAUGUAAGUAAAUUUAUUUUUUUAUCUUUUAUUAUAUGUAUUCUUCCCCUUUCUCCCCCGUAUGUCUUUUCAUUUUCUCUUUGAAUAAUCUAACCUAAGGCUUUCUAAUAAUUGGUUUAUUGUUAUUAUUUUUAUAAGUAAACCUUCUCUUUGUUAUGUCAAUAGGUUUAUUUUAUAAAAAAAAAUUCGUAAAUGACCAAAAGUGAGAACCUUAAUAAAAAUUCAAAACCUAUCUUAGUUUUUGUUGUCUUUGUUGAUGCAUCUUGCAUGUUUGAUGUCUUAAUUAUAACUUGUGAGAGUAAGUACUGUAAUACAAUGAUGAUUAAUGAUUAUUACUAAGAGUAUUCAGAGAAAAAGAAGUUGGUGUAAAAUUUUAUAAACUUUGAGUUUUCUAAAUUUUCACUAAACAAUAGGGAUUGCAUUAUUAAUAACUAAAUAAACACAUCCAUAACCUUGAAACUACAUUUGUGUAAGUUCUUUCUCUUUGUAAUGGUUACGAAGACUGACAAUUUUCUAUUGAAGUUAUUUAUACAUGUAUUUCUUUUUCAGCAUGUAAUACAUUUAGGAAAUGAGUAAUGAUUAAGUACAAACACUUUUAGAUAAACAAUGUUGUACGAACUUAUGUGAUAUUUUUUAGAAAAAAGGAUCUGAACAUCCUUAAGAUUUUAAAAAAUGGUCAUUUAUACUUUGAGUUUUCAAUACAGAACAUCAAGACACUUUUUUACUAUAGUAUUCUUAAUAGAUAAUAACAAAAAUUAUUGAAUUUAAACAUUUUAAUAAAUAUAAAUAAAAUUUAAAUAGUUUAAUAUGUCUAGUAGACUAAUAAUAUUAGAAAUUUCUAGUAGACUAAUAAUAUUAGAACAUUUCUUAAUAUGUAAAUAAUUUUUAAAAGAUAAAUUAGUAUAUUUAUUUUAAUAAUAUAUUUUUACUUAUUAUAAAAAUUGUAAAUAAAUCUUUAGGUUAGAUAGAUUUUAAAUUUAAUAAAAUACAUGUCAUGUACUAAUAAUAUUAAAACUAUUUUAUAUAAUAUUGAAAAUAAUUUAAAUUUUAAAUUUUAAUAUUAUCUUUCGAUUUAUUUUGAAAUUUAGUUUAAUAUAAUUUAAUGUUGUAAAGUAUUAAAAUAUUUUAAAAAUAUUGAAAUUAUUUUAAAAUGUAUAUAUUGUUACAUUUAUUUUAAUAUUAUACUUCUAUUUAUUAUAAAAUAUUAAAAAUAAUAUUUUAAUUAAAAGGGAGUUUUGGUGUCUCUUACUGAAAAAUAGAGUGUACAUAAUCAUUUUUUCAAAUUUUAAAGGGUGUACAUGUCAUUUUUCUUACUUUUUUAUAAUCAAUUGAAUAAAAAAAAAGUCAUCUGGCCACAUAAAUUAUUUCUAAUUUAUAUUUUCAAUCAACAAAUCAUAAUGUGUCAUAUCUAUUUGUAUAAGCAUUUAUGAACAUAAAAAAUUAAGUUUAGGCACUAGUCGGGUUGGAAAUCAACUCAUCCAAACCCAUGUAUAGUGCUAGUUGGGUGAGUUGGACUUAUCUCGAAGACCCAUUUUCUGUCUUUGAAAUAUCAAUAUGAAAUUAAAAUAAUUAAAAAAUAAUUUAAUUGAAACAACUAAAAAUAGAAUACAAAAUUACAAAUAAUAACUAUCCCUGAAACUUCAUUGUUAAUAAAAAUAAUUAUUUGUAUAGGAUCCUAAUUACACCAUAAAAAGUAAUAGGAUGAAUUCAAGAGUUGGGUUUGAAAAUUUUCAACACCUAGUAAAUAUAGUGCAUUUUCUCCACCCCUAUGAAAUUAGGGGUUGGCUUUCUACUUGAUUUUAAGUAGAGAAAAUGAUCAAUCCUACCUUAUUGUUUGUUGAAACUAUAGGGUGAAUUUAAGAGUUGGGUUUGAAAGAUGCAAUAUGUUCAUAUGUAUAUAUGAACAUAUUGCAUCUUCACUAUCUUAUCCCCAGAAUUUUUGCACCAAAUCAUGGUACAAGAAUAAAAAUUCGCAACUCGAAUCAACAAAGUAUAUCACUUAAGUUAUUCUGCAAGCCGCCAAAUUGGAAAAUGUCCCAAAUAAUUAAUUAACCACAUCGACUUGAUAGCUUAACUUUUUCCAACGCUGAGAGUCCUUCAUUCUUCCCUAUUGAGGAUUGGUUAUUGUAAACGUCUGUUGGAGUAACAUGGGGAUAGUGCGGAUGAUUUUUUUCGGAUAGCAACUAUUUAAUUGGACCAUAUUGUCUCGAGCAACUGUUGUUCAUAUAAAAAACUUCCAAUUGAAAUCGUUGAGCCUCGCCUUCUUGACAACACUCUGUGAUAGGCACUCUUGAACGCGACACUGGUAAUUAGCUGCAUAAACAUAUAAAAGAACACUAUAAUUAAGUUAUAUGAUGGAUUCAUAAUAGUCAAAGUUGUGCAUAACAUCUACUUGCCUGCAUCAUGUAGCCUAAGUUUACAACUAGAGCCCCGGAAACUGGGGUAAUAUCAAACCAUUGAUCUUCACAAAAGACUUGGAGGCCACAAUUCGAUCUUGUAUGAGCAUAGUGACAAAUCCAGGGUCAGAACGUAUUGUUACGCCAAUUGUCAAUUUCGGAUGAGGGCUAUCUGGGUAGUGACUAUUCCUAAUAGUCAUUUCCUCUACAGAACCUGUGUCUUUCAGGUAACUGGGGCCAAACCCUAAAGCUUCAGACAAAAGUUCAAACAGAGUGAAUUAGCAAUUGACGUUGUUGGAGAAAAAUCAAUUUUUAUUUUUUUUAAAAAAAAAACUUUUUAGAGUCGAUCUCAUAUAAUAUAUAAGAAUUCAUAAUUUAGAAAUUAUACCUUGAAAAUAUGAGAAAAUGAACAAUCUUUGCUUUUUCUACUGAAGUGAAACAAGGCUCCCAUAUCACGAUUUGUCACCACCACACCUGUUAGAUUACAAUCUGUCACCACCACGCUUGUUAGAUCACGAACUAUCACCAAUGAUUUUCUAGAUUAUGACUCAGGUUUGAUCUGCACUUGACGUGUGGGUGCUUUUAUCACUACCAAUAGCAACUAGUAUGAGAAAAAUUUUCUCUCAAGAUUAAAGAGAAAAAUUCUUUUUCUCUUAUCUGUAUAAUGUGGCCUUAUAUCUUUUCAAGAGAAAAUAAGCCCUUUUAUAUCUUAUCUAGUGGAAAUCCUAAGCUCUAUAUUUUUUAUUUUUUAAUUCUAUUAACACAAGGCCCCUUACACAUAAGCAUAUUACAUGGAGCCUCCCACUAAAUAAUAUAUUUAGGCUUUUAACCCAAAUAGCUAGUUAUUUUACUUAUUAAUCCAGUAGCGGCGCAGUCAAUUAAAUGAGCUAACCCAAAUAUCAUUUGAGAACAUACAAUAGUGGCUACAAUAAUUAGGCAUGUAAUCAAACUAGCCCAAUUAUUUAAUUCUAAAUCUACUCCACUAAAAGAUUGGAACUGACCUCCACAAUUGUAUGCUUGAAUAAUAAUUCAUCCCAAACAACAUUGAUUUCUUUACUGCACAAUCUUUUGUACCACAUCAUUAAUUAAAUUGAUAUCUCACCUGUCCAAUCAAUUUAACUACAUUUUGUUCCUUGAUUCUUACUGGUUUUCUCUAAUGAUCAUUUUCAACAUACUAAAUAUGUCGACACACUCUGACCAAAGAAUUCUAUGAUCAAGUGCCGAAAACCCAUCAAGAGAUGUGUUGUACAAAUUCUAUAUUGUCAAUUUAUAACUCCAAUACUCAUAAUUGGUCUCAUCAAGAUACCGGAUAAUCUUGACUACAAGUAUGUGUCGUGCCCAUUGGUAAUUCAAAUGGAAUAACAAUUAUAAUCAUGAAAUCAUAAUUAACUCAAGAUUAAGAUUGCAGUAAAAUCCAUGUCUAUGAGAUUUAAUAAGUCUGACAGUAAUUACAAAGUUAAUUAAAUCUCAUAUGUUAUCUUGUUCAAUGUAGUCUUACUACAUCAAUAAAUUUUUACAUGAAUAAGACAAAUCAUUCAAUGAAUUCAUUACAGUCUAUACCUAAAUAAAGUGCCCAACUUUAUUUAUCAACUGCGAAUUAAAUUUAUUUAAUCAUAAGAUAACUUGUAUUUAUGUCUUCUGUAAUCCACAUGGUGAUUCUUGUGCAAAUUUAUUGAACUCGCAAGUGCACGAAUAUAUUGUAGAAUAGAUUAAUGGUGACAAGUGUCGAUCCCACGAGAAAGUGGAUUUUAAUUAUGUGUAAAUUUAAUUUUCUAUGAGGGUGGUUGGAUUUGUGGUGAAAAUGAUUUGGAAUAUUCUAAACAUUAAAUUAGAAUGGCAGGAAUAAAUUAAAGCAAAAUCUAUUGAAAUAAAGCACUUGGGUAUCUGGAUCUGCAUUAACAUGCACCAUGUGCUAAAUAUUCCUUAGUAAUGCCAAUUAAAUCAUGAGGGGGGUUUCUACUCCUCAUGAACCACACUCUAAUCAAUAUGGUGUUAAGGACUUAUUGUGGCAAACAAUAAUAACCUUGUACUAGGGAGUCGGUUAAAUCAGCGCAGUAUCCAGACAAGAUUAUUACUAUUUGUCGACGAAAAGUCAAAAUAUCAAUAAUAAUUAGAGGAGAAGAGAAAGUAAAUUUACUAAAUAAAGCCCACGACACAUGUUGAGACUUCACCAACCCAAACUUGAAAGAAAAUUAGCUACUUAUAAUUGAACUAAGGGUAAAAUGAGAAUUUAUUAAAAUACAUAGAAAAUACAAGAUGGAGAAUGAAUUACAGAAAAUAGGCUCAAAAAUGAAUUCAAAAAUGCCAAAUUAGGGAGGAGCCCCCCUUUUAAUAGAUACACUGAGUAAAUCAUGGCCAUCAUAUUAAAAACAUUUUGGACGCUCAAGAUUGCGCCACGUCAUCGGUCAACAGUACGUGGUUUGGUUGUAAAUAAUCUCGUGUAUAUGCAUGUACCGUACGCACUAUUUUUGAUCCACUAACAUGCUGCCACGUCACAGAUCAACAGUACAUAAGAAUUUUAGUCUAAUAAAAUCGUGACAUCUCAUCAGUCAAUACCACAUCAUCAGUCAAUGCCACGUCAUCGUUUUGUAUAUGUGAAUAGUGUCGUGAACAGUAACAUGGAUAGUAUCGUAUCUGUGAAUAGUACCGUACAUGUGAACAAUUCCAUUUUUCCUUUUAAACUCCUCCUAAGAUUUUCGACUGUCCUGAUCUCAAAAGUGAUGUCUGUUUUGCUGUAUGAUCUCUCGUUCAUUGUGAAAUGACCAUGAUGCCCCUAAAAUACAUAAAAUAUUUAAUUAUAAUAUAAUACACAUAAUUAAAUCACAAGGAACUUAAAUACAUAAAAGUAUGAAUGUUAGUGAAACUUGAAGUGUAAAAUGACGAUUUUCUCCUUCAUAAAUAUACACUUUCUAACACUCAAAAGUGAUCACAUAAAUACAUAUAAUAUGAUUAAAUGGACUUUAAUCAAAAUAUUAAUGCAAUUAAGAUAUUUGAAUAAAAUACCUUAUUUAUUUUAUUAAUCAGAAAAAUUAUUUAUUACAAUUAAAUAAACACUUAUGCUUUUAAAGAGCAUAUUUUCCCAACAGGCGUAUCUCAUAAAGGCAACUUCGGUGGUUGAGGUAUCCUGCCGUGCAACACUGUAUCUCUUAUAGUCAACUUUUACGACUUGGACAAUUUGUAUUUUACCGAUUGUCCAUUGAAUUAAUUUGUUUUUGCUGAAAAUGAAUAUUAAAAAAAGAUUAAAAUAAAUAAAAUUAUAAAUAAUUAAAAUCACAGAUUGUCCCAAACCACCAAUAAAACCUCUAAAACUAAAAUUAUAAGCUCCUCCGUAAGAUCCACCAUUAUAUUUCUUAUUACCACUAGCAUUCUUUCAAGGAUUAAAAUGGUUUUGAGUUACAUUAGCUAACAAGUUAUGUGUGACAUCACUAGCAAUUUUACCUCUUGUCUGUUCAACUCUAUUCUCCUGAUUUAGCAGUAAAGAGUAAAAUUCAUCAAGACUGAUCUUAUCACCUCCAGCUAACACACUGAUAACUAAAGACUCAUAAUCAGAUGAAUCUAGUCUAGUCAAAAUAUAUUGAACAAAAUCACUUAACUCAACAGAUUUUCUAGCUAAAGCCAGACUGUCAGACAAUCUCUUCAUUUUAACAAAGUAAUCAAUCAUAGACAUUGAUCUUUUUUUGAGUGUUUGAAUAUGCAUCUUAAAGGCAUUAUUCUAGCUUGAGAUUGUAAAGUAAACAUACUUGUGAGUGUAUCCAAAAGCUCUUUAGCAAUGGAGCAAUGAACGAUUGUAGCGAGUAGAUUUUGCUGAAUAGAUGACAACAUCCAACUCAAAACUAAUUGAUCUGUCUUCAUCCAGGCUGUGUAUGCUGGAUUGACCUUUCGAUUUUCAGUAAUAGUUGAGGACCAACUUCAGUGCUAGCUGGUGUGAGAAAUUACUCCGAACAAGUUUGAUCACCAUUAAUGAAAUUAUCCAGAUCGUUUCCUUUGAUGGAUGUUAAAACCUGAGUUUGUCAGACAAUGAAAUUAUUAUGAUCUAGCUUAACAGGAUUGAUAAAACUAUAGGAUCCAGAAAAUUGAUUAGAACUGACCAUUGUAGGCUCUGAGAUCAUGAUAGAAUUUGUAAUAUAUAUGUCUGGAAAGCAAGAAAAUUAAGGAGAAAAAGAUAGAAAGAAAAGAAGAAGAAUUUAGAAUAUGUUAAUUGUUCAUUACAUUACAAAUGUGAUUAUAGCCUUUGUAUUUAUAUUAAGUGAAAUGCUUAACUAUAAUUUGUUAUAACUGGAAUAGGUGCUAAACAGUUCUUUAGCUAGAAGGCUGAGAUGGCUAACUAAUUAUUCCACGUUAGCAAGAGCACUCAUGUAUGGUCCUCAUCCGUACUGUAAUUAUCAUACUCUGUAACAGUUCUUCUACAUCUUCUUGCUCUUCAGGACCAAGUGUACUUCGUGGGUCUAUAAUUGCUGCUUUGUCUAUCUAUUUGCAAUUCAAAGAAUUAAUUUAUUGGUCAUUUUUUUAGGAAAAAAGAUAACGAAACAUAGUUGUUUGGUAAAAUAGUCAUGUGAACUCUUUCUUCAAAACAUAUAUAAAAACAAACCUUGGAGAUCAGUAUUGUCUAUGUGAUAAUUUCUAAAAAUAAGAGGUCUAGCUGACAAUUUUUUCAAACCAUGGGAUGUUGGUAUAUACUCUUUAAGUAUGUACCUUAGUAAUUUGAUUCUAGGUGACAAGGGUAAUUCAUUUUCAUCAUCUUUACAGGAGAAUUGAUCUGCAAAAGAAGGAAAAUUUAGAUGCCUUUUCUUCAGGGCAGCUUUAAAAAGACAGAUUAUAGCAAAACCGUGAAUAAGAGGUAAUUGUUUACUAUGGUAAAAGGGAAUACCCGACAGCAACAAGGCCAAACUGCUCCCAUAACCAAUAUUGUGAACCUCAAAGUCCUCCGUCAUGUUUCCAGAUUAUUUGCAGGGAAUGCUGCAACUACAUUAUAACACCAGGCAAGCUGCAGCUAUACUUCUUUUUGAGCCUUUACUUAUUUCUCAUUUGGAUUUUUUGUUCUCCCUUCAUCACCAUGUGCUCUUAAUUGAUCGACAAGACAUGGUCCUAAAAGAGGCCCCAUUCCAAAGUCACCCACUGCUAACAAGAUCAUUCCUAUUACGUUGUGUACUUCAAAUUUAGUUUCUAAGAAUUUACUGGACGCUGUAUAAUACAAUAGCCUUAAUGCCUCCAACAACAAUAGUCGGAACUAAUUGUAUGGCAUAACAUUAUGAUCCUAAAUAUGCUUCUUAAUCAUUACUAUAGUUAGGAGCGGAACAAAAUUGAGAUUUAGGGGGCCAAGUGUAAUUAAGGUAAUUAUUUCAGGAUUAGAGAGUAUUAGUUAUUUUCUGGGGUUAGGGGAUGGGGUUCACGUUUAUGAAGCCACCAUAUAAAGAAAAACAACUAGUUUGAAAGUUGAAAUUACAAAUUUAUAUAGUGUGAGAUUAUUUCAACCUACUAAAAUAUAUGUUAUUUUAAAGACUAAUGAGCUUGCGGCUUUGAAAAGGUUGGAAUGUUAUUUGGUUGGAGAGGGACUCGGUUUCAACUUUAACUUGUCUUACGAGUACCAAAUUCAAGCCGUCGUAGCAUCUGCAUAUCAUAUAGUUGAAUUGUUUGAGAGCCUAAAAGUCAAAUAUUGUGGAUCAUAUCAAAUGCCAAAUGUUGGAUAAUCUUUUCCAAAUGUUGGAUAACAAGAAAAGGGUUGCACACAAGACCGCUGACUGAAAAUAGAAAUAAUUGGACAAAUAAAGCCCAAACCACAACUCAUCAUAAUCUUUGUGUUACUAAUGGAAGCUAAAAGCACCUGAGUUAUCAACUAUUCACAUUUUCUAUUAGAUACUGAUGCUUGAUACAUUCAUCAUGAUAUCCAGAAACAAUAAAAUUAAGCUAGUACAAAGAUAUCUAAAUGAAGAUGAUAAUAUCAUAGGCAAAAUAUGGUCCAAUUGAUUAGGAAAAUCAAGCUAAGGUAAUUUUUUUUUAUACUAAAUGCUUAAUUAAAAAGACAUCAUUAUAUGUUUUAUACAUGCACAAAUUGUCAUUUAUUUGAGGCAUGUCUAAUAUUUAGUAGAGUGACAAAUAUACUUGAAAAUGUAUAAAAAUUAUCAAAUAAUAUGUGAGAAAUAUAGUUAUUUUUGUUGUAAUAUUAAUGCAAUAAACUUUUAUUGUAUCAUAUCGGCAUGUUUAAAGAGGAAAAAAAAAACUCAGAGACUCAAAAAUUCCAAACUUUAAUGUGUAGCUGGCAUUUAUUUGUAGGCUCAAUUGAAGUACAGAAGUCACAAUUCCAAACAACAAACAAGCUAUCAUCACUAAUCCACCAAAUUGGAAAACAUCCUCAAUUAAAUUAACCACCGCGCCUUUCCAGCUUGAGUUUUUCCAAUGCUGAUAGUCCUUCUAUUGAGGAUUGGUUAUUGUAAAUAUCUUUUAAGGUAAUUUCAGGAUAGAGCGGAGGAUUUUCUUCGGAUAGCAACUCUUUAAUUGGACCAUAUUGUCUCGAGCAACUGUUGUUCAUAAAAAAACUUUCGAUUGAAAUUCUUGAGCCUUCCUUUUUUGAUAACACUCUGUGAUAGACACUUUUGAACUUGUCAUUGGUGAUUAGCUGCAUAAACACACAAUAAAAAAAUCCACUAUAAUUAAGUUACAUGAUGGAUUAAUAAUAGUCAAAGUGAUGCAUAACAUGUACUUGCCUGCAUCAUGUAACCGAAGUUUACAACUAGAGCUCCGGGAACAGGGGUAAUUACGAUAUGCAGUUUCCUAAUUUAACUCAUGCACGCUCGAGGCUUUUGUUUACCCUAGUUUUCAGUAUAAAAAGAGGCGCGCAUCACAUAAUACGGCGGCAAAGAAUUAUCAUUAGAAAAAUUGGAGAGAAAAAGAAGAAGAAGAUCAUAAUUCAAGGGAACAGCUGCAACAUCAUUGAAGAAUCCAGCAGAGUUAUUUGGAUUCACUUUUUGUCGUUCUCGACUUAUACCUUUCUUCUUUCUCUAACUAAUCUAAUGUAUCUCAUGAACAAUAUGUUGCUGAUUGUUUAUCUCUUUCAGAAUAUGAACUAAACUCGCUUGUAUUUGAGUGACAAACAAUCUAAUGGGUUCUUGACUGUUCUUAUGAGUUGCUAUGUCAUUGCUGUAGCAUUUUACUCUAGUAGCUAUUAUUAUAACUGUUAUUUCGGUUGACCACCCAUUUAAUGGUUCAAGUUAAGAUAGGACCAUAAAAGGGCAUGUCUUACUGGAUAUUAUUAUAGUAAUACUUGAUCUUAAUUUAAGUUUCCUAGAUUACGUUUAUCUUGAAUCCCAUAAGGGCUAUACUUAAAGUUAAGAUUUGUGAUAAACUAGACAUAAGUAUUCACCUUGUAGGGUGGAGAGAAUGGAUGUUCAUAAUAUCAUGCCAUAGGUAAAAUAGCAACUGGCCAUUGUUAAGAUGUUUACGGGUAUGAGACUUCCAAUAUGCGACAACUGAGGAUGCAAAUUAAAUUAUGUCCAGUGCUAUAGAAAUUAUUGUAGCAACUGGUGUUAACUUGAUGAAAAGCAGUUAACCCAUAAAAAGAGUUUGAUCAUUCAACUACCUUAUUCUCAUUUGAUUCUUCGACGCAUUUUAUUUAAUUUGUUUCAUUACUACAUUGUUUAACUUUAUUCUCUCACAAUUAUCAAUUUCAAUAGUAACCAACUUUACAUUUGUUAAUUUAGGAAUUAAGUUAGAUUACACUAUCAUGAUUGCUGUAGCAUUUCUAGUAAUAUCAAUCCUUGUGAAGACGAUCUUAAAUAUUCAUCACUUUAUUACUUGUUCUGUACACUUGCACAUUGACAUAAAUAAAAUUUGAUAAAAAAUACCAACAAUGAGAUAGGGGUAAACUUCAGGAUGUGCUGCGCUUUUUAAUUGUUGUGUAGAUUCUUUUGAUUCCUAUCUCUAGUGGAGAACCAGAUGUGAUUUUGUGAGACCUUUCUCCUGAUGGUAGUUUUUCUUUGAGGACUGCUUCAAAUAUUGUGCAUUGGACAAUGCCAAGUGAUGAGGCUUUUUUUGUUAUUUGACAGCGACAUCUUUUCCUGGAUAUCUUUUUUUCUCUAGAGGUUGUGACACAAAUUCUUGACCACAGAUGAUGCCUCGUGUUCGGGGGAUUUCUGCAUAGUUUCUUAGUAUCUUUGUGGUCGGGCUUAUGAGACUUCUAGGUAUUUUCUUUCUUGGUUGCCCUCGAGUUAGGCCAGUUUGGGUCCAUUUUCUAUGUACUCUUGGUUUGCGCUAUGUUGCUUUUCUAUUCCCCCGCACUUUAUUUUUUAAUUGGUAGUGAUGUGCCCUUUCUUGGAGCCAUAUUCGAGUUCUUCUUCCUUGUUUCAUUUUGUGGCGAGUUUAGAAGGCCUGUAAUGCAUUGAAGUUUGACUCAAUGGCCUUUUUUGUUGAUGCUGUUAUUUAUUGGGCAAUGUUGGAUCUUAGGCUUGCUGGUUCUGCCUUUGGUCUUAAACCAUCCCAACUGUGAGGAGUUCUAGGUUCUCGAUUUGCAAAGUUCUUGAGAGUUGUUGUUUCAUCCAAGAGGCUGAUUCUUUUAGUUUUUUGGCAGUGGUCACCACCUGGGGCGGUGAAGCUGACUAUUGAUGGUUGCUUUAGGAGUAAUCCUAGGAUGGCUGCUUCAGAUAGUAUUUUACGUGAUGAUUAGGGUGUGGCUUUGGCUGCUUUUGGUUCCUUCCUUGGGCGCUCACUGAUCUUUCAUGCAGAAUUCAUGGCUGUUUUUUAGGGGUUAGAGUUGGUGCUCAGCUCCAUUAUUCUGUGCUUGACGUAGAGUUGGACUCAACCAUGGUGGCUUCUUGGAUUCUUUUCUAAGGCCUUGUUCAUAUGGACUAUACCUAUUCUUUGCAUCGGGUGUGUAGUUUGACAUUUUCUUCUACUUCGUGGUUAGUCAUGUGCUUCAGAAGGUUACUUCUACUGCUGAUUUCUUUGGCCUGCACUCUUCAAGGUCAUUUGUGUUUCUUGGGUUCUCAAGAUAUAUUUGCUAGCUUAUCUAAUAAUCUCUGUUUGGAUAUGUGGGUAAUUUCUCGUAUCAGGCAAUAGGAUUGCUUAUUUAUGUAUUCCAUUUUUUAUCUUGUAUUUUUCUCUUUUCCAUUCUUAUGUUCUUGCAAUUGCGGUUUUGAUUUAUAUUCACCUCCUUAUGUAUUUGAUUCAUUCUAUGAUUUAUAUGAAAGAUAGGAGUUCCACCUAACCCCACCUUUUUGUGGUUAAAAAAAAAAAGAUCAGGAAUUCAACCUAGAUCAUCAAGGUGAAACAUCAAAUAGGUUGUAAAUUUAACAUAUGAACGUAAAAGCUUAACAAAACAUUUGAAGUUGCUUGACAACAUAGAAAUACAAGCAAAAAGAGAUGCUAAACAACACAAAAUUUUGAUUGGGUGGGAGUAUUGUUCAUGCUAGCAUAAUAAUGAGGUGCUUGAGAAUACCUAAGACUUUCUUGAUAAAUAAUAUCAUCUAAAAGGUUAGGAAUCAUAGAUAAUUGUCCACGUAUGAACAAACCUAGCUCAAAAUGUGAAAUGUGUUAAGAUUUUCAAACAUUUAAAUCAAUAGUUAAUAAUUUCAGACAAAGGAUUCUUGGAGACCUUAAAGUUCACUGAUUCUAUCUUAUGGCUCAUUGUCUCUCUCAACAAUUUAAUUUCUAGAUUAUUUGGCUCCUAUCUAUUAAAAGACAACACCGUUACUAAAAUUAUAAAUUAUAACAGUUAAACCUAAACCUACGUCGUUUAGCAAUUUACGAAAGAAAAAAAUAUAACAAAAGCCAAUUGUUGGAGUAGCAACGUGCCAACGAGAAAACCUCAAGCCAUGUAAUAUCAUGUGUCAACAACUAAAGAAGAACAAACCACCACCCUCUAGGUCGUCGCUGCACUAACGCUGGGCCCGAUUUGAAUAGUUAGAAGUUGUAACAUUAAUUAGGGAAUGAGGGCAAAAUUUUGGACUUCGAUUUAAUAAAAUUGAUUUAAAUGAGUCCCAAUAGAAAUAUGAUUAUAAAUAUAUCAAUACAAUUAUGACAUGUUUAAAAGAAAAAAAUUAUUUUCACACAAAACAAAAAACACAACCCUUGGAUGUGGGAUGUGUCUAAAAAAUAAUAGGGUGGAAAUAUUAUCACCCUCAAAUUAGAUAUAUAAAUAUUUAAUGUUUUACUCUUAUAAUUUUAUAAUUGUUUUUUUAAAUAUUAGUAAGAGAAAGAUAGAAAUUAAUAUAUAGACAAAUCGAGUCCUUUAUUUUAUUAUUCAUAUCCAUAAAAAGUAACCACUAUGCUAGUCCCACGAACUUAGCAUAAGACGGUAAUUUAGAAAAAAGAAAAAAAAAGGAACGUUUUAGACACCAAAACAAAAGCAAAACAAGCACAAAGCGAGACAUACAAACAAAUUUUAUGCUACUGCAUAGGGGUGUUCGCGGAUCGGAUUUUAUGGAUAUGAUAUCAAUCCAUAUCCGAUCCAUGAUUUUGCAGAUUAUAAUUUUUCAAUCCAAUCCAAUACACAGAUUGAUAAAAUUCAAUCCAAAUCCAAUCCAUACAUCUGCGGAUCGGAUGCGGAUUUGACUCAAUCCAUAUGCAAUCCACCAUUUUGCGCAUUAGUUUUCGAAUUAAAAAUUUUUAGUUCUCUCCAACUAAUGAAAUAAAAAAAAUCUAAUAUAAAAAUAAUUUUGCUACUAAUUAAAUUUAAAAUUGAAUAAAAUUUAAAUAAAUUAAUUGUUUAAAUAAAGCUAAAAUAAUAUAUUUAAAGUUUUAAAAUAUAACACAUCGAGACUAAUUAUUCAAAUAAAGCUACAAUAAUACGUUCAAAGUUUCAAAAUAUAACACACAAAGCUUAAUUGUUCAAAUAAAGUUACAAUAAUACGUUAAUAUAACACCGAAAUUAAUUGUUCAAAUAAAGCCACAAUUAAUUGAAAAUGGCGAAGUUUUGGAAACCAAACACAGUUUGAUCCUUCACCAGGGCUGUUGUGCCUGUCGAAAAGUGGUGAUUACGGAGCCAUCCACGAUGGGAACCAGGAGAAGCCGUACGGGUGGCGAUUUUGAAGGUUGUGAUUGUGAAAUUGUUCAAUUGGAACCAAUGAAUGUGAAGUGGCUCGAUGGACUUGGGAAAGAAGAUGGCUUGCUCUCGCCAGAAUCGUGCAGCCGAUGUCCUUUAAAUCCGUGUCGAGAGUGUAUCCAACCAGUAUUAAGUGUUGUUAGUGUGUAUGACGGCGGGAAAGUUUAGGGUUUUUUGUUUGUAAAUUGGUUGUAACUUUACGUUAUGUUACUUUGCUUUUGCUAGUGCGUGUGACUUUGCUUUUAUUUUGUUUUACAAUUUUUACAAGUUAUAUUUGUAUAUUUGAUUAUUUAAUUAUUUUUCAUUUUAUAUUAUUAUUAGGUAAUGGCUAAGAUAUGUUAUAAUGUUUAGUAACUAUGUAAUGUCAUAUUUAUAAUUUUUUAAUUAUAUAUAUAUAUAUAUAUUUUGCGGAUUCAUGGAUUUCUGCGGAUUUACAGAAGUAAAUCCAUAUCUAAUCCAUCGACUGCGGAUUUUUAAAUUUUCAAUCCAUAUCCAAUCCACCAAUCCACGGAUCGGAUUUAUACGGAUCAGACGGAUUGAGGGGAUCGGAUUGGAUUCUGAACACCCCUACUACUGCAUUCAAGCAGAAGCCACCAAUUGUUCACGACGGCGUUUGAAAACAACCAACAUUUCAUCCUGAUUGGGAAGGUUUUCUUCAAUUAUAGGGACUUGCUUGAAAGUUUCAAGCCAGGCAUGCAAGCGAGGGAAUUUGUGUGAUACAAAUAUUUUAACUCCUACUACAUCUUCAAUGACUUGCAACCAAUAAACAAUUGAACCAAAUGCUAGGUCCACUAAGCCAAUAUUGUCUCCGUUGAAAAAUUUCUUCUCUCCCAAGCCAUGCUCUUCAACGUUUUGUAGCAUUUCCAAGGCUUCCUUCGCUGUGUUUUGUAGUUCUUGUCCAGUGCUACGAAACAUUUUCCAAAUGGCAACACCCUGCCACAAAUAUUUUUACAUCAGAUUUUAUCACCGACAUGAUUAAUUAAUAAUAUGUAUAUAAAAGCGAAAAAUCGUUAGACGAUAUGUACACGUGUCACAAUAUCCUUAAAUUAGAGGUUUAAUAAGUUAAUUAAGAGAGUUCAACCACUGAGUUGUAAAAUCUGUCAUUAGCUAGUAAAUUCACUUUUUCCCAAUGCUUCAAAAGUCAUCAAAUUCCCCGUGAAGUUAAAAACGGUUGUGUUAACUUUAACUUAUUACAACUUUUCAUAUUUUAGGAUAAAACAGUGAAGACACCAGAAAUUAACAGUUUAGAGAACGUUUAACAAAUAAAUAUGAAAAAGACCCCUGGGUGGCUGGGCUCGACUGGCUAUGAAUUCACUUUCACUUUGCGCCAUCACCCGAGUUCGAGUACAUAUAGAGAAUAAGAGUUGCUGUUUGGCGGGUGGAUUUUCUUAUCCUCGUCACCUCAUCUAGAUCUUAAAAUAAAUCAAUAAAUAAACAAAUUUGAAAAGAAUGAACUUAAUCAUAAACGUGUUUGCCAGAGUUGUGAGCGAACCUUGUCUUCAGCGAAUUUGAUCCAGAAUCAAGCAAGAGCCCUAUCAUAAGGAUUAUUUGGCAUCAAGGAGGGAUUCUGUGGCCACGUCUCUUCAAUGUAUUGUAGAAUAACCAUGGACUCACAAACUGGUUUUCCGCCAUGGACGAGCACUGGGAUCUUCUUGUGAACUGGAUUAUACUUCAAAAGCAAUGCACUUUUGUUUGAGAGAUCUUCGGAAACAAAUUCAUAUGGCACGCCUUUCAAUUUCAGAGCCCAAAUCGCCCUGUAAACAAAUGGACUCGGCAGGGCCCCAUGAAGCUUCACUGCAGCCAUGAUAAUUCUAAGAUUGAAUUUGAAUUAUCGGUUUUUCUGAUCGAUGUUGUGUAUGGCUGUUAACUCAUUACAUAUGUUUCUGAAUUUAUAGUGAUUUAUGGAAUGCACUUUCUUGAGCAGAAAGCUUCAAUUUUCCAUUAAUAAAACGAUUAAUGAUGAAUUCAAAGAACUAGUGCAAUGACUUUAAUUAAAUAUUUUUUUACGUUGUGUGCAACCGCUUUUUGAGGUUAAUAUAAAGGAUAUUAUUUUCUCCUGAUCAAAACUUUUAUAUAAAAAAAUAUAAUUAUGUAAUUGGUAGUUAUUAAGUAGAAAUAAAAUAAAAAAUAAAUUUUGACCGUAAAUAAAUAAAAGUUCAUAUAUGUUAUAAAGAUUUUUUAAAACUCAAAUAAGUGCACCCAAUUCCUAAUUUAAAACGCUAGCCAAUGAGAUCAAUAAUUUGGUCAACCAGUCAGAGAUAACCAUACAAUAAUUAAUCAAAAAUUUGCCAUUUGUUUUACAUUUAAGACCUUUGCGUCAUGCAUGAUGAUCAAUUGAUCAUGGAUCAAUUAGUCAACAAGACAUUUGCCUUUUGUGAAUGUGUUCACAUUGGACGCAAAUAUAAUUUGUUAUAAAAAAAUUGGACUAAAUUAUUUUUUAAUAUUUUUUUAAAAAUAAUACAUCUGAUCCUCGAGGGCCUGUUAUUUAGUUCGUGAAUCUUAUAACAGGACCCAUGAUUUAUUUAUUUUUUAAAUCUUAUGGGUCCCCUAUUAUUUAAUUUGUGGAAUUGACGGAGGUAACUUACAGUUUCAUUUUUGUAAUUUACAGCUUUCAAUAAAUUCAGAUAAUAUUAGGCGGUAAAAGUAGGCCAGGCUGGAGGAGUAGAUCUAUAAAAUUUGCAAGCACUUUGCACUGUCUGUUUGGUGCCCAGAAACACACAUAUUUAUCAUCCACUUUUUAUUUAACGCUGGGUUUUUUUCGACCCAUAAUAAUUUCUCUUUGCACAUCAACUUUUUAAUAAAAACUUUUAUUGUCAAUAAAUUGUUAGUAAUUACUUCACUAAUCCUCCUUUUUUUUUUGGGCCAAUUUCUCUUUCGCAACUGACAAAAUUUAAUUCACAUCAUGUGAUAGUAUGAUUGCAAAUAAAUUUGAAGUUAUCUCUCGAAAGUUGUUCACAUAUCUUGUGUAUAGAACUAAAGAACAAUAGCAAAACCACUAUCCUCUAGCCGAUCGCUGCUAUUAGGACGGCAAAAUUAGUUGUAAAUAUGUAAAUUUGUCUAAACCCAUCUACAAAAAUCUGUCCACUGCCAAUAAUUUUGUAGGUUGCGAAUAAGUUUGAUAUUUUAAAUUUAAGUUCGUUGCAGGUUACAGAUGGAUUUAGUAUUGAAAAAAAAUUGGCGGGUAUCUGCCGACUAGCAUUUUUUUAAUUAUUUAUGUUUUUAAUUUUAAUCACAAAGAUUGUCUUUAAAAAAUUAAUCAAAAAAUAUAGUAGUUAAAGUUAUUACUCUAAUCUUCCAAAUUCCUAAACCUAACCUAACUCAUGACAGUUGCACACCCUACUCCUUCAAGUAUGUAUGUAUGUAAAUGUAUACACACGCACACACACACAAAAUAAGCUUUUAAUAAGUAGAUUUAGUAUUUUUGAAGUUUAAUAUUAAUGAUAUGUUAAUUUAAUUAAAUUACUUUUGUUUGUUUCUCUUUAAUGACUUGAACUUAGUGAUUGCUGGCUAAGAUUUGAUUUUUAUUUAUCUAAUUAAUGGUCAAUAGUUGUCCAAAAUAUAUUUGUUAUUAUUAUUGACAAUACUUAUAUAUUGACUAAAAGAUAGAGUAAGGCAUUAAUUUUAGUAAUAAUUAUUUGCCUACAACAAAAAUAUUUUGUGUUAGAAUGAUAUAUUUUGUGUAUUUGUUUUAAUAUUGAAACUUUAAUUUCUCUUUUACAUUGAUGAAAUCUAAAGUUGAGUAGUUUAUGUAGAUUUUUUAGUCUGUUACUAUAAAGUUAUAUUUUGAAUUAUAUAAUUUAAAUUAUUAAAUAUAAUUUUUUAAUAUUUAUGAUUUUAAAUAUAAAAAUUUAUUAAAAAAAACUACUACAUGUUAUGGGUGGAUUUGCUAAUUAUUAAAAAUUAUAGCGAACGAACUAAAAAAAAAAGAAGCAACCGGUUACGGGCGAAUUUAAUAAUGGCAAACUCAUAAUAAGCGAUACCAUUACCAUCGGCAGCUUCUAUAACGCAGGGCCGGGGGCGGUCUUGAAUUGUUAGAAGUUGUAACAUUAAUUAGCAAACUUUUCAGCGGCAUCCCUGAAGUUUAGCAUAGAGUUAGAUAUAUCCCCUUGUUUUCAAAAUUAGUCUCUGAUUCCCAUGUUGUUUACUUUAUUAUUUUUUGUUUUCAUUUCAAUUGGAUUUAUAACUUCGUAAUGUUGCGCCUUGUAAAAUGUAUGCUUAAAACGCGUGCUUCUUAUUUUUUAUAUACUGCUAAGAGAAUUUGAGAAUAGAAAUAUAUAAAAUGGUGUCUCAUUUAUUAAUUAUUUAUAUCCUCUAAAUAGCACCUAACAUGCAGCUCACUUCAAUGGUAAAAUUAAUUAAACAAAAUAAAAAAAAGCAUUUUUAACACCAGUACAAAAACAUAACAAGUGUAAAAGAAGACUCAUUAACUUAUUUUAUGAUAUUAAAUUCACGCAGAUACCACCAAUGUUUCUCGACCAUGUUUGAAAGAGACCACCAACUCAUGCUGACUUGGAAGAUUUUCUUUAAGUAUAUAAGUGAAAGUUAUUACUCUAGUCUUCAAAAUUCUUAAACCUAAUCUAACUCAUUACAGCUGCAUGCCUUGCUCCUUUUAUUAUAUGUAUAUAUUUUAAGAUGAAUACAAUAACUUUUUAAUAAGAAGAAUUUUAUACUUUUCAAGCUUAAUAUUAACGAUAUUUUAUUUUAUUUUAAUUACUUUGAAUUGUUUUGGUUUAAUGACUUGAACAUAUUGAUUGUUUGCUAAAGUUGAAUUUUUAUUUGUCUAAUUAAUUGACGAUAGCAAUUGUAUAAAAUUUACUUAAAAAGAUAAAAUCUUAGUAGAUUACAGAAAGAUUUAGUAAUGACAAACAUGUAGCAGCCAAUACACAUUACCAUCCCCAACGGCUGUAAUAUGGCCAUGGGCAGUCUUAAUUGUUAGAAGGUGCAAAAUUAAUUAGUAAAAUGUUCAGCGGUAUCCUUGAAUUUUAGCAUAGAAUUAGAUAUAUCCCCUAGUUUUCAAAAUUUGUUUUUGAUUCCCCUAUUGUUUAAUUUAUAUAUAUAUAUAUAUAUUUAUUUCACUUGGAUAUAUAACUUUGUAAUGUUGCGCCAUAUAAAAUGUAUGCUUAAAAUGCAUGCUUAUUACUUUUUAUAUGUUGUUAAGAGAAAUUGAGAAUAGAAAUAUGUAAAAUGGAGUUUCAUUUAUUAAUUAUUUAUAUCCAUUAAAUAGCACCCAACGUGCAGUUCGUCUCAAUAGUAAAAUUAAUUAAACAAAGCAGAAAGAUUUGCUUUAGCAUCAGUAAAAAAAAAAAAAAAAGCACAAAGCGAGAAUCACAAACUUAUUUUAUGAUAUUACAUUCACGCAGAUGUCACCAAUAUUUCCCGAUGACGUUUGAAAGCGAUCACCAUCUCAUGCUGAUUUGGAAGAUUUUCUUCAAUUACAGAGACUUUCCUGAAAUUUUCAAACCACUUAUGCAAGCUUGGGAAUUUGUGAGAUUCAAAUAGUUUCAUUGUUAUAGUGCAAUUUAUGCACUAGUUUUGCAUUGUUUACUUCCCUUAAUAUCGAUGUUUUGCACUUAAUAAUAGUGAUUUACUUGUGUUUUACUUUUGUAGGUGCAAUUCUAUUGAUUUGUGAUAAAAUUGAGCUAUAAGAUGAUGUUUAAAGAUGAUUGUUCUCUUGGAGAAAUUUAGGGCGUCAGAAGAACUUUGUUGACAAGGCGUGGGCGCGUACUGUCAACUGCGGACCUGCAAUUUUUAGUUUAACGUGUUUUGUAUUUUUGGUUAUUUUUGUAAUUAUGAAUUUAAUAUUUCAGAUAUUAGUAUUUUAUUUUAAAUAGAACUCUAAAAGAGAAAAGAGAGAGAGUAUUUAAGGGAGGAAUCUAUUGUGAAAACGAAGAGAUUGGGGGAAAAAGAAAGAAACCCUAGAUCUAAACUUUUCUCUUCUCUCUAUGAAGAACUAAACUUAUUUUUCUGGUUGAAGGUUAAUAAAGCUUUGAUUCAUCACUACUGCGAGAUCUUUCUUAUGCUUUAAUUGUUUUAUUACUUUUUGGGUAUUUUUUUUAUUUUCUGAAUUAUUAUUAUGAUUAUGUUUGUUAAUUAGAUAAUUGGCCACUAUUUAAAUAUCAACUUAAUCUAUUGUCAAUUAAAUGAUUUAUCGUAUGAAGAUUUUAAUGUUUGUGACAAAUAACAUAGCAGAGAGUUGUGUUGUGAGAAUAAACAAUCUAAUUUAAAUGAACCAUCGUAUGUGUUUGUUGAUUAGGAUUUGGGUCUCUCUGGUUUUUCAGGCUGUCAAUUGAUUAAAUCCUAUGAUCGUAUCUAGGGUUGUCUAUUGAUUAGGGAAAUAACCAACGGUCGUACCUUGGUUAUCGACUAGUUAAGGAGAGAUUGGCUAUUAGAGGGUCUCAGUAGCUAUAACCGGUCUAUUCAUAAGAAAUAAUAAUUUAUAUUUGAAUCAAUGAUCAGUAGUCGAAUCAAGCUGAGUUAAUUCCUUCAACCAGAGCUUUCUCCAAUUUGAAUUACAACUUUAAUUUGCAUUCUUGUUAUUUUAAUUUGAUUUUUAUUAUUGUCAACAAAACCCCCAUUUUAUGUUUUACGUUUCAAAAGGAUUUAAAUAAUUACCGAUCUCUGUGGACACGACCCUAUUCAAUCACUGUACACAAUUUAUUUAGAGUAAGUAUUUAUUUUUGUUGGCUUCGACAACCAUAAAAUUUUGGCGCCGUUGCUGGGGAUUGGUGUCAUUUAUUUAAUCCUUUUUACGUUUUACUUGGUGUAUGGUUCGUUCUUCUCGUACAGGUACACUUUCGUUUGAUCCUGAAAUUGAGAAGACAGCUCGCCAGCUAAGACAGCAGACGAAGCUAGCUAAGUAACGAUCCUCGUCGCCUUUGAUUUCUGAAACAGAUACGGUGCCUGAUUUGGUUGAAUCAUCUAGCGAUUCAGAAGAACAAGUGAUGGAUAGAUUUGCACCUGUAGAAAGAACUCUUAGAGAGUUAGUUGAACCAGACUUGAAUCAGCAGCCACUCUGCAUUCAAUAUGUAGACUUAGAGGUAAAUUUUGAAUUAAAGUCUGGUCUCAUUCAUUUAUUACCCAAGUUUUAUGGUUUUGCAGGUGAAGAUCCUCAUAAACAUUUCAAGGAGUUUCAUGUUGUAUGUUCAAGUAUGAGACCACAAGGCGUGACUGAAGAGCAGAUUAAGCUGCGUGCUUUUCCUUUCUCUUUAGAUGACUAGCUAAAGACUGGUUGUACUACUUGCCUCCUGGAUCGAUUACAACGUGGAAUGGUUUGAACAAGCAGUUCCUUGAGAAGUACUUUCCUGCUUCAAGAGCUGCCAACAUCAGAAAAGAUAUUUGUGGGAUCAGACAACUUCCUGGGGAGACUUUGUAUGAGUAUUGAGAGCAAUUCAAACAAUUGUGUGCCAGCUGUCCUCAGCAUCAGAUUUCUGAUCAACUUCUUAUUCAGUAUGUUUACGAAAGACUAUCAUUAAUGGAGAGGAGUAUGAUAGAUGCUGCUAGUGGAGGCGUGUUGGUGAACAAGACCCCUACUCAAGCAAGGGAGUUGAUCUCAAAUAUGGCUGCCAAUGCACAACAAUUUGGCAGUAGGCAAGAUCCCACUUCAAGGAAGGUGAAUGAGGUAAAUAUUUCUUCUGUUAAACAACGUUUAGAUAAACUUACUUCUUUUGUGGAAAAGUUUGUUGUAGGUAAUGUGCAAUAGGUAAAGACUUGUGGCAUCUGUUACAAUAUGGGUCAUUCAACUGAUAUGUGUCCUACGCUUCAAGAAGAACCCGUUGAACAAGCCAAUGCAGUUGGAGGAUUUCCAGGCAUGCCUCAGAGGAGGUAUGAUCCUUAUACACAAACAUACAAUCCGGGGCGGAAGGAUCAUCCCAACUUCAGCUAUGGAGUUAGGCCGUCAGGAUUCCCAUAACAGUAUCCACCAAGAUAACUAGCACCUCCACAGUCAAACUCCAAGUCAGGUAUAUCUCUUGAAGAAAUUGUUAAAUCACUUGCGACUAACGCUCAACAAUUUCAACAGGCAACUACAACAAGCAUUCAGAAUUUGGAGAGCCAAGUGAGUCAAUUGGCAACUACGAUGAGCCGUCUAGAGUCUCAAGUAUUAGAGAGAUUGCCUUUACAAUCUGAGGUGAAUCCCAAGCAAAACGCUAGUGCCGUCAUCCUUAGAAGUGGGAAUGAGUUGUAAGAGCUUAGUAAGAAAGUGACAGAGCAUGUAGAACCUGAGCUUGAAAAGAAUGAAUUGAUGCCUAAAUCUCAAUAUACGCAACCCACCAGAGCGAAACCCCUACCUAUUGUGAUACCUCCUCAUUUUCCAAGCCGGUUUGCAAAAUCUAAGAAGGAGGAACAAGUGAAAGACAUCCAUGAGACAUUUCGCAAGGUUGAGGUAAAUAUUCCCUUAUUAGAUGCUAUAAAACAAAUACCUUGAUAUGCUAAAUUCCUUAAGGAACUGUGCACCUCUAAGAGAAAAUUAAGAGGAAAUGAAAGAGUUCACAUGGGGGAGAAUGUUUCAGCAGUUCUCCUAAGUGCAAGGAUCUAGGUAUGUUUACUAUCCCUAGCAAAAUUGGUAGUGUUAGAGUUGAGAAGGCUAUGUUAGAUCUAGGAGCUUCUAUUAAUGUCAUGCCUCGUUCUAUUUGUUCGUAUUUGAAUGUUGGUGCAUUAAAAGAAACUGGCGUGAUAAUUCAAUUAGCUGAUAGGUCUAAUGCAUAUCCUGAUGGGGUAUUAAAAGAUGUCUUAAUACAAGUUAAUGAGUUAGUUUUUCCUGCUGAUUUUUAUGUACUUGAUAUGGAAGAGGAUAACUCCUCUAAUUCUGUCCCAAUUUUGCUAGGAAGACCUUUUCUUAAGACUGCUAGAACUAAAAUGGAUGUACAUAAAGGGACUCUUACUAUAGAGUUUGAUGAAGAGGUUAUAGAGUUCAAUAUGUAUGAUGCCAUGAAAUAUCCCAGUGAGGAACAUUCGGUAUUUUCUAUGGAUGUUAUUAACCCUAUAGUGCAGGAAGUUUUUUAUUUGGAUGUUAAAGAUUCAUUGGUAGCUGCUUUAAAUAACAGUUUGGACCUCAAAGGAUUGCAAAAGGAUGAAAAUGAGUUUGUUUUAAAUUUUGUAUUGCAAGAGAUAAUUUAUUAAUUAAAUUCUUUGAGAACUUUAACUCAUCAUAUGUCUAAUAUUGAAUUACCUUAAUCUCAUGCAAAACUUCUUCCAUCUAUUUUGCAGGCACCGAAAAUAGAGCUUAAACCAUUGCCGAGUCAUCUAAAGUACAUGUUUCUAGGAGAUGAUGAGACACUUCCGGUGAUCAUCUCUUCAAAGCUUAGUACUUUAGAGGAAGAGAAACUUAUUAGAGUGCUGAAGGAUUACAAAAAGGCUAUUGGGUGGACAAUUGCAGAUAUUAAAGGGAUAAGUCCGUCCACGUGCAUGCAUAGAAUACUGCUGGAGGAAGAUGCCAAACCUUCAAUUCAAGCUCAACGUCAUUUGAAUCCACUCAUGAUGGAAGUAGUGAAGAAAUAAAUUCUAAAACUUCUUGAGGCAGGUAUAAUCUAUCCAAUUUCAGAUAGCAAAUGGGUAAGUCCGGUACAAGUGGUACCGAAGAAAGCUGGUAUAACAAUUGUUGAGAAUUCUUAUAGUGAGUUAGUACCUACCCGAGUUUAGAAUGGGUGGAGGGUUUGUAUUGAUUUUAGAAAGCUUAAUUCACUCAGUAGGAAGGAUAAUUUUCCUAUUCCUUUUAUUGAUCAGAUGCUUGAAAGGUUGGCAGGAAAAUCUCACUUUUGUUGUCUUGAUGGCUAUUUAGGUUUUCAUCAGAUACCAGUUGCGCCUGAGGAUCAGGAGAAGACUACCUUCACAUGUCCUUUUGGAACCUUUGCGUACCGACGUAUGCCAUUUGGUCUUUGUAACGCUCUCGCCACUUUUCAAAGGUGCAUGGUCAGUAUUUUUUCAGACUAUGUAGAAAACACUAUAGAGGUAUUUAUGGACGAUUUUACGAUCUAUGCUGAUUCUUUCGAUGAUUGUCUCUAUAAUCUGAAGAAAGUACUUGAAAGAUGCAUUGAAACAAACCUUGUCUUAAAUUAUGAAAAAUGUCAUUUUAUGGUAGAUCAAGGCAUUAUUUUGGGUCAUGUAGUCUCUGCUAGAGGCAUUGCGAUAGAUAAAGCUAAGAUAGAUGUUAUUAAAUCUUUACCUUAUCCCACAUGUGUGCGGGAAGUUCGUUCUUUCCUUGGUCACGCAGGUUUCUAUAGACGAUUUAUCAAUGAUUUUUUAAAGAUAGCUUAGCCUUUAUGCAAGCUUCUUCAGAAAGAUGUGACGUUUGAUUUUAAUGAAGCAUGCAAGGUAGCCUUUGAUAAGCUCAAAGAGUUAUUGACUUCAGCUCCAAUUAUACAGCCACCCGACUGGAGCCUCCCUUUUGAGAUAAUGUGCGACGCCAGUAAUUAUGCUGUUGGUGCUGUUCUCGGACAAAGGGUUGGAAGAGCUGCUCACGUGAUAUAUUACACAUCAAGAACACUUGAUAGUGCUCAGUGUAAUUACUCAACAACGGAAAAAGAACUUUUAGCUAUUGUUUUUGCUUUAAAAAAAUUCCGCUCAUAUUUGUUGGGUACUAAAGUGAUUUUUUUUUUCUGACCAUGCAGCUCUCAGAUAUUUACUCGCCAAGAUGGAAGCGAAACCGAGACUUAUCCGCUGGAUCCUACUACUUCAAGAGUUCAACUUGGAGAUCCGUAACAAGAAAGGAACAGAAAACUUAGUUGCAGACCACCUUAGUAGAUUUACCACGUGUGAAGAAGCAACACCUUUGAAGGAUGAUUUUCCAGAUGAGCAUCUCUUUGUAACUAAAGGUAUGGUUCCUUGGUAUGCUGACAUUGUCAAUUACUUAGUUACAAGAACACUACCUAGUGAUCUGACGAGGUCUCAAAAAGAUAAAAUUAAGAACGAUGCUAAAUACUAUGUUUGGGAUGACCUUUACUUGUGGAAACAUUGCUCUGACCAAGUCAUCAAAAGGUGUGUGUCUGAGUUUGAAAUUCCUUCUAUUCUUCAGUUUUGUCACUCAUAUGCAUGUGGUGGUCAUUUUGGUCCUAAAAGGAUAGCAUCCAAUGUGUUAGAAUGUGGUUUAUUUUGGCCUACUUUAUUUCGUGAUUCAUACAUAUUUUGUAAGUCGUGUGAGAAUUGUCAAAAGACUGGUAAUUUAAGUCAUAGAAAUCAAAUGCCACUUACCCCUAUUCUUGUGUGAAAUAUUCGAUGUGUGGGACAUUGAUUUUAUGGGACCUUUUCCUUCAUCUGUUGGCAAUGCUUACAUUCUUUUAGCAGUGGAUUACGUUUCUAAGUGGGUAGAGGCUAAGGCCACCCGGACUGACAAUGCUAAAGUUGUUGUAGAUUUUGUCAAGUAUAAUAUUUUAGCCAAGUUUGGUGUACCAAGAGCGGUGAUAAGUGAUAGAGGCACUCAUUUCUGUAAUUGAGUGGUGGAGGUUUUGUUCAAAAGAUAUCAUGUUACUCACCGAGUGUCUACCGCCUAUCAUCCACAGACAAGUGGACAAGCUGAGAUAUCAAACAGAGAAAUCAAGUUUAUUCUUGAAAAGACAGUUAGUCUAAAUCAAAAGGAUUGGAGUUUGCAAUUAGAUGAUGCAUUAUGGGCGUAUCGCACCACAAUUAUUGUAACAAUGCCGAAGAGGAAAGCAUUAACUUCCAAGUCAUCUAAAAAGACACCCGUCGCAAAAAAAUCCAAGAUUGCCGCUCCCACUACGGUUCCAUGGAACACAGUUUCAGAUUUACGCCAAGCCGUAAGACAAAGAUCGAAACAUGGAAAAGGCAUGAGUGUUUUGCCACUUGCGGAAUCCAAUCUCGGAGGGUGCCUCGCAUUCGCGACUCAACAAGAGAAAAAGAGGUACAAAGAUAUUUCCAUGCGCAAAAUACUUCCAGCUAAGUAUAUUCAUUACCCGACUCUUGAAAAAUUGAAUGUUAAGGAUAAUUUUGAUUCUUUGAUAGAUAAGAUUGGGUUGCGUAAGUUUGUUGAUGUUGAUUGUUUGGGUUAUGUUGAGUUGAUUAGGGAGUUUUAUGCGACUUUUCAAUUUAAUAUACCGAAUGAUUUUACUUUGCAUAUCCCGGAUGUCAUAAAGUUUAGGUUAAUAGGACGAAAUUUUUCACACUCUAUCACGGAUUUUAACCUAGCUUUAGGAUUCAUUGAUGAUGAUUAUUCUUUUAGUGAUGCAUAUUUAGGAACAACUUGUGACUUUAGCGAAAAUUUUGAGCCUUAUGGUCUUUAGCGUAAUUUAUUUGUUGAUCACAAUGCCUAUGACCCGAGUAAAUCAAAGAGUUCUUUCUUACGUGAUCCUGUUUUGAAAUGUGUGCAUCGAUUCUUAGCAUAUAAUUUUUUAGGAAAGAAAGAUCACUUAGUAGUUUUCUCUAAAACUGAAUUUUAUUUUAUCUGGUGCAUGUUAAAUGAUGUGAGGCCUAAUUUAGGUUUUUGGUUAGCGGAUCAAUUUCAAAGUGUGCUUAAACGGUAUAGGACUUUAUUUCUUGGUCCAUACAUUACUCUGUUAGCUAUAAACCUAUGUGUGCUUGAUCCUAACAAUAAUGAUUUGCAUCCUGCUUGCAAAAAGGAAUUUUUGGAUAUGUCUGUGUUUGAAAAAACAGGUGUGGUCGAAUUCAAGGAGGGGAGAUUUCAGUUUACUGAACCAGGACCCACUCAACCUCCAAAGAAGCUUUAUGCUAGGAGUGGUGCUACCUCUGAUGACGAGUUUGACGACGACACUGCUGCCCUGCCAACUAUUCAUUCUACAUCAGCACCACCUUUGAGCAUUCAGUUAGAGAAAAUGAAGCACAAGCUAAACAAGAUGGAGCAGAAUUUGGCCGCAUACUUCGAGAGUGUGGGAUUUAUCUCACCAUUUCCGCCAAGCCCAUAGAUGUUAUGUGGAUCAAAGUUCACAAUUCAGGGAAGUUUUUUUUUGCCUUUAAUCUUUUAUCUUUACGCUUUAAUUUUUAUGUGAGCUUUGAUUAUCUUACAUUAGGGACAAUGUAAGUUCUUGGUGUGGGGGAGGGAUUUUUGCAUUAUUGAUGUCUGGAAAUAUUAUUUUCACUCUACUCAUCUAUUUUCACUCUACUCAUCCUUAAAUGAGUUUGGAGUUAGUAUGUUUCAUAUAAUAUUAUUUUUCUUUUGUUUUCUUUCUCACUACUCUUUUUCCAUCUAUCUCAAAUUAUUUACAUCUAUUUUUUUUAUUCUAUCAUACUCUUUCACACUAACAUUUUAUCUUCCACUUUUUAUAUUACUACAUACAUCUUUCUCACUUCUUAUCAUUUUUACCUUUCCUUUUAUAUAUCACUCAUACCUUCUUCUCAUUCUAAACCACUAUUGAUGGUUGAUUCAUUUGAAAAGUGUACAUGAUUUGAUGGCAAAUUUACCAACUUUGUGAGGAUUUUAGCCUAUGAGCAACCACUUUGCUCUAAUAUUUUUGUUAUGUGAAUAUCAAUCUUAGUUUGUUUAUUCUAGAACUUGGUUUGUUAUGCAUGUUGAAGCCGUAUUACAGGAUUUUAUGCAUUAAAAUGAUAACGGCAAACCGUUUACAUUUUUCUAUUCUCGCAUUUUCUUUUUUUUUCUCUACCCGAAGACCUUUAUUUACUAUCUUUGUUUGAACCUUAACCAUUACCCAUCUAAUUCUCUCCGUCUACUUAACCAUGUUUCUUUUUUUUUGAGCUUCAAUUUAAGGAGAUUUUGGGACUCAUUGUGUGGAUAUAUUUUGUUGCUUUUUCUACCUUGUAUUAAAGUUUCUCAAUUAGAUCAACAAGCAUUAUACUUGAAUUAAAUUGUGCAAGGUUCGUUUCUUUUGUUUGAAAAAAAAAACAAAAAAGAAAAAGAAAAAGAAAAGAAAAAAGAAAAGGAAAAAGAAAAAAAGAGAAAAAUAAAAAUAAAAAAAAAUCAAAAAAAAGAAAAAAAUUGUUUACAUUCUUGGUGACUUGAGUAGAAAUAAGCAUUUUGAUAUCAUAAGUUCAUUCAAUGAAUUCAUUCUUCUCAUUUUGAUCUCUUUUUCUUUCGUAAACCUUUCUUUUUCAUUUAACCUAUUUAACCCUAUUACAACCUUUUUAAGACUCUUAGAUUUUUGCAUUUUAUUCAUGUUUUGUGGAUUGUGAUGUGAUAUAUGAGCAAGCUUAUGGUAAUAGCAUUCUUUGAUUUGAUUUGAAUGCAUAAAUGAUACCCUAAACACUUUGAGUGCAUGUAACUAUGGCCAAUGGGCCGUGCUGGCUGUCGGCCCACAAUGGCUCGUGGGCCGGCACGGCACGACCCACCAAUUUGGUGGGCCGUGCCCACCUUUUUUCCAGUUGAGCCCAGCACGGCCCACGGCACGAGCCCGCUCGUGUCGUGUCGUGGGCCAUGCCCAAAAAAAGCCCACCAACUUUUUUUUUUAGCGUGCUUAAAAAAGUCCAUGUGCCUAGCGUGCUUUAUUCAAGCCCACGUGCCUGACGUACUUUUUUAUGCCCACCAACAUAAUAAUAAUAAUAAUAUUCACAAUCAUAAUCAUAUUAAUUUUUAUUAAGAGAGCAAUUAACAUUUUAUUAUUAGUUUAUCACAAUUUCACAACUAUAUAUUUUAUUUCACAAUAAUCAAUCAUAAUUCAUAACACAACAAUACAUAAAUUUAAUUAAAUUUAAUUCCAUAGAUCAUAAUAAUAAUUAAUUAAAAUUAAAAAUACAAUCCUCGAAUAAUCAUUACAAUAAGUCAUAACUACGAAAUAUUAAUAUAACAAAUCAUAGGUCACAACUUACAAGUUACAACUAUAAAACACGAACUACGAUCAAUUGACGAAUAACAAGCACGAAAAAAACAUUUAUUAAUCACAACUAUGGAUACGGGAAACGAGCAAGGUUAAUUCUAUCUCGGCUGGUGGCGAGCUAAACAAUUUGACACGUGCCGACAUAAACCCAAGGUGCCGUGGCUGUUUGAAUAAAUAACUUCUCGAUGACAAUAGUUGCACCUCAAGAUCAUCCGCUUGUAAGGACGACGCAAACUAUUAUCUAUUAUUUCCUCCCUUACUGUAGUAAAAUUUUGAAAAAGCUCAUUUAGAAAACGACUUCUGGGCUGAUUUAGCCUAGCAUUUUGUUGAGGUCCAACUACAUUAACACCGUAUUCUUGAGGGUGUUGAGGUUCUUCUGCAUUCAUAUUAUGUUGCUGCGGAUUCAUAAUGAUUUUGGCUUUUAGAAUAUUGGAAAGUUUGAGGAAAAAGAAGAAGAAUAAGAAUUGUGAAGCAUCAUAGCAUAAUGGCGUGUAUAUAUAAUAUUAGAUAGUAAUAAAAAGACAAAAAUUAAUUUUAUUUACUUUGUCGGUGGGAGUAAAAAGAGUAAGUAAAAAAAUAUUUAGUGAAAUAUAAAUAUAGCCGUGAGGCAAGUGCUUGGUUGGCAUGUGGGAAACAAAUCUUAAAUUAUUUAAAAAUCUGCAAUUUGCACGUCUGCAUGUGCACUAUAUGACAAGCUGACAACUACCGUGUUGAAAAUUUGAGUUGAGAAUUUAAAUUCAAAGAAAUAAAGUACUCUACAUAAUGAAUGCAAGCUCCUCCCGUACUACUAGUUUGUUAUUAUAAUAUUAUCUUAUCAACACACUUGUGAUAGGAUUUAUUAACAUUGUGAUAGUUGCGUGAUUCUCUUGUAACAAUGAACCAUAAUUUUUUUUAAUUUAAUAUGUUGUUUUGAAAAAAAAUUAAUUACAAAAAUUAUUUUUAAAAAUAAAUAACAACGGUGCACUUAGAAAAUAAUUUUUUCUAAUUAUUAAAUAAUAAAAAAAUUCUAAAUUAAUUUUAUUACUCACCCAACGGAUAAAAAAAAUUUGAAUUAAUUCAAUUAAAAAAAUUCUGAAUUAAUUGAAUUACUCACCCAACGGACAAUUUUUUUUUUGAAUUAACAGUAAAAUUGAUAUGACUACUCAAUUUUACAGUAUAAGCAGUCGGACUCUGAUUAUCAAUUAAUGUUUUCUGAUUUUUAAUGACAAAAAAAAUUUAAAUCAAUUUCAUAUUUUCAUUACUCACCCAACGGACAAAAAAAAAACUGAAUUAAUUGAAUAAAAAAAAUUCUGCAUUAAUUGAAUUAAUAAUAAAGUUGAUAUGCCUUUCCAAAAAAAAAACAAUAAAGUUGAUAGACUUGACUAGUCAAUUUCACUUUCACAGCAUGGGCAUUCAUGACUCAACAAUUAGACUUAACUAGCUUACAGAAUUUGUAAGCUAUAGACUGCAGCAUCAGCCGUUGGAUGUGGAGUGAGAAACUAAACAAUAGACAAUCGAAUGGUGGGAAUGGGAUGACAGGAGACGUUUGUUACAGUCUUGCAGAAUCGGUACCAUAGAGUCAUAGACAGAUCCCUCAACAAUUAAUUUUUAAUAAUAAAAAAUUCUAAAUUAAAUCAAUUGCUCACCUUACAAUUCCAAGUUUCCAACGGACAAAAUGAAUGAUAAAAUGUAACUGUUUAAUUUGCUGCAGCCUUGCAGAGUUGCAGGAAGCUUUGCAGUUGUAGACUUGUAGGUUUGCAGCGUGUUUGUUCGUUUUUGACCGUUAAAAUGUUUACUUUUUUAUUUGCUCGUUUCUAACCGUUAAUAUGUUUACUUUUUUAUUCUAUUUAAACGAUUAAAUUAUUUUCGAAUUCAUCUCACAUUCUCACUUCUCAAUUUCUAAUUCUUUAUCUCCUCGUUAUCUCUCUUAUCUCAUCAAUCAUCUCUAGUCUCUGCUUGCCCAAUCUUCUUUACUACAAUUCCAGCGCCUUUAUUUACCAAAACACUAAUUAUAUAAAAUGUCUCACUCUCAUUUCGAGUUAGAUGAGAAUUUUAAUUUUGUUGAAGAGGGAGAGGAAGUUGCAAAUGAAGAAAUUGCUGCACCAGAAUUUGAUCCAAGUAAUAUAUUUAUUGUCCCACCUAAACGAUUGCCUCCUACUUCUCAAGCAAGUCAAAGUGGUUCUACUUCUUCAACUGCCUGUCCUACUACUACCUCCAAACGACAAAGAACAUCGAUUGUUUGGUCAUGUUUUACUUUGGAAAAACAUCAAAUCAAAAAAGGUGAAAUGGUGGAUCAAGCAGUGUGCAAAUAUUGUCAAUUUGCUUUAAGUGCCAAAAGCAAUGGUGGAACUAGACAUCUUAGACGACAUAUGGAAACUUGUCAGACAAAACACGAGCCACAAGACCCAACACAAACCCAACUCUCACAAUAUGGUUCUAGAUCUUCCGGUAUAACAUCAUUCAGAUAUUCACAACAGCACAUGCGAGAAGGAUUGGCUCGGUAUAUUGCUGCAGCAGAACAACCUUUAACAUUUUCAGAAGAUGAACGUCUAAUAAAUUUUUUGCAAAGGUAUGUUCAACCUCAACUUAAGAAAGUGCCUAGAAAUACAUUAAAACGUCAUUUAACUAAAAUUUUUCAUGACAUGAAAAAACUUUUAAUUAAUACUUUUAUCAAUUUUAAUGGUGUUAUUUCAAUUUCUUCUGAUUGUUGGACUGGUAUUAAUAUGGUUGGUUAUUUUUGUGUGACUUCGCACUCUAUACAUGAGAUUAAUGGUAAAUGGAGGUUGGAAAAAAAAUUGCUUGCAUUUCAUGAAUUAGAAUAUCCUCACACUGGUUCAGUAAUUUAUGCAGCUAUAAUGUCUGUUUUAAGAGAAUAUGAAAUUACUGAUAAAUUGUUUAGCAUAUCAUUUGAUAAUGCAUCUGCCAAUACAGUGGCAAUUGAUAUGUUUUUGUGGAAUAUUUCUACUCUCAUGCCUGCACGUGGUUCAAAAGUUUUUCAUUUGAGAUGUGUGUGUCAUAUUAUUAAUUUAAUUGUUCAAGCUGGUAUGACUCAUAUAAAUCAUUAUUUAGAAAAAAUUAGAGCAUCCAUUUUAUAUAUUAGAGCACCUUCAAGACGUCAAUAAUUUUUAGAGACAUUGAAAAUUUUUGGAUUGAAAAGGAGAAAAUUCAACCUUGACAUGAAAGUUCGUUGGAAUUCUACGUAUUUAAUGUUGCUUUCUUGUCAAAACUAUUCUGAAGCAAUUUCUAGUUUUUACAAUGAGAGAAUGAAUGAUAAAGAUUAUCAUAUCACUGAUUAUGAUUGGAAUGUUGCAUUUAAAUUUAUGAAUUUUUUAAAGGUAUUUUAUGAUGCUACUCUUGCAUGUUCUACUGUUUAUGAGCCUACUUCAUGUAGAGUGUUAAUGCACUUGUACAAUAUAAGUUAUACUUUUAAGACUUUUAGAGAGAAUAUUACGUUUAAAAAUAUUUGUGAUACCAUGGAGGAAAAUUUUCAAAAAUAUUGGAAAGAUAUUCCCCACCUAUUUAUUUUUGCAGUAGUGUUGGAUCCUACAAUCAAGGAAGUUGGUGCAAAACUUUUAGUUGAGGGUAUUAGUGAAAAUUUACAAACCGGACUUGAUACAAAUUUUGAUACAAUUAUGUCCUCUAUGCAUGAACUUUUUAAUUUUUAUCGAAAUAAAUUCGAAUUAAGCAAUACAUAUUCUAAUGUUCAACAAGCAUCGACUUCUUAUAAAAAUCCAGCUCACCUUUUGUUACUCAAAGGUAAGGGUGUUGCCUCUAGUAUUGAUACUAAUCGUAAUGAAUUACAAAGAUAUUGUUAUGCCAAUCUUGAAGAUUUAGCAACUCCUUCACAAUUUCAAAAUUUUGAUAUUUUAGAUUUUUGGAUGGGUAAGAUAUCUUUUUUCCCUAUAUUAUCCAUUAUGGCCCGUGAUCUACUAACCCCUCCAGCUUCAACUGUAGCAUCAGAAUCAGCUUUUAGUAUAGGUGGCAGAAUUCUAGAUGAACAUCGGUCAAGAUUGUCAUCAGAGACAUUAGACUCUUUGUUGUGUUUGAAAGAUUGGGAAGAUGCUGAACGCCGAGUGCAACAAGAUUGGCAAAAUGCUUUAAUUAAACAAAUUGAGAGUUUGAAUGUUGAUCAAGAUGAAGUGGAUCCAGAUUAUGCAGAGUACUGAACAUUGAAGCCACUUCCAAAUACUAGAAAAUUUUUUUUCUUGUAACUUUUUGAUACAAUUUUUAUUAGUGAGAAGGUUGUAAAUUUGCAAAUGAUAGAUGGUCCAGUAGGUGCCAACCUAGUUGGGAUGUACUGUUAACUGUAGUGAUGCAAAUUACACCUAAUUUUAUUUGAAUUACUAAUAUUAUAAUUGUACUUUAACUUCAUUUAAUGAAAAUGUAAUUUUUAUUUAUCAUAAUUUUUCUUGUGUAUAAAAUGGAAAAUAUUUCAUUCACAAAUGAAACGUAUCUCUAUUAAAUAUUAACUAAGUUAUGAUUUAAUAUUAAUAUGAAAAAUAUUUCAUAUAAAAAAUAUUUUAUUAUUAAUUUUGUAAAAAAAUUUAUUUUUUAUUUAUAAUUUAUAAAUUUAUUAUAUUUAUAAUCUUAUUUAUUAAAAUCAUGAUAUUUAGUUAUUUACUUAUUCAUUUAAUAAAUUAUAAACAUAAAUAAAUAAUUAAAUAAAUAUCAUAAAUAACAUUAUUCAUUUAAUAAAUAUCAUAAAUAAAAUUAUGAUAUUUAUAAUUUUAUUUAUUAAAAUCAUGAUAUUUGCUUAUUCAUUUAAUAAAUUAUAAACAUAAAAGAUUAGAAUAUUUAUUUAAACUAAGAUUUAAUAAUUUAAAUUAAUUUUUAAAAGUCUAUGCUAAAAAAUAUAUUAAAACAUUUAAUUUCAAGAUAUUGUACUUUAAUUUCAUAACAUUUUAUAUUUACUUUUUGUUAAAAAAAAUUACUUAGAUAUAUUUUGGCCCAAGUGCUAUUAAUGGCUCACGGGCCGCGUGCUAGCCCACUAAUGAACUGUGCUUAUUACGUGCUUUUUCGCGUGCCGUGCUUUGGCCCAUCUCUAAUCGUGCCGUGCUUUAAGGCCCGUGUGCCUAAAAUUCUAGGCCCGACACGGCCCACAUGCAUGCCGUGCCGUGCCUCGUGCCUCACCGAAACGUGCUCGUGUCGUGCCGUGCCACGUGCCGCCCGGCCCAUUGGCCAUCUUUAAGUGCAUGGAGUGAAGUCAAUGAGAGGGCUAUUAAAUCUUGUUGCACUUGAAUUUUGAAUGGAUCUUCUUGGUGGUUGAAGGUUUUUAUUCUAGCUUAUGAGAUUCUAUGCUUUAAAAUCCUUGCCUCUCAAAUGUUGAUUAACUUAAAUUCUUGAGGCAUGCUUGCUUAAAAUUGUUUUUGGAUGAGUUGAGAUGAGAAUUGAGUGGAAAUUUGGGAUUAGUCUUGAGUUAUAUGCUUGAGGACAAGCAUCAUCUUGGUGUGGGGGAAUUUGUUAGAGUGCAAUUUAUACACUAGUUUUGCAUUGUUUACUUCCCUUAAUAUCAAUGUUUUGCACUUAAUAAUAGUGAUUUACUUGUGUUUUACUUUUGUAGGUGCAAUUCUAUUGAUUUGUGAUAAAAAUGAGCUAUAAGAUGAUGUUUAAAGAUGAUUGUUCUCUUGGAGAAAUUUAGAGCGUCAGAAGAACUUUGUUGAUAAGGCGUGGGCGCGUGCUGUCAACUGCGGACUUGCAGUUUUUAGUUUAACGUGUUUUGUAUUUUUGGUUAUUUUUGUAAUUACGAAUUUAAUAUUUUAGAUAUUAGUAUUUUAUUUUAAAUAGAACUCUAAAAGAGAAGAGAGAAAGAGUAUUUAAGGGAGGAAUCUAUUGUGAAAACGGAGAGAUUGGGGGAAAAAGAAAGAAACCCUAGAUCUAAACUUUUCUCUUCUCUCUAUGAAGAGCUAAACUUAUUUUUCUGGUUGAAGGUUAAUAAAGCUUUGAUUCAUCAAUACUGCGAGAUCUUUCUUAUGCUUUCAUUGUUUUAUUACUUUUUAGGUAUUUGUUUAUUUUCUGAAUUAUAAUCAUGAUUAUGUUUGUUAAUUAGAUAAUUGACCACUAUUUAAAUAUCAACUUAAUCUAUUGUCAAUUAAAUGAUUCAUCGUAUGAAGAUUUUAAUGUUUGUGACAAAUAACAUAGCAGAGAGUUGUGUUGUGAGAAUAAACAAUUUAAUUUAAAUGAACUAUCGUAUAUGUUUGUUGAUUAGGAUUUGGGUCUCUCUGGUUUUUCAGGCUGUCAAUUGAUUAAAUCCUAUGAUCGUAUCUAGGGUUGUCUAUUGAUUAGGGAAAUAACCAAUGGUCGUACCUUGGUUAUCGACUAGUUAAUGAGAGAUUGACUAUUAGAGGGUCUCAGUAGCUAUAAUCUGUCUAUUAAUAAGUAAUAAUAAUUUAUAUUUGAAUCAAUGAUCAGUAGUCGAAUUAAGCUGAGUUAAUUCCUUUAACCAGAGCUUUCUCCAAUUUAAAUUACAACUUUAAUUUGCAUUCUUGUUAUUUUAAUUUGAUUUUUAUUAUUGUCAACAAAACCCCCAUUUUAUGUUUUACGUUUCAAAAGGAUUUAAAUAAUUACCGAUCUCUGUAGACACAACUCUGCUCAAUCACUAUACAAUUUAUUUAGAGUAAAUAUUUAUUUUUGUUGGCUUCGACAACCAUCAUUCACUCCCAUUACAUCUUCAAGGACCUGCAGCCAAUAAGCAAUGGCUCCAAAUGCUAGGUUCGCUAAGCCAAUAUCGUCUCCAUUGAAAAAUUUCUUCUCUCCUGGGCCAUGUUUUUCAACGGUUUGAAGCAUUUCCAAGGCUGCCUUCAUUGCAUUCUCCAGGUCUUGUCCAGUGCUGAAAAACAUUUUCCAAACAGCUACUCCCUGCCACAAGAUUUUAUAUCUAAUUCUUAUCACCACAUGAUUAACAAUAUAAACGAGGUAAAAAGAAAUUAGAUAAUAGGUACACACGCAUCAAAGUAUCUUUCAAAGCCUAGACGUUUCAAACUGUCAAAGUAUCUAGAAGAGUUUACCCACUAAUUUUUAGACUAAUUUAUUAUAACUUUUAGAGCUUAUUCAAGUAGAAUUUUUGUUAGUAAAAUUUAAUUGUUAAUGAAAAUUUUCAUUAAUUUUUUUAAAUAACUUUAAUAGACAAGUUUAUAAAGUAAAGUUAUGAAAUAAAUAAAUAAAAUAAUAUUAUAAAAUAAAUGAUGAACAUUUUAAACUAUUUAACUUUUUAAAAAAUCCUCAAACUUCUAUUUCCAAAAAAUUAAAUUUAAAUUUUUACUAGUAUAGGUAAAAGAAUUUAUUUAACCCCAAAAGUUCUUCUAAAAAUAAAACUAAACAAUAAUAAAAAUUUGAAAUGAGAUUUUUUGAUUAAAUAAACACUUAUUAGUAAUAAAUAAGUCAUAUCAAACAAAUACUUAAUGAUAUAAAAGGAAAAAUAUUAAAAAAAAAAUCCUCUUAUUGUUUUAGUAAAUUAUAAUUUUGCUUUCAUGUUUCGAAAGUCCUCAAAAUUCCCCCUAUCGCUAAAACAAUUAUAUUUUAAUAUUUUACCCUUGAUGCAGUAAAAUCCACGAUUAAUUAAGAAAAAUUUCUAAAGGUAAAAAAUUUAAAGUAAUUAACCGAAUUUUUUUGAUAAUUUUCUCUAAUGUAAAAUAAAAGGUUCAUUGAGCUUAGUCGGCCGUGAAUGCAUUUUGCACAUGCGAGGACAUUAGUUUGAGCAUUAAUAGUAGAUAAAAAUUAAUGUUUAGGGAGUCAUGUUUCUCAUAUACAAUGAAAAAUUAAAGUAUAUAAAGAAACCCGACAAGAUUAAUUAAAUUUAUAAACGUGUUAGCAAGAAAAGUUGUGAUGCGAACCUUGUCUUCGGCAAAUUUAAUCCAAAAACGAGCUUGAGCUCUAUCAUAAGGAUCACUUGGCAUCAACGAGGGAUUGUGUGGCCACAUCUCUUCAAUGUAUUCGAGAAUAACCAUGGACUCGAAAACUGGUUUUUCGCCAUGAACGAGCACUGGUAUUGUGAACUGGGUUAUACUUCAAAAGCGAAGCACUUUUGUUGUAGAGAUCUUCUUCAAUGUAUUCAUACGGGAUGCCUUUCAAUUUCAGAGCCCAUACUACCUUGUUGCUAAAUGGACUCGCCCAUCCCCCGUGGAGCUUCACUUCAGCCAUGUGUCUGAGAUCGAAUUUGAAUAUGUGUGUGGUUGUUUUGCUUAGCUGAUGAGUUAUUGCAUACGUACAUCUGAAUUUAUAAUGAUUAAUAUUGGAAUAUCGAGUGCGCUUGCUUGAGCAGGGAGCUUCAUAUCUCCAAUUUAUUUAAUAAAACGAUUCAAUUAAGUUGAAUUCAAUGAACUAAUGCUGCGACAUUUUAACAAUUCUGUUAUAUAUUCAACGAGAAGAGGUAUCGUAUUUGACGGGAAUCUCUUGAAACAGUGCUGAAUUAACAAGUAACCAAUGGUGGCUGUCACUUUAUCACAGUAUUUGCUUCAAGUUUUUUCCAUGAUGAUGGUUGGUCAUCUUGGUCAACUUGCUCUUUCUAGCACCGCCAUGGCCAUCUCUCUAGCUAGCGUCGCGUCCUUGUAAGUUCUAUAAUCCAUAUAUAGUUAUUUACAAUAUCAAGAUCAUGACACAAGCUUGUUUGUUCUUUCUUUUGAUAGGUAUUUGCAUCAUUGCAUGUGGGAUUUAAACAAACAGAUAUGCCAAAUUUCGGAUGUUAAAAAACGUGCAAUUAACUAAUACCCUGUUUGUAAAAAUGCCAUUAAUUUUUAAAGGACUUGAUUUACUCGUUUUUAAAAAAAAAAAAAAUUCUACAGCUAACUUGAAUUGUGUAAUAUUUUCUUUGAAACAGUUAGGAAUGGCAAGUGCUCUGGAAACAUUAUGUGGGCAAGCAUAUGGAGCUCAGCAAUAUCAAAGAAUUGGAACUCAAAUUUACACUGCAAUAUUUUGUUUAUUCUUAGUAUGUUUUCCGCUUUCCUUUCUAUGGAUUUACAUGGGAAGGCUGCUAGUUUUGGUAGGCCAAGACCCCCAGAUUUCACAUGAAGUAGGCAAGUUUAUAAUCUGGCUUCUUCCAGCUCUGUUUGCUUAUGCAGCAAUGCAGGCGCUUAUUCGAUAUUUUCAGUCUCAAAGUUUGAUCAUUCCCAUGUUCUUAAGCUCCUAUGCCGCUCUUUUUUUGCAUAUUCCCAUCUGUUGGGGUUUGGUAUUCAAGUCUGGACUAGGAAACCUUGGAGGAGCAUUGGCAAUUGGUAUAUCGUAUUGGUUGAAUGUAACUUUCUUGGCAAUUUACAUGAAGUUCUCCACUGCUUGUGCAGAAUCCAGGGCUCCAAUUUCAAUGGAGUUGUUCCGAGGAAUUGGAGAGUUCUUCCACUUUGCUAUCCCUCCUGCAGUAAUGGUUUGGUAUGUUAGUUAUCUUCUGGAGCUUCAUUUUCCCUUCUCAUAGACAUCGUAGACACGUCAUAAAUUUUCAUGCUUCUUUUGUUUAUAAUUUUGCAGCCUAGAAUGGUGGUCAUUUGAAUUGCUCAUUUUAAUGUCAGGGCUGCUGCCUAAUCCACAGCUUGAAACUUCAGUCCUAUCUGUAUGGUAUGUUGACAUAGACUUUGUAUGUGAAAGUUCUAUACAGAGAAGCACCUACCAAAGGAAAUAGAUUUUUUUUCUUUUUUUCUUUUUUUUCCCGACUGCUCAUUAUUUGUCAACUUCUCUGGGCAGUCUCAGUACUAUUCAAACCCUCUCUGCAAUCCCAUAUGGACUUGGUGCUGCAGCGAGGUUUGUUCAUAACAAUCACUUAAAUAAUAAUUGUUUUAUAUCAACUAAUUAGCAGAUUAACCAUUAUUUCCUUCUAUAGUACUAGAGUUUCAAAUGAACUAGGAGCUGGGAAUGUGCAAAGAGCCCGUGUAGCUGUCUAUGCUGUGGUCUUUAUGGCAGUCAUGGAGACUAUCAUAGUAAGUGCAUCUCUCUUUGCCAGCCGGCAUGUUUUUGGUUAUGUUUUCAGCAAUGAGGGACAAGUUGUGGAUUAUGUCACAACCAUGGCUCCUCUGGUUUGUUUGUCUGUCAUCAUGGAUAGCUUACAAGGACUCUUUUCAGGUUAAAUUAACUUCUUCAACUCUGUCAAUUGCUAAAUAGUUCUCUUUAAGUGGAAAUAAAAUUUUUCAGGUUUCUAAAUUCUUUUUAUUAUUUUUAAGGUGUUGCAAGAGGAUGUGGGUGGCAGAAUAUAGCUGCUUUUGUGAAUCUUGGGGCUUAUUAUUUGUGUGGAGUCCCAACUGCUGCCAUUUUGGGUUUCUGGUUAAAGUUUAGAGGAAGGGGCCUAUGGAUUGGGAAACAAGCUGGUGCUUUUACACAAACACUUCUGCUUGGCAUCAUAACAACAUUUACAGAUUGGGAAAAACAGGUCUGUUUCUCAACAUUUAAUCCCUUAAAAAUUAGAGAAGCUUAUUGGACUAUAUAUGUAAAUAUGUAGCAAUUUUUUUUUCCCAAUACGUAUCUGAUACCUUUUGACUGAAAGUUCAAGAUUAAAAUCACUCAGCUUGAUCUGAAAUGGUUAGUAUUAUCAUCUUCUGCAGAAAUGGUUUUGCUCAUUGAGAAAAUGAUAUUCAAUAACACAAAUGCAAACUCAUUUGAAAAUUUUGCCAUUGAGAAAAUGAUAUUCAAUAACAGACAUGCAAACUCAUUUGAAAAUUUGCUUUUUUGCAAGAAUUAUAACCAUUUUCUAGUUUGUUAAUUGUUGCAUCUUCUGUGUUUCUAAGGGGUUUCUCAUGUUGCAGGCAAGUAAAGCAAGGAAAAGAUUAUCAAAGGGAAGAUCUUUAGAAGAAAAUAGAAUAGUUUGUGAGUGAGCAGAGUCAAUCAAUGAGCUGAUAUAUACAUUUUCCAGUUGAAAGAGAUAAUCAUUGCUUGAGAAAAUGAGCUGAUCAUAUGUCAAUUGAUGGCCAAGAAGGUUCCCCAAUCUGAUCUACGGAGCAUGGCAUUUCAUAAAACUCUGUUUCUAGAGAAAAAAAAAAAAAUUAACAGCUUCUUAGGAUUGGAGCAUCAGGUGACUUAGUAUUUCCAGUAUGAAUGAAUUAUAAGAUAGAUGAUGCUGCAAAAAUGAAUAGAGAUAAAAUUAAGCAAGAGAAAAUGUUUGAAUGUUAUUAUUGAAACCUUUUCCAGUGAUUGUAGAGAUAAUUUUCUUUGUAUUGAAACUUUCAGCAUCUGAAAGAUAAGGAAAAUAUUAAAAGAAAAAAGAAAAUUCUUAAAUCUUUUCCAUGUCACUCCAGCAAAGUUGAAUUGUGAUUCUAAACCCUACACCAAAGUGUAAGGUGGCCUGUGGCCUAUAGGUAAUACACAAUUUGACAACCCCAUAUAUUUAGUAAUCUAGGUGGAUGCCAUUAAUUUUUUUUAAAAAUUUUUGUUCAUUUUUAAUGCAAACAACGCCUCUUUCAUUGAGACAUUGGAAUAUAUAAAGAUUUGUAUACUGAUUUUGGACCAUAAUUCACAAAUAAUGCGGCGCAUAUCUUUCUUUCAGUACUUCUUCAGGAGGAUAAGAUACAGACAUUGUUGUCUUUUUACCUGAAGCAAGUGCAUGCGCAUGAAUUGUUGUUGUCUGUUAAUCUGCUGCCACUUUGCUGCCAAAAAACUUGAAAAAUAAACCAGGAAAAUUUUCAAUAAGCAAAGCCAAACAACUAACCCCUGUUUUAAGUUAUUUUCCUAAGAAAACUUUUAAACACUCAAAUAAAGCACAUAAGUAAAGUAUUUCUGUCACAUUAGCUUUCGAGUGAGGUUUGAUUUACAUUUAUAUCAUAUAUACCAAGUGUUUUUUAUUCUUUUAAUUAAUGUAUAUCACAGCUUGGAAAUUCUAAAAAUUAAUCAUGCUUAAUCUUGAGCAACAAUAUCUGUAAUCAUCAUACGAGGUCAAAAGUGAGGAAAAAAAAGGAAAAGAAAAAGGAAAGAGUUAGUUUUAUGUAUAAAAGUGAAAGGAUCUGUUAUAGACUAUUUCUGUUGCAUGGUUUUCGGAGGCAUAGCAUUGUCCACAGCAUUUGGGCUUUGCUUCUGAUUCAAUGGCAUUUAGAAUUUGGUUUCAUCUGAGAUCAUAUAUAGCUUGAUCCUGAUAUCUUCCAUUUUGGAGGGAUUCAGUUAAAUUGAAGAAGUUUGAUGUUCCAGUUCAAAUUGGGAUUGCUGCAGAUAAUAUAUAUAAUUCUGUAGAGGUUUUCUAAUUUUUAUUUUUAGUAAUGUAUUCAUGUCCUGUCAUUCUUCUUUCUGCUUAAAUCCAAUUGCCCAUGUUGGAAUUUCUUUUCAGCUUUUGUAUUCUUUUUCCUUUUUGUUCAAUAAUGCUAUAGACGAUGCUCUACCAUUUAAAAGAUAUAAAUAACAAAUUUUAUAAAUUUUUACUUCGUCAAGGUGUGAAACCUUAUAAAAUUUAUAAAUUUAACUUAUGAACAGAGAAGCAUAAAAAAAAUGUUUGGAGUUGCUUAAUACCAUAGAAACAAAAGCAGAAAGAUAUGUUCAAGAACAAAACCCAAAAUUUUCAUCAAGUGGAGGAUCGAUCAUGCCAGCAUAAUAACAUAAUUACAUAAUGCUCGAAGAGCAUGCAUGACUUUCUCAAAAAAUAAUAUCACUUAAAUGAUCAAAAAACAGAAAUAAUUAAUUGAUUAUCCAUAUAUAUAAACAAGCCUAGCUCUCAAUGUGAAAUAUAUUAAAACAGCAACUAUAAGAUUUUCGGUGAUGAUAUUUCCACCCCAUAAAUUUUAUAAACCCACCCAUUUUUUAAAAAAAUUAUUAUAAUAAGUUCACAUUAUUUUUUAAAACAUUUAAAUUAAGAAGAAAUUAAAAAAUUAAUCAAUUAAAUCUAUAUUCAUUUCUUCUUCUUUUUUUAACUAUGUUUCUUUAUUAUAUUUCAUCAAUAAGGUUGCUUUAACAUAAAUUAAUAUGACUAUUUUACCGUUAUAAGGUAAAAGUACCAAAAUAUCACUUUAAUAAAAUUUUAUGCAAUUUUUUUUAUAUUUUAAUGAUAUAUAAGUAAUUGUUAGUACAAUUAUUAUUACUCCACUAAACUAACAAAAUAUAAUUAGGAUAGGGAUGGCAAAAAUCCCCACGGGGACGGGUACCCUCGGGGAUUUUUCCCAUUCGGGGAGGGUACGGGGAUAAUUUUAUACCCAAUUUUUUAUUCGGGGAGGGGACGGGGAAAAUUUUUUACCCAAUUUUUUAUUCGGGGAGGGGAUGGGGAUGAGGUGGAAUCCCCAUCCCCUACCCAUUUCCCCAUUUUAAUUUUUAAUUUUAAUUUUAUUUUUAAAAUUACUAAUAAAUAAAUAACAAAAUUAUAAAUAUUGUUAAAAAUAAUAAAUAUCAAAAUAUUUAUAUUAUUAAAUGCUAAUAGGUAUCCUACAUUAGCUCGAAUUGCUAGAGAUAUUUUGGCAAUUCCAAUUAUAACAGUUGGUUCUGAAUCAACUUUUAGCACCGGUGGUAGAGUUGUGAGCUCACACCAUAACAAACUUCAUCCAAGCACAUUGGAGGUCUUAAUGUGCUGUCAAAGUUGGUUACGAGCUUACAAUAGUAGUAUGAGUUUAUUUUACAUUAUAAUUAUAUUAUAUAAUUAUUAAUAUUUGCACUUAUAAGUUACUUUACUUAUAUCAUUUUCAUUGUUUUAGGUUUGAAAUCUGAGGCUAUCUCUCAAUUUGCCACAUUUCUCGAGGAAGAAUAGGAGGAGCAGGACGAGCAGGAGGUAAAUAGUUUUAUUAAAAAUAUUAAUUAAGUAUCUACAUUUAUUUCAUUUAUUUUAUUGCCGAUAUAAAAAUAAUUUUUUUUCUUUUUAUUGUAGGAUUAUGAAGAUUGAGUCAUUGACAAAGAUAAUUAUUUUAAUAAUUUAUAUUUUGAAUGUGACUUUGUAAUGGAUCAAUAUUAAUGUAAGAUAUGUUUUGAACUUUAUUUUUAUCUGAAUUUUUUAUUUUAAUAUGAUUAAUUUAAAAUUGAAAAUAAAAAAAUUUAUUAGACUAUUAGUUAUUCGGGGACCGGGGACCCUCGGGGAUCCCCUGUUAUUAUUCGGGGAGGGGAUGGGGAUUCUUUCAAAUAAUUCUGACGGGGACGGGGAGGGGACGGGGACAUACCAAAAUAUCGGGGAUGGGUAUGGGGAGAUUGGUCCCCUCCCCUCCCCUCCCCAUUGCCAUCCCUAAAUUAGGACAUGUGGUGGAAUGAAAAUAAUUAAAUUUUAUAUAAAAACCUACGCAAUUAGUUACAAUAAAAAAUAAAUAAAUAAAUAUAUAUAUAUAGUAAUUUGGUUAUUUUAUAUUAUAAGGGUAAAAUAGUCAAAUUAAAUUUAUCUUGGGGCAACCUUCAAAAGUUAAAGAUUGUUAAAAGCUGAAGGCCAAAAAAAAAAUUGAUUUAAUUAAUUAAUUAUUCAAAGCUUUUAUUAAUUUGUAAUUUUAUAAAAUAAUGUAAAUUUAUUGUAAUUAUUUUAUGGAGGUGGAGGGGGUUUAUAAAAAUAGUGGGGUGGAAAUAUUCACACCCUUCAAUUAAUAGUUAGGAUAAUUUUUAGAUACUUCCCCUAAUGUUUGGCUUUGCUACACUUUUAGAUCAUUUUGAGAGAGAAUGUAUCUAUAUAUUGACAAGAGUGAUGAUACAACUACAAAUUUUUAUACAAACGUAUCUUGUAUAAAUUGAUUUGUCAUUAAUUCAUUAAUUGAAUAAAAAUAUAUCAUGUGGGCCAAAAGAUAUUUAAUUCAAAUAAUUUUAUUAUAUCACAUUAAUUUAUAUAAAAUAAAUUUGUAUAAAAAUUUAUAACUAUAUUAUUAUCCUAUUGAUAAUAUACACCUUGGCCGUGUAUAAGGGUUAGGCACUGAUUAAGUAGUUGCAGUUUUUUUUUUUUUAAAUCUUACAAAAGCUAUUAUACUGUAACUAAUAAGCUAGUGAAACCCGAGGGGAUAGUAACCCAUUUUCAUUGUCAAUGCCUAGCUUCAUUUCUUUUUUUUUCUUUUUUUUCUCACUUGAUGAGUGCUUAGCUUCAUGUCGAAGGUCGUGACACCAACUGAUUUUAGCAAAAGCAGAGAUACUUUGUGAUGCAGUAAGCUAACAAGUUUCUGAAAUCAACUAUGUUUUGAACCAAAUUUCGGCGACGACCAGCAGCUGAAAAGCCGGUGAUUAAAGGGCACAGUAGGUGCGUAAUUCUAUCAAAGCUUAAAACUGAAGUUAGGUUUUAUUAUUUUCUUGCAUUUUGUUGAAAUUGCUGUUAGUUAGGUGCUUUAUUCUUUGUUCCCAUUAAUUGAGAAAAAUGUUUAGGGUUUAUAGAAAUUGAAGUAACGACCGAAUAUAUUUGAAUUGAUUUUUGAGUUGAUAGUCACUCGAAAUGUUGUGUAAACCAUGAAAAUGAUUUAUUUUUUGAUGAUUUUGGACUGUGGGGUUUUUUUUUUUUUUGAAUUACAUGAGACUAAUGCUCAGAUUACAACUCAUAUUAUAUGAGAUUUACAACUGAUAUUUACAAUCAGACAAUUACUGGGCCUAAUUUACAUUAAUUCUUAUAUAGCAUUGCUCAGAUUUUACCCUCUCUAAUAUUCGAGGGGUGUCUACUCCACUCACAUUUCGAAAGGGAGAAGACUGACUUCACUUAAUAAUUAAGGAAGGAAAUAAACCCCUACAUGCGUCGCGGGGGCUCGAACCGCUGCGCUCACAGUUGUGAGUACAGGGUCCUGGCCACUGGGCUAAAGCCCAGUUGGUUGACUGUGGGUUUUGAAUGCUUACUGAAAUUUGCUUGAUAUGUUCUUUAAAUUGAGAAAAAUCCAAGCUUCUUCUAAGAAUACAGAGGUGUUGCUGAGAAAAUGCUUAUGGUGUUGUUUUGUUUCUUUUUUUAUUUUACAAGUGGGCAGUUCAUGAACCAGUACAGUUGAGAAAGUGUCUUUUGGGACAUUCAUUUUAAUACACAGAUUAACAGAUUUAAUUACAUAAACACAAGACUUCAUUUGUUUAUCCAAGUAGUACUUCUGAUGCUUUCGUAUAAUGAAUGCCAAAGAGAUGACAUUUGCAAAAAGGCCAUUUGAAUGUACCAAUUGCUAUCCUUGUAAACCUCUAUUGUGAUUCUGUUAUCAUUAUAUGUUUAAUGAUCUGAUGAUUUCGAGAUAUCAAGAUGAGUUUAUGGUAGUACAUGUUCAUUUAGCUACUUUAGGUACUAAUACAUGCAUUUAUUGUAUAAUGCCUACUUAGCAGCCAUAACUACACUCAUUGUUGAAGCUACAGCAACACAAAUGAGAAAAAACAUGCUGAGGAACAACAUUGUCUUUAUAUCAUUGCAUUUUACUCCAUUUUGUUGUGCUUUUUGCAUCAGUGACUUCAAAUCCAUCAUAUCCUUUUGCAUACUCAUCAGCAGUUCAUAAUUUGCUUGACAUGUUCCUAAACCAUCAAAUAUAACACCUCGAUCGAUAUCAUUUGAGGAUGGCAUCCAAAACUUGAAAUAGCCACAACCAUUUUUGCUAUCCAUACAGCAAUAACAUAGCUUGUUUGGGUUGUCAUCUGAUUGCGCUACCUUCAUAGUAGCUCUUUUGUAGCAUUUACAAAUCUUGUUUGAAAAUCGAAUGAAUUUAAAAUAUUAUCAUUUAUUGUUUUUUUGUAGCAUUUACUAAUCUUCUGAUAUUCAGUAUUGUUUUUAUAUAAAUUAAUUUAAAAUAUUAUCAUUUCUUUAUCUUAUUAUGUGAUUUUACACUAUCAAAUUAUUUGUUUUAAGGGGCAUUUUGGUCUUUUCAACACUCAUUUGAGUUUUGUCUUAUUAUAAGAAUAUGUAAUGUCAACAGCAAUUAUCAUAAGAGUAUAAUGGCCUUUUCACUGCUCUACAAACCCCCCCCCCCCCAACCCCGCGGCCAAAAACAAUUUCGCCCCAAAUAUAAAGAUCAUCUACCGUGUCCAAUAAUUUUGGCAUUCAUUGAAAUAUGUACUAAAGGGCAUUAUUGUAUAUUCACUCAACUACCUAACGAGUGCCUAACCUUUAUACAUGGCCGGGGAGUAUAUUGUCAAUAUAUGGAUACAUUCUCUCUAAGUGUAUCUAAGCCAAACCUCAGGGGAGGUUUCUAAAAGUUUUCCUAAAUAGUUAAUAAUUUUGUACAACAGAUUCUUGGAUACGCCUCAAGUUCACUGAUUGUACGUUAUGGCUGACUUUCAAGAAAUUAAAUUCUACAUUAUGACCCCCAGUGAAACAUUGUCGCCGAUAAAAUUAUAAAAUAUAUGUGUAAUAGUAGUCAAACCUAAACCUACGUCGUUUAGCAAUUUACAAAAUGAGAAAGACGACAAAAGCCAGGUGUUGGACCGGCAACGAGCCAACGAGAUAAGCUCAAGUUCACUGUGUUUUUUAUGAACCCUCUGAAGACCCGAAACUCUGGGUUUGUUUUUUACGUUCCCUAACUGUUUGACUGCAUUUUUAUUCUUUGCUACGUUCGUUAUGAACUGUUCAGGCUAAGUGCUCGACGAAAUCCCUAAGUGAGUAUGUAUAAUGGUUUGCUCUUGUAUUUAUUCUGUUAUAGAAGGUUUUGCUUUGGGUGGUUAAAUGGAGGAGACUAGACAUUGAACUUUAUGCACUUGUAUGUUUUCAAGUAAUUGGUUGUUCAGGGACAUGUACUUUGAAUUGCUUCAUUCAUCUUCAGAGAUAUCAUAACAUUUUUUGCUUAGUGUGAGUCUUAUUGUUGUUAAUUUGUCCAAAGUGAAGGCUUUUUUAACUUUUAUUUCUUUGAUUUAUUUAUUUAUUGUUGUGUCGAAGUUCUGUGUCUCAACUUUUAUUUGAUAAGUUCUUUCAGACUACUAAUUAGAAGAAAAAAAUGCUAGAGAGUGAGUAUGAGAGGGAAUGAUGUUUGGGCAAGGGGUGAUUGGUUCACUUGGCUCAUGAAGAACCCCAACUAUAAUGGCAUGUAUCAAUUUCGCAGCCUAAUUGGCAGGUAAGCUCAUUUCUUGAUUUCCUUCAAUUUUCACUUUCAUUUUACUGUUUUCAAGUAGCAGGUAAUCUAAAUAAAAGUAAAAUCAGUAGUGAUUUGCUUCAAGUGCAUGUGGAUAGUAUAUCACAUGUGAGAAGAUUGUAUUUGUUAUAUGAAAAUCCUUAAUAACUUUAAUUAAAAAAUAUAUUCUCAAACCUGAUCGUGGAAUGUACUAUUUCUUAAUAUCUGAGUUUGGAUCAACACAUUUUUUGCCAUGCAAUUUGACAAGUUGUCAUGUCCUCAUUCUGCGCUAUUAUAAGUUUUGCCAAUCUGCAUAGGUGUUUUUAUAGAUUGAGUUAAUCUAGUUUCGAGAACAUGCCUUACUAAAGGGCGUCGAGUUUCUAAAUGAAGGCAAGUGCAACUAUAAUUAUCUAUUUCAUAUCCUCCCUGUUACCUCUAAAUUCUUUCAAUAACUUGGGGACGUUAAUCCUAUUAACGACAGCCACAUAUUAUAAGUCGAGAAAACUGAUUUUUUGAUUAUUGAAAAAUUAAAUUUUUUGUAUUAUUCUGUUGAUGAUCUCAGUAACCUACCUGUUGCGGUUGUCUUGUAUGGAUCAUUGUUUCUCUUUUAAGCUGUUAUAUUGACAAUUUUUAGCUCUUAUUGCAGAUCUUAAAGUCAUUGCAAGCACAUGCUCCAUUGAUCUCCAUAAAUUCAGAUACAUAUGUAUAGUUAGCUAUUCAAACAACCACACGGGUAUUCAACUUCAAUAUUCAGAAACAUGGCUGAAGUGAAGCUUCAUGGGGUAUGGGCGAGUACAUUUUGUUACAGAGUGAUAUGGGCUCUGAAAUUGAAAGGCAUAGCAUAUGAUUACAUUGAAGAAGAUCUCUCUAACAAAAGUGCUUUGCUUUUGAAGUAUAAUCCAGUUCACAAGAAGGUCCCAGUGCUUGUUCAUGACGAAAAAUCCGUUUGCGAGUCCAUUGUUAUCCUUGAAUACAUUGAAGAGAUGUGGCCAUACAAUCCCUCCUUGAUGCCAAGUGAUUAUCCUAUGAUAGAGCUCUGGCUCAUUUCUGGAUUAAAUUUGCCGAAGACAGGGUUCGCUUCAGAACUCUAGCUAAUGCGUUUAUAAGUUCAUUAUUUUCAUGUUUAUUUCUUAUUAGAGAAAAUGAUCAGUAUCCCCCAUUGUGUGUCAAAAUUAAUCAUUUCUUCUUUUAUGUUUUAAAACCUAUCAAAAUCUCCAUUGUUGUUAAAAAAAUUCUGUUAACUUUCAACUUUUUGUGUCUUUUACUAAUUUACCUCUGGAAAAAUUUUUAUUAUUAAGAAGUUGAAAGUUUAUUAGAAUUUUUUUAAUGGCAGGGGAAAUUUUGAUGGCUGUUGAAAUAUGAGGGAGAAAGGAAUUGAUUUACCAAAACAGCAUUGGGGUUUUGUUGUUCAUUUACCCUCUGUCAUUCGAUGUAGUGGUUAACCUUUGGUAUAAGGAUGCUUGACAAGGGUAUUUAGGUCCAAGUCUUUUAGCUCAUAUGUAUUAUUAAUCAUGUGGUGAUAUUUUGGCAGGGAGCUACUGUUUGGAAAAAGUUUCGUAGCGUACAAGAUCAAGAGAAUACAAUGAAAGAAAUCUUGGAAAUGCUAAAAACCGUUGAAGAACAUGGCUUAGGAGAGAAGAAAUUUUUUCAUGGAGACAAGAUUGGCUUAGUGGACAUAGCAUUUGCUUCUAUUGUUUAUUGGUUGCAAAUAAUUGAAGAUGUAGCAAGAGUGAAACUAUUUGAAUCUCACAAAUUCACUAGCUUACACGGCUGGUUUGAAAAUUUUAAAAGAGUCCGAGAAAUUGAAGAGAACCUUCCUAAUCGGGAUGAACUGUUGGUUUUUUUCAAACGUCGCCGUGAAAAGUUGGUGGCCUCAUCCUCAUUGCAUUAGCACAAAAUUUGUUCAUGCAAUUGUAUUGUUGUCAAGAGGCCGCUCUUUGCUUAGUUUUUUAUUGUCUUUUGUGCUCAAUUGGGAGGCCGCCGGUUUGCUGGGUACUUUCAUAUGGAUUUGAGUAAUAAAAGGGACUUGACUUUAUAUUUAUGAAUUAUUGCAUGUAUUUCGUUAAUUAUUAAUGGACUACUAGCGGUUAUGUAUUGUUUGGAAGGAAGUUUGAAUGCUACGAUGUACUAAUGACUUAAUGACAUGUGUCAAAAAAAAUCAGUUAAGUAAAGUCAACUCGAUUGAACGAAUGGUAAUAUAGCUCUCAAAAGUUAGAAAUAAGCUUCCUAUGGAAAAAGAUAGUUUCGGUAAUAUGUCUAACAUUAAAGGGUAUUAUCGAAACUUAAAUUUUAAUGGUUAGACCCAGUAUGUGAACAGUGUGCCAUUAUUUUUAGGGUUAUAUUUUGCUAAGAAUAACGAGCCAAUAGAACUUUAGAGAUUUUUUUCUAGAUCUAAUUUGUUGAGAGACUUCUUCAUCUUCUUCAUCCUCUAUUUUUAGGGUUUCUUUCUCCAUUUUAACACCACCAUGGAAAAUCUUAACCAUCUCAUCUCCAAAAGAAACCUCUUCCCUUACUCUUUUCUUGGAAAACUCUCUAAUUUGGGCCAGGCACCUAAAAUCUUGUGUGUUCUUUAUUGUUUAUGCUUAUUUUCUAUUUAUUAGGAUGAUGAUAAUGCUCAGAUCGUAUUUCAUAUAUGAGCUCACUAGAGGUAUACCACGAGCUCUAUUGGGUUCCCCAAAUAAGCUCUCUAGUUAAAGCUAUCCUUAAAUUCGCUAGAGCUACUCCCUAAACUCUCUUGACCUCCGCAAAUCAACUCUUGAAACUAAAUCCCAUGAGCUCCACAAAGCUUACCUCCCAACAGCAGAACAUCAAGCUUAUCUCAAUUCAUCUUCCAGAUCACCUCAGUUAUUUCUUUUGUCCCUAACAGUAGAAAAACACACUUAGAUUUUUACUAGCCCAAUCUCACCUCAAAUAUAAAUUUAUUUAUUUAAAUUGUCUUUGACCUAGAUCUAGUGAGGACAAUGAUUCAAAUCAGAUCCUAGAGGAAAUCCGGUCAAAACAUGUAUCUAUGUAUAAUAUUUAACAUCAUCCUAACGAUAAAUCCGAAUGCACUUGGAUUUGUUCUUAAUAGUACACAAAAGUAGAAAAAGCAUAGCAAGCAACACUUGCACACACGAGGCUCAAUACAAGUACGAACGUCACAAUUCCAAGCAACAAACAAUGAUCCAUCAGUACUAAUUUUUUCUGCAAGCCACCAAAUUGGAAAAUACCGCCAAGUAAUUAAUUAACCACUGUGACUUGCCAGCUUAAGCUAAUCCAAUGCUGAGAGUUCAUUAUUCUUCAAGGAUUGGUUAUUGUAAAUGUCUUUUAGAGUAAUUUCAGGAUAGAGCGGAGGAUUUACUUCUGAUAGCAACUCUUUAAUUGGACCAUAUCGUCUCGAGCAACUAUUAUUCAUGAAAACACUUCCGAUUGAAAUUCUGGAGCCUUCCUUAUUUGAUAACACUCUAUGAUAGGCACUCUUGAACUUAUCGUUGGUAAUCAGCUGCAUGAACACAAACAUGUUGGUAAUCAGCUGCAUAAACACACACUUCAUAUAAACGAUAAUUAAGUUAUCUGAUAGAGAUUCAUGCUCAGGUGUAGAUGUUCACAUGAAAUUUUGUGAGGACGAUUCUUUCACAGUAUUGUGAAAGUGUGUGUCCGCACAAGAUUUAGUGCGAAUGUCGCACCAGAGAAUUUUUGAUAGGUCCCGAUCAAAUACAGAAAAGCAAUGCCUGAUAUUUGUUCAGUUUAUGGUAUGAACAACCAGUAUUUGUUUAACUAAUUUAUUUAUUUUUUUUUGUUUAACUAAUUUUUUUUUUUGUUUAUUGAUAAUUCUUCUCCUUUUAUUCGCAGCGGAGAACUAAUUUAUAGUAGCUAACCUUACAAGUCUUUGAUUCCUAGCCAACAAUAUCAGCUAGAUUAUAGUAAAAUAAAACAAGAAGAAAUAUUUAAAGAUAACUUAGAGACCGAAUCCAAAUCAAACAUGACCACCACGCUUUGAUUCUCUUCCAAACAGGAAACGAAAAUUUUGACGUGGUAAUUCUCCUGCUCUCGUUUUGACACUCAAUAAACUCAUCCUGCACGUGAAACACGGUCUGCAUGAAGCCAUGCAUGGCUUGCAUGAGCACAGCUUGGUUCCUUAUCAAUACCCCCUCGUGGAAGAGGACCCUUGUCCUCAAGGGUCAGCAAAGGAAUUAUUGUUGUAGCAAUGCCGUAUCUUCCCAAGUUGUUCUCUUUUGUUUUCUUCACCAUGUAGUUCCUCUGCAACUUCUUCACAAGUGAUCUCGUUGGUGUCGUUGUAGCUCUCGAGAAGUAGAAGUUGAGGCCCUUGACAUUUAUGACCCGCAGUGAAUCGUUCGUUGCAAGUGAAACACAGUCCCUGAGCUCGUCGUCGUUGCAUUUCAUCCCACGGUAAUCUUUUGACAGGCACGGUUGGUGAUGCUUGAGUAGGUGGCAAUGUUGGCGGUGUGCGACUGGAGGGUGGCUGGAAUAAUCUCCGUUGGUGUGUUAUCUGGUCAUCUUUCAUACGAGCAAGGCUGAUGGCUUCCUUUAACGUACGUGGCCUGAACAUCCGUAUAUCCUCUGCAAUCUCCGGUUUCAAUCCUCCCAUGAAAGUUCCUACCAACGCUUUCUGUGACCACCCAUGAACUCGGUUUCCCAACCUCUCGAAUUCCUUCUGGUAUUCUCGCAGAGAACGUGUUUGUUCGACCCGAGACAGUGCUUCAUCAAAGUCUUCACAAUCCGUUGGUCCGAAGCGCGCCCAAAGCUCGUCAACAAAUGUUUCCCACGUAACCGGUUGGCCUUCUUCUUGGUAAGCCUUGCGCAUCCACUGCCACCAUUGAUUUGCUUCGCCCUCCAAGUGAUAUGACGCUACGACUACUUUCUGCUCAUCUGUGGUUUCUUGGUACUCAAAAUACUGCGUUACCCGAUUGAACCACUCCGUUGGGUCGUCGCCGGCAUAGCGGGGAAACUCCAACUUAGCAAUUCUUGUCGGCAACGGUGGUCGACGUCCUUCACUUUCCUCACGGAAUGGUCGUGAAGAUCCAAUGUGCUCGUUAGUGCCGCGACUGGCAGUGCCUCUGGUUGCACUAAAAGAUUCUGCCAAUUUGCUCAGAGUGUCCUCCAGACGCUGCAACUUGUCAUUGAUCCCAAUUUCUAUUUGUUCCAUCUUGUUCUGUAAGUUCCCGAUAUCAGCUUCAAUUCGUUCGAUGCGUUCCUUGUUGGUUGCCAUUAAUAGCUAGCUCUGAUACCAAUUGAUAGGUCCCAGUCAGAUGCACGCUAACAAUGACUAAAAAAGAUGAUAAUGUUGUUCUGCUUUUGGUGAGAACGGCUAGAGAUAAUUUAGUUUGAUAAUUCUUCUCCUUUUAUUCGCAGCGGAGAACUAAUUUAUAGUAGCUAACCUUACAAGUCUUUGAUUCCUAGCCAACAAUAUCAGCUAGAUUAUAGUAAAAUAAAACAAGAAGAAAUAUUUAAAGAUAACUUAGAGACCGAAUCCAAAUCAAACAUGACCACCACGCUUUGAUUCUCUUCCAAACAGGAAACGAAAAUUUUGACGUGGUAAUUCUCCUGCUCUCGUUUUGACACUCAAUAAACUCAUCCUGCACGUGAAACACGGUCUGCAUGAAGCCAUGCAUGGCUUGCAUGAGCAACUUGCAUGAGCACAGCUUGGUUCCUUAUCAAUUUUAAAUUCGAUGGAUAGUAUUUCUUAAUAAGUUAUCUAACACACACUUGCCUGCAUCAUGUAGCCUAAGUUUACAACUAGAGCUCCCGGAACAGGGGCAAUGUCAAACCACUGAUCUUCGUGAAAGACUUGGAGGCCACCAAUUUGAUCUUGUAUGAGCACAGUGACAAAUCCAGGGUCAGAAUGUGUUGCUAUGCCGAUGGACAAUUCUGGUUGAGGGCAUUCAGGGUAGUAACUAUUCCCAAUAGUCAUUUCCUCUACACAACCUAUGUCUUUCAGGUAAUUGGGGUCAAGCCCUAAAGCUUCGGAUAAAAGUUCAAACAGAGUGUCCCCUGUUUUCCACAUUAGGUUGUUGUAUGUGAUCAUUAUCUCUCUGCAAAUUAAUAAAGACAAAAAAUAAUCACUACUAAAAGAAAGGGAGAAUGACAUUUCGACUUUUAGAAAUUAUUUUUUUAUUGGGUUAACAUCUAGAUGAAAUGAGAGUAAUAAAACUUAUUAGGAACCCAAGUGAUGCAAAAAGUUCUAAGAAAGAGGCAGGUGUUAUCCACUGUAAAAGAAAUAAAAUCUAUUGGUCAUCGUCCACAUACCUGCAAGCUUCAGGCAAAUCUUCAGGAUUUGAAAAAUAGCGACCCAUAACACAACUCAAAGUAUCUUUCCAAAAGAGAGUCGGUGCACUAUACAAAUUUAAAUUUGAACAAUAUUUAAUUUUUUUGGAGUAAUCACGAGAAUAAUAUUUCUGCUUAACCUCAACAUCUUGUUCAAAAAACCUACGGAUCCCAUCAAUGGCUUGAUCCAAAAUGCUUGUUGGGAUUCCAUGAUUGAUCACUUGAAAGAAACCCCACUCCUCACAAGCACUUCUAAUUUGGUCAAUUACCUGAGAACGCAAGCUUGAAUCCUUGUGUAUUCUUUGACGGUCUAUCAUUGGGAUGCUGAUUUUGGGGUCCCUGCAGAUUGGCUUAUCAUCAAACUUAUGUUUAGUGUGAUGAUCUUGAAUGAAGAUCUGUGGAAUGGUUGUGAUCCCAGCAUCUACGAGUCCCUUAACGCCAGCUUUCGUGUCAUCAAAAGCUUUCAACUCGCUAACUCUGUCACAAGUAAUGCUUCCCAUUGCUUGGUGAAUUAUCUUUUACUCGGUGAAUUAUGAAGUACAUAUGCUGACUUGCUGAUGAUUGCUUUUGGGAGAUACCGUUUAUAUGAUUUCUAGCUUGCCACGUGCAACAUGUUGAAAUAUAACGUCACCAUGAUGAUAUGGAAAUUUGUAAAUUUGAUUCUGCAUUAUUUAUCAUGAUUAAAUUAAUUAUAAAUUAUCAAUAACAGUGAAUUCCGGGGACCACCAACCAGUGGGUGGCACAGCACAAUAAUAGACUGGGCUGUGGCUUUGUUUUAUGUGGACAAAAUUUCAAUUAGCAUAUUGCUGCUUGAUAGUUAACGUUUCACAUUCUCCAUUUGGACAUGCUAUUAUGGAUUCACAGUGUUGCUUAAAAGAUAGAUCUUAAAUGAAAAGAAAGCUUUAAUGGUGAAAUAAAUAUUAAAAAAAAUGAUAAAGAGACUAAAUGUUAACCUAAUGUUAACAAAAAUAAUGGUAAAAUAAACCUGUUUUAUCAUGUUAAUAAUAGUGGUACAUAUUUAACUUUAAUAAAUUUGGCCAUUUCGAUUUUUAAUUUGGCACCUUCCCUGCUCAGUCAAGAAAAAGAAUACUAUAAAAAUUAAAAUAGAAAAUUUGGCAAGGACAUAACUGCAGAAGUGUUAUAUAUCAAAGCAAUGUCAAAGUUAUAAUACUUCCCUUAUUAAUGAGAAGAGCACUAGCAUAUACAAGAUCGACAAUCACUUAAAUUAAGCCUUAAUAAUACUAAACUACAUACAUGGGAUCUAAUGCGUACAAGCAAUGCUUUCUGGUCACAGCAGCUUUAGGCUUUCAGCUACAGUAUAAAGUGAAACUGUCGCUUGAAAAUAAAAUUCAUGUUCGGCAGCCUCUUUCUAUCCGAGCUCCAUUUUUAUAACCAGGCAGCUAAAUAAGAUGAUUUAGAUGGCAACGGCGUCUGUAGUAUUAAUUGUUUUUCUGUAGUCCCUCAUUAUCUACUUUCUGAUCGCUUACUGUGUAGAGAAUCGACAAGAGCAAAUUGUAGCACACGUUCACAGCACUAAUAACUGUUAAACUCUUAUAGUACUUAUCAAGCCUACUACCAUCCAAGGUUUUAGCCAAGUCGCCUUUGUUUGCCAAAAUGAAAAAGAUGUUAAAAAUGCUUCCAAUUCCGACGAAAAAAGAACUUAUUGCUGAUACAUGGUACUCCAUCCGUUCAGGAAAAUGAGAGCUCGAGUAUUCAUCACAUCCAUGCAAAGCAAGCCCUUCCAUAAGACCCAAUAGACAGAAUUGUGGAACAAGCCAAAACAUGCUCAUAUUUUCCAAUUGUUUGAGCUUUUCCAACCUGCGAACCUCAACCUGCCAUGCCACUGCGCAGCAAACUGUAGUCAUCAUCAUUCCAAUGAAUGUUCUUAACACUUGAGCUUGUCUCUUUUUAUUUUUUGGAACAAAAUUGGAAAUUAAUUGUUUUGACAGACAAGAGAUCGUUGCACGAAUUAUCCCUUUACAAUUGUUUCAUUAUCACGACCCAAAUGAAAUGGCACUUGAGCAAAUGUACGAUCAAACAUGCUAAAAUCAAAUACCAAAAAAUAAAAUUGGAAUUGGAAGAGUAAAUAGCAAAAGAUUGGAUGAAAAUUGAAUACCAUAACAUAAAAAAAUUAAAAUAAAUUGAAAUGACAAGAGUUAAUUAAGAGCAAAAAGAUGCUUGACUUACCAAGAGCAAGGACCAAGCAAAUGGUGUUACAUUCGGGCUUGAUGGUGAACUGGUUGGAGAUGGGUACGAAUGUGAUCUCGUUGAGAUUUGGAGAAGAAAACGGGGAAAUAGAUGCAAUAUCUUUGUUACUGUUUUUUGUUUUAACUUUAUUUUACUGUUGAUCACGUGCAACUCAUUAAAAUUUCUAAACGCAGUUAUUAUUGUCGUUUCGGUGUUCUCGGGCUAUCACAUGCUCGGUACGUCUAUCACUAAGUCUACUCUUAAUAAAUUUGGCCACUUAGGUUUUUAAUUUUGGCUCCUUCCCUACUCAAUCGAGAAAAAGAAUGUUUUUCUAGAUAAAAAUUAAAAUAGAAAAUUCAGCAAGGACAUAACUGCGGAGAUGUUUGAUCCUGGAUUUAUAUAUCAAAGCAACAUCAAAAUUAUAAUACUUCCUUGUUACCGAGAAGAGAUAUAUUCAAUAGCACCAGCCUAAAUAAAGCCUAAACAGUACUAAACUACCUACAUGGAAUCUAAUGCGUACAUGCAAUGCUUUCUAAAGUGAAACUGUCGCUUGAAAAUAGAAUUCAUGUUCAGCAGACUCUCUCUAUCCGAGCUCCAAUUUUAUAACGAGGCAGCUAAAUAAGAUGAUUUAGAUGGCAUCGCUCCCUAUAGUAUCGUUUGUCUGUAGUCCCUCAUUAUCUACGAUCUGAACGCUCCCUAUAGUAUUGUUUGUCUGUAGUCCCUCAUUAUCUACGCUCUGAUCGCUCGCUAUAGUAUUGUUUGUCUGUAGUCCCUCAUUAUCUACGCUCUGAUCGCUUCCUAUAGUAUUGUUUGUCUGUAGUCCCUCACUAUCUACUUUCUGAUCGCUUACUAUGUAGAGAAUCGACAAGAGCAAAUUGUAGCACACGUUUACAGCACUAAUAACUGUUAAACUCUUAUAGUACUUAUCAAGCCUACUACCAUCAAGGUUUAGCCAAGUCGCCUUUGUUUGCCAAAAUGAAAAGAUGUUAAAAAUGCUUCCAAUUCCGACGAAAAAAGAACUUAUUGCUGAUACAUGGUACUCCAUCCGUUCAGGAAAAUGAGAGCUCGAGUAUUCAUCACAUCCAUGCAAAGCAAGCCCUUCCAUAAGACCCAAUAGACAGAAUUGUGGAACAAGCCAAAACAUGCUCAUAUUUUCCGAUUGUUUGCGCUUUUCCAACCUGCGAACCUCAACCCGCCAUGCCACUACACAGCAAACUGUAGACAUCACCGUUCCAAUGAAUGUUCUCAAUACUUGAGCUUGUCUCUGCUUCGUUUCCGGAACAAAUUUGGAAAUUAAUUUUUUCGACAGAUAAGAGAUCGUCGCACGAAUUAUGGCUUCAAAAGUAAGUAGAAAGAUUAAGUAACGUUGAGAAAUCAUUCUGGCUCCCUGCUCAGGAAAAAAUGUAUUUCCCGCUGACAGAACCAAUCCAAACACAAUGAAGCUAGACCACAAUGGCAACAAUUUAAGAAGAUAUUUUGACUCCCUGACCUGGGCCACAGUGCAAAGUGUGCCUGCCUCUUCUUGUUCUUUAGAAGUACUUGAUGUCUCUAUAAUUGCCGCUUUGUCUAUCCAUCUGCAAUUCAAACAAUUAAUUUAUUGGCAAUUUUUUUAAGGAAAAUAGGAAGCGACAGCUCAUGGUUUGGCAAAAUGAUCACAUAGACUCUUUUAUAAAUACACCUUUUUGGACAAAUCUUGGAGGUCAGUGUGACCAUUUCUGAAUACAAAAGGGUAUCAGUGUGUCCAUAAAAAGGUCUAUGUAAUUGUUACUAAAAAAAGAGGGUCUCCCCGACAAUUUUGCCAGACCACGAGCCGGGUGUGGGUUUAUACAUGUUAGGUAUAUACCUGAGUAAUUUGAUUCUGGGUGACAAGUGUAAUACGUUUCCCUCAUCAUUACUGAAGAACUGCUCCGGAGAAAGAGGAUAAUUGAGAUGCUUUUUCUUCAGGGAGGUUUUAACGACACGGAUUAUAGCAAAUCGGUCAACAGGAGGUAUUUGUCUACUAUGAUAAAAGGGAAUACCCAACAACAACAGGAUCAAACUGCCCCCCAUAAACAACAAUGUGAACUUGAAAGUAUUCUCCCAUGUUUCAAUAUUAUUUGCAUGGAAUGCUGCAGCUACACCGCAGCACCAGGCAAACCGCCACCACACUCUUUUCUGAGCCAUUACUUGAUUCUCAUUUGUAUUUUCUGUGCUCCCUUCUUCACCAUGUUCUCUUAAUUGAUCGGCAAGAAAUGGUCCCAAAAGAGGCGCCGCUCCAACUUCACCCACUGCUAACAGGACAAUUCCUAUCAUGUUGAGUAGCUCAAACUUGGUUUUUGAAAAUUUUCUGGACGCUGUAUAGAACAAUAGCCCCAAUGCCUGAAACGAAAAUUGUUGGAACUAAUUGUAUAGCAUAACAUUAUGAUCCUAAAAAUGCUUUGUUUAAUCAUUAUUAUAAUCAGGAGUGCAGCCAAAAUGAAUACAUGCCACAUCAAUUAUAGCUUAACUAUUGGGAUCUUUAGCAUUAUUUUCAUAGGGGUAAGGCUCCUAAUAUCCUCUUAUUACGUAUAUUUUUCUCUAUAUUCUGUGAAAUUUAACAUAUGCUGCAAAAUAAUAAUUUCUAAAUUUAGCCUAAAGUACUACAAAAUCCAGGGUCCACCCCUGGAUAUAUAUUUCUUGCAGAUGAUAGACAUAUGUUUUAAUUUAGCAAAUUUAAAACAUAUUUACUCACAAGGAUGUAGGAGACAGUUGAAAAUAUGAGGAUUCUGAGAGGACGGAUGGCAUAACACGAAAUCCAGGCGGCAACAACCGCAAGAGUUGCUAAUAUUCCAUCCUGAAUACUCGUAAAUAUUGCAGCUUUCAGAAGUGUGAAUAGUUCUGAAUAUUCGGAGUCGGAGAAGUAAGUUAUCAAGACGCCCACUACAGCCAAGUCUACCAGUUUGCGGCUUAUCAACAAACCUGGACUCAAAAUAUAAUCAUUAGAAGAAAUGUUCGUGCUCACUGAAAAAAGCUUACACAUGAAAACUACAAGAACAACAUAAAAACUGUUGCCAUGUUUUUAUUAUUUAGCCCAACUUAGUCUAAGAUAUUAAGUACACCCUCUUAACUAAAUAAAUACAUUUUUAAAAGAUAUGAUUUCCUAAGGCGCCUCAAGCAAAAUUACCUGACAUAAAUGCAGCAGCCUUACAAAAACAGACGUAAUAUCGUACCCAAGUUAUGAACCUCUUUUUAAGCUUCAACAACUGAGAAAAUGGAAACAUUGUAGUUUCUGAAACUGCUUCUUUUAUCUGCAAAUACUUCUACUUGUGAGCUGUGAAUCCCGAGACGAUGAAGAUUUUGUAAUUAUACCAAAGUCUUCGCUAGUCUUCUAAAAAGUUAGUUUAUUCAAAUUAAAAAAUAAUAAGUCGCACUUCAAGACCAGCUAUUGGUCACAUAAGUCAAAAUAAUGACUUACUGUACAGCUCAAUAAUUUUAGGUGGUAUGAAACACGUUUGAUGAGACGGUCAUAAUUACACUGUACCAUGAAUGAUCCUUAUUGAGUAUAUAACCCCUUUCUUUUUUCAAACAAGAUUUACGCUUUAAUUUUGGGAGGUUUGCUAAGUUCUUUCUUUUUGUAAUGGUUAAGGAGACUGACAAUUUUCUAUUGAAGUUAUUUAUACAUGUAUUUCACUUUUAGAUAAAUAAUGUUGUACAAACUAAUGUGAUAAUUUUUUAGAAAAAAGUAUAUGUAUAUCCUUAAGAUUUUAAAAAAUGGUCAUAUACACUCUGAGUUUUCAAUAAGGGACACCAAAAUACUUUUUUACUAUAGUAUCCUUAAUAGAUAGUAACAAAAAAUAUUGACUAAAUAUUUUAAUAAAUAUAAAUAAAAUUUAAAUAGUUUAAUUUGUCUAGUAGACUAAUAACAUUAGAAUGUUUCUUAAUAUAUAAAAUAAUUUUUAAAAUAUAAAUUAUUAUAUUUAUUUUAUUAAUAUAUUUUUACUUAUUAUAAAAAUUUUAAAUAAAUAUUUAGGUUAGAUUUUAAAUUUAAUAAAAUACAUGUCAUGUACUAAUAAUAUUAAAAUUAUUUUAUAUAAUAUUAAAAAUAAUUUAAAUUUUUAAAAUUUUAUUUAAUAUUAUGUUUCAAUUUAUUUUGAAAUUUAAUUUAUUUUGAAAUUUAGUUUAAUAUAAUUUAAUGUUGUAAAGUAUUAAAAUAUUUUAAAAAUAUUGAAAUUAUUUUAAAAUGUAUAUAUUGUUACAUUUAUUUUAAUAUUAUACUUCUAUUUAUUAUAAAAUAUUAAAAAUAACAUUUUAGUCAAAAGGGAGUUUUGGUGUCUCUUACUGAAAAAAUGGAAUGUACAUAACCAUUUUUUUGAAUUUUCAAGGGUGUACAAGUCAUUUUUCCUACUUUUUUUAUAAUCAGUUGAAUUAAAAAAAGUCAUGUGGCCACAUAUAUUAUUUCUUAUUUAUAUUUUCAAUCAGCAAAUCAUAAUGUGUCAUAUCUGUUUGUAUACGCAUUUAUGAACAUAAAAAAGUAAGGUUAGGCACUAGUCGGGUUGGAAAUCAACCCAUCCAACCCAUGUAUAGUGCUAAUUGGGUGAGUUGGACUUAUCUCGAGACCCAUUUUCUGUCUUUGAAAUAUCAAUAAGAAAUUAAAAUAAUUAAAAAAUAAUUUAAUAAAAACAACUAAAAAUAGAAUACAAAAUUACAAAUAAUAACUAUCCCUCAAACUUCAUUGUUAAUAAAAAAAUUAUUUGUAUAGGAUACUAAUCACACCAUAAAAAGUAAUAGGGUGAAUUCAAGAGUUGGGUUUGAAAAUUUUCAACACCUAGGAAAUAUAGUGCAUUUUCUCCACCCCUAAGAAAUUAGGGGUUGGCUUUCUACUUGAUUUUAAGUAGAGAAAAUGAUCAAAACUACCUUAUUGUUUGUUAAAAUUAUAGGUUGAAUUUAAGAGUUGGGUUUGAAAGAUGCAAUGUGUUCAUAUAUAUGGAAUGUGCUUUCUUUAUAGUGAUUUAUGGGAUGUGCUUUCUUUAUAGUGAUUUAUGGAAUGUGCUUUCUUUAGCACUUAGCCGAAAGAUUCAAAUUUCCAUUAAUAAGACGGUUAAUGAUGAUUUCAAAGAGCCAAAAAGAUUUCAAGAAAAUACAUGUUUUCAACUUUGUGUACAAAUUAAUUACGUCUGUAUUUGGAUGGUUAAUGUAAACUAGUCAGAUAAUUAACCACGCAUUAAUUAAUCAAAUUUUUAUUAUUUAAUAUCUUUGCAUCGGAUGAUCAUUGAUCAAUUAACAAUAUAUUUUCCUUUUGUGCAUGUAUCCACAUUGGACGUCAAUAUAGUAAUUUGUUAUGAAAAAAAAAUCAAUCAAAAUUAUUUUUAAUAUUUUUAAUAUUUUUAAUUUUCUAUCUAACUUAGUGCUUGUUUAGUAUAAAAUAUCUAACGCCCAGCAGUAGGAUAACUCCAACAAUUCCCCUCACACAUCGGACCUUGGGUCAGAAGAUAGACACUCGUUCUCUUUAUUAGAUUGUUGGGUUGAGAUUGUUGAUGAAUGUGGACUCUGAUACUAGUGUUAGGUAGUCUUAAACUUCUCUCAACCCCAAAAGUUAGUUUCAGGGGUGAGAUUUUCCUGACAUUUAUAAAAUCACCAAUAGUCCUUUUCACAAUCCAUGUGGGACAACUUCGAUAGUUUGAUUGUAUUUUGAGUAUAACUUUUGAAGAUUAAAUAAAUUAUUUUGCUUCUAUUAGUAAAACCUUAAAAAUUAGAUUUUUGAGAGUGAUGGUCAUAGUACUUAAAGAAUAAAUUGUGUAGAAUAACGUUUUAUAUAUUAAAUGAUCUUAUUCCAUUCUUUUUAUUUUUUAACCUAACAAAAACCUAGUCCCUUCCCCACCCAUUUGAGUAAGUUGCGAAUCUCAGAUCCCUUGCUUUCAACCAGAUGAUACCCAUAAAUUAGAUCAAAUCCUUUUCAUAAUAUCACUUGCCGCAAUAGUAAAAUUAAACAAAGCAAAAGUACUCUUUUUAACACCAAUACAAAAACAAAACAAGCAUAAAGCAAGACACAAAAUAUUAAAAUAAAAAUCAUAAUAUUGCAUAUCUCCACAUGCCACCAACAUUUUCCAUCAACUGUUUGAAAGAGAUCCUCCAUCUCAUCCUGCUUUGGAAGCCAUUCUAAGGAGACUUGCUUGAAAUUUUUAAACCACUCGUGUGUAAGCUAGGGAAUUUUUAAGAUUCAAAUAGCUUCACUCCCUCUAUGGCUCCAUUUUGUAUAACUUUUUAAAUAGAGUUGAUUUAAAUAGGCAUUCAAUUAGUAGAGUUUUUACAAAUAGAUCUUUUACCCAAAAAAAAAAAUUGUUUAGUUCAUUAGUUGUCCAAAGAGAUUUUAUUAAAAAUUAAAAAUUUAUUUUAAUGUACAAAUUUUCUAAGUUAUGUUGUGAAAUGGAUACGAAUAAAAUAAGAAUAUAAAAUAAAUAACGGGCAUAUUAGAUAAUUUAAUAAUUUAAAAAAGUUUUCUAAUCUCUACUCUAAAAAAUUCAAAAUUCGAGUUUUUACUAAUAGAGUCAAAAUAAUUUAUUUAAUCCCAAAAACUAAAUUCAAAAUAAAACCAAAGAACAACCAAAAUUUUGAAAGAAUUUUUAAAAUUAAAUAAAUAUAUAUGACCAUUAAAUAAGCUAAUACUAAACAAGCACUAUACCUUUGAAGGACUUGCAACCCAUCCAAACGCUAGGUCCACUAAGCCAAUAUUGUUCUUGUCCAGUGCUAAAAAAGCAUUUUUCCAAACAGCUCCACCCUGCCCCAAUAUAUAUAAAUAAUAUGGAUAAGAUUCUCUCUUUCUUUCUUUUUUUUUUCCCCCUCUCAUAUUCUUCAACAAUGUUGAAUUAACAAGUGAUCCUAUUUUUAAUUUAAAAAAGGAGUCAUGUUUUUAUUAAUUUUCAAAUUACAUCUAUGUUUUGAUUAAUUAAAAAGGCCAGCUAAUGAGAUCAUUAAUUUGGUCAACUACUCAGAUAACCGUGCAUCAAUUAUACAAUAGGCAUUUCUUUCCCAAAUUAAUAUAUUUGCGUCAUGCAUGACGAUCAUGGAUCACUUGUAUUAGAGAGCUUAGGUGCCCAGCGAGUAAGUUGCAAGCUGCUAUCUUUGGCCAUACCUUUGAAGCACAAAUACUUCUUUUUAUUCUUGUUUGAUAGUACGGUUAAAAUCAAGGCAUCAAUCAGGAAGGUGCGCAGCAAGUCAGGUUGCCCAGCCGCUGUCUUUGACUGUACCUUUGAAGCACAAGUACUUCUUUUCAUUCUUGUUUGAUAGCACGGUUAAAAUCAAGGCAUCAAUCAGGUGGGUGCCCAGCAAGUUAGGUUGCCGAGCUGCUGUCUUUGACUAUACUAAUGGUUGUCGAAGCCAACAAAAAUAAAUACUUACCCUAAAUAAAUUGUGUAUAGUGAUUGAGCAGGGUCGUGUCCACAGAAAUCGGUAAUUAUUUAAAUCCUUUUAAAAUGUAAAACGUAAAAUGGGGGAAUUGUUGACAAUAAUAGAAAUCAAAUUAAAAUAACAAAAAUGUAAAUUAAAGUUGUAAUUCAAAUUGGAGAAAGCUCUGGUUGAAGGAAUUAACCCAGCUUGAUUCGACUACUGAUCAUUGAUUCAUAUAUAAAUUAUUAUUACUUAUGAAGAGACCGGUUAUAGCUACUGAGACCCUCUAAUAGCUAAUCUCUCCUUAACUAGUCGAUAACCAAGGUAGGACCGUUGGUUAUUUCCCUAAUCAAUAGACAACCCUAGAUAAGAUCAUAGGAUUUAAUCAAUUGACAGCCUGAAAAACUAGAGAGACCCAAAUCCUAAUCAACAAACACAUACGAUGACUCAUUUAAAUUAGAUUGUUUAUUCUCACAACACAACUCUCUGCUAUGUUAUUUGUCACAAACAUUAAAAUCUUCAUACGAUGAAUCCUUUAAUUAACAAUAGAUUAAGUUGAUAAUUAAAUAGUGGCCAAUUAUCUAAUUAACAAACAUAAUCAUGAUAAUAAUUCAGAGAAUAAACAAAUACCCAGAAAGUAAUAAAACAAUUAAAGCAUAAGAAAGAUCUCACAGUAGUGAUGAAUCAAAGCUUCAUUAACCUUCAACCAGAAAAAUAGAUUUAGUUCUUCAUAGAGAGAAGAGAAAAAUUUAGAUCUAGGGUUUCUUUCUCUUCUCCAAUUCUCCCUUUUUUCACAAUAAAUUCCUCCCUUAAAUACUCUCUCUCUCUUCUCCUCUAGAGUUGUUUUUUUAAAAUAAAAUACUAAUAUCUGAAACAUUAAAUUCGUAAUUACAAAAAUACAAAACACGUUAAACUAAAAACUGCAGGUCCGUAGUUGACAGCACGCGCCCACGUCUUAUCAACAAAGUUCUUCUGACGCUCAUAAUUUCUCCAAGAAAACAAUCAUCCUUAAAUAUCAUCUUGUAGCUUAAUUUUAUGAUCAAUCAAUAGAAUUGCACCUACGAAAGUAAAACACAAGUUAAUCACUAUUAUUAAGUGCAAAACAUUGAUAUUAAGGGAAGUAAACAAUGCAAAAUUAGUGCAUAAAUUGCACUCUAACAUAUACCUUUGAAACGCAAAUACUUCUUUUCAUUUUUGUUUGAUAGCAUGGUUAAAAUCAACCAUCAAUCAUGUACUUAUUGUGAAUCGUUGAAGUAGAUCUACAAUGCAUAAUAAGUAAUAUUUAUUUAAAAAUUGAAGCUACUAGAUAAUUUCGAUAUAAAUUAAGUUCAACUUUUACUUCAUCAAGGUGAAACAUCAUAAAGCUUGUAAAUCUAACACAUGAACGUAAAAGCUUAAAAAAAAAUUUGAAGUUGCUUGAUAACAUAGAAAUACAAGCAAAAAGAGAUGCUAAAGAAUACAUCCCAGAUUUUUCAUUGGGUGGGAUUAUUGAUCAUGCUAGCAUAAUGAUGAGGGCUGCCUGGAUAUCCAGUAUUUUAAUAAUAUGGUUAAGGUUUUUGAGCUUAAGCUUUGGUGGUGUUUUUAGGAGCAGCUUUCAUUAUGGGCUUCUUUUAUGAAGUCUAAGUAUUGUACAACUGCACAUUCGAGUAUGAUUUAGUUUUAAUAUCCUACCUACCCUCUUUGGAGGCACCUAUGCUUGAUUCAAUAUGUUGCUGAGCUUCAUGUGUGUUGGUUGUUUGGCCGAGGGUUGUUUUUGGUAUGGUUGUUAGCUGGGUUCUUGUCCUUUGGCCUUUUAUAAUCAUGUGGUGGCUUUUAUGGUGCCAAUUUCUUUUUAUUAGCAACAUACAGUAUGAGAUAGGGGUAAGCUUCAGGAUGUCCUGCCUUUUUUAAUUGUUGUGCAUAUUCUUUUGAUUCCUAUCUCUAGUGGGGAACCAUAUGUGAUUUUGUGGGACCUUUCUCGUGAUGGUAGUUUUUGUUUGAGGAUUUGCUUCAGAUAUUGUGCAUUGGAUAAGGCCGAUUUUUGUUAUUUGGCAGCGACAUAUCUCUUCAUGGAUAUCCUUUUUUCUCUAGAGGUUGUGACACAAAUUCUUGACCACAGAUGAUGCCUCGUGUUCAGGGGAUUUCUGCGUAGUUUCUUAGUAUCUUUGUGGUCAGGCUUCUGAGACUUCUAGGUAUUUAUUUCUUGAUUGCCCUCGAGUUAGGCCGGUUUGGGUCCAUUUUCUACUUACUCUUGGUUUGCGCUAUGUUGCUUUUCUGUUCCACCGUACUUUAUUUCUUAAUUGGUAGUGAGAUGCCCUUUCUUGGAGCCAUAUUCGAGUUCUUCUUCCUUGUUUUAUUUUAUGGCAUGUUUAGAAGGCCUGUCAUGCAUUGAAGUUUGACUCAAUGGCUUUUUUUGUUGAUGACAUUAUUUAUUGGACGGUGUUGGAUCUUAGGCUUGAUGGUUUUGCCUUUGGUCUUAAACCAUUCCAAUUGUGAGGCGUUUUAGGUUCUCGGUUUGCAAAGUGCUUGAGAGUUGUUGUUUCAUCUAGGAGGCCGAUUCUUUUAGUUUCUUGGCUGUGGCCACCACCUGGGGCGGUGCAGUUGACUAUUGAUGGUUGCUUUAGGGGUAAUCCUAGGAUGGCUGCUUCAGAUAGUAUUUUACGUGAUCAUCGGGAUGUGGCUUUAGCUGCUUUUGGUUCCUUCCUUGGGCGCUAACGGAUCCUUCAUGAAGAAUUCAUGGUUGUUUUUUUAGGGGUUAUAGUUGGCUGCUCAGCUCCAUUAUUCUGUGCUUGAGGUAGAGUCAGACGCAGCCAUGGCGGCUUCUUGGAUUUUUUUCUAAGGCCUUGUUCAUUCGGACUAUACCUAUUCUUUGCGUCGGGUGUGUAGUUUGACAUUUUCUUCUACUUUGGUAAGUCAUGUGCUUUGAAAGGCUACUUCUACUGUUGAUUUCUUUGGCUUGCACUCUUCACAGUCAUCGGUGUUUCUUGGGUUCUCAUGAUAUCUCUGCUAGCUUAGCUAAUAAUCUCCAUUUGGAUGUGUGUAAUUUCUCAUCUCAAGCAAUACGAUUACUUAUUUUUGUCUUCCAUUUUUUAUCUUGUAUUUUUCUCUUUCCAUUCUUAUGUUCUUGCAAUUGCAAUUUUGAUUUAUAUUCACCUCCUUAUGUAUUUGAUUCAUUCUAUAAUUUAUAUGAAAGAUAGGGGUCCCACCUUUUUUUGUAGUUAAAAAAAAAAAUCAGGAAUCAAACCUAGGUCAUCAAGGUGAAACAUCAAACAGGUUGUAAAUUUAACAUAUGAACUUAAAAGCUUAACAAAACAUUUGAAGUUGCUUGACAACAUAGAAAUACAAGCAAAAAGAGAUGCUAAACAACACAAAAUUUUGAUUGGGUGUGAGUAUUGUUCGUGCUAGCAUAAUAAUGAGGUGCCUGAGAAUACCUAAGACUUUCUUGAUAAAUAAUAUAAUCUAAAAGGUUAGGAAUCACAAAUGAUUGUCCAGGUAUGAACAAACCUGGCUCAAAAUGUGAAAUGUAUUAAGAUUUUCAAACAUUUAAAUUAAUAGUUAAUAAUUUCGGACAAAGGACACUUGGAGACCCUAAACUUCAUUGAUUCUAUGUUAUGGCUCAUUGUCUCUCUCAACAAUUUAAUUUCUAGAUUAUUUGGCUCCUAUCUAUUAAAAGACAACACCGUUACUAAAAUUAUAGAUUAUAACAGUUAAACCUAAACUUAAGCCGUUUAGCAAUUUACAAAAGAAAAAAAUAUAACAAAAGCCAAUUGUUGGAGUAGCAACGUGCCAACGAGAAAACCUCAAGCCAUGUAAUAUCCUGUAUCAACUAAAAAAGAACAAACCACCACCCUCUAGGUCGUCGCUGCACUAACGCUGGGCCCGAUUUGAAUACUUAGAAGUUGUAACAUUAAUUAGGGAUUGAGGGUAAAAUUUUGGACUUUGAUUUAAUAAAAUUGAUUUAUAUGAGUCCCAAUAGAAAUAUGAUUAUAAAUAUAUCAAUGCAAUUAUAAUAUGUUUAAAAGAAAAAAAUUAUUUUCACACAACAUAAAACUCAACCCUUGGACGUGGGAUGUGUCUAAAAAAUAAUAGGGUGGAAAUAUUACCACCCUCAAAUUAGAUAUAUAAAUGUUUAAUGUUUUACUCUUAUAAUUUUGUAUUUAUUUUUUUUAAUAUUGGUAAGAGAAAGAUAGAAAUUAAUAUAUAGACAAAUCGAGUCCCUUAUUUUAUUAUUCAUAUCCAUAAAAAGUAACCACUAUGCUAGUCCCCCCGAACUUAGCAUAAGACGGUAAUUUAAAAAAAGAAAAAAAAAGAAUGUUUUUAAACACCAAAACAAAAGCAAAACAAACACAAAGCGAGACAUACAAACAAAUUUUAUGCUACUGCAUUCAAGCAGAAGCCAUCAACUGUUCACGACGAAGUUUGAGAGCAACCAAUAGUUCAUCCUGAUUAGGAAGAUUUUCUUCAAUCACAGGGAUUUGCUUGAAAUUUUCAAUCCAGGCAUGCAAGUGAGGGAAUUUGUGUGAUUCAAAUAGUUUAACUCCCACUACAUCUUCAAUGACUUGCAACCAAUAAACAAUUGGACCAAAUGCUAGGUCCACUAAGCCAAUAUUGUCUCCAUUGAAAAAUUUCUUAUCUCCCAAGCCAUGCUCUUCAACGGUUUGUAGCAUUUCCAAGGCUUCCUUCAUUGUGUUUUGUAGUUCUUGUCCAGUGCUACGAAACAUUUUCCAAAUAGCAACACCCUGCCACAAAUAUUUUACAUCAGAUUAUAUCACCGACAUGAUUAAUUAAUAAUAUGUACAUAAAAGCUAAAAAUCGUUAGGCAAUAUGUACACGCGUCACAAUAUCCUUUAAUUAGAGGUUUAUAUAAUAAGUUAACUAAGAGAGUUCAACCACUGAGUUGUAAAAUCUGUCAUUAGUAAAUUCACUUUUUCCCAACGCUUCAAAAGUCAUAAAAAUUCCCCGUGAAGUUAAAAACGGUUGUGUUAACUUUAACAGUGAAGACACCAGAAAUUGAAAGUUUAGAGAACUUUUUACAAAUAAAUAUGAAAAAGACCCCUGGGUGGCUGGGCUCGACUGGCUAUGAAUUCACUUCCGCCAUCACCCGAGUUCGAGUAUAUAUGGAGAGUAAGAGUUAGUGUUUGGUGGGUGGAUUUCAUUAUCCUCGUCACCUUAUCUAGAUCUUAAAAUAAAUAAACAAAUAAACAAAUUUGAAAAGAAUGAACUUAAUCAUAAACGUGUUUGCCAGAGUUGUGAGCGAACCUUGUCUUCAGCGAAUUUGAUCCAGAAUCGAGCAUGAGCCCUAUCAUAAGGAUUAUUUGGCAUCAAGGAGGGAUUGUGCGGCCAUGUCUCUUCGAUGUAUUCGAGAAUAACCAUGGACUCACAAACUGGUUUUCCGCCAUGGACGAGCACUGGGAUCUUCUUGUGAACUGGAUUAUACUUCAAAAGCAAUGCACUUUUGUUUGAGAGAUCUUCGGAAACAAAUUCAUAUGGCACGCCUUUCAAUUUCAGAGCCCAAAUCACCCUGUAAACAAAUGGACUCGGCAGUGCCCCGUGAAGCUUCACUUCAGCCAUGAUAAUUCUUAGAUUGAAUUUGAAUAUCAGGUUUUUUGGUCGAUCUUGAGUGUAGCUGAUAACUCAUUACACAUGUUUCUGAAUUUAUAGUGAUUUAUGGUAUGCACUUUCUUGAGCAGAAAGCUUCAAUUUUCCAUUAAUAAAACGAUUAAUGAUGAAUUCAAAGAACUAGUGCGAUGACUUUAAUUAAAUUUUUUUUUACGUUGUGUGCAACCGCAAUUUGAGGUUAAUUUAAAGGAUAUUAUUUUCUCCUGAUCAAAACUUUUAUAUAAAAAAAUAUAAUUAUGUAAUUGGUAAUUAUUAAGUAAAAAUAAAUUUUGACCGUAAAUAAAUAAAAGUUCAUACAUGUUAUAAAGAGAUUUUAAAACUCAAAUAAGUGGACACAAUUCCUAAUUUAAAGCGCUAGCCAAUGAGAUCAAUAAUUUGGUCAACCAGUCAGAGAUAACCAUACAAUAAUUAAUUUUGCCAUUUGUUUUACAUUUAAGACCUUUGCGUCAUGCAUGAUGAUCAAUUGAUCAUGGAUCAAUUAGUCAACGAGACAUUUGCCUUUUGUGCAUGUAUCCACAUUGGACGCAAAUAUAAUUUAUUAUAAAAAAUUGGACUAAAUUAUUUUUUAAUAUAUAUUUUUAAAAUAAUACACCUGAUCAUAGAGGAGAUAUUAUUUAGUUUGUGAAUCUUAUAACAGGACCCAUGAUUUUUUUUUUAAAAUCUUAUGGGUCCCCUAUUAUUUAAUUUGUGGAAUUGACGGAGGUAACUUACAGUUUCAUUUUUGUAAUUUACAGCUUUCAAUAAAUUCAGAUAAUAUUAGGUGGUAGAAGUCGGCCAGGCUGGAGGAGUAGAUCUAUAAAAUUUGCUAGCACUUUGCACUAUCUGGUAGGUGCCCAAAAAUACAUGUAUAUCAUCCAUUUUUUGUUGGGAUUUUAUGCUCUUUUAAAGCAUAUUAAUUUAUUUUCUGAUUAAUAAAAUAUUUGAGACAUUUUCAAUUGCAUAAAUAUAUAUUGAAUAAGGUCCAUUUAAUCAUAUUAUAUGUAUUUAUGUGAUCAUCAUAUGGAUUCACAGAAGACAUAAAUACAAGCUAUCUUAUGAUUAAAUAAAUUUAGUUCGCAGUUGAUAAAUAGAGUUGGGCGCUCUAUUUAUUUUUAGACUGUAGUAAAUUCAUUAAAUGAUUUAUCUUAAUCAUAUAUGAAUUUACUGAUGUAGGUUGACUACAUUGAGAUGGAUCACAUAUGAGAUUUAAUUAACCUUGAAAGGACUGUCAGACUUAUUAAAUCUCAUAGGCAUUCUUUUUAUUAUAAUCUUAAUCUUGAGUUGGUUAUGAUUUCAUGAUUGUAAUUGUUAUUCCAUUUGAGUUACCAAUGGGCACGACACACACUUGUGGUCAAGAUUACCGGGUAUCUUGGUGGGAGCAAUUAUGAGUAUUGGAGUUAUAGAUUAACAAUAUAAAAUUUGUACAACACAUCUCUUGAUGGGUUUUCGGCACUUGAUCAUAGAAUUCUCUGGCCAGAGUGUAUCAAUAUAUUUAGUAUGUUGAAAAUGAUCAUUAGAGAAAAUCAAUAAGUAUCAAGGAAUAAGAUGUAAUUAAAUCGUUUGGACAGUUGAGAUAUCAAUUUAAUUAAUGAUGUGGUACAAAUGAUUGUGCAGUAAGGAAAUUAAUGAGGCUUGGGAUGAAUUAUUAUUUGAGUAUACAAUUAUGGAGGUCAUUUCCAAUCUUUUAGUGGAGUAGAUUUGGAAUUAAAUAAUUGAGCUAGUUUAAUUACAGGCCUAAUUAUUGUAGCCACUAUUGUAUGUUCCCAAAUAAUCCCCAGGUUAGCUCAUUUAAUUGACUGUGCCGCUACUGGAUUAAUAAGUAAGAUAACUAGUUAUUUGGGUUAAAAGUCUAAAUAUAUUAUUUAGUGGGAAGCUCCAUAUAAUAUGUUUGUGUGUAAGGGGCUUUAUGUUAUUUUACAAGGUGGGCCCCUAUAACACAAGAACAAGUAACGUUGUCUUUGUUUUUUUAUUUUUUUAAUUUAAAUCAAAUUUGAUUUAAUAAAUUUAAAAAUAGAAAAUAUAGAGCCUAGGGUUUCCACUAGAUAGAGAUAUAAAAAGGGCUUAUUUUCUCCCAAAAGAAUAGAGAGGCCACAUUAUACAAAUUAGAGAAAAAAAAAUUCUCUCUAAUUUUGAGAGAAAAAUUUUCUCCUGCUAGUUGCUUUUAGUGGUGAUAAAGGCGCCCACACCUCAAAUGCAGAUCAAACUUGAGUCAUAACCUGGAAGAUUAUUUGGUGGCGAUUCGUGCUCUAACAGGAGUGGUGGUGACGGAUCGUGAUCUAGGAGUCCAAAUCACUUCAGCGGAAAAAACAAAGAUUGUUCACCUUCUCAUAUUUUCAAGAUACGAUUUCUAAAUUAUGAAUUCUUAUAUAUUGUAUGAGAUCGAUCCUAAAAUUUUUUUUUUAUAAAAAAUUUAAAAAAAAUGAUUUUUCUCCAACACUUUUUAUUUAACGCUGGGUUUUUUUCAACCCAAAAUAAUUUCUCUUUGUACAUCCACUUUUUAAUAAAAACUUUUAUUGUCAAAAUAAUUUGUUAUUAAUUACUUCACUAAUCCUUCUUUUUUUUUUUGCCAAUUUCUCUUUCGCAUCUGAAAAAAUUUAAUUCACAUCAUGUGAUAGUAUGAUUGCAAAUAAAUUUGAAGUUAUCUCUCGCAAAUUGUUCAAAAAUACAUUGACCUAUCUUGUGUAUAGAACUAAAGAACAAUAGCAAACCACUAUCCUCUAGCCGAUCGCUGCUAUUAGGACGGAAAAUUCGUUGUAAAUAUGUAAAUUUGUCUAAACCCAUCUACAAAAAUAUGUCCACUGCGAAUAAUUUUGUAGGUUACGAAUAAGUUUGGUAUUUUAAAUUUAAGUUUGUUGCAAGUUACAGAUAUAUUUAGUAUUUUAAAUUUGGCGGAUGCCUACCGACUAUCAUUUUUUUUAAUUAUUUAUGUUUUUAAUUUAAUCACAAAGAUUGUCUUAAAAAAAAUUUAAUCAUAAAAAUAUAGUAGUUAAAGUUAUUACUCUAAUCUUCCAAAUUCCUAAACCUAACCUAGCUAACUCAUUACAAUUGCACACCCUACUCCUUCAAGUAUGUAUGUAUGUAAAUGUAUACACACGCGCACACACCAAAAAUAAACUUUUAAUAAGUAGAUUUAGUAUUUUUCAAGUUUAAUAUUAAUGAUAUUUUAAUUUAAUUUGAUUACUUUUGUUUGUUUCGCUUUAACGACUUGAACUCAGUGAUUGCUGGCUAAGAUUGAAUUUUUAUUUGUCUAAUUAAUGGUCAAUAGUUGUCCAAAAUAUAUUUGUUAAUAUUGUUGACAAUACUUAUAUAUUAACUAAAAGAUAGAACAAGGCAUUAAUCUUAGUAAUGAUUAUUUGCGUACAACAAAAAUAUUUUAUGUUAGAAUGAUAUAUUUUGUGUAUUUGUUUUAAUAUUGAAACUUUAAUUUCUCUUUUACAUUGAUAAAAUCUAAAAUUGAGUAAUUUAUGUAGAUUUUGUAGGCUGUUACUAUAAAGUUAUAUUUUGAAUUAUAUAAUUCAAAUUAUUAGAUAUUAUUUUUUUAAUAUUUGUAAUUUUAAAUAUAAAAAUUUAUAAAAAAAAAACCUACUGCAUGUUAUGGGUGAAUUUGGUAAUUAUUAAAAAUUAUAGCGAACGAACUAAGGCCACCGGUUACUGGCGAGUUUAAUAAUGACAAACCCAUAAUAAGCGAUACCCAUUACCAUCAGCAGCUUCUGUAACGCAGGGCCGAAGGCGGUCUUGAAUUGUUAGAAGUUGCAACAUUAAUUAGCAAAAUUUUCAGCGGCAUCCCUAAAGUUUAGCAUAGAAUUAGAUAGAUCCCCUUGUUUUCAAAAGAUUAGUCUCUGAUUCCAUGUUGUUUACUUAAUUUUUUUUUCCCUUUUCAAUUGGAUAUACAACUUCGUAAUGUUGCGCCUUGUAGAAUGUAUGCUUAAAAUGCGUUCUUCUUAUUUUUUAUAUACUGCUAAGAGAAGUUGAGUAUAGAAAUAUAUAAAAUGGAGUCUCAUUCAUUAAUUAUUUAUAUCCACUCAAUAGCACCUAACAUGCAGCUCACUUCAAUAUAAAAUUAAUUAAACAAAAUAGAAAGAAUAUUUUUAACGCUGGUACAAAAACUUAACAAGUGUAAAAGAAGACUCACUAACUUAUUUUAUGAUAUUACAUUCACGCAGGUACCACCAAUGUUUCCCGACCACGUUUGAGACCACCAACUCACGCCAAUUUAGAAGAUUUUCUUUAAGUAUAUAAGUUAAAGUUAUUACUCUAGUUUUCAAAAUACUUAAACCUAAUCUAACUAAUUACAGCUGCAUGCCUUGCUCCUUCUAGUAUAUGUAUAUAUUUUAAGAUGAAUACAAUAACUUUUUAAUAAGUAGAAUUUUGUACUUUUCAAGCUUAAUAUUAAUGAUAAUUUAUUUUAUUUUAAUUACUUCGAAUUCUUGAACAUAUUGAUUGUUUGCUAAACUUGAAUUUUUAUUUGUCUAAUUAAUUGGCGAUAGCAGUUGUAUAAAAUUUAUAAAGACAAAAUCUUAGUAGAUUACAAAAAGAUUUAGUAAUGACAAACCUGCAGCAGCCAAUACCCAUUACCAUCCCUAGCUACUAUAAUGCAGGGACACAGGCGGUCUUAAUUGUUAGAAGGUUCAAAAUUAAUUAGCAAAAUGUUCAGUGGUAUCCUUGAAUUUUAGCAUAGAAUUAGAUAUAUCUCCUAGUUUUCAAAAUUAGUUUUUGAUUCCCCCAUUGUUUAUAUAUAUAUUUCAAUUGGAUAUAUAACUUUGUAAUGUUGCGCCUUAUAAAAAUGUAUGCUUACAAUGCAUGCUUAUUACUUUUUAUAUGCUGUUAAGAGAAACUGAGAAUAAAAAUAUGUAAAAUGGAGUUUCAUUUAUUAAUUAUUUAUAUCCAUUAAAUAUCACCCAACGUGCAGUUCGUCUCAAUAGUAAAAUUAAUUAAACAAAGUAGAAAGAUUUGUUUUAGCAUUAGUACAAAAAUAAAACAAGUACUAAGCAAGAAUCACAAACUUAUUUUAUGAUAUUACAUUCACGCAGAUGUCAUCAACGUUUCCCGACGACGUUUGAAAGCGAUCACCAUCUCAUGUUGAUUUGGAAGAUUUUCUUCAAUUACAGGGACUUUCCUGAAAUUUUCAAACCAACCAUGCAAGCUUGGGAAUUUGUGAGAUUCAAAUAGCUUCACUCCCAUUACAUCUUCAAGGACCUGCAACCAAUAAGCAAUGGCUCCAAAUGCUAGGUCCGCUAAGCCAAUAUUGUCUCCAUUGAAAAACUUCUUCUCUCCUAGGCCAUGUUUUUCAACGGUUUGAAGCAUUUCCAAGGCUGCCUUCAUUGCAUUCUCCAGGUCUUGUCCAGUGCUGAAAAACAUUUUCCAAACAGCUACUCCCUGCCACAAUAUUUUAUAUCUAAUUCUUAUCACCACAUGAUUAAUAAUAUAUAUGAGGUGAAGAGAAAUUAGAUAAUACGUACACACGCGUCAAAGUAUCUUUCAAAGACUAGACGUUUCAAACUGUCAGAGUAUUUAGGAGAGUUUACCCACUAAUUUUUAGACUAGUUUAGUAUAACUUUUCAGAGCUUAUUUAAAUAGAAAUUUUAUUAGUAAAUUUUUAAUUUUUAUAAAAAAAUGUUAAUUAUUUAGCUGUUAACGAAAAUUUUCAUUAAAAUUUUCAAAUUACUUUAAUAGACAAAAUUUUAAUGUUAUGUUAUGAAAUAAAUAAAAUAAGAUUAUAAAAUAAAUGAUGAAUAUUUUAAACAAUUUAACUUUAAAAAAAAUCCUCAACCCUCUAUUUCCAAAAGUGUAAAUUUAAACUUUUACUAAUAUAGGCAAAAGAAUUUAUUUAAUCCCAAAAAGCUCUACUAAAAAUAAAACUAAACAAUAAUAAAAAUUUUGAAAAGAACUUUUUUUUUAUUAAAUAAACACGUAUGAGUAAUAAAUAAGCCAUAUCAAACAAAUACUAAUGAAAUAAAAGGAAAAAGAUAAAAAAAUCCUCUAAUUGUUUUAGUAAAUUAUAAUUUUAUUUUCAUGUUUCAAAAGUCCUUAAAAUUCUCCCUGUCGCUAAAACAAUUAUAUUUUAAUAUUUUACCCUUGAUUCAGUAAAAUCCACGGUUAAUUAAGAAAAUUUUCUAAAGAUAAAAAAUUUAAAGUAAUUAACCGAAUUUUUUUUAUAAUUUUCUCUAAUGUAAAAUAAAAGGUUCAUGGAGCUUAGUCGGCCGUGAAUGCAUUUGCACAUGCGAGGACAUUAGUUCGAGCAUUAAAAGAAGAUAAAAAUUAAUGUUUAGAGUCAUAUUUCUCAAAUACCAUGAAAAAUUAAAGUAUAUAAAGAAAUCCGACAAGAUUAUAAAAUUUAUAAACGUGUUGGCAAGAAAAGUUGUGAUGCGAACCUUGUCUUCGGCAAAUUUAAUCCAAAAACGAGCUUGAGCUCUAUCAUAAGAAUCACUUGGCAUCAAGGAGGGAUUGUGUGGCCACAUCUCUUCAAUGUAUUCGAGAAUAACCAUGGACUCGCAAACUGGUUUUUCGCCAUGAACGAGCACUGGUAUCAUCUUGUUAACUGGGUUAUACUUCAAAAGCGAAGCACUUUUGUUGUAGAGAUCUUCUUCAAUGUAUUCAUACGGGAUGCCUUUCAAUUUCAGAGCUCAUACCACCUUGUUGCUAAAUGGACUCGCCCAUCCCCCGUGGAGCUUCACUUCAGCCAUGUGUCUCAGAUCGAAUUUGAAUAUGUUUGCGGUUGUUUUGAUUAGCUGAUGAGUCAUUGCAUACGUACAUCUGAAUUUAUAAUGAUUAUUCAUUAAUAUUGGAAUAUGGAGUGCGCUUGCUUGAGCAGGGAGCUUCAUAUUUCCAACUUAUUUAAUAAAACGAUUAAAUUAAGUUGAAUUCAAUGAACUAAUGCUGCGACUUUUUAACAAUUCUGUUAUAUAUUCAACGAGAAGAGGUAUCGUAUUUGACGGAAAUCUCUUGAAACAGUGCUGAAUUAACAAGUAAUCUUAUUUAAUUUGGUCAACUGGUCAGAUUUGGAUUAAUUAUAUAUUUGGCGUUUGUUUUAGGUGCCCAGCUAGCCCUGCUGCUGUGCUUUUGACUUUACGAUGGGGUGGAGUCGUGGAGAUAUCAUCAUCCCAACUGAAGACAGAUUAUGAUAUUCUCCUGAAAACUUUGUGAGACUCAUUUACUCUACAAUUUUAGCAUUUUAGGCCCAAUAACUCCAUAUAAAUGACGUUUUGUCCCCCGGCUCCAUCUCUUCUAUAUAAAUCCGAACACCUGAAAAAUGACCAGACCGGAACAACUCUCCGUCUUAAGUCUAUGCAAAUUUUACACACAAGAGAAAGAGAGGGAGAGGGGCAGCCAUGAGAGACAACGAUACAGAAAAGAAUAUGGAAGAGAGUUUAUUAAUACCAAAAGAGAGUUUAUCAUCAACAUCCACAACAUGGGAUUUGUUGAGUGGAGAAGUGAAAAAGCAAGGUUACAUAGCAGCACCAAUGGUGGCAGUAACUUUAUCACAGUAUUUGCUUCAAGUUGUUUCCAUGAUGAUGGUUGGUCAUCUUGGUCAACUUGCUCUUUCUAGCACCGCCAUGGCCAUCUCUCUAGCUAGCGUCACCGGCUUCAGCGUCCGUGUGUCCUACAAUCCAUAUAUAGUUAUAUACACAAGAUUGUUUAUUCUUUCUUUUGAUAGGUACUUGCAUCAUUGCAUGUGGGAUUUAAACAAAUAGAUAUGCCAAAUUUCUGAUGUUAAAAAACAUGCAACUAACUAAUACCCUGUUUGUAAAAAUGCCAUUAAUUUUUAAAGGACUUGAUUUGCUCUUUUUUUUUAAAAAAAAAAAUGCUACAGCUAACUUGAAUUGUGUAAUAUUUUCUUUGAAACAGUUAGGAAUGGCAAGUGCUCUGGAAACAUUAUGUGGGCAAGCACAUGGAGCUCAGCAAUAUCAAAGAAUUGGAACUCAAAUUUACACUGCAAUAUUUUGUUUAUUCUUAGUAUGUUUUCCGCUUUCCUUUCUAGGGAUUUACAUGGGAAGGCUGCUAGUUUUGGUAGGCCAAGACCCCCAGAUUUCACACGAAGUAGGCAAGUUUAUAAUCUGGCUUCUUCCAGCUCUGUUUGCUUAUGCAGCAAUGCAGGCGCUUAUUCGAUAUUUUCAGUCUCAAAGUUUGAUCAUUCCCAUGUUCUUAAGCUCCUAUGCCUCUCUUUGUUUGCAUAUUCCCAUCUGUUGGGGUUUGGUAUUCAAGUCUGGACUGGGAAACCUUGGAGGAGCAUUGGCAAUUGGUAUAUCGUAUUGGUUGAAUGUAACUUUCUUGGCAAUUUACAUGAAGUUCUCCACUGCUUGUGCAGAAUCCAGGGCUCCAAUUUCAAUGGAGUUGUUCCGAGGAAUUGGAGAGUUCUUCCACUUUGCUAUCCCUUCUGCAGUAAUGGUUUGGUAUGUUAAUUAUCUUCUGGAGUUUCAUUUUCCCUUCUCAUAGAUAUCGUAGACACGUCAUAAAUUUUCAUGCAUCUUCUUUUGUUUAUAAUUUUGCAGCCUAGAAUGGUGGUCAUUUGAAUUGCUCAUUUUAAUGUCAGGGCUGUUGCCUAACCCACAGCUUGAAACUUCAGUCCUAUCUGUAUGGUAUGUUGACAUAGACUUUGUAUGUGAAAGUUCUAUACAGAGAAGCACCUACCAAAGGAAAUAGAUUUUUUUUCUUUUUUUCUUUUUUUUCCCGACCGCUCAUUAUUUGUCAACUUCUUUGGGCAGUCUCAGUACUAUUCAAACCCUCUCUGCAAUCCCUAUGGACUUGGUGCUGCAGUGAGGUUUGUUCAUAACAAUCAUUUAAAUAAUAAUUAUUUUAUAUCAACUAAUUAGCAGAUUAACCAUUAUUUCCUUCUAUAGUACUAGAGUUUCAAAUGAACUAGGAGCUGGGAAUGUGCAAAGAGCCCGUGUAGCUGUCUAUGCUGUGGUCUUUAUGGCAGUCAUGGAGACUAUCAUAGUAAGUGCAUCUCUCUUUGCCAGCCGGCGUGUUUUUGGUUAUGUUUUCAGCAAUGAGGGACAAGUUGUGGAUUAUGUCACAACCAUGGCUCCUCUGGUUUGUUUGUCUGUCAUCAUGGAUAGCUUACAAGGAGUCUUUUCAGGUUAAAUUAACUUCUUCAACUCUUUCAAUUGCUAAAUAGUUCUCUUUAAGUAGAAAUAAAAUUUUUCAGGUUUCUAAAUUCUUUUUAUUAUUUUUAAGGUGUUGCAAGAGGAUGUGGGUGGCAGAAUAUAGCUGCUUUUGUGAAUCUUGGGGCUUAUUAUUUGUGUGGAGUCCCAACUGCUGCCAUUUUGGGUUUCUGGUUAAAGUCUAGAGGAAGGGGCCUAUGGAUUGGGAUACAAGCCGGUGCUUUUACACAAACACUUCUGCUUGGCAUCAUAACAACAUUUACAGAUUGGGAAAAACAGUUCUGUUUCUCAACAUUUAAUCCCUUAAAAAAUAGAGAAGCUUAUUGGACUAGAUAUGUAAAUAUGUAGCAAUUUUUUUUCCCAACAAGUAUAUGAUACCUUCUGACUGAAAGUUCAAGAUUAAAAUCAUUCAGCUUGGUCUGAAAUGGUUAGUAUUAUCAUCUUAUGCAGAAAUGGUUUUGCUCAUUGAGAAAAUGAUAUUCAAUAACAGACCUGCAAACUCAUUUGAAAAUUUGCUUUUUUGGAAGAAUUAUAACCAUUUUCUAGUUUGUUAAUUGUUACAAGUUCUGUGUUUCUAAGGGGUUUCUCAUGUUGCAGGCAAGUAAAGCAAGGAAAAGAUUAUCAAAGGGAAGAUCUUUUGCAGAUAAUAGAGUAGUAUGUGAGUGACCAGAGUCAAUCAAUGAGCUGAUAUAUACAUUUUCCAGUUGAAAGAGAUAAUCAUUGCUUGAGAAAAUGAGCUGAUCAUAUGUCAAUUGAUGGCCAAGAAGGUCCCCCGAUCUGGUCUAUUGAGCAUGACAUUUCAUGAAACUCUGUUUCUAGAGAAAAAAAAAAAAUAACAGCUUCUUAGGAUUGCAGCAUCAGGUGACUUAGCAUUUCCAGUAUGAAUGAAUUAUAAGAUAGAUGAUGCUGCAAAAAUGAAUAGAGAUAAAAAUUAAGCAAGAGAAAAUGUUUGAAUAAAAUUAUUUAAACCUUUUCCAGUGAUUGUAGAGAUAAUUUCUUUGUAUUGAACACUUUCACCAUCUGAAAGAUAAGGAAAAUAUUAAAAGAAAAAAGAAAAUUCUUAAAUCUUUUCCAUGUCAUUCUAGCAAAGUUGAAUUGUGAUUCUUAACCCUACACCACAAUGUAAGGUGGCCUGUGGCCUGUGGGUAACACACAAUUUGACAACCCCAUAUAUUAAGUAAUCUAGAUGGAGGACAUUAUAUUUUUCAAUUUUUUAAUUUUUGUUCUUUUUUUUUUAAUUCAAACGACACCUCUUUCAUUGUGGCAUUGGAAUGUAUAGAGAUUUGCACACUGAUUUUGGACCAUACUUCACAAAUAAUGCGACGCACAUCUUUCUUUCAGUACUUCUUCAGGAGGAUAAGCUACAGACGUUGUUGUCCUUUUACCUGAAGCAAGUGCAUGUGCAUGAAUUGUUGUUGUCUGUUAAUCUGCUGCCACUUUGCUGCCAAAAAACUUGAAAAAUAAACCGGGAAAAUUUUCAAUAAGCAAAGUCAAACAACUAACCCCUGUUUAAGUUAUAUUCCUAAGAAAACUUUUAACACCAAAUAAAGCACACAGCUAAAGUAUUUCUAUCACAUUAGGUUUCGAGUGAGGUUUGAUUUACAUUUAUAUCAGAUAUACCAAGUGUUUUUUCUUCUUUUAAUUAAUGUAUAUUCCUAAGAAAACUUCUAAUUGAUUAUCCACAUAUAUAAACAAACCUAGCUCGCAAUGUGAAAUAUAUUAAAACAGCAACCAUAAGAUUUUCAAACAUUUAAAUUAACGGUGAUGAUAUUUCCAUCCCAUGAAUUUUAUAAACCCACCCAUUUUUAAAAAAAUUAUUAUAAUCAAUUCACAUUAUUUUUAAAAAAUUUAAAUUAAGAAGAAAUUAAAAAAUUGAUCAAUAAAUUCAUAUUCAUUUCUUUUUUAAACUGUGUUUCUUUAUUAUAUUUAAUCAAUAAGAUUGCUUUAACAUAAAUUAGUAUGACUAUUUUACCCUCAUAAGGUAAAAGUACCAAAAUAUCUAAAAAUUUACUUUAACUUUAAUAAAUUUUUAUGCAAUUUUUUUAUAUUUUAAUGAUGUAUUAGUAAUUGUUAGUACAAUUAUUAUUACUCCACUAAACUAACAAGAUAUAAUUAGGACAUGUGGUGAAUUGAAAAUAAUUAAAUUUUAUAUAAUACAUAUUGGAUUAUAAAAUAUAAAAAAAAAUGUCUAAGCAAUUAGUUACAAUAAUAUAUAUAUAUAUAUAUUUCUUAGAGUAAUUUGGUAAUUUUAUAUUACAAGGGAAAAAUAAUCAAAUUAAAUUUAUCUUGAAGUGCUUCAAAAGUUAAAGAUUGUUAAAAGACUAAGUCGGAAAAAAUAAAAAAAAAAUAUUAUAAAAUUAAUUUAAUUAAUUAAUUAUUUAAAAUUUUUAUUAAUUUAAAAUUUUAUAAAAUAAUAUGAACUUAUUGUAAUUAUUUUAUACAGGUGGACUGGGUUUAUAAAAAUAGCGGGGUGGAUAUACUUACACCCUUGAAUUAAUAGUUAGUAUAAAUUUUAGAUACCCCCCUAAAAUUUGACUUUGCUACACUUAGAGAGAAUGUAAACAUAUAUUGACAAUAUACCCCCUGGUCGUGUAUAAGGGUUAGGCACUGGUUAGGUAGUUGAGGGCAAUAACGUACAUGUUGCAUAUUUUUUUAUUUUUAAAUCUUACAAAAGCUGCUAUACCGUAACUAAUUAGACAAGAGCAGCGAAAAUGCAUACAGUGCUUUGAAGCUAGGGAAGCCCAAGGGGAUAGUAACCCAUUUUCAUUGUCAAUGCCUAGCUUCAUUUCUUCUUUUUUCUCAGCAUAACUUGAUGAGUGCUUAGCUUCAUUUCGAAGGUCGUGACACCAACUGAUUUUAGCAAAAGCAGAGAUACUUUGUGAUGCAGUAAGCUAACAAGUUUCUGAAAUCAGCUAUGUUUUGGACCAAAUUCCGGCGACGACCAGCAGCUGAAAAGCCGGUGAUUAAAGGGCAAUCUAGGUGAGUAAUUCUAUCAAAGCUUAAAAUUGAAGUUAGGUUUUAUUAUUUUCUUGCAUUUUGUUGAAAUUGCUGUUAGUUAGGUGCUUUAUUUUUAGCUCAAAUUAAUUGAGAAAAAUGUUUAGGGUUUAUAGAAAUUGAAGUAGUGACCGAAUAUAUCGGAAUUGAUUUUUGAGUUGAUAGUCACUCAACAUGUUGUGUAAACUAUGAAAAUGAUUUAUUUUUUGAUGAUUUUGGACUCUGGUUUUUGAAUGCCUACUGAAAUUUGCUUGAUCUGUUAUUAAAAUUGAGAAAAAUCCAAUCUUUCUCUAAGAAUGCAGAGGUGUUGCUGAGAAAACGCUUAUGGUGUUGUUUUGUUUCUUUCUUUAUUUUACAAGUGUGCAGUUCAUGUAAGAUUGAGACAGUUGCUCUUGUUGCUUUUUGAUGUUUGUGUGGACUAAUUCCAAUCACUGAUUUUUGUUGGAAAAUGGAUGCUAUUAUUUGUCCUUUUCUUUGUGUAAAAAUUUGUACUUUGUUCCCAACAUAAAAUUCAGAUGCUUGCCUAUUACUUUUUGAGGUUGUUAUUAAGGUGUAAGAGAUAUAUUAGUUAUAGAGCUUGUAGGCAGUUGGUUUAUUGAAGAACUAGUACAGUUGAGAAAGUGUCUUUUAGGUCAUCCAUUUUAAUACACAUAUUAACAGAUUUAAUUACAUAAACACAAGACUUCAUUUGUUUAUCAAAGUAGUACUUUCUGAUGCUUUCAUAUAAUGAAUGCCAAAGAGAUGACAUUUGCAAAAAGGCCAUUUGAAUGUACCAACUGCUAUCCUUGUAAACCUCUAUUGUGAUUCUGUUAUCAUUAUAUGUUGUUUAAUGAUCUGAUGAUUUCGAGAUAUCAAGAUGAGUUUAUUCAUACAAUAAAUGUUGUCAUUAGGUUCAUAAUUAUUGUAGUACAUGUUCAUUUAGCUACUUUAGGUACUGCUACAUGCAUUUAUUGUAUAAUGCCUACUUAGCAGCCAUAACUACACCCAUUGUUGAAGCCGCAGUAGCAAAAAUGAGAAAAAAAACAUGUUUAGGAACAACGUUGUCUUUAUAUCAUUUUAUUUUACUCCAUUUUGUUGUGCUUUUUGCAUCAGUGACUUCAAAUCCUUCCUAUCCUUUUGCAUACUCAUUAGCAGUUCAUAAUUUGCUUGACAUGUUCCUAAACCAUCAAAUAUAACACCUUGGUCGACAUCAUAGCCACAACCAUUUUUGCUAUUCAUACAGCAAUAAUAUAGCUUGUUUGGGUUGUCAUCUGAUUCCGCUACCUUCAUAGCAGCUAUUUUGUAGCAUUUACUGAUCUUGUUUGAAAAUCAAAUGAAUUUAAAAUAUUCUCAUUUAUUGUUUUUUUGUAGCGUUCACUAAUCUUCUGAUAUUCAAUAUUGUUUUUAUAUAAAUUAAUUUAAAAUAUUAUCAUUUAUUUGUCUUAUUAUAUGAUUUUACGCUAUCAAAUUAUUUGUUUUAACAGGCAUUUUGUUCUUUUCAACACUCAAUUGAGUUUUGUCUUAUUAUAAGAAUUUGUAAUGUCAACAACAAUUAUCAUAAGGGUAUAAUAGCCUUUCACCCCCCCAGGCGCAAAAAAAAAAAUUGCCCCAAAUAUAAAGAUCAUCUACAGUGUCAAUUAAUUAUGAAGGGCAUUAUUGCACAUUCACUCAACUACCUAACGGGUGCCUAACCUUCAUACAUGGCCGGGGGUAUGUUGUCAAUAUAUGGAUACAUUCUCUCUAAGUGUAGCAAAGCCAAACCUCAGGGUGGUUUCUAAAAGUUUUCCUAAAUAGUUAAUAAUUUUAUACAACAGAUUCUUGGAUACCCCUCAAGUUCACUUAUUCUACGUUAUGGCUGACUUUCAAGAAAUUAAAUUCUACAUUAUGACCCCUAGGGAAACAACGUAGCCAAUAAAAUUAUAAAAUAUAUGUGUGUAAUAGUUGUCAAACCUGAACCUAUGUCGUUUAGCAAUUUACAAAAUGAGAAAGACGACAAAAGCCAAGUGUUAGAGUGGCAGUGAGCCAACGAGACAAGCUCAAGUUCACUGUGUUUUUGUUGAACCUUCUGAAGACCCGAAACUCGAGGUUUGUUUUUCACGUUCCCUAAUCGUUUGACUACAUUUUAAUUCUGUGCUACGCUCGUUAAGAACUGUUCAGGCUUAUGAACUGUUCAGGCUAAGUGUUCGACGAAAUUCCUAAGUGAGUAUAUAUUCUGUUAUAGAAGGUUUUGCUUUGGGUGGUUAAAUAGAGGAGAUUAGACAUUGAACUUUAUGCACUUGUAUGUUUUCAAGUAAUUGUUUGCUGAGGCACAUGUACUUUGAAUGGCUUCAUUCAUCUACAGAGAUAUCAUAACAUUUUUGCUUAAUGUGAGUCUUAUUGUUGUUAAUUUGUCCAAAGUGAAGGCUUUUUUAACUUUUAUUUCUUUGAUUUAUUUAUUUAUUGGUGUGUCGAAGUUCUGUCUCAACUUUAUUUGAUAAGUUCUUUCAGACUACUAAUUAGAAGAAAAAAAUGCUAGAGAGUGAGUAUGAGAGGGAAUGAUGUUUGGGCAAGGGGUGAUUUGUUCACUUGGCUCAUGAAGGACCCCAACUAUAAUGACAUGUAUCAAUUUCGCAGCCUAAUUGGAAGGUAAGCUCAUUUCUUGAUUUCCUUCAAUUUUCACUUUCAUUUUACUGUUUUCAAGUAGUAGGUAACCUAAAUAAAAGUAAAAUCAGUAGUGAUUUGCUUCAAGUGCAUAUGGAUAGUAUAUCACAUGUGAGAAGAUUGUAUUUGUUAUAUGAAAAUCCUUAAUAACUGUAAUGAAAAAAUAUAUUCUCAAACCUGAUCGUGGAAUGUACUAUUUCUUAAUAUCUGAGUUUGGAUCCACACAUUUUUUGCCAUGCAAUUUGACAAGUUGUCAUGUCCUCAUAUUCUGCGCUAUCAUAAGUUUUGCCAAUCUGCAUAGGUGUUUAAUAGAUUGAGUUAAUCUAGUUUCGAGAGCAUGCCUUACUAAAGGGCAUCGAGUUUCUAAGUGAGGGCAAGCACAACUAUAAUUAUCUAUUUCAUAUCCUCCCUAUCAGCGGGGCAGGUCUGUUACCUCUAAAUUCUUUCAAUAACUUGGGGACGUUAAUCCUAUUAAUGACAGCCACAUAUUAUAAGUCAAGAAAACUGAUUUUUUGAUUAUUGAAAAAUCAAAUUUUUUAUAUUAUUCUAUUUAUGAUCUCAGUAACCUACAUGUUAGUGAAUUAUAAGAAUAUGGAGGCAAAGAACAAAGAAUAUUUCUUAGGAUUUGAGACGUGUUUGCACACUUUCCUUUAAGGUUUUAUUUGCCCUCUCCAAUCUUAGUUUGCUAUAGAGUAUUAAUGGCAAAUUACCCCCAAGAUAUAUCAAAUCCUGAAUACAAUCUCUAGCAAAUAAGAUUGUAUUUCCAGAACAUAUAUAAAACCUACAAAAUCUGAUUUUUAAUCUUAUUGUAUGUCUUUCUUUUUAUGAAUAAGAUGUUUAUUUGAAAGAAUACAUCCAUUAGAAAUGGUACUUCUUCGAAAAAACUCUUUUGGUUUGAAAAUGCAUCGAUUUACAAUUGAAAUCUUUUCAAUCUUGCUAACCGUUUUUCAAUUGACAACUUUCUGGAAAUAAACGGUUAGCCGUUUUCUCAAUAAACGGUGAGCCGUUUAUUCUAGGACAUAAAACAUGCUCUCUGGACUUAAACGGUAAGCCGUUUUCACCAUAAACGGUGAGCCGUUUAUUCCAGAACAAAAAACAUGCUCUCUGGACUUAAACGGUUAGCCAUUUUCUCAAUAAACGGCAAACCGUUUUCGUCCAGAAUAUCAAACCAAACAGACUUGAAAGAUGUUACAAUCUCUCUUACAAUCCCCACUAGAUUGUAAUAUUUUUCAGAUUUAUUAAUGAUAAACUUAUACAUACAAAAGGUAUCUUUCGAUUUUAACCUUUAAUUAGUGAGUGUAUUUCAAAGCAUUUACAAGACAAUAGUGUGCUAAGCAUUAAACUUUGUCUCUUAAGUAAAUACCGGAGAUACAUCACAUAUAAGCUAUCCCAGAUUUCAAAGUUGUGUUCCAAUAGUUAGCACUAUUCCGGCCUUGUGCUCUAUCUUGGAUUCAUGAACAUUUACAAGAUUAAACUAUGACCUUGUUAGAAACGGCACCAUUUCUUAUGUUCACUUAGGUGAAGUUUCAAAUCAUGUCUUUAGCUACUAAAAGACUUGAACUUCAUUAAGAGUAAAUACUCAACCUCAAUCUCGUAGCUAUUUGCACCGAAUAUCUCGAAUGAGAUUAUUUAUUACUCGGUGUCAAACCAGUCACAUAACAACAACUUGUUAUUACCCAUUUAACUAUGGAGUAGCGGUAUAACUACUACAUAGUUGGGUUACCGUCGUUGGUGACUUUAUUAUAUAAAGGUUUCAAUCCCAUUCCAUAAGAUGUAUCCUUAACUAAGUCUCUUGAAAGACCUUUUGUUAAAGGAUCUGCUAGGUUCUUAUUAGUCCUAACAUAAACAAUAUUAAUAACACCAUCUGCUAUUAAUUGUUUCACAUAUUCAUGUCUUAAGCUAAUAUGUCUAGACUUUCCAUUAUACACUUUAUUAUAAGCUCUAGACAAUGUAGCUUCACUGUUGCAGUACAAAGAAAUAGAUGGCAUCGGUUGUGGCCACAACAUUAUAUCAAACAACAAAUUUCUCAGCCAUUCUGCUUCUUUGCCUGCAGCUGCAAGUGCUAUAAACUCACUUUCCAUUAUUGAAUGAGUUAUGCACGUUUGUUUCUUUGAAGCCCAAGAAACCGCUCCUCCAGCAAUUGUAAAAAUCCAACCAGAAGUGGAUUUAUUGUCUCUUGUAUUGGUUACCCAAAUAGCAUCUGAAUAUCCUUCCAGUACUUCAGGAUAAUCAUUAUAAAACAAACCCAAAUUAACGGUCCUUUUAAGAUAACCAAGUAUCCUACCAAUUGCUUUCCAGUGUUCAACACUAGGGUUACUCGUGAAUCUUGACAUUUUGCAAACUGCAAAUGCUAUAUCAGGCCUCGUACAAUGCAUAGCAUACAUCAAGCUACCAAUUGCACUAGCAUAUUCUAGUUGAGCUACUAUUCGGCCUGAAUUCUCUAGUAAUUUAAUACUAGAAUCAUAUGGGGUAUUAGCUUCUUUAAAUUCCAAAUAAUUAAAUUUAAGAAGCACUUUCUCUAUAUAAUGAGAUUGACACAACGAGUAACCCCCACUAUGUUUAUUCACUUUGAUACCUAAGAUAGUAUCUACUUCACCAAGUUCUUUCAUCUUAAAUUGUGAAGUUAAAUACUUCUUUGUAUCAUCUACUCCUUGCAUAUUUGUUCCAAAGAUAAGCAAGUCAUCAACAUACAAGCAUAUAAUCACACCAAAAUCAUUCGUAUAUUUAAAAUAUACACAUUUGUCAGCAUUAUUAUGCUUAAAACCAUGUGAUAAAAUUACCGAAUUCAAUGAAGCAAUUGCAAAUAGCACUCUUAUAGAAGUUAACCUAGCUACCGGAGCAUAUGUAUCGAAAUAGUCAAUACUAUUUCUUUACUUAAACCCUUUGGCUACUAAUCUAGCCUUAAAAGUUUGCAAAGAACCAUCAUUAUUGUACUUUUUUCUAAAUACCCAUUUGCUGCUAAUUGGUUGAGAUCCUGGAGGAAGAUCAACCAAUAUCCAUGUUUGAUUCGUCAUUAUCGAAUCCAUUUAAUCAUUUACCGCCUCUCUCCAAAAAGAAGCGUCUCUAGAAGACAUAGCCUCGCUAAAUGUCUUUGGAUCUUUUUCAAUAUUUAACAACAAUGGUACUUUGUUAAGUACAUUCUUUCUAUCCCCUUCAACCAAGAAAAGUAGUGCUUGUGAUGAAAUAAAAUCCGGAGCUAAACUCUUUUCUUUCUUUUCACGUUGACUCCUCCUUAGUUCGAAAGAUGUCGUAGACUCUUUCCUUUUAUUAUUGUUAGUGGAGGUAACAGGAGUAUUAACACAUGGUUGAUCAAUAAUUGAUUCUGAUUCAAUAUUAGAAUCAUGUUGAAAUUUAUUCUCAAUAAAUUCAACAUCUCUAGAUUCCACAAUCACAUUAGAAUCUAAAUCUAACAACCUAUAAGCCUUGGAAUUUUCAGCAUAUCCUACGAAAACACUUUUUAUACCUCUAGCACUCAACUUUGAUGACUUAGGGUCAUGUAUUUUAUAAAAAGCUAAACAACCCCAGACCCUUAAAUACAUCAAGUUUGGUUUUCUUCCUUUCCAAAUUUCAUAAGGAGAUAUAUGUGUUUUCAAAGAUGUAAUUCUGUUAUGAAUAUGACAUGCAGUGAGUAAUGCUUCCCCCCACAAAUUAUUUGGUAGUUUUGCAUUAAGGAUCAUGGAAUUUAUCAUAUCCGUGAAGAUCCUAUUCUUCCUUUCAGCCAAACCAUUUUGUUGAGGAGUAAAUGGAGCUGAUCUUUGGUGAAUAAUUCCAACUUCCUCACAAUGAUUAUUAAAUUCAAUUGAGAAAUAUUCACCACCUCUAUCACUACGAACCAUUUUGAUUUUCUUAUCUUUUUGGUUCUCAACUUUAGCUUUGAAAAUUUUAAAUUUAUCAAAAGCUUCACUUUUUGUUCUAAGUAAAUACACAUAAGUGUAUCUAGAACAAUCAUCAAUAAAAGUGAUGAAGUAUCUCUUACCUCCUCUUGUUAAAAUGCCAUUAUACUCACAAAUAUCAGUAUGUAUCAAAUCCAAUAUUUGAGUAUUUCGUUCAGCUUUAGGAAAAGGUUUCUUAGUUAUUUUAGCUUGGAUGCAGAUUUCACACUUAUGACCUUUAACAUCAUUGCAAUUAAUCAAACCAUGCUUAGACAUGUAUUUCAAAGAUCUAAAGUUCAAAUGUGCUAAUCUAGCAUGCCAAACAUCACAAGACUCAACAAUAUAAGCUAAGUUGAUAUUAUUAUUAUUAACGCUGAGUUUGUACAUUCCAUCACAAGAAUACCCUUUCCCAACAAAUAAUCCAUUCUUUGACACAAUACAAGUAUUACCCUCAAGCACAAUCUUAAGCCCAUGCUUACACAUACAACUAGCAGAAAUAAGAUUCUUCCUAACGGAAGGUACAUGAAAGACAUUAUACAAUGUGACUUUCUUUCCAGAAGUGAAGUUGAUCUCAACUACUCCUUUCCCUACUACUAUGGCUGCAUUAUUGUUCCCCAUGAGAACCAUUUGUCCUUCCGUUUCUUCUUUGUAUGAUAAGAAAAAUUUCUUAUCAUUACAAACAUGAAUUGUUGCACCCGAAUCGAGCCACCAAUCAUAGGACUUAGUUUCAGCCAUAUUGGUUUCAGUAAUCAUGCCAAUUUGCAUUUCAGAAACCAUAGCACAAAUCUCUUCAGAUUUGUUUUCAAUAACAUUAGCUUUAUGGGAAUUCACUUCUUCCUUUUUCUUCUUGAAUCUGCAAUCACUUUGGCGAUGGCCUUUCUUACCACAAAAGAAACAAUUUCCAGAAAACUUUUGUGUGCUGGACUUCUUGAAUUUCUUGUCAUUCUUGACUUUAAAAUUCUUUGAGAAUUUACUAGCUUCAACAACAUUAACUUUAGUAGAAUCAUGCUUAUCCUUGGAUUCACGAGACCUAGUCUCUUCUUCAAUUACCAAGUGUUUUUGCAAUUCUUCUAAAGUUAUGUUCUCUUUACUAUGAAGGAGUUUCUUUCUAUAAUCAUUCCAACUCUGAGGCAAUUUAGCAAUAAUAGCCCCAACUUGAAAUGAUUCAGAAAUUUCAACUUUUAACUCUCGAAGCUUAGCAACAAUAAUUUGUAACUCAUGUAUUUGAUCAAGAAUGGAUUUUGUGUCUACCAUAAUAAAUUCAAAAUAUUUAGAUACAAGGAAUUUGUCAGUACCUUCUUUCUCCGUUUUGUAUUUGUAUUCAAGAGCAUUUCAAAUUUCCACCGGAGAAGUCAUAGAAAUGUAGAGAUCAUAUAAUCUGUCAGAAAGCGUAUUGAGUAUGUGACCCCAGCAUAUCAAUUCAUCAUCUUCACGACGUUUCCUUGCAGCCUUAACAGCUUCAGUAUCAUCUUCUCUUGGUUCUGGAAAUGGUUCCAAUUUCGGAUCAAGAACAUAUGCCACUUUAAGAACAGUAAGGAGAAAGAACAAUUUUCCCUUCCAACGAGUGAAAUUAGUUCCAUCAAAACGAUCGAGAUGGACACUAGGAUUCAGAAAUGAUGUCAAACUCUUCUCAACCUCCAUUUGCAUAAUAAAACCUUAAAGAUUGUUAGUGAAUUAUAAGAAUAUGGAGGCAAAGAACAAAGAAUAUUUCUUAGGAUUUGAGACGUGUUUGCACACUUUCCUUUAAGGUUUUAUUUGCCCUCUCCAAUCUUGGUUUGCUAUAGAGUAUUAAUGGCAAAUUACCCCCAAGAUAUAUCAAAUCCUGAAUACAAUCUCUAGCAAAUAAGAUUGUAUUUCCAGAACAUAUAUAAAACCUACAAAAUCUGAUUUUUGAUCUUAUUGUAUGUCUUUCUUUUUAUGAAUAAGAUGUUUAUUUGAAAGAAUACAUCCAUUAGAAAUGGUACUUCUUCGAAAAAACUCUUUUGGUUUGAAAAUGCAUCGAUUUACAAUUGAAAUCUUUUCAAUCUUGCUAACCGUUUUCCAAUUGACAACUUUCUGGAAAUAAACGGUUAGCCGUUUUCUCAAUAAACGGUGAGCCGUUUAUUCUAGGACAUAAAACAUGCUCUCUGGACUUAAACGGUAAGCCGUUUUCACCAUAAACGGUGAGCCGUUUAUUCCAGAACAAAAAACAUGCUCUCUGGACUUAAACGGUUAGCCGUUUUCUCAAUAAACGGCAAACCGUUUUCGUCCAGAAUAUCAAACCAAACAGACUUGAAAGAUGUUACAAUCUCUCUUAUACUACAUGUUGCGAUUGUCUUGUAUGGAUCAUUGUUUCUCUUUUAAGCUGUUAUAGUGACAAUUUUUAGCUCUUAUUGCAGUUCUUAAAGUCAUUGCAAGCACAUGCUCUGUCGAUCUCCAUAAAUUCAAAUACAUAUGCAUAGUUAGCUAUUCAAACAACCACACUGGUAUUUAACUUCGAUAUUCAGAAAUAUGGCUGAAGUGAAGCUUCAUGGGGCAUGAGCGAGUGAAUUUUGUUACAGAGUGAUAUGGGCUCUGAAAUUGAAAGGCAUAGCAUAUGAUUACAUUGAAGAAGAUCUCUCUAACAAAAGUGCUUUGCUUUUGAAGCAUAAUCCAGUUCACAAGAAGGUCCCAGUGCUUGUUCAUGACAAAAAAUCAGUUUGCGAGUCCAUUGUUAUCCUUGAAUACAUUGAGGAGAUGUGGCCAUAGAAUCCCUUAAUGCCAAAUGAUCCUUAUGAUAGGGCUCUGGCUCAUUUUUGGAUUAAAUUUGCCGAAGAUAGGGUUUUGCUUCAGAACUCUAGCUAAUGCCUUUAUAAGUUCAUUAUUUUCAUGUUUAUUAGUUAUUAGAGAAAAUGAUCAGUAUCCCCCAUUGUAUGUCAAAAUUAAUUAUUUGUUCUUUUAUGUUUUAAAACCUAUCAAAAUCUCCAUUGUCGUUCAAAAAAUUCUGUUAACCUUCAAUUUUUUUGUCUUUUACUAAUUUUACCUCUGGAAAAAUUUUUAUUAAUAGGAAGUUGAAAGUUUAAUAGAAUUUUUUUAAUGGCAAGGGAAAUUUUGAUGGCUUUUGAAAUAUGAGGGAGAAAAGGAUUAAUUUACCAAAACAACAUUGUGGUUUUGUUGUUCAUUUACCCUUUGUCAUUCAAUGUAGUUGUUAACCUCUAGUAUAAGGGUGCUUGACAAAUGACAAGGAUAUGUAUUGGCUAAGUCUUUUAGUUCAUACAUAUUAUUAAUCAUGUGAUGAUAUUUUGGCGGGGAGCUACUGUUUGGAAAAUGUUUCGUAGCGUACAAGAUCAAGAGAAUACAAUGAAAGAAAUCUUGGAAAUGCUAAAAACCGUUGAAGAACAUGGCUUAGGAGAGAAGUAAUUUUUUCAUGGAGACAAGAUUGGCUUAGUGGACAUAGCAUUUGUUUCCAUUGUUUAUUGGUUGCAAAUCAUUGAAGAUGUAGCAGGAGUGAAACUAUUUGAAUUUCACAAAUUCACUCGCUUGCACGCAUGGUUUGAAAAAUUUAAACGAGUCCCAGAAAUUGAAGAGAACCUUCCUAAUUGGGAUGAACUAUUGGUUUUUUUCAAACGUCGCCGUGAAAAGUUGGUGGCCUCUUCCUCAUUGCAUUAGCACAAAAUUCGUGCAAUUGUAUUGUUGUCAAGAGGCCGCUCUUUGCUUAGUUUUUGAUUAUCUUGUGUGCUCAAUUGGGAGGCCCCGCUUUGCUGGGUACUUUCGUAUGGAUUUGAGUAAUAAUGGGGACUUGACUUUAUAUUUAUGAAUUAUUGCAUGUAUUUCGUUAAUUAUUAAUGGACUACUGACGGUUAUGUAUUGUUUGGGAAUUGUUUGGGAGGAAGUUUAAAAGCUGAUAUAUACUAAUGACUUGAAGAAAAGUCAACUUAUUUGAAGUAAUAUAACUCUAAAAAAUCAGAAGAAAAACUCUUUGUGGAAAAAGAUAGUUCUGGUAAACAUGCCCAGCAUUAAAGGGUAUUAUCGAAACUUAAAUGUGAAUGGUUAGAGCCAACAUGUGAACAGUACACCAUUAUGAAAAGAUUUUUUUUUUCGCUAAGAAUAACAAGCCAAUAGGACUUUAGUGAUUUUUUUUAGAUCUAAUUUCUUGAGAGACUUCUUCAUCUUCUUCUUCCUUUAUGGUUGGGGUUUCUUUCUCCAUUUUAACACCACCAUAGAAAAUUUUAACCAUCUAUCUCCCAAAGAAGCCCUUUCCCUUACUCUUCUCCUGGAAAACUCUCUAAUCUCUAUAAAACUCAUAUCUCCCUCAUGUCAUUAUUCCUCAUAAACAACCUUUAAUAAUGUUUUGUCCAUAUUAUAAUGCAAAUUAUGUAAUACUUCAUUUAUAUAGUGGAUUGGAGAUGAGUUACUCUUAUGGAUGUAGAUCAAAGGGCCGAACAAUGUAAAAUCUUAUGUGUUCUCUAUUGUUUAUGCUUAUUUUCUAUUUAUUAGGAUGAUGAUAAUACUCAAAUCGUAUUCCAUACAUGAGCUCAUAUAGAGGCAUAGCACGAGCUCUAUUGAGCUCCCCAGAUAAGCUCUAUAGUUAAAGCUAUCCUCGAAUUCGUUAGAGCUACUUCCUAAACUCUCUUGAGCUCCCCAAAUCAACUCUUUAAACUAAAUCCCAUGAGCUCCAUAGAGCUUAUCUCGCAAAACACUUCAAUUUACCUCUCAAAUUACCUCAGUUCACCUUCCAGAUCACCUUAGUUAUUUCUUUUGUCCUUAACAGUAGAAAAACACACCUAGAUUUUUACUAGCUCAAUCUCCCCUCAAAUAUAAAUUUAUUUAUUUAAAUUAUAUUUAACCUUGUUCUGGUGAGGACAACCACUAAAUGAUUCAAAUCAGAUCCUAGAGAAAAUCCGAUGAAAACAUGUAUCUAUGUAUAAUAUUUAACAUCACCCUAACAAUCAAUACGAAUGCACUUGGAUUUAUUCUUAAUAGUACACAAAGUGGAAAAAGCAUGACAAGCAACACUUGCACACUCGAGGCUCAAUAUAAGUACAAACGUCAUAAUUCCAAGCAACAAACAAUGACCAUCAUUACUAAUUUUUUCUGAAAGCCACCAAAUUGGAAAAGUACUGCCAAGCAAUUAAUUAACGACUGCGACUUGCCAUCCUAAGCUUAUCCAAUGCUGAGAGUUCAUUAUUCUUCAAGGUUUGGUUAAUGUAAAUAUCUUUUAGAGUAAUUUCAGGGUAGAGCGGAGGAUUUUCUUCUGAUAGCAACUCUUUAAUUGGACCAUAUCGUCUCGAGCAACUAUUAUUCAUGAAAAACUUCCGAUUGAAAUUCUGGAGCCUUCCUUAUUUGAUAACACUCUAUAAUAGGCACUCUUGAACUUAUCGUUGGUAAUCAGCUGCAUAAACACAAACACAUUGGUAAUCAGCUGCAAAAACACACACUUCAUAUAAACCAUAAUUAAGUUAUCUGAUAGAGAUUCAUGCUUGGGUGUUGACGUUUACAUGAAAUUUUGUAAGGACGAUUCUUUCACAGUAUUGUGAAAGAACGUUUCCGCACAAAAUUUAGUGCGAACGUCCCACUUGAGAAUUUUCAAUUUGAUGGAUAGUAUUUCUUAAUAAGUUAUCUAACACACACUUGCCUGCAUCAUGUAGCCUAAGUUUACAACUAGAGUUCCCGGAACAGGGGCAAUGUCAAAUCAUUGAUCUUCAUGAAAGACUUUGAGGCCACCAAUUUGAUCUUGUAUGAGCACAGUGACAAAUUCCGGGUCAGAAUGUGUUGUUAUGCCGAUGGACAAUUCUGGUUGAGGGUAUUCAGGGUAGUAACCAUUCCCAAUAGUCAUUUCCUCUACACAACCUAUGUCUUUCAGGUAAUUGGGGUCAAGCCCUAAAGCUUCGGAUAGAAGUUCAAACAGAGUGUCCCCUAUUUUCCACAUUAGGUUGUUGUAUGCGAUCAUUAUCUCUCUGCAAAUUAAUAAAGACAAAAAAUAAUCACUACUAAAAGAAAGGGAGAAUGACAUUUCGACUUUUAGAAAUUUUUUUUUAUUGGGUUAACAACUAGAUGAAAUGAGAGUAAUAAAAACUUAUUAGGAACCCAAGUGAUGCAAAACAUUUUAAGAAAGAUGCGAGUGUUAUCCACUGUAAAAGAAAUAAAAUCUAUUGGUCAUCGUCCACAUACCUGCAAGCUUCAGGCAAAUCUUCAGGAUUUGAAAAAUCGCGACCCAUAACACAACUCAAAGUAUCUUUCUGUUAAGGAAGCUCAUUGUGCUAAGUUUAUGAAGAACAUGAAGGCAAAGAAGUUCUCAGUCUUAGUCAGUGAAGCAAGUCAAUAGUGCCAGCUCAUCAGUGCCAGAUCAACAGAAUUAGUUACGGGAAUUAACAAGUCAGCAUAAGUUGUUAAUGCUUGUUACUAGUUUCUUUAGCAUGUGUAUGUAAAUAUCUUCAAGUAUAUAAGCUGUAGAAGUUCAGUUGGUAUGUAACGAAAAAGAAUUAAGAAAUAAGAACUUUGAUUUUUCAUCUGUAAAUUUUCUCUUGAAACAAACAGCCUUUAACUUUCUUUCAUGGUAUCAGAGCCAACCAUGGCUAGUUCCAGUACACCUAAUCAAGUUCAUUCCACAAACAAUCAAUUUCAAUCUACGCAAACUUCAUUUACUUUUGCUGCGACUGUAAACUCGAUCGAUCAAAUUUUCUUCUUUGGCGCAAACAAGUACUGACGUCAAUCAGAGGAAAUCGACUUGAAGGAUUAAUCUCAGAAGGUUAGAAUAUUCCAGAACAGUAUCUAUCUCAAUCAAGAGCUGACAGAUCUGUGGAGAAGAUUGAGAAUCCAGCUUAUGUUAAUUGGAGAGCUCAGGAUCAGACUCUGCUUAGCUGGCUUCUUUCAACAAUAAGUGAAGGUAUUCUAAGCUCAGUUCUUAAUUAUGAUACUUCCUUCGAUAUUUGGAGAUCCAUUGAAAAACAAUUUGGAGUUCAAUCCGAAGCAAAAAUAAUGCAACUUAGAUAUGAAUUGGACACUUUGAGAAAAGAAUCAAUGUCAGUUGAAGAAUAUUGCUCAAAAAUGAAAACUCUUGUGAAUAAGCUUGCUUGUGCUGGUGAUAAUAUAACUGAAAAAGAUCUGUUGAUUAGGACUCUUAAUGGAUUAGGAUCUGGGUAUUUGGAUCUAGCUUCCAUAAUCACAGCUAAUAAAAUGAACUUUGAUGAUGCGUAUGCACUGUUGUUGACACAUGAAGCUCGAUUAGAACAGAAUUAGAAUCCACAGCCUAUGUUUAAUGCCAACUAUAGUAUGGUGAAUGCAAAUUAUGCAAAUUCUUCGCAUAUGAGAGGUUUUCCUAGGAAAUGCUUCUAAUGGUCAAUAUGGAGGAAGAGGUCAGUAUUUUGGUCGUGGUAUGUUCUCUACUUCUUAUCCUAGAGGUUUUCCAGCUGGUAAUGGUGGUUUUGGUAGAGGGAAUGAUGUUGCAAGUUUUGGCAGAAAUCAGUUUCAACAUUUUCACAGACCACCACACAUCAGAAAUAUGUUUUCUCACGCACAUAAUCAAAACAAUUCUACUGGUGAACAUAAUGAACUGACACCUAUAUGCCAAAUAUGUCAUAAGCAAGGUCACACUGCUGAUGCUUGCUGGUAUCGAUAUGGUGAUAAUUACCUUCUUAAGAAUUUUGGCAUAGGUAAAAUGAUGGGAUCAAAGGCUGCUUAUAUGGCUAAUUUUGAGUCAUUUCCUUAUCAACAGUCAACAGAGGAAGAUUCUUAUGGAGUUGCAGAUAUUAACUACAGCUAUCAACCAGUGAAUUACUCACCUGUCUCUUCUUAUCAAUCUGAAGCUUUUACUUUCUCGGAAGCUUAUGUUGCUAACCUUGAAGGCUCAUCAGAUGAAGGGUGGUAUCUUGAUAGUCGGGCCACACAUCACAUUACAAAUAACAUGGGAAACAUGCAUGUGAGAGAAGAGUUCAGAGGUGCAGACCAGCUGACCAUUGGCAAUGGACAAGGUGUGAUUAUUACUCAUAUUGGUGAUGCUUGCUUUAGCUAUAAAAGUCUUAAUGCUGCCCACAAACACACACCUAUAGCACUUAAGGAUAUCUUAUUAGUUCCUUCUAUUACUAAGAACUUAAUAAGUAUAUCUAAGUUAACCACUGAUAAUAACCUUUCCAUUGAAUUUGUUGGUAAUGUGUGUUAUGUAAAGAAUUCACUGAAGGGACAAGUACUUCUGCAAGGUCUUGCUGAAAAAGGAUUAUACAAGUUGCUGUUACAAUCAUCUCAGUCAUCUCCUUCCUCUUUCUUGAGUCAAAUUUCUUCAAACAAGCCUCUGUCUAUGCUUUCUACAUGUCAUCUUCAAUUUCCUGUUAUAACGGAUGUCCAGAAUAAAGAUUCAAAGUCUGUAGCUUGUUAUCAAACUGCUGUCAAUUCUUUCUUUCCUUGUAAUGAAUUAGUUAAUAAAGUCAACUUGUUUCAUAGAUGAUUUGGUCAUCCUCAUUAUGAUGUACUAGUGCAUUUACUUAAGAAUGAUCAGUUUAUCAAUAUCUCUACUUCCAUUAUUAAACAAGCUGCACAACAAAUAUGUGAGGUAUCUCAAAUGGGUAAGGUUCAUAGGCUACACUUCCCUGCAACUAAAACCAAAACUUCCCACAUACUUAAACUUAUUUAUACUGAUUUGUGGGGUCCUUCCCCUUAUUCUUCCAGAGUUGGUUAUGUUUAUUACAUCAGCUUUGUUGAUGAUUUCAGUAGGUACACUUGAAUCUAUCCACUGAAACUGAAAUCAGAAGCCUUACAAAUUUUCAAACUCUUCAAACUGCAAGUUGAAAAACAAUUCCAGUGUUCCAUUAAAAAGUUACAAUCUGACUGGGGGGGAGAAUAUCGAGCAUUCACUGAAUUUUUGAACCAAAAUGGAAUUAUUUUUAGACACUCUUGUCCAUACACACAUCAUCAAAAUGAGGUAGUUGAGAGAAAGCACAGACACAUUGUUGAGUUAGGACUUACACUUCUAACUCAAGCUAAAUUACCCUUAAACUUUUGGUGGGAAGCUUUCCAAACCUCAGUCUAUCAUAUUAAUAGGUUGCCUUUUGCAACUUUGAAAUUUCUUACUCCCUAUGAAAAGCUCUUCAAUCAUAAGCCAGAUUACAAAAUGCUCAAGUGCUUUGGUUGUGCAUGCUAUCCUUACUUGAGAGAUUAUAAUAAGUAUAAGUUUGCCUAUCAUUCUAACAAGUAUGUCUUUAUUGGUUACAGUCCUUCUCAUAAAGGGUAUAAAUGUUUGCAUCCAUAUGGUCAGGUCUAUAUAGCUAGACAUGUCAUAUUUGAUGAGCAUUCCUUUUCUUACUCAUCAGAUUCUGUUUUCACUUCAAAUAAUUCAUGUCAACCUCUGUCAUUUACUCCUCAACAAGUGUAUCAUCUAUUCACUUUGUCAAUACCUUCUAAUUCAAAUGACAGUAACUCUUAUAAUCCUGUUUCUGUAAGUUCUACCAGCAGCAGUUCUCAUCAUUCAGUGAAUCAUACACAUAACAAUGACUCUCAGCCUUUGCCACAAAUAUUUGAGCCACAUACAGAAUCUCAUCAUUCCCUGCCUACUCAAUCAUUCACUACCAACACACUCUCUCCAUCACAAAUUUUACCAAACAUCAUUCCACACACCUUUGCUCCAGAAAAUACAAACCAGCAAACACACAUUCCAUGACCACUAGAAGCAAAGCUGGAAUCUUCAAACCUAAAGUCUAUAUUGCAGCACUUGUUCAUAAAGAACCAGAUUCUAUAGAAGAAGCUAUGCAGGAUUCUAAAUGGCUUGAAGCCAUCAAAGAAGAAUACAAUGCUUUACUCCAUAACAAUACAUGCUCUCUGGUUCCAAGGUUAGAUGGUCAGAAGGUUGUUGGUAACAAAUGGGUGUAUAGAGUUAAAUAUAAUUCAGAUGGAAGCUUAGCCAAGUACAAAGCUAGAUUAAUAGCUAAGGGAUUUCAGCAAAUUGAAGGGGUCAACUAUUUUGAAACAUUCAGCCCAGUGGUGAAAUCAACUACUGUCAGAGUGGUAAUCAAUUUAGAUGUUAUGAACAAAUGGCAUAUAAGACAGGUAGAUGUAAAUAAUGCUUUUCUUAAUGGAGAGUUGACAGAAGAGGUAUUCAUAGAUCAACUAGCAGGCUUUGUUGAUGAUAAGAAGAAAGAUUUUGUGUGUCAGCUUCAUAAGUCACUCUAUGGUCUUAAACAAGCUCUAAGAGCUUGGUAUGAGAAGCUGAAGAGUUGUUUACUGCAGUGGAAUUUUGUAAACUCAAGAGUUGAUCCUUCUCUGUUCAUAAAGAAAACAAGCUCAGUCAUGAUAAUGGUAUUGAUUUAUGUAGAUGACAUUCUAGUUACAGGGCCAAACAGUGCAGAAUUAAAAUCCUUUAUAGCUGAGUUCAGUAAAGUUUUUGCAUUGAAGGAUCUAGGUAAGUUGUCUUAUUUUCUGGGCAUAGAAGUGUUGUAUGAUGCAGGCUGUAUAUAUUUGUCACGAAGGAAAUACAUACGAGACCUGCUAUCCAAAGUGCAGUUUCUUGAGUGCAAAGGUACUGACACACCCAUGAGCACUGGUCUUAAGCUACAAAAGGAAACUCAAGGUGCUCCUACAAUGAAACACCUUCUAGCUUGUAAAAGAGUUCGUAGAUAUUUGAAAUCUACUCCAAAUUUUGGACUCAAGUUUGUUUAACAUGAAGAGAUGAAGAUUACAGGAUUCACUGAUGCAGAUUGGGCUUGUGAUCUUGAUGAUAGAAAAUCUAUUGGUUCUUAUUGUGUUUACUUAGGGAACAAUCUGAUAUCCUGGUCAUUUAAGAAGCAGUCAGUCAUUGCUCGAUCAAGUGCUGAAAGUGAAUAUAGAGCCUUAGCUUCAGCUAGUGCAGAGAUAAGCUGGUUACAAUCCUUAUUUUCUGAGAUUGAUUUGUGUUGCACAGAAAUUCCUACCAUUUGGUGUGACAACAUUAGUGCCACUGAAUUAGCUCGCAAUCCUGUCUUUCAUUCACGAACAAAACAUAUCGAGCUUGACAUUCAUUUCAUCAGAAAUAAAGUGAUUGCAGGGGAGCUGACAAUUUAGUACAUUCCUAGUGAAGAACAGAUAGCUGAUAUCAUGACCAAGCUUCUCUCUUUGGUUCACUUCAACUAUCUAAGGAACAAACUCAAUGUGCAGCCUUGCCCCUUGAGUUUGAGGGGGGCUGUUAAGGAAGCUCAUUGUGCUGAGUUUAUGAAGAACAUGAAGGCAAAGAAGUUCUCAGUCUUAGUCAGUGAAGCAAGUCAAUAGUGCCAGCUCAUUAGUGCCAGAUCAGCAGAAUUAGUUACGGGAAUUAACUAGUUAGCAUAAGUUGUUAAUGUUUGUUACUAGUUUCUUUAGCAUGUGUAUGUAAAUAUCUUCAAGUAUAUAAGCUGUAGAAGUUCAGUUGGUAUGUAACGAAAACGAAUUAAGAAAUAAGAACCUUGAUUUUUCCUCUGUAAAUUUUCUCUUGAAACAAACAGCCUUUAACUUUCUUUCACUUUCCAAAAGAGGGUUGGUGCACUAUACAAAUUUAAAUUUGAACAAUAUUUAAUUUUUUUGGAGUAAUCACGAGAAUAAUAUUUCUGCUUAACCUCAACAUCUUGUUGAAAAAAAGCUACGGAUCCCAUCAAUGGCCUGAUCCAAAAUGCUUGUUGGGAUUCCAUGAUUGAUCACUUGAAAGAAACCCCACUUCUCACAAGCACUUCUAAUUUGGUCAAUUACCUGAGAACGCAAACUUGAAUCCUUGAGUAUUCUUUGAAGGUCUAUGAUAGGGAUGCUGAUUUUGGGGUCCCUGCAGAUUGGCUUAUCAUCAAACUUAUGUUUAGUGUGACGAUCUUGAAUGAUGAUCUGUGGAAUGGUUGUGAUCCCAGCAUCUACGAGUCCUUUAACACCAGCUUUUGUGUCAUCAAAAGCUUUCAACUCGCUAACUCUGUCACAAGUAAUGCUUCCCAUUGCUUGGUGAAUUAUCUUUUACCUGGUGAAUUAUGAAGUACAAAUGCUGACUUGCGGGUGAUUGCUUUUGGUAUAUGCCGUUUAUAUGAUAUGAUUCCUAGCUUGCCACGUGCAACAUGUUGAAAUAUAACGAUAGCAUGAAGAUGUGGAAAUUUGUAAAAUUUGAUCCUGCGUUAUUUAUCAUGAUUAAAUUAAUUAUAAAUUAUCAAUAAUAGUCAAUUCCGGGGACCACCAAUUACUGGGUGGCACAUCACAAUAAUAAAUUAUCAAUAAUAGUCAAUUCUGCAUUAUUUAAUAUUUAUGUGGAUAAAAUUUCAAUUAGCUACACUACAUUGUUGUUUGAUAGUUAACGUUUCACCUUCUCCAUUUGUAAAUAUUAUUAUGGACUUAUAGUGUGGCUUAAAAGCUAGAUCUUAAAUGAAAAGAAAGCUUUAAUGGUGAAAUAAAAAUUUAAAUAAAUGAUAAAGGGAUUAAAGGUUAACCUAAUGUUAACAAAAAUAAUUGUAAAAUAUACAUGUUUUAUCAUGUUAAUUGAUGUUUUUCCAGUAUGCACAUAAAAAAGAUCUAUUUUACAAUUGUUUCUGUUGGCGUUGGGGCAGAUUUUUUUUUAGUCUAAUUAAGUAUAUCAUAAGUUAAUAAUAGUGCGUAUUUUAACUUUAAUAAAUUUGGCCACUUAGAUUUUUAAUUCUGACUCCUUCCCUAAUCAAUCAAGAAAAAGAAUGCUUUUCUCCAUAAAAAUUAAAAUAGAAAAUUCAGCAAGGACAUAACUGCGGAGAUGUUUGAUCCUGGAUUUAUAUAUCAAAGCAACAUCAAAAUUAUAAUAAUACUUCCUUGUUACCGAGAAGAGAUAUAUUCAAGAGCACUAGCCUUAUAAAGCCUUAACAAUACUAAACUACCUACAUGGAAUCUAAUGCGUACAUGCAAUGCUUUCUAAAGUGAAACUGUCGCUUGAAAAUAGAAUUCAUGUUCAGCAGCCUCCCUCUAUCCGAGCUCCAAUUUUAUAACAAGGCAGCUAAAUAAGAUGAUUUAGAUGGCAUCGGCAUCUGUAGUAUCGUUUGUCUGUAGUCCCUCAUUAUCUACGAUCUGAUCGCUCCCUAUAGUAUUGUUUGUCUGUAGUCCCUCAUUAUCUACGAUCUGAUCGCUCCCUAUAGUAUUGUUUGUCUGUAGUCCCUCAUUAUCUACGCUCUGAUCACUCCCUAUGUAGAGGAUCGACAAGAGAAAAUUGUAGCACACGUUCACAGCACUAAUAACUGUUAAACUCUUAUAGUACUUGUCAAUCCUACUAUAAUCCAAGGUUUCAGCAAACUCGCCUUUGUUUGCCAAAAUGAAAAAGAUGUUAAAAAUGCUUCCAAUUCCGACGAAAAAAUAACUUAUUGCUGAUACAUGGUACUCCAUCCGUUCAGGAAAAUGAGAGCUCGAGUAUUCAUCACAUCCAUACCAAGCAAGCCCUUCCAUAAGACCUAAUAGACAGAAUUGUGGAACAAGCCAAAACAUGCUCAUAUUUUCCAAUUGUUUGAGCUUUUCCAACCUGCGAACCUCAACCUGCCAUGCCACUACACAGCAAACUGUAGUCAUCACAUUUCCAAUGAAUGUUCUCAACACUUGAGCUUGUCUCUUUUUAGUUUUGGAACAAAAUUGAAAUUAAAUUUUUUGACAGGAUAAGAGAUCGUUGCACGAUUUAUCCCUUUAAAAGUUCGUAGAANNNNNNNNNNNNNNNNNNNNNNNNNNNNNNNNNNNNNNNNNNNNNNNNNNNNNNNNNNNNNNNNNNNNNNNNNNNNNNNNNNNNNNNNNNNNNNNNNNNNCAGAAAUCAUGUUGGCUCCCUGCUCAGGAAAAAAUGUAUUUCCUGCUGACAGAACCAAUCCAAACACAAUGAAGCUAGACCACAAUGGCAACAAUUUAAGAAGAGAUUUUGACUCCCUGACGUGGGCCACAGUGCAAAGUGUGCCUGCCUCUUCUUGUUCGUUAGAAGUACUUGAUGUCUCUAUAAUUGCCGCUUUGUCUAUCCAUCUGCAAUUCAAAGAAUUAAUUUAUUGGUAAUUUUUUAGGAAAAUAGAAAGCGACAGCUCAUGGUUUGGCAAAAGGAUCACCCAGACGCGUUUAUAAAUACGCCCUUUUGGACAAAUCUUGGAGGUCGGUGUGACUAUUCCCGAACACAAAAGGGUAUUAAUGUGUCCAUAAAGAGGUUUAUAUAAUUAUUAAUAAAAAUAAGAGGGUCUCCCCGACAAUUUUGCCAGACCACGGGCCGGGUGUGGGUGUAUACAUGUUAGGCAUAUACCUGAGUAAUUUGAUUCUGGGUGACAAGUGUAAUACGUUUCCCUCAUCAUUACUGAAGAACAGCUCCGGAGAAAGAGGAUAAUUGAGAUGCUUUUUCUUCAGGGAGGUUUUAAUAACGCGGAUUAUAGCAAAACGGUCAAUAGGAGGUAUUUGUCUACUAUGAUAAAAGGGAAUACCCAACAACAAGAGGAUCAAACUGCCCCCCAUAAACAACAAUGUGAACAUGAAAGUCUUCUUCCAUGUCUUAAUAUUAUUUGCAUAGAAUGCCGCAGCUGCACCACAGCACCAGGCAAACCGCCACCACACUCUUUUCUGAGCCAUUACUUGAUCCUCAUUUGAAUUUUCUGUUCUCCCUCCUUUACCAUGUUCUCUUAAUUGAUCGGCAAGAAAUGGUCCCAAAAGAGGCGCCGCUCCAACUUCACCCACUGCUAACAGGAUAAUUCCUAUCAUGUUGAGUAGCUCAAAGUUGGUUUCUGAAAAUUCUCUGGACGCUGUACAGAACAAUAGCCCCAAUGCCUGAAACGAAAAUUGUUGGAACUAAUUCUAUAGCAUGACAUUAUGAUCCUAGAAAUGCUUUUCUUAAUCAUUAUUAUAAUCAAAGUGGAGCCAAAAUGAAUUAAUGUCACAUCAAUUGUAAUUUAACUAUUGAGAUCUCUAGCAUUAUUUUUAUAAGGGUAAAGCUCCUAAUAUCCUCUUAUUAGGUAUGUGUGUGUGUGUAUAUAUAUAUAUAUAUAUAUAUAUAUAUAUAUAUAUAUAUUUACAUGCUGUGAAAUUUAACAUUUACUCCAAAAUAAUAAAUUUUUAAUUUAGCUCAAAGUACUAUAAAGUCCUGGGUCCGCCCCUGAAUAUAUAUAUUGCUUGCAAGGAUAGACAUAUGUUUUAAUUUCGUCUCUGUUUAGAAGUUUAGCAAAUUCAAAACAUAUUAACUUACAAGGAUGUAGGAGACAGUUGAAAAAAUGAGGAUUCUGAGAGGACGAAUGGCAUAACACGAAAUCCAGGCGGCAACAAUCGUAAGAGUUGCUAAUAUUACAUCCUGAACACUCGUAAAUAUUGCAGCUUUCUGAAGUGUGAAUACUUUUGAAUAUUCGGAGUCGGAGAAGUAAGUUAUCAAGACGCCCACUAUAGCCAAGUCUACGAGUUUGCGGCUUAUCAACAAACCUGGAAUCAAAAUAAUCAUUAGAAAAAAUGUUCGUGCUCACUAAAAAAAGCUUACACAUGAGGACUGCAAGAACAACGUGAGAGAACUAUUGUCAUGUUUUUAUAAUUUAGCCCAACCUAAUCAAAGAUCUUAAGUACACCUCUCUUAACUGAAAUUAUUCUAGGGGAUUAUCUAUUUAGGAAUCUCAAAGUUCAUGAGCUCUUAAUACAUACACACAUACAUAUACAUACAUACAUCAUCAUGUUGUUAAAGUAAUGAUGUUAGUAAAAUACAAAAAAAAUAUAUGUACAUGUAUUAAAUUGUAUGGUUUAACAGAAUUAGUACAAAUAAAUAAAUUACAUGAUUUUGUAGUGCAUUGAAAAUUAAUUCUAUUAAACUAUACAAUUUACUAGUGUGUCUCCAUUAAAAAAAAUAAAGACCCUCAUAUAUAUAUGUAUACAAGUUUAUGUUCUGAAUAAAUACAUUUUUAAAAGAUAGGAUUACCUAAGGCCCCACAUGCAAAAUUACCUGACAGAAAUGGAGCAGCCUUACAAAAGCAGACGUAAUAUCGUACCCAAGUUAUGAACCUGUUUUGAAGCUUCAACGGCUGAGAAAAUGGAAACAUUGUAGUUUCUGAAACUGCUUUUAUCUGCAAAGACUUCUACUCGUGAGUUGUGAAUCCCGAGACGAUGAAGAUUUUGUAAUUAUGCCAAAGUCUUUUAGGUAGUUUAUUCAAAUUAAAAAAUAAUAAGUCGCACUUCAAGACCACCUAUUGGUCACAUAAGUCUUUUUUUUUUCUUGUUUUGAGGGUUCUAAAAAGUUAGUUUAUUCAAAUUAAAAAAUAAUAAGUCGCACUUCAAGACCACCUAUUGGUCACAUCAAGACCACCAUUUGGUCACAUAAGUCUUCUUUUUUUUCUUGAAACUUUAAUCCAGCUAGGGAUGGCAAAAAUCCCCACGGGGACGGGUACCCUCGGGGAUUUUUCCUAUUUGGGGAGGGUAUGGGGAUAAUUUUAUACCCAAUUUCUUAUUCGGGGAAGGGACGGGGAAUUUUUUUUACCCAAUUUCUUAUUCAGGGAGGGGACGGGGAUGAGGUGGAAUCCCCAUCCCCUACCCAUUUCCCCAUUUUAAUUUUUAAUUUAAUUUUUAUUUUUUAAAAUUACUAGUAAAUAAAUUAUAAAAUUUGAAUUAUAAAAUUAUAAGUACUGAUAAAAAUAAAAAAAUAUCAAAAUAUUUAUAUUAUUAAACUUUUAGGUCUAAUUAACUAAUUAAAGUCCUAAAUUUUUAUUUAAGACAUUAAAAAGACCGAACAGAUUCUAUUAGCUCAAAACUUUUGUUUUAAUUUGAAUAUUCAUUAAAUAUUUUAAACUUAAAUCUAUUUUUUAUUUAUUUUUAGAUGUUAUAAUUGCCCAUAGCAAAUCACAAUUUUAAUAUCUAAUCUAAUAUAAUAUUUGCUCUUGAUUUGCUUCGACUUAAUUAUUGUGCUGUAAAGGGAAUAGUCCACAUUUAUAAAAUGCCCACGCCACCAUUGAAAAGUUAAUUUUGAAUCUAAAUUUGAUUUUAUUUGUAACAAUUUUGUAUUAGGCUAUUAAUUUGUUCAUGAUAGUUUGUAUCCCUUGCAUGUUGCGUUACUUACUAAUUUAAUGUAUGUGACUUUUGUAAUGGAUACUAAUGUAAGAUAUAUUUCGAACUUUACUUUUAUUUGAAUUUUUUUAUUUUAAUAUGAUUAACUCAAAAUCGAAAACAAAAAAAAAUGUAUUAGUUAUUCGGGGAUCGAGGACCCUCGGGGAUCCCCUGUUAUUAUUCGGGGAGGAGAUGUGGAUUCUCUUAAACAAUUUUGAUGGGGAUGGGGAGGGGACGGGGACAUACGCAAAAUAUCGGGGAUGGGUACGGGGAGAUUGGUCCCCUCCCCUCCCCUCCCCAUUGCCAUCCCUAAAUCCAGCUACGGUCCAACAGGUGCACCGUGCCCCUCUUUUUGACAGCACCCCUUACUUUCUUCUGUAUUUACAGUUUAUUAAAGUAAUUUCUUUUUCCUCUUUCUUUCACCCCUCACCUUUACAAUCUUCCAAUUUUUUCCAUUUUCAAUUAAACCUGUAAUCAACCAAUUGCAAGCAAUAAGAAAGAAGUUGGCAAGCUAUUUCUUUAUGACCUUAGGAUUCAUUUGCUCUAUAAUACACAAGUAAUAAUGAAUUGAAGUUUUUAUAUAAAAAAAUUACAUAGAUGUAAUUUUUUUACGCACACUAUUUAUCAUCUACAAUGAAAUUAACAUGUAAGUAAAUUGAUUUUUUUAUCUUUUAUUAUAUGUAUUCUUCCCCUUUCUCCCCCGUAUGUCUUUUCAUUUUCUCUUUGAAUAAUCUAACCUAAGGCUUUCUAAUAAUUGGUUUAUUGUUAUUAUUUUUAUAAGUAAACCUUCUCUUUGUUAUGUCAAUAGGUUUAUUUUUAAAAAAAAAUUCGUAAAUGACCAAAAGUGAGAACCUUAAUAAAAAUUCAAAACCUAUCUUAGUUUUUGUUGUCUUUGUUGAUGCAUCUUGCAUGUUUGAUGUCUUAAUUAUAACUAGUGAGAGUAAGUACUGUAAUACAAUGAUGAUUAAUGAUUAUUACUAAGAGUAUUCAAAGAAAAAGAAGUUGGUGUAAAAUUUUAUAAACUUUGAGUUUUCUAAAUUUUCACUAAACAAUAGGGAUUGCAUUAUUAAUAACUAAAUAAACACAUCCAUAACCUUGAAACUACAUUUGUGUUAGAUCCAAUGGUGGCAGUACAUAAAGACAAAAAGAGGGGCAUGGUGCACCCCUUGCACCGUAGCUGGAUCCUUUAGUCACAAAAUAAUGACUUACUGUACAGCUCAAUAAUUUUAGGUGGUAUGAAACACGUAUGAUGAGACGGUCAUAAUUACACUGUACCAUGAAUGAUCCUCAUUGAGUAUAUAAUCCCUUUCUUUUUUCAAACAAGAUUUAUGCUUUAAUUUUGGGAGGUUUGCUAAGUUCUUUCUCUUUGUAAUGGUUACGAAGACUGACAAUUUUCUAUUGAAGUUAUUUAUACAUGUAUUUCUUUUUCAGCAUGUAAUACAUUUAGGAAAUGAGUAAUGAUUAAGUACAAACACUUUUAGAUAAACAAUGUUGUACGAACUUAUGUGAUAUUUUUAGAAAAAAGGAUCUGAACAUCCUUAAGAUUUUAAAAAAUGGUCAUAUAUACUUUGAGUUUUCAAUACGGAACAUCAAGACACUUUUUGACUAUAGUAUUUUUAAUAGAUAAUAAUAAAAAUAUUGAAUUUAAACAUUUUAAUAAAUAUAAAUAAAAUAUAAAUAGUUUAAUAUGUCUAGUAGACUAAUAAUAUUAGAACGUUUCUUAAUAUAUAAAUAAUUUUUAAAAGAUAAAUUAGUAUAUUUAUUUUAAUAAUAUAUUUUUACUUAUUAUAAAAAUUGUAAAUAAAUCUUUAGGUUAGAUAGAUUUUAAAUUUAAUAAAAUACAUGUCAUGUACUAAUAAUAUUAAAACUAUUUUAUAUAAUAUUGAAAAUAAUUUAAAUUUUAAAUUUUAAAAUUAUGCUUCGAUUUAUUUUGAAAUUUAGUUUAAUAUAAUUUAAUGUUGUAAAGUAUUAAAAUAUUUUAAAAAUAUUGAAAUUAUUUUAAAAUGUAUAUAUUGUUACAUUUAUUUUAAUAUGAUACUUCUAUUUAUUAUAAAAUAUUAAAAAUAAUAUUUUAAUUAAAAGGGAGUUUUGGUGUCUCUUACUGAAAAAUAGAGUGUACAUAAUCAUUUUUUCAAAUUUUCAAGGGUGUAUAUGUCAUUUUUCUUACUUUUUUUAUAAUCAAUUGAAUAAAAAAAAGUCAUAUGGCCACAUAAAUUAUUUCUAAUUUAUAUUUUCAAUCAACAAAUCAUAAUGUGUCAUAUCUAUUUGUAUAAGCAUUUAUGAACAUAAAAAAUUAAGUUUAGGCACUAGUCUGGUUGGAAAUCAACUCAUCCAACCCAUGUAUAGUGCUAGUUGGGUGAGUUGGACUUAUCUCGAAGACCCAUUUUCUGUCUUUGAAAUAUCAAUAUGAAAUUAAAAUAAUUAAAAAAUAAUUUAAUUGAAACAACUAAAAAUAUAAUACAAAAUUACAAAUAAUAACUAUCCCUCAAACUUCAUUCUUAAUAAAAAUAAUUAUUUGUAUAGGAUCCUAAUUACACCAUAAAAAGUAAUAGGAUGAAUUCAAGAGUUGGGUUUGAAAAUUUUCAACACCUAGUAAAUAUAGUGCAUUUUCUCCACCCCUAUGAAAUUAGGGGUUGGCUUUCUACUUGAUUUUAAGCAGAGAAAAUUAUCAAAACUACCUUAUUGUUUGUUGAAACUAUAGGGUGAAUUUAAGAGUUGGGUUUGAAAGAUGCAAUAUGUUCAUAUGUAUAUAUGAACAUAUUGCAUCUUCACUAUCUUAUCCCCAGAAUUUUUGCACCAAAUCAUGGUACAAGAAUAAAAAUUCGCAACUCGAAUCAACAAAGUAUAUCACUAAGUUAUUCUGCAAGCCGCCAAAUUGGAAAAUGUCCCAAAUAAUUAAUUAACCACAGCGACUUGUAGCUUAACUUUUUCCAACGCUGAGAGUCCUUCAUUCUUCCCUAUUGAGGAUUGGUUAUUGUAAACGUCUGUUGGAGUAACAUGGGGAUAGUGCGAAUGAUUUUUUUCGGAUAGCAACUAUUUAAUUGGACCAUAUUGUCUCGAGCAACUGUUAUUCAUAUAAAAAACUUCCAAUUGAAAUCGUUGAGCCUCGCCUUCUUGACAACACUCUGUGAUAGGCACUCUUGAACGCGACACUGGUAAUCAGCUGCAUAAACAUAUAAAAGAACACUAUAAUUAAGUUAUAUGAUGGAUUCAUAAUAGUCAAAGUUGUGCAUAACAUCUACUUGCCUGCAUCAUGUAGCCUAAGUUUACAACUAGAGCCCCGGAAACUGGGGUAAUAUCAAACCAUUGAUCUUCACAAAAGACUUGGAGGCCACAAUUCGAUCUUGUAGGAGCAUAGUGACAAAUCCAGGGUCAGAACGUAUUGUUACGCCAAUUGUCAAUUUCGGAUGAGGGCUUUCUGGGUAGUGACUAUUCCUAAUAGUCAUUUCCUCUACAGAACCUGUGUCUUUGAGUAACUGGGGCCAAACCCUAAAGCUUCAGACAAAAGUUCAAACAGAGUGAAUUAGCAAUUGACGUUGUUGGAGAAAAAUAAGUUUUUAUUUUUUUUUAAAAAAAAAAUUUUUUAGAGUCGAUCUCAUACAAUAUAUAAGAAUUCAUAAUUUAGAAAUUGUACCUUGAAAAUAUGAGAAAAUGAACAAUCUUUGCUUUUUCUACUGAAGUGAAACUAAGCUCCCAGAUCACGAUCUGUCACCACCACACCUGUUAGAUCACAAUAUGUCACCACCACGCUUGUUAGAUCACGAACUAUCACCAAUGAUUUUCUAGAUUAUGACUCAGGUUUGAUCUGCACUUGACGUGUGGGUGCCUUUAUCACUAUCAAUAGCAAUUAGUAGGAGAAAAUUUUUCUCUCAAGAUUAAAGAGAAAAAUUCUUUUUCUCUGAUCUGUAUAAUGUGGCCUUAUAUCUUUUCAAGAGAAAAUAAGCCUUUUUAUAUCUUAUCUAGUCGAAAUCCUAAGCUUUAUAUUUUCUAUUUUUUAAUUCUAUUAACACAAGGCCCCUUACACAUAAGCAUAUUAUAUGGAGCCUCCCACUAAAUAAUAUAUUUAGGCUUUUAACCCAAAUAACUAGUUAUCUUGCUUAUUAAUCCAGUAACAGCACAAUCAAUUAAAUGAGCUAACCCAAGGAUCAUUUGAGAACAUACAAUAGUGGCUACAAUAAUUAGGCUUGUAAUCAAACUAGCCCAAUUAUUUAAUUCCAAAUCUACUCCACUAAAAGAUUGGAACUGACCUCCACAAUUGUAUGCUUGAAUAAUAAUUUAUCCCAAGCAACAUUGAUUUCUUUACUGCACAAUCCUUUGUACCACAUCAUUAAUUAAAUCGAUAUCUCAACUGUCCAAUCAAUUUAACUACAUCUUGUUCCUUGAUUCUUACUGGUUUUCUCUAAUGAUCAUUUUCAACAUACUAAAUAUGUCGACACACUCUGACCAAAGAAUUCUAUGAUCAAGUGCCGAAAACUCAUCAAGAGAUGUGUUGUACAAAUUCUAUAUUGUCAAUCUAUAACUCCAAUACUCAUAAUUGCUCUCAUCAAGAUACCAGAUAAUCUUGACUACAAGUAUGUGUCGUGCCCAUUGGUAAUUCAAAUGGAAUAACAAUUACAAUCAUGAAAUCAUAAUUAACUCAAGAUUAAGAUUACAGUAAAAUCAAUGUCUAUGAGAUUUAAUAAGUCUGACAGUAAUUACAAAGUUAAUUAAAUCUCAUAUGUUAUCUUGUUCAAUGUAGUCUUACUACAUCAAUAAAUUCAUACAUGAAUAAGACAAAUCAUUCAAUGAAUUCAUUACAGUCUAUACCUAAAUAAAGUACCCAACUUUAUUUAUCAACUGCGAAUUAAAUUUAUUUAAUCAUAAGAUAACUUGUAUUUAUGUCUUCUGUAAUCCACAUGGUGAUUCUUGUGCAAAUUUAUUGAACUCGCAAGUGCACGAAUAUAUUGUAGAAUAGAUUAAUGGUGACAAGUGUCGAUCCCACGAGAAAGUGGAUUUUAAUUAUGUGUAAAAUUAAUUUUCUAUGAGGGUGGUUGGAUUUGUGGUGAAAAUGAUUUGGAAUAUUCUAAACAUUAAAUUAGAAUGGCAUGAAUAAAUUAAAGCGAAAUCUAUUGAAAUAAAGCACUUGGGUAUCUGGAUCUGCAUUAACAUGCACCAUGUGCUAAAUAUUCUUUAGUAAUGCCAAUUAAAUCAUGAGAGGGGUUUCUACUCCUCAUGAACCACACUCUAAUCAAUAUGGUGUUAAGGGCUUAUCGUGGCAAACAAUAAUAACCUUGUACUAGGGAGUCGGUUAAAUCAGUGCGGUAUCUAGACAAGAUUAUUAUUAUUUGUCGACGAAAAGUCAAAAUAUCAACAAUAAUUAGAGGAGAAGAGAAAGUAAAUUUACUAAAUAAAGCCCAUGACACAUGUUGAGACUUCACCAACCCAAACUUGAAAGAAAAUUAGCUACUUAUAAUUGAACUAAGGGUAAAAUGAGAAUUUAUUAAAAUACAUAGAAAAUACAAGAUGGAGAAGGAAUUACAGAAAAUAGGCUAAAAAAUGAAUUUAAAAAUGCCAAAUUAGGGGGGACCCCCCCUUUUAAUAGAUACACUGAGUAAAUCAUGGCCAUCAGAUUAAAAACAUUUUGGACGCUCAAGAUUGCGCCAUGUCAUCGGUCAACAGUACGUGGUUUGACCACAUGGUUUGGUUUUAAAUAAUCUCGUGUAUAUGCAUGUACCGUACGCACUAUUUUUGAUCCACUAACAUGCUGCCACGUCACCGAUUAACAGUACAUAAGAAUUUUAGUCUAAUAAAAUUGUAACAUCUCAUCAGUCAAUGUCACGUCAUCGUUUCGUAUAUGUGAACAUUGUCGUGAACAGUAACAUGGACAGUAUCGUAUCUGUGAAUAGUACCGUAUAUGUGAACAGUUCCAUUUUUCCUUUUAAACUCCUCCUAAGAUUUUCGACUGUCCUGAUCUUAAAAGUGAUGUCUGUUUUGCUGUAUGAUCUCUCGUUCAUUGUAAAAUGACCAUGAUGCCCCUAAAAUACAUAAAAUAUUUAAUUAUAAUAUAAUACACAUAAUUAAAUCACAAAGAACUUAAAUACAUAAAAGUAUGAAUGUUAGUGAAACUUGAAGUGUAAAAUGACGAUUUUCUCCUUCAUAAAUAUACACUUUCUAACACUCAAAAGUGAUCACAUAAAUACAUAUAAUAUGAUUAAAUGGACUUUAAUCAAAAUAUUAAUGCAAUUAAGAUAUUUGAAUAAAAUACCUUAUUUAUUUUAUUAAUCAGAAAAAUUAUUUAUUACAAUUAAAUAAAUACUUAUGCUUUUAAAGAGCAUAUUUUCCCAACAGGCGUAUCUCAUAAAGCCAACUUUGGUGGUUGGGGUAUCCUGCCGUGCAACGCUGUAUCUCUUAUAGUCAACUUUUACGACUUGGACAAUUUGUAUUUUACCGAUUGUCCAUUGAAUUAAUUUGUUUUUGUUGAAAAUGAAUAUUAAAAAAAGAUUAAAAUAAAUAAAAUUAUAAAUAAUUAAAAUCACAUAUUGUCCCAGACCACCAAUAAAACCUCUAAAACUAAAAUUAUAAGCUCCUCCGUAAGAUCCACCAUUAUAUUUCUUAUUACCACUAGCAUUCUUUCAAGGAUUAAAAUGGUUUUGAGUUACAUUAGCUAACAAGUUAUGUGUGACAUCACUAGCAAUUUUUCCUCUUGUCUGUUCAACUCUAUUCUCCUGAUUUAGCAGUAAAGAGUAAAAUUCAUCAAGACUGAUCUUAUCACCUCCAGCUAACACACUGAUAACUAAAGACUCAUAAUCAGAUGAAUCUAGUCUAGUCAAAAUAUAUUGAACAAAAUCACUUAACUCAACAGAUUUUCUAGCUAAAGCCAGACUGUCAGACAAUCUCUUCAUUUUAACAAAGUAAUCAGUCAUAGACAUUGAUCUUUUUUUGAGUGUUUGAAUAUGCAUCUUAAAGGCAUUAUUCUAGCUUGAGAUUGUAAAGUAAACAUACUUGUGAGUGUAUCCAAAAGCUCUUUAGCAAUGGAGCAAUGAACGAUUGUAGCGAGUAGAUUUUGCUGAAUAGAUGACAACAUCCAACUCAAAACUGAUUGAUCUGUCUUCAUCCAGGCUGUGUAUGCUGGAUUGACCUUUCGAUUUUCAGUAAUAGUUGAGGACCAACUUCAGUGCUAGCUGGUGUGAGAAAUUACUCCGAACAAGUUUGAUCACCAUUAAUGAAAUUAUCCAGAUCGUUUCCUUUGAUGGAUGUUAAAACCUGAGUUUGUCAGACAAUGAAUUAUUAUGAUCUAGCUUAACAGGAUUGAUAAAACUAUAGGAUCCAGAAAAUUGAUUAGAACUGACCAUUGUAGGCUCUGUGAUCAUGAUAGAAUUUGUAAUAUAUAUGUCUGGAAAGCAAGAAAAUUAAGGAGAAAAAGAUAGAAAGAAAAGAAGAAGAAUUUAGAAUAUGUUAAUUGUUCAGUACAUUAAAAAUGUGAUUAUAGCCUUUGUAUUUAUAUUAAGUGAAAUGCUUAACUAUAAUUUGUUAUAACUGGAAUAGGUGCUAAACAGUUCGUUAGCUAGAAGGCUGAGAUGGCUAACUAAUUAUUCCACGUUAGCAAGAGCACUCAUGUAUGGUCCUCAUCCGUACUGUAAUUAUCAUACUCUGUAACAGUUCUUCUACAUCUUCUUGCUCUUCAGGACCAAGUGUACUUCGUGGGUCUAUAAUUGCUGCUUUGUCUAUCUAUUUGCAAUUCAAAGAAUUAAUUUAUUGGUCACUUUUUUAGGAAAAAAGAUAACGAAACAUAGUUGUUUGGUAAAAUAGUCAUGUGAACUCUUUCUUCAAAACAUAUAUAAAAACAAACCUUGGAGAUCAGUAUUGUCUAUGUGAUAAUUUCUAAAAAUAAGAGGUCUACCUGACAAUUUUUUCAAACCAUGGGAUGUUGGUAUAUACUCUUUAAGUAUGUACCUUAGUAAUUUGAUUCUAGGUGACAAGGGUAAUUCAUUUUCAUCAUCAUUACAGGAGAAUUGAUCUGCAAAAGAAGGAAAAUUUAGAUGCCUUUUCUUCAGGGCAGCUUUAAAAAGACAGAUUACAGCAAAACCGUGAAUAAGAGGUAAUUGUUUACUAUGAUAAAAGGGAAUACCCAACAGCAACAAGACCAAACUGCUCCCAUAACCAAUAUUGUGAACCUCAAAGUCCUCCGUCAUGUUUCCAGAUUAUUUGCAGGGAAUGCUGCAACUACAUUACAACACCAGGCAAGCUGCAGCUAUACUUCUUUUUUAGCCUUUACUUAUUUCUCAUUUGGAUUUUUUGUUCUCCCUUCAUCACCAUGUGCUCUUAAUUGAUCGACAAGACAUGGUCCUAAAAGAGGCCCCAUUCCAAAGUCACCCACUGCUAACAAGAUCAUUCCUAUUACGUUGAGCAGUUCAAAUUUAGUUUCUAAGAAUUUACUGGACGCUGUAUAAUACAAUAGCCUUAAUGCCUCCAACAACAAUAGUCGGAACUAAUUGUAUGGCAUAACAUUAUGAUCCUAAAUAUGCUUCUUAAUCAUUACUAUAGUUGGGAGCGGAACAAAAUUGAGAUUUAGGGGGCCAAGUGUAAUUAAGGUAAUUAUUUCAGGAUUAGAGAGUAUUAGUUAUUUUCUGGGGUUAGGGGAUGGGGUUCACGUUUAUGAAGCCACCAUAUAAAGAAAAACAACUAGUUUGAAAGUUGAAAUUACAAAUUUAUAUAGUGUGAGAUUAUUUCAAGCUACUAAAAUAUUUGUUAUUUUAAAGGCUAAUGAGCUUGCGGCUUUGAAAAGGUUGGAAUGUUAUUUGGUUGGAGAGGGACUCGGUUUCAACUUUAGCUUGUCUUACGAGUACCAAAUUCAAGCCGCCGUAGCAUCUGCAUAUCAUAUAAUUGAAUUGUUUGAGAUUUAUUCGUGGAAUACACUUUGCUAGUUUACACAUCUAGAGAGAGGGGAUUCAGUGGCUGAUAGUCUUGCAAAUUUGGAGUUAAAUCUUAAUGCUCAUAAUUGGUGGGAUAAUCCUCCUAUUUCAAUUCGUCAGAGUUUGCAUGAGUAUGCUUGGGAUAUCCCUAAAAAUCAUUUCAAAUGAGUGUUUUUGCAUUCUUUCUUCUCCUUGUUUCCUUAAUAAAAUUGAGUAUCAUAAAAACAAAAACUACCAAAAUGCUUAAUAAAUGUAUUUAUUCAAUAAAUUCAUUUAAAAAAUUAAUUUUUUUAAUUUUAUUUUACCAACCAAUUUUUAGUAUUCAAUAUGUCCUUAUUUGAAAUUCACAUAAUUCUUUCAUCUUUCUCUUUCAAGACUUUUAGGCUUUUAAGACUCUUUUACAUUCGUGUCUCCCUAAUAUUCUAUUUUUCACUAUUUCAUAAGCACAUCUUUCUUUAAAAUUGUGGGCAAUACUAUAUAAUUUACGUAUGUACGUAAAUUAUAAAUAAAUAGAUUUUUAAACGAUAUGAUUACCUAAGGUGCCAUGAGCAAAAUGUUACCUGGGGUAAAUGCGGCAGCCCUACAAAAACAGAUGUGAUGUCUUACCUGUACAUGGAAACGCUGUGGCUUCAGAAAUUGCUUAUUUUAUUUGCAAAUAUUUCCACCUGUGAAUCCUGAUUCCUGAUACCGUGGAAAUUUGUGUGGGCUCGAUAUUUACCACCUUAUUACGUCAAGGUAGUGCAUUCGAACAAUAAAAGUUUAUUAUUUUGAUAGGUUUAGUAGGUUUAAGGUGGGACCCCACUUAUUUAAUUAAAAAAUAAUAGAUAUAAAAAGUAAUAGUACUACUUCAUCACCGACUGAAUUAAAAAAUAACGGAUCUUGCUUCAAUUGUCUUUGAGACUUAACUAUCGUGGACAGACCGUGGAAGUCUACCUCCUUAUUUUUAAGUACAAAUUAAAGAAUGAAUUGUACUUACUAACAAGCCAAAAGCAUUUAUUGCACAGCUAAAUAUAUUUUAGAUGGUAUAGAUGACCAGCAAUAUAUUGCCAGUUAGGUGCUCAUACAAGAUCAUAUUUGGCUUAAGUAUCAUAAAUUAGGAUAACGCCUAAGAUUCAAACCUAAGUUCAGAGAAUGUCUAAUCACAAAACACUUUUUUUUUUUUUUUUGAGGAGAACUAUUACUUUUUACGCCUCUCAAAUAUUCGAGGGACGCCAACUCCCCUUUUGAAAAAAAAACUGCCUUCGCUUAAGCUCUGGAGCUCUAAAAAAAAAAUUUAAAUUAAACCCCCUACAAUAGGUCUGCAGGGGCUCAAACUAUUUCUUUCACACUUGUGAGAGAGUGGCUUUAGCCACUUAGGCCAAGCCCUAGUGGUUCACAAAACACAAUUAUAAACACUAUAAAAUCUAAAAUUGAAAGGAGAAUAAAGAUUUUACACAUUAAAGUCCUAUGAAGAACUAUAAAAAUUUUAAGGGACUAGCCUACCCGUCUUAGUUAUUAUAAGUAAAAACUACCUUCUAAUCAAAAGAAAAAUCCAGUACAGUGCCCGCAACAACGACAUACACUACCACUAGUACCACUAAACUAUUACCAACGUCACAAAACAACUCAAAUAUGAAUAUACAUCUCAAACAAUCACUGUUAUUCUACAAAAAUAGAGUAAAUCAUCGGCGGUUUAAUUAACAUUUAUUAAGGGCUCAAAUAAUAUUUUACAAAGGCUAUAAAGAGAGAAAAUUUUCCAUUGGGGGACUUUAGUCACUUGAGUCCCUUUAGGGCUUGAGAGUAACACAAACAGCCAAGACAAUAUAUAAUAACAAAAUGAAUGAUUAGAAGAGUCUAUGAAUAAUAAAGCCUCGUAAGGAUUGUGGAAAAUUUACUGGGAUAUUUAUCCAUUUUCAUUGGCAACAGGUCAAUAAUACAACUGGCAACUUCACUCACAAAAUGCGAAAAUCCAAUUCAAUAACCAGUUAACCACAAAGUAAUGGACUUGCAUGCCACAUUUCAAGUAUAUGAAGCAUAUAUAUUAGAAAAGUUGACAAAACCCAAAUUAUCACUUAAUUAAUUGUUAUUUAACCCCUCUCAAACUACAAGGGGGGAAAAAAGAACUUACAAAUGUGCAUGUGAAGAUUGUUUAUCGGGGCUCAUUUUGUCAAAGUCAUCUUCGUCAAUUCGAUCUGUUUUGAUUUUGGGCUUUCUAAUUAUAUAGCCAGUUUGAGCUUCUAACAUCCCUUUAAAAUUCUUGUGAAAUCCUACUGUUGCAUUUGUAACACUUGCUUUUAAGAAAUUAUUUAAAAAGACAGAAUAAUAUGAUAGAGUUAAUUAAAAUUUAACAUACUUUUUUAAAAUAAAAAAUCUAUCAUUAGGUAAUUUAUUUCUUCAUUGUCUCAAAAUUAUUUGAGUUUGUAUAAGAAAUUUAUUAUAUCAUAAAUUAGGAUUGGUGAUGAUACAGCUACAAACUCUUGUACAAACUUAUCUUGUACAAAUUGAUUUGACAUUAAUUCAUUGGUUGAAUGAAAACAUAAAAUAAUAAAAAUAGAUCAUGUGGGUCAAGAAAUAUUUAAUUCAACCAAUUUUAUCAUACCACAUCAGUUUAUAUAAAAUAAAUUUGUACAAGAGUUUGUGGCUAUAUUAUUACUCAUUAGAAUUUAAAGAUGGGAUAGUUCAUAAUUAGCAGGUAUAAAGAUAUUUUAAUCUAGUUAAAUUCAUAAUUGUCCUUCUCUAGCAAUAGAACUAUGUUCACAAAAAAUGCGGAUUUACAAGGAUUUUAAAGGGGUGUGAAAAGCAUUAAUUACUCUUACACGACAUCACCCAAAUAAUCAAAUCAAACGCACUCGGCUAGAUUUGUUCCAAGAUUAGACCUUUUGACACCCCUCAAAAUUCCUCAUAAAACCCCUUGUUAAUAGAAGUUACUUAAAUAAUCAAAGAUAAAUUAAUUCAUUUCUUACUUUAACUAGAAAUCCAAUUAAACAAUUAAAAAAUUUCUAUUAAAUUUUUUUUCACCCAUCCCAUUUCAUAAUUUAUAUUUAUAUUUAUAUUUUAGUUUUUAAUUUUUAAAAACUUAUAAGAGUUUAGAAUUAUGGAGAUAGAAACUAUAUAAUAAAAAGAAAAUAAUUUAAAUUUUAAGAAAUUUUAGUACUUUAUAAAUAAAACUUAAAAGAAAUAUUCAUUUAGAGUUGGUAAGAUAAUUGAUUUUAAUAUAUGAAUUUGUAUUUUAUAAAUUAAACUGUGAUAUUUUAAAAAAUAAAUUUAAAAGAAUAUUAUAAGAAUUUUAACGAAGUGUUAAAAACUCCACCCUUAUCUCAAAGAGUUAGUAUGCAAAAGUAAAAACAUAAGCAAUACCCGUUAACACCAUUGGACCUUUGACCUGGUGAUAAAGAACCUAUUGGGGUCACAGGUUCAAGUUUUUGUUUUAUUUAUCCAAAUUGAGUGAAAGUAACAUCAUUGAAUCAUAUAUUACAUAACUGCAAAAUCAUAGAACUAAAAAAUUUCGAAUUAAUUCAAACAAAUAAUAGAAGGGCAAUCUAGAAAUCAUAUUAUCUUGAACUAUUACUUUAUCAACUUUAAAUGAAUACUGCAACUUAAGUCCAAAAUCAGUACCAAUAAUGACACAUGGACAGCCUUAUUAUGCUGCUCUUGUUCUGUUUUCAGCAUAAAAAGCCAAUUCUGCUGUUCUUAAACUGUUUCUCAACAAGAUGGAACAUGAAGUUGUAUUCAAUGACACAUGGACAUUUCAUGAUUAUAAAAAAAUCUAUUUACUUCAGCUAACCUCAAGGAAAUAAUCUAGUAUUGUAGUCAGUGAUGCAUAGAAUAUAUUAAAUGAGAACAUAUUUUUCCAUAACAACGAAAAAGGAAUUGCUAUUAGAGCAGAGUACAUCAAACGGAAAGAUUACUCACAGUGAACACUGGAACUUGUGUGCCUUGCCUUCAAUUCUUUUCAAUUUAGAUUUGUUCAAGAAUGUGCAAUUGGUAUCAGCAAUUUUGGGUUGUAAGAAUAGAGACAGCAAACAACUAUCAAAAAAAAAAAUGUGGAACUUAGUUGAAGAAAUAUUGUGGAUCAUAUCAAAUGCCAAAUGUUGGAUAAUCUUUUCCAAAUGUUGAAUAACAAGAAAAGGGAUGCACACAAGACCGCUGACUGAAAACAGAAAUAAUUGGACAAAUAAAGCCCAAACCACAACUCAUCCUAAUCUUUAUGUUACUAAUGGAAGCUAAAAGCACCUGAGUCAUCAACUAUUUACAUUUUCUGAUAGAUACGGAUGCUUAAUACAUUCAUCAUGAUAUCCAGAAACAAUAAAAUUAAGCUAGUACAAAGAUAUCUAAAUGAAGAUGAUAAUAUCAUAGGCAAAAUAUGGUCCAAUUGAUUAGGAAAAUCAAGCUAAGGUCAUUUUUUUAUACUAAAUGCUUAAUUAAAAAGACAUCAUUAUAUGUUUUAUACAUGCACAAAUUGUCAUUUAUUUGAGGCAUGUCUAAUAUUUAGUGGAGUGACAAAUAUACUUGAAAAUUUAUAAAAAUUAUCAAAUAAUAUGUAAGAAAUAUAGUUAUUUUUGUUGUAAUAUUAAUGCAAUAAACUUUUAUCGUAUCAUAUCGGCAUGUUUAAAGAGGAAAAAAAAAAACUCAGAGACUCAAAAAAUCCAAACUUUAAUGUAUACCUGGCAUUUAUUUGUAGGCUCAAUUGAAGUACAGAAGUCACAAUUCCAAACAACAAACAAGCUAUCAUCACUAAUCCACCAAAUUGGAAAACAUCCUCAAUUAAAUUAACCACCGCGCCUUUCCAGCUUAAGUUUUUCCAACGCUGAUAGUCCUUCUGUUGAGGAUUGGUUAUUGUAAAUAUCUUUUAAAGUAAUUUCAGGAUAGAGCGGAGGAUUUUCUUCGGAUAGCAACUCUUUAAUUGGACCAUAUCGUCUCGAGCAACUGUUGUUCAUAAAAAAACUUCCGAUUGAAAUCCUUGAGCCUUCCUUUUUUGACAACACUUUGUGAUAGGCACUUUUGAACUUGUCAUUGGUGAUUAGCUGCAUAAACACACAAUAAAAAAAUCCACUAUAAUUAAGUUACAUGAUGGAUUAAUAAUAGUCAAAGUGAUACAUAACAUGUACUUGCUUGCAUCAUGUAACCUAAGUUUACAACUAGAGCUCCGGGAACAGGGGUAAUUGCGAUAUGCAAUUUCCUAAUUAAACUCAUGCAUGCCCGAGGCUUUUGUUUAUCCUAGUUUUCAAUAUAAAAAGAGGCGGGCAUCACAUAAUACGGCGGCAAGGAAUUAUCAUUAGAAAAAUUGGAGAGAAAAAGAAGAAGAAGAUCAUAAUUCAAGGGAACGGCUGCAGCAUCAUUGAAGAAUCCAGCAGAGUUAUUUGGAUUCACUUUUUACCGUUCUCGACUUAUACCUUUCUUCUUUCUCUAACUGAUCUAAUGUAUUUCAUGAACAAUAUGUUGCUGAUUGUUUAUCUCUUUCAGAAUAUGAACUACACUUGCUUGUAUUUGAGUGACAAACAAUCUAAUGGGUUCUUGACUGUUCUUAUGAGUUGCUAUGUCAUUGCUGUAGCAUUUUACUCUAGUAGCUAUUAUUAUAACUGUUAUUUUGGUUGACCACCCAUUUAAUGGUUCAAGUUAAGAUAGGACCGUAAAAGGGCAUGUCUUAGUGGAUAUUAUUAGAGUAAUACUUGAUCUUAAUUUAAGUUUCCUAUAUUAAGUUUAUCUUGAAUCCCAUAAGGGCCAUACUUGAAGUUAAGAUUUGUGAUAAACUAGACAUAAGUAUUCACCUUGUAGGGUGGAGAGAAUGGAUGUUCAUAAUGUCAUGCCAUAGGUAAAAUAGCAACUGGUCAUUGCUAAGAUGUUUACGGGUAUGAGACUUCCAAUAUGCGACAGCUGAGGAUGCAAAUUAAAUUCUGCCCAGUGCUAUAGAAAUUACUGUAGCAUCUGGUGUUAACUUGAUGAAAAGCAGUCAGCCCAUAAAGAGAGUUUGAUCAUUCAACUACCUUAUUCUCAUUUGAUUCUUCGAUGCAUUUUAUUUAAUUUGUUUCAUUACUGCAUUGUUUAACUUUAUUAUCUCACAAUUAUCAAUUUCAAUAGUAACCAACUUUACAUUUGUUAAUUUAGGAAUCAAGUUAGAUUACACUAUCGUGAUUGCUGUGGCAUUUCUAGUAACAUCAAUCCCUGUGGAGACGAUCUUGAAUAUUAAUCACUAUUACUUGUUGUGUACACUUGCACAUUGGCAUAAAUAGAAUUUGAUAAAAAAAUACCAACAAUGAGAUAGGGGUAAACUUCAGGAUGUGCUGCCGUUUUUAAUUGUUGUGCAGAUUCUUUUGAUUCCUAUCUCUAGUGGAGAACCAGAUGUGAUUUUGUGGGACCUUUCUCCUGAUGGUAGUUUUUCUUUAAGGACAACUUCAAAUAUUGUGCAUUGGACAAUGCCAAGUGAUGAGGCUUUUUUUGUUAUUUGGCAGCGACAUAUCUUUUCCUGGAUAUCUUUUUUUCUCUACAGGUUGUGACACAAAUUCUUGACCAAGAUGAUGCCUCGUGUUCGGGGGAUUUCUGCAUAGUUUCUUAGUAUCUUUGUAGUUGGGCUUAUGAGACUUCUAGGUAUUUUCUUUCUUGAUUGCCCUCGAUUUGCGCUAUGUUGCUUUUUUGUUCCCCCGUACUUUAUUUCUUAAUUGGUAGUGAUGUGCCCUUUCUUGGAGCCAUAUUCGAGUUCUUCUUCCUUGUUUCAUUUUGUGGCGAGUUUAGAAGGCCUGUAAUGCAUUGAAGUUUGACUCAAUGGCCUUUUUUGUUGAUGCUGUUAUUUAUCGAGCAAUGUUGGAUCUUAGGCUUGCCGAUUCUGCCUUUGGUCUUAAACCAUCCCAACUGUGAGGAGUUUGUUAGGUCCCAGUCAGAAUUUAGCGAGAAAUAACGAGUGAAUGAAUUGUUCUUCUUAGGGUGAGAACUACCACAAUUGCUAAUAGUUUUGAAUGAAUUGUUCUUCUUAGGGUGAGAACUACCACAAUUGCUAAUAGUUUUGAAUAAAAAUCUCAUAUGCUUUUAUUGCGAUUUUGGAGUCUAUUUAUAGAACAAAGUUAAUGAGAUAAAGUAGUUAAUAUCAAAUAAACUACUUCACUAUAAGUUCGAAGCAAAUAACAAUCUUUAAAGGAAACAAGUUUAAAUCUAAAUUCUCCACCAAAACCAUUCGGCUUGACGAAGGAAAACCUCCCUGCUGCACCCUUGAAGAGUCCUUGAAAGAAUCAACUUCAAACUCAGAAGCAUAUUCUCACUUAAAGAACAUACUUCCACGUGAUGCAUACCUCAUGCAUGACUUGCAUGGCUGCUUGCAUGUGCCCAUGCAUACUCUUUAUACUUGCUGUUGGGUUUGGAGGCUCGUUUGGACUUGCAUAGCUCCUUAUCAUCACCUCCCCCUCGAAGAGAACCCUUGUCCUCAAGGGUCAUGUGUGGAAAUUGUUGCUGUAGCAAUGCCGUGUCUUCCCAGGUUGUUCUCCUUUGUUGUCUUCUCCAUGUAGUUCCUCUGCAACUUCUUCACAAGUGAUCUCGUUGGUGUCGUUGUAGCUCUCGAGAAGCAGAAGUUGAGGCCCUUGACAUUUAUGACCCGCAGUGAACCGUUCGUUGCAAGUGAAACACAGUCCCUGAGCUCGUCGUCGUUGCAUUUCAUCCCACGGUAAUCUUUUGACAGGCACGGUUGGUGAUGCUUGAGUAGGUGGCAAUGUUGGCUGUGCGCGGUUGGAGGGUGGCUGGAAUAAUCUCCGUUGGCGUGUUAUCUGGUCGUCUUUCAUACGAGCAAGGCUGAUGGCUUCCUUUAACGUACGUGGCCUGAACAUCCGUAUAUCCUCCGCAAUCUCCGGUUUCAAUCCUCCCAUGAAAGUGCCUACCAACGCUUUCUGUGACCACCCAUGAACUCGGUUUCCCAACCUUUCGAAUUCCUUCUGGUAUUCUCGCAGAGAAUCUGUUUGUUCGACCCGAGACAGUGCUUCAUCAAAGUCUUCACAAUCCGUUGGUCCGAAGCGUGCCCACAGCUCCUCCAUGAAGAUUUCCCAUGUUACGACUCGUCCUUCCUCUUGAUAUGACCUCCUCAGCCACUGCCACCAUUGGUUAGCUUCUCCCUCUAAGUGGAAUGAAGCCAAGACAACUUUCUGGUCUUCUGUUGAUUCCUAAUAUUCGAAGAACUGGUUAAUUCGGUUGAACCAUUUGGUUGGGUCAUUGCCGGCAUAGCGUGGAAAAUCUAGUUUUGCCACUUUUGAUUGAAACUACUGUCGUCUACCAUCCUUGUCUUCACAGUUUGGCCGUGAUGUUGCUAUGUUAUUAUUGGUGCUUGGUGCGUCUUUGGAUGUGUUGAAGGACUCUGCAAGUUUGCUCAAGGUUUCCUCAAUGUGAGCCAACUUGUCGUUAAUUCCUACUUCCAUGCGCUGCAUCUUAUCUUGCAUUUCUCCGAGCUCCACUUCCAUCCGUUCGAUGCGUUCCUUGUUGGUUGUCAUCCUUGCCUAGCUCUGAUACCAAUGUUAGGUCCCAGUCAGAAUUUAGCGAGAAAUAACGAGUGAAUGAAUUGUUCUUCUUAGGGUGAGAACUACCACAAUUGCUAAUAGUUUUGAAUGAAUUGUUCUUCUUAGGGUGAGAACUACCACAAUUGCUAAUAGUUUUGAAUAAAAAUCUCAUAUGCUUUUAUUGCGAUUUUGGAGUCUAUUUAUAGAACAAAGUUAAUGAGAUAAAGUAGUUAAUAUCAAAUAAACUACUUCACUAUAAGUUCGAAGCAAAUAACAAUCUUUAAAGGAAACAAGUUUAAAUCUAAAUUCUCCACCAAAACCAUUCGGCUUGACGAAGGAAAACCUCCCUGCUGCACCCUUGAAGAGUCCUUGAAAGAAUCAACUUCAAACUCAGAAGCAUAUUCUCACUUAAAGAACAUACUUCCACGUGAUGCAUACCUCAUGCAUGACUUGCAUGGCUGCUUGCAUGUGCCCAUGCAUACUCUUUAUACUUGCUGUUGGGUUUGGAGGCUCGUUUGGACUUGCAUAGCUCCUUAUCGGAGUUCUAGGUUCUCGAUUUGCAAAGUGCUUGAGAGUUGUUGUUUCAUCCAGGAGGCUGAUUCUUUUAGUUUUUUGGUUGUGGUCACCACCUGGGGUGGUGAAGCUGACUAUUGAUGGUUGCUUUAGGAGUAAUCCUAGGAUGGCUGCUUCAGAUAGUAUUUUACGUGAUGAUUAGGGUGUGGCUUUGGCUGCUUUUGGUUCCUUCCUUGGGCGCUAACUGAUCUUUCAUGCAGAAUUCAUGGCUGUUUUUUAGGGGUUAGAGUUGGUGCUCAGCUCCAUUAUUCUGUGCUUGACGUAGAGUCGGACUCAGCCAUGGUGGCUUCUUGGAUUCUUUUCUAAGGCCUUGUUCAUACGGACUAUACCUAUUCUUUGCGUCGAGUGUGUAGUUUGACAUUUUCUUCUACUUCAUGGUUAGUCAUGUGCUUCGAAAGGCUACUUCUACUGCUGAUUUCUUUGGCCUGCUCUCUUCAAGUUCAUCGGCGUGUCUUGGGUUCUCAAGAUAUCUCUGCUGGCUUAUCUAAUAAUCUUCGUUUGAAUUGUGGGUAAUUUAACAUAUCAGGCAAUAUAAUUGAUUAUUUUUGUGUUCUAUUUUUUAUCUUGUAUUUUUCACUUUUCCAUUCUUAUGUUCUUGCAAUUGCGGUUUUGAUUUAUAUUCACCUCCUUAUGUAUUUGAUUCAUUCUAUGAUUUAUAUGAAAGAUAGGGGUCCAACCUAACCCUACCUUUUUGGUGGUUAAAAAAAAAGUCAGGAAUCAAACCUAGGUCAUCAAGGUGAAACAUCAAUCAGGUUGUAAAUUUAACAUAUGAACAUAAAAGCUUAACAAAACAUUUGAAGUUGCUUGACAACAUAGAAAUACAAGCAAAAAGAGAUGCUAAACAACACAAAAUUUUGAUUGGGUGGGAGUAUUGUUCAUGCUAGCAUAAUAAUGAGGUGCCUGAGAAUACCUAUGACUUUCUUGAUAAAUAAUAUCAUAUAAAAGGUUAGGAAUCACAGAUAAUUGUCCACGUAUGAACAAAUCUGGCUCAAAAUGUGAAAUGUAUUAAGAUUUUCAAACAUUUAAAUUAAUAGUUAAUAAUUUCGGACAAAAGAUACUUGGAGACCCUAAAGUUCACUGAUUCUAUGUUAUGGCUCAUUGUCUCGCUCAACAAUUUAAUUUCUAGAUUAUUUGGCUCCUAUCUAUUAAAAGACAACACCGUUACUAAAAUUAUAAAUUAUAACAGUUAAACCUAAACCUACGUCGUUUAGCAAUUUACAAAAGAAAAAAAUAUAACAAAAGCCAAUUGUUGGAGUAGCAACGUGCCAACGAGAAAAUCUCAAGCCAUGUAAUAUCCUGUGUCAACAACUAAAGAAGAACAAACCACCACCCUCUAGGCCGUCGCUGCACUAACGCUGGACCCGAUUUGAAUAGUUAGAAGUUGUAACAUUAAUUAGGGAUUGAGGGUAAAAUUUUGGACUUUGAUUUAAUAAAAUUGAUUUAAAUGAGUCCCAAUAGAAAUAUGAUUAUAAAUAUAUCAAUACAAUUAUAACAUGUUAAAAGAAAAAAAGUUUAUUUUCACACAAAACAAAAAACACAACCCUUGGAUGUGGGAUGUGUCUAAAAAAUAAUAGGGUGGAAAUAUUAUCACCCUCAAAUUAGAUAUAUAAAUAUUUAAUGUUUUACUCUUAUAAUUUUGUAUUUAUUUUUUUGAAUAUUGUUAAGAGAAAGAUAGAAAUUAAUAUAUAGACAAAUCGAGUCCUUUAUUUUAUUAUUCAUAUCCAUAAAAAGUAACCACUAUGCUAGUCCCACGAACUUUGCAUAAGACGGUAAUUUAGAAAAAAGAAAAAAAAAGGAACGUUUUUAGACACCAAAACAAAAGCAAAACAAGCACAAAGCGAGACAUACAAACAAAAUUUAUGCUACUGCAUUCAAGCAGAAGCCAUCAACUGUUCACGACGAAGUUUGAGAGCAACCAAUAGUUCAUCCUGAUUAGGAAGAUUUUCUUCAAUCACAGGGACUUGCUUGAAAGUUUCAAUCCAGGCAUGCAAGUGAGGGAAUUUGUGUGAUUCAAAUAGUUUAGCUCCCACUAUAUCUUCAAUGACUUGCAACCAAUAAACAAUUGAACCAAACGCUAGGUCCACUAAGCCAAUAUUGUCUCCAUUGAAAAAUUUCUUCUCUCCCAAGCCAUGCUCUUCAACGGUUUGUAGCAUUUCCAAGGCUUCCUUCAUUGUGUUUUGUAGUUCUUCUCUAGUGCUACGAAACAUUUUCCAAACAGCAACACCCUGCCACAAAUAUUUUACAUCUGAUUUUAUCACCGACAUGAUUAAUUAAUAAUAUGUAUAUAAAAGUGAAAAAUCGUUGGACGAUAUGUACACGUGUCACAAUAUCCUUUAAUCAGAGGUUUAAUAAGUUAAUUAAGACAGUUCAACCACUGAGUUGUAAAAUCUGUCAUUAGCUAGUAAAUUCACUUUCUCCCAAUGCUUCAAAAGUCAUCAAAAUUCCCCGUGAAGUUAAAAACGGCUGUGUUAACUUUAACUUAUUACAUCUUUUCAUAUUUAAGGAUAAAACAGUGAAGACACCAGAAAUUGAAAGUUUAGAGAACUUUUUACAAAUAAAUAUGAAGGAGACCCCUGGGUGGCUGGGCUCGACUGGCUAUGAAUUCACUUCCGCCAUCACCCGAGUUCGAGUAUAUAUGAAGAGUAAGAGUUAGUGUUUGGUGGGUGGAUUUCGUUAUCCUCGUCACCUCAUCUAGAUCUUAAAGUAAAUGAAUAAAUAAACACAUUUGAAAAGAAUGAACUUAAUCAUAAACGUGUUUGCCAGAGUUGUGAGCGAACCUUGUCUUCGGCGAAUUUAAUCCAGAAUCGAGCAAGAGCUCUAUCAUAAGGAUUAUUUGGCAUCAAGGGAUUCAGUGGCCACGUCUCUUCGAUGUAUUCGAGAAUAACCAUGGACUCACAAACUGGUUUUCCGCCAUGGACAAGCACUGGGAUCUUCUUGUGAACCGGAUUGUGCUUCAAAAGCAAAGCACUUUUGUUUGAGAGAUCUUCUAAAACAAAUUCAUAUGGCACGCCUUUCAAUUUCAGAGCCCAAAUCACCCUGUAAACAAAUGGACUCAGCAGUGCCCCAUGAAGCUUCACUUCAGCCAUGAUAAUUCUUAGAUUGAAUUUGAAUAUCAGGUUUUUUGGUCGAUCUUGAGUAUAGCUGAUAACUCAUUACACAUGUUUCUGAAUUUAUAGUGAUUUAUGGUAUGCACUUUCUUGAGCAGAAAGCUUCAAUUUUCCAUUAAUAAAACGAUUAAUGAUGAAUUCAAAGAACUAGUGCGAUGACUUUAAUUAAAUAAUUUUUUACGCUGUGUGCAACCGCAUUUUGAGGUUAAUUUAAAGGAUAUUAUUUUCUCCUCAUCAAAAAUUUUAUAUAAAAAAAUAUAAUUAUGUGAUUGGUAGUUAUUAAGUAAAAAUAAAAUAAAAAUAAAUUUUGACCGUAAAUAAAUAAAAGUUCAUACAUGUUAUAAAGAUUUUUGAAAACUCAAAUAAGUGGACACAAUUCCUAAUUUAAAACGCUAGCCAAUGAGAUCAAUAAUUUGGUCAACCAGUCAGAGAUAANNNNNNNNNNNNNNNNNNNNNNNNNNNNNNNNNNNNNNNNNNNNNNNNNNNNNNNNNNNNNNNNNNNNNNNNNNNNNNNNNNNNNNNNNNNNNNNNNNNNCAACAAGACAUUUGCCUUUUGUGCAUGUGUUCACAUUGGACGCAAAUAUAAUUUGUUAUAAAAAAAAUUGGACUAAAUUAUUUUUAAAUACAUUUUUUUAAAAUAAUCACCUGAUCAUAGAGGACCUGUUAUUUAGUUCGUGAAUCUUAUAACAGGACCCAUGAUUUUUUUUUUUAAAUCUUAUGGGUCCCCUAUUAUUUAAUUUGUGGAAUUGACGGAGGUAACUUACAAUUUCAUUUUUGUAAUUUACAGCUUUCAAUAAAUUCAGAUAAUAUUAGGCGUUAAAAGUCGGCCAGGCUGGAGGAGUAGAUCUAUAAAAUUUGCUACCACUUUGCACUAUCUGUUUGGUGCCCAGAAACACACAUAUAUAUCAUCCACUUUUUAUUUAACGCUGGGUUUUUUUUCGACCCAUAAUAAUUUCUCUUUGUACAUCAACUUUUUAAUAAAAACUUUUAUUGUCAAGAUAAAUUGUUAUUAAUUACUUCACUAAUCCUCCUUUUUUUUGGGCCAAUUUCUCUUUCGUAUUUGACAAAAUUUAAUUCACAUCAUGCGAUAGUAUGAUUGCAAAUAAAUUUGAAGUUAUCUCUCGCAAGUUGUUCAAAAAUAAAUUGACAUAUCUUGUGUAUAGAACUAAAGAACAAUAGCAAACCACUAUCCUCUAGCCGAUCGCUGCUAUUAGGACGGCAAAAAUAUGUAAAUUUGUCUAAACCCAUCUACAAAAAUCUGUCCACUGUGAAUAAUUUUGGAGGUUACGAAUAAGUUCGGUAUUUUAAAUUUAAGUUCGUUGCAGGUUACGGAUAGAUUUAGUAUUGAGAAAAAAAUUGGUGGGUGUCUGCCAACUAGCAUUUUUUUAAUUAUUUAUGUCUUUUAUUUUAAUCACAAAGAUUGUCUUAAAAAAAUUUAAUCAUAAAAAUAUAGUAGUUAAAGUUAUUACUCUAAUCUUCCAAAUUCCUAAACCUAACCUAACUCAUUACAGUUGCACACCCUAUUCCUUCAAGUAUGUAUGUAUGUAAAUGUAUACACAGGCACACACACAAAAAAUAAACUUUUAAUAAGUAGAUUUAGUAUUUUUCAAGUUUAAUAUUAAUGAUAUUUUAAUUUAAUUUAAUUACUUUUGUUUGUUUGGCUUUAAUGACAUGAACUUAGUGAUUGCUGGUUAAGAUUGGAUUUUUAUUUGUCUAAUUAAUGGUCAAUAGUUGUCCAAAAUAUAUUUGUUAAUAUUGUUGACAAUACUUGUAUAUCUAUAUAUAUAUCUAUAUAUCUAUAUAAAGCUAGGACUUGAGGAGGUGAUGUGGCAUCACCAUUUCUCAUCUUUGUAUAUUCUCUAUUAUCCAAUAAAUAGAGAAAUUUUCUUUUAGAUUUGGCUUUUUAUCUUCUCAUAAUUAAUUUAAUUGUUAUUACAAAAUAACAAUUAUGUAAAGAUUUUAAUGAGGCAUAUUCUUUGUAAUGAACAUCCAAGGGGGAGUGUUAUGAAUUUAUUAAAAUAUAUAGAUGUUCAUAACAUAUAUCUCUUAGUCUCCCCACUAUCUCCCAUUAGUAAUCUUUAGCUUCCCUAUAACUCCCACUAUCUCACAAGGAAUUAUGAUCCAUAAUUUUUCAUUAAUUUCAUGGAGUGAUUAUGUAACUAUAAAAGGAGAGCUCAUCGUUUUGUUUUGUACAUACACAAUUGGAAUGAAUAAAAUCACUCUAUAAUAUAUUCUCUCAUUUUAUUCUUUAUCUUGCGUUGCUUCUUUAUUUGUAUUGCUGGCUAAUAGCUUUUUUUGUUUUUUAUAAGGCUGCCUCAUCUUAAAAAAAAAAAAUCAAUUCAUAUUUUUUAUCAGUUUCAUCAAGUGUAAAGUAAGAAAAAAAGAUAAUACUAAUUUUUUUUUAAGCCGCGUAAAGCGCGGUUCUAUUUUCUAGUAUAUAUAUAAAGUUGGGACUAGAGAAAGUAAUGUGGCAUCAUCAUUUUUUAUUUUUUUUGUAUUUUCUAUUAUCUAAUAAAUUGGUUGAGAUUAAAAAAAUAAUUACAUUACAAAAUAUUAAAUUUUAGUGGCUUAAAUACUUCAAUUAUUUAAUAUAGGAAGGAAGGUUUCUUCAUCUUCCCUCAACAAUGCCAUUAGGGCCUAAUUUUAAUGUCAUAAUCCCAUAUUUAAUUAUGUAACCUUUUGUUUAGUGCCUUUUGGUUUCUUCAAACUCUAUAAAUAUUAAGUAGUUAUGACUUGUUGCAUCAUUAUUUCUCAUCUUUUUAUAUUCUCUAUUAUCUAAUAUAUUAGUUGAGAUUAAAAAAUAAUUACAUUACAAAAAUAUUAAAAAUAGAAAAUAAAUAGAAAAUAAUUAUUAGAUUACAUGUCUCUUCCUCUUUCUAUUUAAAUUCAACAAUAUGUAACCAUUAAUAAUAAUUAAUUAUAAGUUUUGAAACAUUCAUUUAUUUUAUUAAGCCAACAACUAAACUUUAGUGGUUUAAAAUACAUCAACUAAUUAAUAUAAGAAGAACGGUUCUAUUAACGUAUAGAAUUCGUAUAGCAUUUGGUUUUGUAUAUAGAAGUCGUAUAGAAUUCGGUUUUCAUAUUUAAGGCAAUUAGAUUUGUAUAUAUAUUAUGAAUCUGUAAUGCUUUUCUACUUAGGAUUCUAUUCUUUAGGAUUGUACAUCUAUAUAUAUAUGUAGCAACGUUAAUGCAAGACAUAACAGUUUCAUUCAUAAACUCUAUUCUUUAUUUUACAUGGUAUCAGAGCUUUACUCACUUAUCAAAUUAACGUUUGUUGAAUCUUCGUUAUUUUUUCUUUGAUUUUGUUUAAAUACUCAUGGCAGACGGUCAAUCAUCAAAACAAGCUGCCAUCCUUAAUAAACAGGAGGAUGAUGUCUUCCUUGUCCACCCAUCAGAUAGUCAAACUGCCGUAUUGGUUUCUCCUUUACUCACUAGUGAUAACUAUGGUACAUGGGUAAGGGCAAUGACUAUGGCUUUACGAGCGAAAAACAAGCUCGGUUUUGUUGAUGGAACUAUAUCAAAACCAGAUGAUGAUGAAGAUGAUGGUGGUAGAUGGCAACGUUGUAAUGAUCUUGUUGGAUCUUGGGUGUUGAACUCCAUAUCAACUUGCGGGAAGUGUUGUGUAUGCACAAUCUGCUAGAGAAGUAUGGCAGGAUUUGCAAGAGCAUUUUCAGCAGACCAAUGCGCCAAAAAUCUAUAAACUCAAACAUGCCAUCUUUAAUUUACGACAAGGAGAUGCAUCUGUUUCACUUUAUUAUACUCAAAUAAAGGCGCUUUGGGAUGAGUUGAAUUCUCUACAACAAGUAGGACCAUGUACUUGUGCGAAUGCAAAAACUGUCAAUCAAUUGCAGCAACUAGAUCGAGCUAUGGAGUUUCUUCAAGACUUACAUGAUAGAUAUGCAGCAACGAGAAGUCAGAUUUUGUUGAUGGAUCCUUUUCCUAAUGCAAAUAAAAUUUAUUCCCUUGUGAGGCAAGAAGAAAAACAACAAGAUCUUCACGCUAUAGGGGGAUCUCCAGAAGCUGCAACAUUGACAACACAAAGCCGUACUUCAUUUGGAAAUAGGAAUUGGAAUAACAAUUCUGCAGUAGAUAACAAAGGAGGAAACUUGAAUGCAAAUGGUGGCAGACCAUCGUGUGAACACUGUGGAAAAUUGGGCCACACAAAACAAAAAUGUUUUAAGUUAAAUGGAUAUCCGCCAAAUUGUAGAAGAUGUGGACAAGGUAAUAAAAAUGAGAUUAAAGUUGCCAUGGCAACAAAUAGCAAUCAAGACGUCCAAGCACCAAUAUUUACUCAAGAGCAAUAUCAAAAACUCCUAGCUAUGUUGUCCUCUUCAGGUAGUUUACAUACUGCGAAUCUUGCAGGUAUAGCACUUAAUUCCUCUUUAUCACAUACUUGGAUCAUAGAUACAUGCGCUACUAAUCAUAUGUGUAGUUCGCUAGAUUUUUUUCAUGCCUAUGAACCAUGUCAUGUCCCUCUUCACGUUCAAUUACCAGAUGGUACAAUAGCACAAGUUACUCACAUAGGGAAAGUCUCAUUUUCACCAGAUUUUUUUAUUAGACAAAGUGUUUUACAUUCCGAGUUUUAAGUUUAAUUUACUGUCUGUUAGUCAGUUAACCAAAUCAAAUAGAUAUAAGGUAAUUUUUUCUUCCAAUUUUUGUGAGUUUCAGGACCUAUACACGAAGAAGCAGAUUGGCAAGGGUAGACUUCGUGAAGGUCUUUUCUACAUUCAACUUCCAGCUGCAUUUUCUUUCACCUCCCAAAUCACCUCUACACAUGAGAUUGAUCUUUGGCAUUGGAGACUUGGCCACCCUUCUCUUGGACGUUUAGAGCACUUUUCAAAAACUUGUCCUAUGGUUAGUUUUAAUAAAGCAUAUGUUUGUGAUAUUUGUCCUAAAGCAAAACAAACUAGAAAGCCAUUUUCCAUUAGUAGCAUCAAAAGUAAAGUACCUUUUGAAUUAAUCCAUUGUGAUGUUUGGGGUCCUUUUUCAACUUCAAGUUUUUUAGGGGCUUAUUAUUUUUUAACCAUUGUUGAUGAUUAUACUCGAUGCACUUGGUUAUAUUUAAUGAAAACCAAAUUUGAAACCCAAUUGCAUUUAUGUUCUUUUCAUGCAUUGAUAAAAACUCAAUUUAAUGCUAACAUUAAAAUUGUGCGUUCUGACAAUGAGACUGAAUUUCUUGUUAAAGAAUUACAAAAUUUUUUUUUAGACAAAGGGAUUAUUCAUCAAAGAAGUUGCAUUAGAACACCGCAACAGAAUGGUGUGGUUGAGCGUAAACAUCGCCAUCUUCUCGAAGUUACGCGAGGUCUACGUUUUCAAGCCAAUUUGCCAAUUAAAUUCUGGAGGGAGUGUGUUCUUACUGCAGCAUAUUUGAUCAAUAAAUUGCCCAGUGAUGUUCUUAAUGGAAAAACCCCACAUGAAAUGCUUUUUGGUAUAGCACCAGAUUUAUCACGCCUAAAAGUUUUUGGUUGCUUGUGUUUUGCCAAAAAUUUACAAGUUAAAAAUAAAUUUGAUCAGCGGGCAAAAAUGGGAAUUUUUAUUGGUUAUCCUUUUAGUUAAAAAGGAUAUCGGAUUUAUGAUAUUGAAUCUAAGACAAUCCAUGUGUCACGCGAUGUUCUCUUUUAUGAACAUAUUUUUCUUUUUAAGGAUGUUAAAUCAUCGGUUUUUUCUACACCUUUUACACAUGUCACUGAUGAGUUUUUCUUUGAUGAAAUUUUUUUUGAGUCAAAUACUCUUUUAUCACCUUCUCCUAAUGAAAACAUAAGUUCAUCACAUGCUCUUCAUGAACGUGACCCACCUUUGCAAGACACAGAUGAAUCCGUGACCAAUUUUCAUUCUCCACAGCCUAUUGAACACAUCAUAACUGAAACAUCAUCUACCCAACAACCUAGUUCACCAGCAGAUGCAACCUUUGAUUCAUCACUUUCUUUAGGCAACCAAAAUAUCCAAACUCCCACACGACCCCAACGUGAUAGACGCCCACCAGCUUACCUUCAAGAUUAUUGUACAUUGGCUUCUCACAAUUCUACCCCUGCUGAUCUUGUUUCUUCGUCUCCAGGUAAGAAAUAUCCUCUUCAUAAUUUUAUUUCUUACCAUCGUUUUUCUCCAGCACAUAAGUCUUUUUUGUCUGCCAUUACCUCUACAAUCGAACCAAGUUUUUUUCAUGAGGCAGUCAAAUUACCUGAGUGGCACAAAACCAUGGAGGAUGAGAUAACAGCUCUUGAAAAAAAUAAUACGUGGACUCUGACUCAUUUGCCGGAUGGUAAAAAGGCUAUUGGCAGCAGAUGGGUUUACAAAAUUAAAUAUCAAUCCGAUGGCACCAUUGAGUGUUACAAAGCUCGUUUAGUUGCUAAGGGGAUAUACUCAAACUGAAGGCAUUGAUUAUCAUGCUACUUUUUCACCUGUUGCUAAGCUUGUCACUGUGAGAGCUUUACUUUCUCUUGCGGCUGUUAAGGGUUGGAUUUUAGAACAAUUAGAUGUAAGCAAUGCUUUUUUACAAGGAGAUUUGGAGGAAGAAGUUUAUAUGCAAGUACCACAAGGUUUUUCUAAGCAGGGGGAGCAUCUAGUCUGCAAACUCAAGAAAUCUAUCUACGGAUUAAAACAAGCAUCCAGAAAUUAGUUUUCCAAGUUUUUUGCUACCAUUCAACAAGCGAGUUUUCGCCAAUCUAAGGCAGACUAUUCAUUAUUUGUGAAAACUAAUGCCAAUUUUUCAACCUAUGUGUUAGUUUACGUUGAUGAUAUUAUCGUAGCAGGGAAUGAUGCUACCGAGGUUAGCAGAAUUAAAGAUUUCCUUGCACAAAAAUUUUACAUCAAGGCAUUAGGGAAGUUGAAGUAUUUUUUGGGGAUAGAAGUGGCACAGUCAUCACGUGGGAUUUUCUUGAGUCAGCGAAAAUAUGCCCUGGAUAUUUUAAAGGAUGCUGGUUUACUUGCUGGACGGGUUUCUCAUUUUCCAAUGGAACAACAACUUCGGCUUUCAUCUACGGAUGGCGACCCUUUAUCAAAUCCCUCAAGUUAUCGACAUCUCAUAGGUCGGUUGAUCUAUCUCAUAGUUACCAGGCCUGAUAUCGUCUUUGCAGUACAUGUUUUAAGUCGAUUUAUGCAUGAACCACGAACUACUCAUAUGGAUGCUGCCAUUCGAGUGCUUCGGUAUUUAAAAGGCUCACUAGGCAUGGGUAUCUUAUUAUCUUCAAUAAGUGACUUACAUAUCCGGGGUUACUGUGAUGCGGAUUGGGCUAGUUGUCCUACUACACGUCGGUCUGUUACUGGUUAUUGUACUUUCCUUGGUGACAGCCCUAUAUCUUGGAAAACAAAGAAGCAAAAUGUGGUCUCUCGAUCUACAGCAGAAGCUGAGUAUCGCUCCUUGGCUGAUCUUUCAUGUGAAUUACAGUGGCUCAAAGCACUUUUUGCUGAUUUGGGGCACUUUCAACAUGAUCCUAUGACUGUUUAUUGUGAUAAUCAAUUAGCUUUAUAUAUCGCUGAGAAUCCUGUCUAUCAUGAGCGAACAAAGCACAUUGAGUUAGAUUGUCAUUUCGUGCGAGAGCGUGCGCAAUCCAAUUUUUUAUUACUACUGCAUAUUCCUACUUCCAUGCAAGUAGCUGAUGUGUUUACAAAGCCUCUCGGACAUGCUCUUUUCCAUCAUCAUAUACGCAAGUUGGGCGUUGUUGAUCUCCACGCUCCACUUUGAGGGGGAGUAUUAACAUUAUAGAUUCGUAUAGCAUUCGGUUUUGUAUAUAGAAGUCGUAUAUAAUUCCGGUUUCAUANNNNNNNNNNNNNNNNNNNNNNNNNNNNNNNNNNNNNNNNNNNNNNNNNNNNNNNNNNNNNNNNNNNNNNNNNNNNNNNNNNNNNNNNNNNNNNNNNNNNUUGAGUACUCUUUUCUUCAUGAGUUGAACAAUGAUAAAGAUAGUUGGAUGAUAAGAGUUAGGCUUUGUAGGAUGUGGGAAUCUGUUAAUAUCAAUAAGAAUGGAGAAUUGAUUAGUGUGAACAUAAUUUUUAUUGAUGAAAAGGUUGUGUACACUUAACUAUACACAUUAAUAUAUAUUUUUAAAGUUAACAAAAAAAUAAUUAACUUUAAUAAAUAACAUUAGUUUUAUAAGGUUGCGUCAUCUUUAUCAAUUCAUAUUUUUUAUCAGUUUCAUCAAGUGCAAAGUAAAAAAAAAAAGAUAAUACUAAAUUCUUUUUUUAAAGUUGCGUGAAGCGCAGUUCUAUUUCCUAGUUAACUAAAAGAUAGGGCAAGACAUUAAUCUUAGUAAUGAUUAUUUGCCUACAAUAAAAAUAUUUUGUGUUAGAAUGAUAUAUUUUGUGUAUUUGUUUUAAUAUUGAAACUUUAAUUUCUCUUUUACAUUGAUAAAAUCUAAAAUUGAGCAAUUUAUGUAGAUUUUUUUGGCUGUUACUAUAAAGUUAUAUUUUGAAUUAUAUAAUUCAAAUUUUAGAUAUAAUUUUUUUAAUAUUUAUGAUUUUAAAUAUAAAAAUUUAUAUAAAAAAAAACCUACUGCAUGUUAUGGGUGGAUUUGCUAAUUAUUAGAAAUUAUAUCGAACGAACUAAGGCAACCGGUUAUUGGCAGCUUUUGUUAAUAAUGACAAACCCAUAAUAAGUGAUUCCCAUUACCAUCAGCAGCUUCUGUAACACAGGGCCGGAGGCGGUCUUGAAUUGUUACAAGUUGCAACAUUAAUUAGCAAAAUUUUCAGCCGCAUCCCUGCAGUUUAGCAUAGAAUUAGAUAUAUCCCCUUGUUUUCAAAAAAUUAGUCUCUGAUUCCCAUGUUGUUUACAUAUAUAUAUAUAUAUAUAUAUUUUCCAUUUCAAUUGGAUAUACAACUUCGUAAUGUUGCGCCUUGUAGAAUGUAUGUCUAAAAUGCGUGCUUCUUAUUUUAUAGCACCUAACAUGCAGCUUACUUCAAUGGUAAAAUUAAUUAAAUAAAAUAGAAAGAACAUUUUUAACACCAGUACAAAAACAUAACAAGUGUAAAAGAAGACUCACAAACUUAUUUUAUGAUAUUACAUUCACGUAGGUACCACCAAUGUUUCCCGACCACGUUUGAGACCACCAACUCACGCCGAUUUAGAAGAUAUUUUUUUUAUUAAAAGGGGCUCAACAAAACGAGCUAAGCCGGAAAAAAGUGGGGUUAAGUAAUCCCAAACAUGUCUUGCAAUAUAAUUGAAUAAAUACCCACAGGCAGGCUAGUAAAUAAAUGCAAACCAUGAGGAACUGAAUGAGCCAUAUUAGCCAUGAAAUCCGCAGCUGAAUUCGCUUUACGAAAGAUGUGUGUGAUAGAAAUUUGCCAGUUUCUGCUUAGUAAUUCCUGGACAGCAACAACUAUAGCAUAGAAAGCAUUAGGCACGACCACCUGCUUAGAAAUUAUCUGUGAAACACAGAGACUGUCCACUUCCACCAAAAGAUUUUCUUUAAGCAUAUAAGUUAAAGUUAUUACUCUAGUUUUCAAAAUUCUUAAACCUAAUCUAACUAAUUAUAGCUGCACGCCUUGCUCCUUCUAGUAUAUGUAUAUAUUUUAAGAUGAAUACAAUAAAUUUUUAAUAAGUAGAAUUUUGUACUUUUCAAGCUUAAUAUUAAUGAUAUUUUAUUUUAUUUUAACUACUUUGAAUUGUUUUGCUUUAAUGACUUGAACAUAGUGAUUGUUUGCUAAACUUGAAUUUUUAUUUGUCUAAUUAAUUGACGAUAGCAGUUGUAUAAAAUUUAUAAAGACAAAAUCUAAAUAGAUUACAAAAAGAUUUAGUAAUGACAAACCUGCAGCAGCCAAUACCCAUUACCAUCCCUAGCUACUAUAAUGCAGGGACAUGGGCGGUCUUAAUUGUUAGAAGGUUCAAAAUUAAUUAGCAAAAUGUUCAGUGGUAUCCUUGAAUUUUAGCAUAGAAUUAGAUAUAUCCACUAGUUUUCAAAAUUAGUUAUAUAUAUAUAUAUAUAUAUAUAUAUAUAUAUAUAUAUAUAUAUAUAUAUUUCAAUUGGAUAUAUAACUUUGUAAUGUUGCACCUUAUAAAAAUGUAUGCUUAAAAUGCAUGCUUAUUACUUUUUAUAUGCUGUUAAGAGAAACUGAGAAUAAAAAUAUGUAAAAUGGAGUUUCAUUUAUUAAUUAUUUAUAUCCAUUAAAUAGCACCCAACAUACAGUUCGUCUCAAUAGUAAAAUGAAUUAAACAAAGUAGAAAGAUCUGUUUUAGCAUCAGUACAAAAAUAAAACAAGCACAAAGCGAGAAUCACAAACUUAUUUUAUGAUAAUACAUUCACGCAAAUGUCACCAAUGUUUCCUGACGACGUUUGAAAGCGAUCACCAUCUCAUGCUGAUUUGGAAGAUUUUCUUCAAUUACAGGGACUUUCCUGGAAUUUUCAAACCACUCAUGCCAGCUUGGGAAUUUGUGAGAUUCAAAUAGUUUCACUCCCAUUACAUCUUCAAGGACCUGCAACCAAUAAGCAAUGGCUCCAAAUGCUAGGUCCGCUAAGCCAAUAUUGUCUCCAUUGAAAAACUUCUUCUCUCCUAGGCCAUGUUUUUCAACGGUUUGAAGCAUUUCCAAUGCUGCCUUCACUGCAUUCUCCAGGUCUUGUCCAGUGCUGAAAAACAUUUUCCAGACAGCUACUCCCUGCCACAAGAUUUUAUAUCUAAUUCUUACCACCACGUGAUUAAUAAUAUAUAUGAGGUAAAAAGAAAUUAGAUAAUAUGUACACACGCGUCAAAGUAUCUUUUAAAGCCUAGACGUUUCAUUUUUUCAAACUGUCAAAGUAUUUAGGAGAGUUUAUCCACUAAUUUUUAGACUAGUUUAGUAUAAUUUUUCAGAACUUAUUUAAGUAGAAUUUUUAAUUUUUAUAAAAAAAAAUUAGUUAUUUAAUUGUUAAUGAAAAUUUUUAUUAAAAUUUUUCAAAUUAUUUUAAUAGAUAAAUUUUUAAAGUUAUGUUAUGAAAUAAAUAAAAUAAGAUUAUAAAAUAAAUGAUGAAUAUUUUAAACAAUUUAACAUUUUUAAAAAAUCCUAAACCCUCUAUUUCCAAAAGUGUAAAUUUAAACUUUUAUUAAUAUAGGCAAAAGAAUUUAUUUAAUCCCAAUAAGCUUUACUAAAAAUAAAACUAAACAAUAAUAAAAAUUUUGAAAAGAGUUUUUUUAUUAAAUAAACACGUAUGAGUAAUAAAUAAGCCAUAUCAAACAAAUACUUAAUGAAAUAAAAGGAAAAAGAUAAAAAAAAAUCCUCUUAUUGUUUUAGUAAAUUAUAAUUUUACUUUCAUGUUUCAAAAGUCCUUAAAAUUCCCCCAUCGCUAAAACAAUUAUGUUUUAAUAUUUUACCCUUGAUGCAGUAAAAUCCACGGUUAAUUAAGAAAAUUUUCUAAAGAUAAAAAUUUAAAGUAAUUAACCGAUUUUUUUUGAUAAUUUUCUGUAAUGUAAAAUAAAAGUUUAGAGAGUCAUAUUUCUCAAAUACCAUGGAAAUGGUGCUGAGUUUGUUCUUACUCAAGGGCCACGGGUUAUAUUGGGUCAUUAUUUGAAUGUUCAGCAAUGGAGUCCACAAUUUGAUUGCUUUAAGGAGAAAAUCGAGAAGAUUACGGCUUGGAUCCGUCUCCACGGCAUGCCAUUGCACUACUAUCAUAAAAAAUUAUUCGUCUGUUGGGGAAUGUAGUAGGAACAGUGCUCAAAAUUGACUAUAACACGGAACUAGUCACUCGGGGAAAAUUUGCUCGGAUUGCCGUCGAGGUUAAUCUUGACAGACCGUUAGUUUCACAGUUUCUAUUGGAUGGGAAGAUUCAGAAAGUGGAAUAUGAAUCCCUCCCGACUAUUUGUUUUAGUUGCGGAAGGUAUGGUCACGUGAUUUCAUCCUGCCCAAAAAGGUCGAAUAUUGGGAAUCCUGAGGCUAAUGUUGAUCCACAGAACUCAAACGAUCUCUCAAGCAGCAAGUUACCAUCAGCUCCGACUGCAGAGAAAGCUACCCCAAGCGAUCCUCGCUAUGGUCUAUGGAUGGUGGUUACCCGAAAAAGAAGGAAUCAGUAUGGGAAAGAGAAGGAGAAACUUCAAGAUUAUGCUAAUAAUCAAAAAGGCAACUUCAAUCAAGGAUCUCGAUUCGGGGCCCUGCUGGAAGAUGACGAUGGAAAAGAGAACCAAGGUGUAGAAAAUGAAUCCUCAGUUGCCAUGUUGAGGAGCCACGUGCCCGCAAACACAAAUUUACAGGAUUUGAUAGGUACCAAGCAUCUCAAACCAAGGAAAAAUAGCCGUGCCUUUAAACAAGCCACUAAACAGACCUUACAAGCCCAAAGAAGAAAAACCCAAGAUUCUAUGAAAGCCCAUAACACAGCCAAUCCUACCGAAAAGUCACUAAACAACCCCAUGCAAAACCUACACAUUCUACGUACUCAAACUAAAGACCAUGAAGUACAGCCCUCCCUGACUCCAUAUUUCCUCCUUAAAUCAAUUUCAAAUAAUUUUUUUGCCCCGCUGUUAAUUUUUUUAGUUUUACUAAAUUUAAAAUUUUCUGUGGUUCGACUUCGGUCUCACCGGGUUAUAUUAUAACUAGACAUUCUUAUACUUGAGAGUAAUACACUUUUGAGUCGUGUCAAGUUUUUGGCACCGUUAUCGGGGAGUUUUCUAAAUUUGUUAUUAGUUUGUCUUUACUUUAUUUUUAUUUAUUUUUAAUUUUUUUUGUUUUGUCGUUACCAUCUUUCCGUGAUUCUAUUUUAUUCUCUUUUUGUAAAACUUCAGUUAGCACUGCUCUUCUUUUCAAACCUUAACAUUAUCCAUAAAAUUUGCGAGAAACUUCAUCUUAGCCCAGAAAUCUUUGCAAAUCAGUCCCCAAAUCAAAUUUAUUUCUUUUAAUUUCUGUAAUUUACUUUCCGCAUUUAUUUUAAAUGGUCGGUUCUACCGCCUAGCAUUUUAAUUUCAGUUUAUUUAUUUUUGUGCAUUAAUUUAUUUAAUUUUAUGUUUUAUUAUAUGGUUGGUUUUAAAAUACCGCCUAAACUGUUUCUUUUAAUGGCUGGUUUCACCGCCUAAUUUAUUUAUUUAUUUUUCAGUUUGUUUAUUUUUCCUUAUCAUUUUUUUUGCUUAUUUAAUUUCCAGUUUAUUUUUAUUUCUGCAAUUUUCAUUUAGUCUUUUUGCAUCAUUAGUUUAGCACACAUCAUUAGCAUUGCAUGCGUCGUUGGUCUCGUACAAAUAGUGGUAGAUUAAUUAGAAAAUCACAUUCACCACCCUUAAAUAUGGCUGACAUAGGAGCUGAAAAUUUUUCGGAGCACGAAAAUGACCAAGCCUUGCAAAAUCUUCAUGAACAACCUAGGACCCUUAGAUACUUCAUGCAUCCUACUAGAACAGGGUCACCAUCAUGCAUAGUUUUCCCUCCUGAUGUAUCACGUUUUAAUUUCAAACAUGGUAUCAUUCAACUUCUUCCUACUUUUUAUGGUUUUGAGUCUGAAAAUCCAUAUUUGCAUUUAAGGGAAUUUGAGGAAGUCUGUAACACAUGUACUGAUUAAAAUUGUAGCAUGAAUAUAAUCAGGCUUAAGUUUUUUCCUUUCUCACUUAAGGAUAAAGCUAAAACUUGGUUACAAAAUCUUAGGUCAGAAUCCAUCAGAACUUAGGAUGAAAUGCAAGCACAAUUUUUGAAAAAAUUAUUCCCACCCCACAUAACAAAUUCUUUCAAAAGACAAAUCACCACUUUCACUCAAAAACCAGGAGAAACUCUCUACCAAUGUUGGGAUAGGUUUAAAGAACUACUUAACAUUUACCCAUAUCACGGUUUUGAAACAUGGAGCUUAGUGUCUUAUUUCUACCAGGGAUUAACAUCCCAAGGUAGACAAGUCGUUGAAAUGAUGUGUAAUGGUGAGUUUAGAGAUAAAAGUCCUGAAGAUACAUUAAACUAUCUUGACUAUAUAAUAGAAAAUGCACAACACUGGGAUACAGUUGGGUCUUAUGAGUCAUCAAGUAAACACCAGUCAUCUCCAUCUGGUGGAGGCAUGCAUAACCUUAGGGAAGACCAUGAUUUUCAAGCCAAAUUUGCAUCAUUAGAUAGAAAAGUUGAAGCAUUAGAGUCGAAAAAGAAUGAUCAUGUAAAGUCUGUUCAUAAUAUUUCUUGUUAUGUUUGCGAUUCUACUGACCAUUCUACGCAUGAUUGUCCAACUUUGCCAGCUCUGAGAGAAAGUUUGCAUGAACAAGUAAAUGUCGUUGACAAUUUCAAAAGGCCAAAUCCAAAUCCAUACUUCCAAACUUACAACUGUGGUUGGAGAAACCACCCAAAUUUCAGUUGGAGAAAUGACAAUCAUGCACAACCCUCACAACCAGUUCCUCCACGUCAAAAUUUCUAAAAUUCCCAGAGUUACCCACCAUAUGUCCUACCACCAAGAAAAACUCUAGAAAACACAUUGCAUUUGUUUAUUGAAAAACAAGAGUUAAUCAAUAACCAAACGAUGCAAACCUUAACCAAUUUGACAGAAACUAUCUCCAAACUUACAUCUGCUUUAACCAUACAUGAAAAAGGAAAGUUUCCUGCUCAACCUGAACCAAACCCCAAGAGUCAACAACAUCCUCAAACGAGAAAUUCAGGAAACUAAAAUAUGAGUCAAGUCAAAUCGGUUAUAACCCUUCGUGGUGGUAAAGUGGUCGAAAAACACAUUGUGGACCCUAGUGAAACUAGUAAAGAUUCAAUUUCAGAAAAUAGGGAAGAGUCUGUCGAACCUUUAACCCAUGAAGAAAUAACCAACUCUCCUCCUGUACCCCUAUUUCCUCAAGCACUAAUCAAGCCAAAGAAAUCAAACCACAGUCCAGAAAUUUAUGAAGUUUUUAAACAAGUAAAAGUCAACAUUCCUCUGCUGGAUGUCAUUAAACAAGUACCUUCUUAUGCUAAAUUUCUAAAAGAUUUGUGAACGGUGAAAAAGAAACAUAAGGUACAAAAGAGAGUUUUUCUAGCAGAACAGGUAAGUUCUAUUCUCUCAACCAAUAGUGCUUUGAAAUACAAGAAUCCUGGCUGUCCAACUAUUUCUUGCACUAUUGGGGAUCAUAAAAUUGGACAUGCUUUACUUGAUUUUGGUGCCAGUGAUAAUUUGCUUCCUUACUCAGUGUACCAACAACUCAAUCUCGGUGAGUUUAAACCAACUUCUACCACUCUUUUACUUGUUGAUAGUGAAAUACAAGUAUGCAACCCAAGAGGGGGGUGAUUUAAGAUUUUAAAAAUUAUUAGAUUCUAAAACAAAUUAUCAUGCAAAUCUAAAAUGAAUUUAAUGGAAUAACAAUUAAAUCAAUUACAAUAUAAAAAGAUAAGGGAAGAGAGAUUCAAACACGAAGAUUUUUACGUGGUUUGGCCAACCUCGCCUACGUCCACGCCUCUUGAUUUCUUUGUAGUGCAUUUUCUUGAUUAUCCUUUGAUGGUUCUUCUUGUAACUCUCCAUCUGCAUCAUCAUAAUUCAUUCAUUUCUCCGCAGAGGAGGGGUUAGACUCAUCAAAUGUAACAUGCAUAGAUUCUUCUACAACUAGUGUAUUUUUGUUAUAAACUCUAUAAGCUUUGCUUGAGUUUGAAUAACCAAGAAAAAUACCAACAUUAGAUUUUGGAUUAAAUUUGCCAAGAUUGUCUUUUGUGUUCAAAAUAAAACAUUUGCAUCCAAACACUUUGAAAUAACCAAUAUUGGGUUUUCUAUGUUUCCAAAGCUCAUAUGGAGUUUUGUUAAGGUUAGGUCUAAUCAACACACGAUUUAAAACAUAACAAGCGGUGUUGACGGCCUCGGCCCAAAAAUACUUAGGCAAUGAAUGUUCAUUCAACAUAGUCAUAGACAUUUCUUAAAUAGAUCUAUUCUUUCUCUCAACAACUCCAUUUUGUUGUGGAGUUCUAGGUGAUGAAAAUUGAUGCUCAAUGCCAAGAUUAUUGCAAAAAUUCGCAAAUGCAUGAUUUUCAAACUCUCCUCCAUGAUCACUCCUAAUGCAUACAAUACCAUGCCCUUUUUCAUUUUGUAUUUUCUUACAAAGCACUUUAAAGGCAUCAAGAGCAUCAUCCUUAUUGACUAAGAAUAAUACCCACGUAUAUCUAGAAUAAUCAUCCACUAUCACAAAUGCAUAAUAUUUGCCAUUUAGACUAGCAUAUCUAGAUGGCCCAAAUAAAUCUAUGUGAAGAAGUUGAAGUGGUUUUGAAGUAGAUAUAUGAUUUUUAUUUUUAAAAGAAGUUUUGAUUUGUUUUCCAAAUUGACAAGCUUCACAAAUCUUAUCUUUUUGAAAACCAAUUUUCGGAAGACCUUUAACUAAAUCAUUUUUCGAAAUUUUUGAAAUCAAAUCCAUACUUGCAUGUCCUAACCUUCUAUGCGAUAACCAACUAUCAUCAUGUAAUGCGGAAAAGCAUUUAUCAAGAGUAGAUGCACAUUCUAUGUCAAUGAUAUAAAUAUUACCACAUCUAUUCCCAACAAAUAAGAUCUUAUCAUCACAUGAAUUCUCAAUAACACAACUAAAUUUAUCAAAGAUAACUUUGUAACCUUUGUCACAUAAUUAACUAAUACUAAUUAAAUUGUGUUUCAAGUUCUCAACCAAACAAACAUUCUCAAUUAGAGUUGAGGAAACUUUACCAACAUUUCUAAUUCCAAGAAUUUUUCCUUUUGAGUUGUCUCCAAAAGAUACUUCUCCACCAUUUUCAAUUUUGGUGAAGCUUGAGAACCAUGCAUAGUUUCCGGUCAUGUGCCUCAAACAACCACUGUCCAAGUACCAUUUAUUUUUCUUUUUCUUUAAGCCCUACAAAGAAAAUCUCAAGUUUUAGGUACCCAAAGUUUUUUGGGUCCUUGAGAGUUAGCAAUGGUUCCUUUUGGAACCCAAAUCCAUUUAACACCAUAAUAUGCAUUCCUUUUCACGGGACAUCUAUAUUUCAUGUGACCGUUUUGAUUACAAUAAUGGCAAACAAUCUUAUGAUUACUUGUGGAGGUAGCUUUAACAAAAUAAUUCUUAUAAUAUUUUUGCUUCAAGUUAGGCUUAUACCCAAGUCCUCCUUUAUCAAAAACACAUUUUUGUGAGUUAAGCAUAUUAUCCAACAUCUUUUGCCCAUUUGUAAAUUUCAAAACAAUCUCAUUCAACUCAUUGCUCUUUUUCAUAAGCAUUUCGUUUUCAUUUCUCAAAUCAUCUAUGUGUGAUUCUAAAUGCUCAUGUGAGAUGCUAGGUUUCUCAUUUGAUAAUGCAAUUUCAUCAUGCAAUGUUUUGUUCUCUACUUCUAGGCAUGCAAUUUUUGCAUUUAGAGAUUCAUUUUCAUUUUUAAGCUUUGCCAUUUCCUUUUUAAGACAUACAUUCUUUUUACCAAUCUUCAUCAACUCAUUAUGCAAUUCUUUAAAAGCAUCAUAUAAUUCAUCAUAGGGGGGAUCACUUACCUCAUUAAGAUCAUCAUCCCCUCCUAUUGCCAUAAGCGCUAGGUUUGAUACUUCUUGCGACCCUUCUUCAUCACUUGAAUCUUCCUCGCUAUCAUCCCAAGUUGCAACCAUGGCUUUCUUCUAGAGUUUGUUGAUAAGUGGGCACUCCGAUCUUAUAUGGCCAGGCUUCUUGCAUUCAUAGCAUGUGAUUACCUCUUUCUUCUCCCUUUGGUUCUUGAAGUUUCUGAAAUUUCUUCGUUCUCCGGUUUUCUUGAAGAAUUUUCUGAACCUCCUUGCUAGCAUGGCCAGCUCUUCAUCAUCCGGUUCACUCUCCCCAUCACUCUCAUGUUUUGAAGCUUUGAGAGCAAUGUUUUUCUUCUUCUCCUUAUGCCCUUUUUCUGCGGCCAAAUCUUCUUCAUAUGAAAUGAGAGAACCAAUUAAAUCAUCAAGAGGUAAAGCAUUUAAAUCUUUGGCCUCUUCAAUAACGGUUCUUUUAGGUCUCCAUUCUUUUGGAAGUGACCUAAUGAUUUUCUUAAUUUUCUCGCUAUUUGAAAAGACAUUUCCUAAGGCUCCUAGGGUGUUUACUAUGUCUGUGAAUCUCGUAUACAUAGAGUAUACACUCUCAUUUUGUUCCAUUUGGAACAACUCAUAUUGUCGAGUGCACCUACUGAUUUUUUACUCUUUCACUUGAUUUGUGCCUUCAUAGACUACUUCAAGUUUGUGCCAAAUUUCAUUGGCACUUUCAAAACUAGAGACUCGAUGAAAUUCUUUCUUAUCAAGUGCAUAAAAUAAAGCAUUCAUAGAUUUGGAAUUUAGAGAAACUUUUCUCUUUUCCAAUUCAUUCCAUUCCCUUGAAGGUUUUGGAAUAUCUUCCCCAACUUCAUUUUUAUUUAGGGGCAUAAACGGACCAUCACAUACAACUUCCCAAAUUUCAUAAUCUAGUGCUUGUAAAUAAAUUCUCAUCCUACUUUUUCAAUAUGGGUAGUCAUUUCCGUCAAAGAACGGUGGUCUAGUUGUGGACUGUCCUUCCCUAAAGGUUGAGUCAUUUUGGGUUGCCAUGGAUCUUUUAUUCUAGACGGUUAAGUCCUAACAAGAGAACCAAGCUCUGAUACCAAUUGAAAUACAAGUAUGCAACCUAAGAGGGGGGUGAAUUGGGAUUCUAAAACAAAUUAUCAUGCAAAUAUAAAAUAAAUUUAAUGGAAUAACAAUUAAAUCAAUUAAAAUAUAAAAAGAUAAGGGAAGAGAGAUUCAAACACGAAGAUUUUUACGUGGUUCGGCCAACCUUGCCUACGUCCACGCCUCCAAGCUUUCCGGGCUUGAGGAUUUCACUAAGCAAGCCUCCAAGGCUUCAAAUGUUUACACUUGACUUCCAAGGUGUCAAUGAACCUUUACAACAAGAGAUUAUCCCCAAUCUCUUAACCCAAGUGUAUCCCAACACUUACAAUCACUCAAAGUAGAGGAUUAAAAAUUGUUUUUCUAUCACAUAAUAUUUAAGAUUAUAAAUCAAUGCCCAAUGUGUGAAUAGAUGAAGUAAGAAUGUGUUUUAAAGCUCUAUGAAGAUUGUAUUCUCGAAUAUAAGCUCAAUGGUCGUGUUGUGAUCAAUCUUGUUUGAAUUUGAAUGAGCUUAUUUAUAGUUGGAGCUGAAAAACUAGCCGUUACAAACUGUCUGCCCGAAAACGGUUCACCGUUAACCAUUAACGGUUCACCGUUUAGGCUGGUCAAAAGUUACCGUUGGGCCAAAUUUCAAAUAAACGGUUUGCCGUUUAGGCUUACUCUUUCGCCGUUAAAUUCCAGAGACCUGCAAGAUGAACAUCAGUUAUCCGUUUACAUUAAACGGUUAAGGAUUUGCAUGAAGUAACCUCUCUGGAUAGUAUCGGUUAACCGUUUGUAAUAAACGGUUCGUCGUUUGUUUCCAGUAACCUGCAAAAUAAUUUAACCUUAUCCGGUUUUGUUAAACGGUGCCAGAAGAGUACAACCUUCAAUUCCGGAUUUUAUCAAUGAACCGUUUAAAUAAACGGUUCAUCGUUAAAUUCCAGUAGUCUUCUUAGCUUUUUGUGUUUUCCGUUUUUCUUAAUCGGUUAGAGCUUAGGUAAUAUGUAACUCUAUGGUUUUAAUCGGUUAACCGUUUGAAAGAAAACGAUUUACCAUUUAUUUCCAGAAUCACAUUUUAAACCAGAUUUUGCAAAGAAUUAUUUUCUAAUUUGAAAGUCCAUCUUUUAUGAAUAUGAUUGGAAUGAUUAUAAGGUUUUUGUUUAUUAAGGAAUAGCUCCAACAUUUUAAUCAAAAACCAUUUAAAGAUUGUUAUCAUCAAAAUCAAUAUUAUUAACAUAUUCAUGUUAACAGAUAGAUCGAUUAAGGUUCCAAAAGGAAUAAUUGAAGAUGUAUUAGUCCAGGUCAAUAAAUUCAUAUAUCCUGUGGAUUUUAUUGUUCUGGAUACGGAACCAAUUGCUAAUGAAUGCAAAAAAAUUCCUGUUAUUUUGGGUUGAUCAUUUUUAGCUAUUGCUAAUGCUUUGAUAAAUUACAGGAAUGGAUUAAUGAAUUUAUCUUUUGGCAACAUGACACUGGAACUCAAUGUGUUCAACAUAUGUAAACAACAUCACCACCAAGAAGAUGAUGAUAAUGAGAAUGAGGAAAUUGAUCUCAUCGAGCCAAUCAUUGAGGAACACAUUCAGGAUGAGAAUUUUACAAACUGUGCUGAAAUUUGUUUUGCUGGUUCUUUUGAAUCAAGUAAAGAAUUAGAUUGUGAUACUGCUAACACAUGCCCUAUACUUGAUUCUAUGCAGGUACCUAUAAGUGACGAUGACCAAUCGAACUUUGAAGAUACGGUGCAACCUGAAGAACCAAACGAAGAGGAAGCACUAGAGCUCGAAUUAAAGCCCUUACCAGAAGAAUUGAAGUAUGCCUAUCUUGGAGAGCAGCAGACAUAUCCGGUGGUAAUUUCUUCUCAACUCACGCAUGAUCAAGAAUGUAAGUUGUUAUUUGUACUAAAAAGGCAUAAAACUGCAUUUGGUUGGACCUUUAAAGACAUAAAAGGCAUUAAUCCUUUAANNNNNNNNNNNNNNNNNNNNNNNNNNNNNNNNNNNNNNNNNNNNNNNNNNNNNNNNNNNNNNNNNNNNNNNNNNNNNNNNNNNNNNNNNNNNNNNNNNNNCAACCACAAAGAAGACUAAACCCUCAUAUGAAAGAAAUGGUAAAGAAUGAGGUCCUUAAACUACUAGAUGUAGGAAUUAUCUACCCUAUCUCUAAUAGUAAAUGGGUAAGUCCGACUUAAGUAGUACCAAAGAAAUCUGGAAUAACUAUUGUAAAAAAUGAAAAAGGUGAACCAAUCCCAACACGAAUUCCAUCUAGUUGGCGCAUGUGCAUUGAUUACAGAAAAUUAAAUAAUGCCACUAGAAAAGAUCAUUUUCCCCUUCCAUUUCUAGACCAAAUUCUCGAAAGAGUAGCUGGACAUCCCUACUACUGCUUUCUUGAUGGCUACUUUGGCUAUUAUCAAAUCCCUAUAGCCUUAGAAGACCCGAAAAUGACCACAUUCACAUGCCCAUUUGGAACAUUUGCAUUUAGGAGAAUGCCCUUUGGACUUUGUAAUGCUCCUGCAACAUUUCAAAGGUGCAUGCUAAGCAUUUUUAGUGACAUGGUUGAAAAUUGUCUAGAGGUUUUAUGGAUGAUUUAACUGUAUUUGGUAAUUCUUUUGAUACAUGUCUUGAUAAUCUAGAAAAAGUUUUGGAAAGGUGCAAAGAAAAAGGACUAGUUUUAAAUAGGGAAAAAUGCCAUUUCACGACCACUUCUGGAAUUGUCUUGGGCCAUGUUGUGUCUUCAAAAGGAAUCGAAGUUGAUAAAGCUAAAGUUGAAGUCAUUUCAAAAUUACCCUCACAAAAAAUAAUUAGAGAAGUCUGUUCUUUUUUAGGACAUGCAGGAUUUUAUAGGAGGUUUAUAAAAGACUUUAGUGCCUUAUCUAGACCAAUUUGUAACCUCCUAAUAAAAGACACACAAUUUGAAUGGACUAAUGAUUGUCAACAAGCUUUUUAAAAAAUAACUACUCUUUUGACAUCAGCCCCAAUAAUGCAACCCCCUGAUUGGUCUUUGCCUUUUGAGCUAAUGUGUGAUGCUAGUGAUUAUGUCGUUGGCACUGUUCUGGGUCAAAGAAAGGAAGGUAAGCCUUUUGUCAUUUGUUAUGCAAGUAGAACUUUAAAUAGUGCUCAAAUGAAUUACACUACAACUGAGAAAGAACUACUUGUUGUAAUAUUUGCAUUAGAUAAAUUUCGUUCGUAUUUAAUUAGUUAAUCUACUAUUGUUUAUUCUGAUCAUGCUGCUGUGAGAUAUUUAAUGUCAAAACAGGAUGCCAAACCAAGGUUGAUACGAUGGAUCUUGCUACUUCAAGAAUUUAAUUUGACAAUCAAGGACAAAAAGGGCGCUGAAAAUGUUGUUGCAGAUCAUCUUUCAAGACUUACAAAUGAGUCUUCAAUUGAAACAACACCCAUCGAUGAUUCUUUCCCUGAUGAAUUUUUGUUUUCUAUAAAUAAAAUGCCUUGGUAUGCUAAUAUUGUUAAUUAUCUUGCAACAGGUGAAAUGCCAUGUGACUGGAGUUCCCAAGACAAGAAGAAAUUCUUAACAGAAGUGAAAAGUUUUUACUGGGAUGAACCAUACCUGUUCAAGUAUUGCUUCGAUCAAAUUUUUGAAGAUGCAUACCAGACGACGAGGUAAGUAGGGUCAUUCAAUUUUGUCAUUCUAAAGCAUGCAGUAGCCAUUUUUCUUCAGAAAAGACAGUUGCAAAAAGAUUGCAGUGUGGAUUUUAUUGGCCUACAUUAUUUAAAGAUUCAUAUGUAUUCUGUAAAAUGUGUAAGAAUUGUCAAAUGAUAGGGUCUAUUUCAAAGCGGAACAUGAUGUCUUUAAACCUCAUCCUUGUCAUUGAAAUAUCUGAUUGUUGGGGAAUUGAAUUUAUUGGCCCUUUUCCAUCAUCAUUUGGAUUCGUAUACAUUUUGGUUGUUGUUGAUUAUGUUUCAAAAUGGAUCAAGGCGAUUCCUUGUCGGCACAAUGAUCACAAGAUUAUGAUCCACUUUUUAAAAGAAACUAUUUUGAGCAGAUUUGGAAUACCUCGAGCCAUUAUCAGUGAUGGAGGUAAGCAUUUUUGUAAUAAGCUAUUUGAGUCUUUAAUGAAGAAAUAUGGAAUUACACAUAAGGUUGCUACCCCUUAUCACCCUCAAACAAGUGGUCAAGUUGAAUUAGCAAAUAGGGAGAUAAAACAAAUUUUAGAAAAGGCAUUUAAUCCAAACCGUAAAGAUUGGUCUCUUCGAUUAAUUGAUGCACUUUGGGCAUAUCGUACUACUUUUAAAACAUCUUUAGGAAUGUCACCCUAUCGACUUGUUUAUAGAAAAUCUUGCCACUUACCAGUAGAACUUGAACAUAAAUCAUUUUGGGUCAUUAAAGCUUUUAAUUCAAAUCUUGAUGAUGCUGGCAAUGUGCAUAAAUUGCAAAUAAAUGAACUUGAGGAAUUAAGGAAUGAUGCAUAUGAGAAUUCCAGAAUUAUUAAGGCAAGAACCAAAUUUUUUCAUCACAAAAGAAUUUUUCGGAAAACAUUUGAAAUUAGUCAAAAAGUGUUUCUUUAUAAUUCUCGUCUUCAUUUAUUUCCAGGGAAGUUAAAGUCAAUGUGGAAUGGUCCAUUUGUUGUAAAAUAUGUCUAUCCAUAUGGAGCCGUAGAAAUUGAGAAUCCAAAGGAUGGUGUCACAUUUAAAGUUAAAGGCCAAAGAUUGAAAUCAUAUAUGGAAUACUAACCACAUGAAGCAGAUACCGAAAUCCAUUUGAGUGACCCACCAAAAUUUUGAUUAAGCCUUUUCAUUUUAAUGUUUUGUGAAUUUGAUUUACUGUUACUUUAUCGUUUGAAUUAUUUGAUUUUUUUUCUUUUUCCUUUUCCCUAUGUCUUGAAUGGAGUGCGUUGCAUUGUUUUAAUUGUGUGUAGUUUGACAAUUGUGAUUUAGCUCACCAAAUUUUUAUACUUGUCAUGAGUCCCUCCAUGAGAAAUUUCCUUUUCGAUCAUCUUAAAACGCUUUUUCAUGUAAAAUUUCACCUGAGGAAAUUGCUCCAAUUUUGUAAAUUACAUCCCAUUUGGGAUCUGCAACCACCAGAGUUAGUAUCUCACGUCAAGAUCUAGAAAGACAACUCAAGGAAAUAGGGGAUGGUAUUUAUAAUCUGCAAUUAGAACUGAAUUCAAUAAAGGACGAAUGUGAGUUAUAUUCCUUGUGUGUUUUUUUUUUAUUUUGUUGUUCUUUCUCACCUUUGAUUUGAUUUUGCAGAUUUGAUUGGUUUUGUUUUGAUUCACUCUCCUGUAUAAAUGGCGGAUAACGGUACUCUGUGACUUUUUAAGUCGGUAUUCUCAGUUUCCCACAAUAACUGAAACCUCAAUGUCAAGCAUGGAAGAAAUACAACAAAAUUUGCAUCAACAUUUUCCUUCUCUCCCUCAAAAUGCUCUUAAGAAGAUUUACAAAGCUCGUUGUGAACGACUGUGUUUAUUAAUGAUCAAUGGGAUUCCUGCUGACAUUCGCUGGUUAAUUGAAGCAAAGGUCCGAUUGGCAGGUGAGUUUUCUGAUCCAUUCAUUUCCUACAUGCCUGGUUUUGGUAAAAGUAUAUUUGCUAAGAAAAGAAGAACUAAGCGACUUGGCUCUGAAUGUUCUCACUGUGUAAGACUUGCUUGCAAAAAUCCACGUUCUAAAGCUUUAGGAAUGGUUUCUGUAAAUCAUGAAGAUAAAAUCAAAUUCGUUAAGGAUGACAUGAGUAAAGAAUCGUUGGAUGAUAUCUUACGAUCUCUUGAGAUGCAUCCGAGCGGAUAUGUUCAACGUGAAAUUCAAAAUUUGUGGAAGCUGUUCCAAAAGGAAAGUGCACAGUUUAGUCUUGAGAAUCUGACUCUAAAAGACCCUGUUUGCCAGUUUAUAAGAAAACUGGAUGGGAAGCAUAUCCUCGACCCAUAGAGGACGUUCAAGCCGUUAUUGGACGUAAAACCAGAGGAAAAUGUGAGCCACAAUCACAACUAUCAGUAAAUAUCCUUUUAUUUUACCGUUCGUUUAUCUUUUACAUUAUUAUUAUUAUUGUGUUUUUUUUUCUUUAUUUUAUCUAAUCACUGUUUGCUUUUUCUUUUCACUGUUUGCCUUUGAAUUAUUAAGCUAAAAGCUUCAUGCAUCAUUUGACAAACACACCACCCCAUUUACAUAUGUAUAUCAUUAUGUUCGUCACCAAGAUCCUUAAAUAGGAACUUCUUUUUAAGCACUCACCAACUGGAGAAGAGUUAGUUGUCUUUGGUAUGCAAGAAAGAAUAUUUGAAAUGUUGAAUCGUGCUGACGUUUUAUUUUCUUGCCGGGAGACCUUGCAACUUUGGAGGCGCUAAUUACAUUUGCUUCUUGGGCCCAUUUGAAUAUCCAUAAAAAACCCAUCGGUUUGUUAAAUGUUAAUAACUUUUAUGAUGGCUUAAUAACAUUUCUUAAUCAUGCAAUAAAAAAUUAUUUCAUUUCAUCAUCAGUAAAAAAACUCUUCAUUUGUGCUCUUACUGCUAAUGAGUUACUUGAUCUUUUGUAAGCUUACAAACCAGAGCCAGAUCCCAUGACUUUGGCGUUGGAUUGGGCAACUAAUGACGAUGGCAGUAACUCUCGUAAAAAGUGUAAAUUAGAUUUAACUCUCCGUCUGUAAAUAUUUCCAGCAGUGGCCAGGUGAUAUCUUCUAAACUCUACUCCUUUCUUUAAACAUUGAGGACAAUGUCUCCUUCAGGUUGGGGGGAGGGAAUAGUUGAUAAUUAUGGAAUGUCUCAGUCCUAGUGAUGUUUUUACAAAUUUUUGUUGUAAAGACUAACUUUGGAUAAAAAUUUGAGUCGAAGAUGGCAGAAUAUAGAAUGUAAUGUCUCUAGAAACGCAUCUUCUUAAUUUUUGUGUUUUCUUCCAAAAAAAAAUGUUUCUAACUUUUUAUUUUCGGUCUUUUUCUCUCUUUCUCUUAAUCAUCUCCCUUAAGUUUCUGCAAUCAGUCCCAAUUUCUUUUUGUGUUUUCUUUAAAAAAAAAAGAGUUUUCUUUUUCGGUGUGAUCUUUUAACAUUGGAUAACAUGAUAAUUUUCAAAUUUUGGCAUUCAUAUUAUCUUUGGCCUUGAGUUAUGUUACACUAUAUUUUUUCCCUUUGCAUGUUGAAACGUAAAUUGAGAAAUUGAAUGAGCGAAAUUGAUUAAGCCAUUUGGAGGAAUGUACAUGUUAUGAAAAGACCAAGCGAGUUUUUGAGCCUAUUAUCCUUGAAGAGUAACCUUGUUUGCCUAUACAGCUUCACAAUUUAUUGUACAAGAUCUCAAUAUUUAAUAAAAAAAAAAGUUUGUCCAGCCGCAUCUAAAAUUCCAUUGAACUAGUGGAUAUGAAAAAUUAUAUGGAACCCUAAAAGAUGACAGAAUGCCAUCUUUGAUCCGUUUGACCCUUUCUAGCCAACUCUAUUAUAAAGAAUCCAUAGUUAACCCCUUUAAGCCUUUGAAAAAAAAAAAAACUUUUUCUUUGGUAACCUAUCAUAUUUUCCUACUCCAAUGAGGAGUAUCACCUUAUGUUUUAUGUUUUCCAUCACCCAAUUAUGUUUAAAAAUAGGGAUGAUUAUGUAUUCCUAAUAAUGGUGCUAUAAAAAAGAAAAAAAGAAAAAAAAAAGAAAGAUGAUAUGUAUAUAUCAAUUAAUAAAAAAAUAAAAAAUAAAAAAAGAAGAGAAAAAAAAUCCAAGCAAAAAGAAAAAAAAAACACCUUAUAAUCUCCACAAAGUCCCCUAUUUUUCAAACAUAUAUUUUUGUUUUCCCUAUUACCUUUUUUGUUAGUCAUAACCCUAGCCUACGUUAUGUCCUACUAAAAGUCCUUCUUGAUUUUUGGGAACUAUAGUCUGAAGUAAAAUAUGGUAAUAUGGACUAAAAGAUGUGGUGAUGCAUAAAAAUAAAAAUAAAAUUUGCUAGUAAUUCAUUGGACUUGAGAUCAUUUUAUUUCUAAGCUGUGUGCAUUAUUUUUUCAUCUUGGAGAGAGCGUGUGAUAUUGUUUUAUUAUUCUCUCAGAUUUACCUUUUUUUUUAGAGUGACAAAUUAAUUUGGGGUAUAUCUUCUUUUGAGAGAGUCACUCUUAAUCGUGAGAUUUUGUGGUUUGAUGUAUCAUUCUUAAAAAUGGCUUGAUUAAUGUAGCUCUGAUAAUUGAUCAUUUUACAGGAUUUUACUAAAUUGUUUUGUUCGGGUGUGAUUUUCUUUAGGCUGAAGAUAAUGCUUAUACUUUUAUUUGAUUGUUGUCAUUAAUCUGAUGGAAGAAGCAAACACAAUUUAAAAAAAAAUGAUUUUCAAUUUGAGUUUGAAAUUUUACUAAACUUUUAUCACUUAAAUUGCUAGGGCCUAGCAAUAAGCUGGUUGGGGGGUGUGAUUGACACUAAAAAGUGUACAUUUAAUAAGGAUAAAAUUAUUAGUUUUUUACUUAUUGUGUCGAUUAAUUCGUUUAUUAUUUAUAAAUUAUUUUAAUACUCCCCAAAUAUAUUUUAUGUUAAAUUAAUUCGUAAUUUGUUAAUUUUUAUCUUGUAAAUAUUUUUCAGGAAUAAAGAUGGAAUUGGAAUUGAAAGCAAGAACAAAGAAGAACUACUGGAACAAAAUUGAAGAGAUGUGAUAAUAAAUAAUAAAUAAAAUAAAAUAAAAUAAAAUAAACAAAAGAACAAAAACUUGUUGGUGAUGGUCAGGAGGCCAUUACGCCUCCUGACCAUCACACAUUUCAAAACACUUAUAUAUUUUAAAAUAAAAAUAAAAUAAUAAAUAAAUAAUAAAAUAAAGAAAGUUAAAGGCAAUUGUUGCCUAUAAAAAGGGAGGAGAGAUUGAAGAGCCGAGGGGAAGCGAGGGAGCUAAAUUGAGAGCUGAAGCCGAGACUGAAGAUUUUCUUUCUUUCUUUGUUUCUUUUCUUUUCUUAUUUCCGUUUGUAUCAAUUUUCUUUAUAAUAUAUUUCAAAAAAUUUAUCAAAUAAAAAGAGUGUUGUGUUUUCUUUCAAUAUGAGUAGCUAAUUUUAUUAAGCUGAGGUGAAGGGUGAAGCUCAAUGUUUUAAACUAUUAAUUAUUAUUAUUUUCUCAAAUGAGUUUUUAAGUUUAUUUAAUUCUUUUCUAAUUAUUUUUAUAUCAUGUUAAUUUAUAAAUCUCACUGGAUUUUAUGGCAUUUUGACAUAAUGUCGACACAUUAAUAUAAUGUGGCACAUUAGGUACUUUAUUCUAUAUUUAUCCACACACAUAGAAUUAAAUGAUAUAAUAAUUAAUUAGUAAAAGUGAGGCAAAAUAUAAAUGAGAGAGUAUUAAAAUUAUAGUUUGAAUACAGAGAGUGGAUCCUAAACCUUAGCUUAUUUUUAAAUCAAUUUCAAAUAAUUUCUUUGCCCCGCAAUUAAUUUUUAUAGUUUUACUAGAUUUAAAACUCCCUGUGGUUCGACCCCAGUCUCACCGGGUUAUAUUAUAACUAGACACUCUUAUACUUGAGAGUAAUACACUUUUGAGUCGUAUCAUUCGGUUUUGAGCCGAACCGAAUAGAAACCAAUCGGUUCUUCAAAUUUCAAACCAUUCGGGUUUUUUAUUUAAAACCGAACCGAACCGAAUUGAAUUAAAAAUAUCGGUUCGGUUCGGUUCGAUGAAAACCAAACUAAAUGCCCAUCCCUGCCAGACCGUAUGAGCUAGGUCUGGUCCGAUUUGAAUAGUUAGAAGUUGUAACAUUAAUUAGGGAUUGAGGGUAAAAUUUUGGACUUUGAUUUAAUAAAAUUGAUUUAAAUGAGUCCCAAUAGAAAUAUGAUUAUAAAUAUAUCAAUACAAUUAUAACAUGUUAAAAAAAAAAAAUUAUUUUCACACAAAACAAAAAACACAACCCUUGGAUGUGGGAUGUGUCUAAAAAAUAAUAGGGUGGAAAUAUUAUCACCCUCAAAUUAGAUAUAUAAAUGUUUAAUGUUUUACUCUAUUUUUAAGAGAAAGAUAGAAAUUAAUAUAUAGACAAAUCGAGUCCCUUAUUUUAUUAUUCAUAUCCAUAAAAAGUAACCACUAUGCUAGUCCCCCGAACUUAGCAUAAGACAGUAAUUUAAAAAAAGAAAAAAAAAAGAACGUUUUUAGAUACCAAAAGAAAAGCAAAACAAGCACAAAGCGAGACAUACAAACAAAUUUUAUGCUACUGCAUUCAAGCAGAAGCCACCAACUGUUCACGACGGCGUUUGAAAACAACCAACAUUUCAUCCUGAUUGGGAAGGUUUUCUUCAAUUAUGGGGACUUGCUUGAAAUUUUCAAGCCAGGCAUGCAAGCGAGGGAAUUUGUGUGAUUCAAAUAGUUUAACUCCCACUACAUCUUCAAUGACUUGCAACCAAUAAACAAUUGAACCAAAUGCUAGGUCCACUAAGNNNNNNNNNNNNNNNNNNNNNNNNNNNNNNNNNNNNNNNNNNNNNNNNNNNNNNNNNNNNNNNNNNNNNNNNNNNNNNNNNNNNNNNNNNNNNNNNNNNNCAUUAGCUAGUAAAUUCACUUUUUCCCAAUGCUUCAAAAGUCAUCAAAAUUCCCCGUGAAGUUAAAAACGGUCGUGUUAACUUUAACUUAUUACAUCUUUCCAUAUUUAAGGAUAAAACAGUGAAGACACCAGAAAUUAACAGUUUAGAGAACUUUUUACAAAUAAAUAUGAAAAAGACCCCUGGGUGGCUGGGCUCGACUGGCUAUGAAAUUCACUUUGCGCCAUCACCCGAGUUCCAGUACAUAUAGAGAAUAAGAGUUAGUGUUUGGCGGGUGGAUUUUCUUAUCCUCGUCACCUCAUCUAGAUCUUAAAAUAAAUCAAUUAAUAAACAAAUUUGAAAAGAAUGAACUUAAACAUAAACGUGUUUGCCAGAGUUGUGAGCGAACCUUGUCUUCAGCGAAUUUGAUCCAGAAUCGAGUAUGAGCCCUAUCAUAAGGAUUAUUUGGCAUCAAGGAGGGAUUCUGUGGCCACGUCUCUUCGAUGUAUUCGAGAAUAACCAUGGACUCACAAACUGGUUUUCCGCCAUGGGAGAGCACUGGGAUCUUCUUGUGAACUGGAUUAUACUUCAAAAGCAAUGCACUUUUGUUUGAGAGAUCUUCGGAAACAAAUUCAUAUGGCACGCCUUUCAAUUUCAGAGCCCAAAUCACCCUGUAAACAAAUGGACUCGGCAGGGCCCCAUGAAGCUUCACUUCAGCCAUGAUAAUUCUAAGAUUGAAUUUGAAUUAUCAGUUUUUCUGAUCGAUGUUGUGUAUAGCUGUUAACUCAUUACAUAUGUUUCUGAAUUUAUAGUGAUUUAUGGUAUGCACUUUCUUGAGCAGAAAGCUUCAAUUUUCCAUUAAUAAAACGAUUAAUGAUGAAUUCAAAGAACUGGUGCGAUGACUUUAAUUAAAUAUUUUUUUACGCUGUGUGCAACCGCAUUUUGAGGUUAAUUUAAAGGAUAUUAUUUUCUCCUGAUCAAAACUUUUAUAUAAAAAAAUUAAUUAUGUGAUUGGUAGUGAUUAAGUAAAAAUAAAAUAAAAAAUAAAUUUUGACCGUAAAUAAAUAAAAGUUCAUACAUGUUAUAAAAUUUUUUUAAAACUCAAGUGGACCCAAUUCCCAAUUUAAAACGAACGCUAGCCAAUGAGAUCAAUAAUUUGGUCAACCAGUCAGAGAUAACCAUACAAUAAUUAAUCAAAAUUUUGCCAUUUGUUUUACAUUUAAGACCUUUGCGUCAUGCAUGAUGAUCAAUUGAUCAUAUAUCAAUUAGUCAACACGACAUUUGCCUUUUGUGCAUGUGUUCACAUUGGACGCAAAUAUAAUUUGUUAUAAAAAAAAUUGGACUAAAUUAUUUUUUAAUACAUUUUUUUUUAAAUAAUACACCUGAUCAUAGAGGACCUGUUAUUUAGUUCGUGAAUCUUAUAACAGGACCCAUGAAUUUUUUUAAAAAAAAUCUUAUGGGUCUCCUAUUAUUUAAUUUGUGGAAUUGACGGAGGUAACUUACAGUUUCAUUUUUGUAAUUUACAGCUUUCAAUAAAUUCAGAUAAUAUUAGGCGGUAAAAGUCGGCCAGGCUGGAGGAGUAGAUCUAUAAAAUUUGCUAGCACUUUGCACUAUCUGUUUGGUGCCCAGAAACACACAUAUAUAUCAUCCACUUUUUAUUUAACGCUGGGUUUUUUUGGACCCAUAAUAAUUUCUCUUUGCACAUCAACUUUUUAAUAAAAACUUUUAUUGUCAAGAUAAAUUGUUAGUAAUUACUUCACUAAUCCUCCUUUUUUUUUGGGCCAAUUUCUCUUUCGCAACUGACAAAAUUUAAUUCACAUCAUGUGAUAGUAUGAUUGCAAAUAAAUUUGAAGUUAUCUCUCGCAAGUUGUUCAAAAAUACAUUGACAUAUCUUGUGUAUAGAACUAAAGAACAAUAGCAAAACCACUAUCCUCUAGCCGAUCGUUGCUAUUAGGACGGCAAAAUUAGUCGUAAAUAUGUAAAUUUGUCUAAACCCAUCUACAAAAAUCUGUCCACUGCGAAUAAUUUUGUAGGUUGCGGAUAAGUUUGAUAUUUUAAACUUAAGUUCGUUGCAGGUUACGGAUAGAUUCAGUAUUGAGAAAAAAAUUGGCUGGUGUCUGCCAACUAGCAUUUUUUUAAUUAUUUAUGUUUUUAAUUUUAAUCACAAAGAUUGUCUUAAAAAAAUUUAAUCAUAAAAAUAUAGUAGUUAAAGUUAUUACUCUAAUCUUCUAAAUUCCUAAACCUAACCUAACUCAUGACAGUUGCACACCCUACUCCUUCAAGUAUGUAUGUAUGUAAAUGUAUACACAAGCACACACACACAAAAUAAGCUUUUAAUAAGUAGAUUUAGUAUUUUUCAAGUUUAAUAUUAAUGAUAUUUUAAUUUAAUUUAAUUACUUUUGUUUGUUUCGUUUUAAUGACUUGAACUUAGUGAUUGCUGGCUAAGAUUGGAUUUUUAUUUAUCUAAUUAAUGGUCAAUAGUUGUCCAAAAUAUAUUUGUUAAUAUUGUUGACAAUACUUAUAUAUUGACUAAAAGAUAGAGCAAGACAUUAAUUUUAGUAAUAAUUAUUUGCCUACAACAAAAAUAUUUUGUGUUAGAAUGAUAUAUUUUGUGUAUUUGUUUUAAUAUUGAAACUUUAAUUGCUCUUUUACAUUGAUAAAAUCUAAAAUUGAGUAGUAUAUGUAGUUUUUUUAGUCUGUUACUAUAAAGUUAUAUUUUGAAUUAUAUAAUUUAAAUUAUUAAAUAUAAUUUUUUAAUGUUAAAAUUAUUUAAAAAAAAAACUACUACAUGUUAUGGGUGGAUUUGCUAAUUAUUAAAACUUAUAGCGAACGAACUAAAAAAAAAAAAGAGGCAACCGGUUACGGGCGAAUUUAAUAAUGACAAACCCAUAAUAAGCGAUACCAUUACUAUCGGCUGUCGGCAGCUUCUAUAACGCAGGGCCGGGGGCGGUCUUGAAUUGUUAGAAGUUGAAACAUUAAUUAGCAAAAAUUUCAGCCGCAUCCCUGAAGUUUAGCAUAGAAUUAGAUAUAUCCCCUUGUUUUCAAAAUUAGUCUCUAAGAUAUAAAAACAUUAAUGUUGUUUACUUAAUUUUUUUUUCAUUUCAAUUGGAUUUAUAACUUCGUAAUGUUGCGCCCUGUAAAAUGUAUGCUUAAAACGCGUGCUUCUUAUUUUUUAUAUACUGCUAAGAGAAUUUGAGAAUAGAAAUAUAUAAAAUGGUGUCUCAUUUAUUAAUUAUUUAUAUCCUCCAAAUAGCACCUAACAUGCAGCUCACUUCAAUAGUAAAAUUAAUUAAACAAAAUUAAAAAAAAAGCAUUUUUAACACCAGUACAAAAACAUAACAAGUGUAAAAGAAGACUCAUUAACUUAUUUUAUGAUAUUAAAUUCACGCAGAUACCACCAAUGUUUCUCGACCACGUUUGAAAGAGAUCACCAACUCACGCUGAUUUAGAAGAUUUUCUUUAAGUAUAUAAGUGAAAGUUAUUGCUCUAGUCUUCAAAAUUCUUAAACCUAAUCUAACUCAUUAUAGUUGCCUGCCUUGCUCCUUUUAUUGUAUGUAUAUAUUUUAAGAUGAAUACAAAAACUUUUUAAUAAGAAGAAUUUUAUACUUUUCAAGUUUAAUAUUAAUGAUAUUUUAUUUUAUUUUAAUUACUUUGAAUUGUUUUGGUUUAAUGACCUGAACAUAUUGAUUGUUUGCUAAAGUUGAAUUUUUAUUUGUCUAAUUAAUUGACGAUAGCAAUUGUAUAAAAUUUACUUAAAAAGAUAAAAUCUUAGUAUAUUACAAAAAGAUUUAGUAAUGACAAACAUGUAGCAGCCAAUACACAUUAUCAUCCCCAACUGCUAUAAUGCAGGGCCAUGGGCAGUUUUAAUUGUUAGAAGGUGCAAAAUUAAUUAGUAAAAUAUUCAGCGGUAUCCUUGAAUUUUAGCAUAGAAUUAGAUAUAUCCCCUAGUUUUGAAAAUUAGUUUUUGAUUCCCCUGUUGUUUACUUUAUAUAUAUAUAUAUAUAUAUAUAUAUAUAUAUAUAUAUAUAUAUAUAUAUAUUUCACUUGGUUAUAUAACUUUGUAAUGUUGCGCCUUAUAAAAUGUAUGCUUAAAAUGCAUGCUUAUUACUUUUUAUAUGCCGUUAAGAGAAAUUGAGAAUAGAAAUAUGUAAAAUGGAGUUUCAUUUAUUAAUUAUUUAUAUCCAUUAAAUAGCACCCAACAUGCAGUUCGUCUCAAUAGUAAAAUUAAUUAAACAAAGCAGAAAGAUCUGUUUUAGCAUCAGUACAAAAAUAAAAAAAGCACAACGCGAGAAUCACAAACUUAUUUUAUGAUAUUACAUUCAUGCAGAUGUCACCAAUGUUUCCCGACGACGUUUGAAAGCGAUCACCAUCUCAUGCUGAUUUGGAAGAUUUUCUUCAAUUACAGGGACUUUCCUGAAAUUUUCAAACCACUCAUGCAAGCUUGGGAAUUUGUGAGAUUCAAAUAGUUUCACUCCCAUUACAUCUUCAAGGACCUGCAGCCAAUAAGCAAUGGCACCAAAUGCUAGGUCCGCUAAGCCAAUAUUGUCUCCAUUGAAAAAUUUCUUCUCUCCUAGGCCAUGUUUUUCAACGGUUUGAAGCAUUUCCAAGGCUGCCUUCAUUGCAUUCUCCAGGACUUGUCCAGUGCUGAAAAACAUUUUCCAAACAGCUACUCCCUGCCACAAGAUUUUAUAUCUAAUUCUUAUCACCACAUGAUUAACAAUAUAAACGAGGUAAAAAGAAAUUAGAUAAUAUGUACACACGCGUCAAAAUAUCUUUUAAAGGCUAGACGUUUCAAACUGUCAAAGUAUUUAGGAGAGUUUAUCCACUCAUUUUUAGACUAGUUUAUUAUAACUUUUCAAAGCUUAUUUAAAUAGAAUUUUUAUUAGUAAAAUUUUAAUUUUUAUAAAAAAAUUUAAUUAUUUAAUUGUUAAUGAAAUUUUAAAAAAAAUUCAAAUUACUUUAACAGACAAAUUUUUAAAGUUAUGUUACGAAAUAAAUAAAAUAAGAUUAUAAAAUAAAUGAUGAACAUUUUAAACAAUUUAACUUUUAAAAAAAAUUCCUCAAACCUCUAUUUCCAAAAGUUUAAAUUUAAACUUUUACUAGUAUAGGCAAAAGAAUUUAUUUAAUCCCAAAAAGUUCUACUAAAAAUAAAACUAAACAAUAAUAAAAAUUUUGAAAAGAACUUUUUUUUUAUUAAAUAAACACUUAUGAGUAAUAAAUAAGCCACAUCAAACAAAUACUCAAUGAUAUAAAAGGAAGAAGAUAAAAAAAAAAUCCUCUUAUUGUUUUAGUAAAUUAUAAGUUUGCUUUCAUGUUUCAAAAGAUCUUAAAAUUCCCCCUAUCGCUAAAACAAUUAUAUUUUAAUAUAUUACCCUUGAUGUGGUAAAAUCCACGAUUCAUUAAGAAAAUUUUCUAAAGGUAAAAAAUUUAAAGUAAUUAACCGCAUUUUUUUGAUAACUUUCUCUAAUGUAAAAUAAAAGGCUCAUUGAGCUUAGUCGGCCGUGAAUGCAUUUUGCACAUGCGAGGACAUUAGUUUGAGCAUUAAUGGAAGAUAAAAAUUAAUGUUUAGAGAGUCAUAUUUCUCAUAUACAAUGAAAAAUUAAAGUAAAUAAAGAAAUCCGACAAGAUUAAUUAAAUUUAUAAACGUGUUAGCAAGAAAAGUUGUGGUGCGAACCUUGUCUUCGGCAAAUUUAAUCCAAAAACGAGCUUGAGCUCUAUCAUAAGGAUCACUUGGCAUCAAGGAGGGAUUCUGUGGCCACAUCUCUUCAAUGUAUUCGAGAAUAACCAUGGACUCGCAAACUGGUUUUUCGCCAUGAACGAGCACUGGUAUCAUCUUGUGAACUGGGUUAUACUUCAAAAGCGAAGCACUUUUGUUGUAGAGAUCUUCUUCAAUGUAUUCAUACGGGAUGCCUUUCAAUUUCAGAGCCCAUACCACCUUGUUGCUAAAUGGACUCGCCCAUCCCCCGUGGAGCUUCACUUCAGCCAUGUGUCUAAGAUCGAAUUUGAAUAUGUUUGCGGUUGUUUUGCUUAGUUGAUGAGUUAUUGCAUACGUACAUCUGAAUUUAUAAUGAUUAUUCAUUAAUAUUGGAAUAUGGAGUGCGCUUGCUUGAGCAGGGAGCUUCAUAUUUCCAAUUUAUUUAAUAAAACGAUUAAAUUAAGUUGAAUUCAAUGAACUAAUGCUGCGACUUUUUAACAAUUCUGUUAUAUAUUCAACGAGAAGAGGUAUCGUAUUUGACGGGAAUCUCUUGAAACAGUGCUGAAUUAACAAGUAAUCUUAUUUAAUUUGGUCAACUGGUCAGAUAUGGCUUAAUUAUAUAUUUGGCGUUUGUUUUAGGUGCCCAGCUAGCCCUGCUGCUGUGCUUUUGACUUUACCAUGGGGUGGAGUCGUGGAGAUAUCAUCAUCCCAACUGAAGACAUAUUAUGAUAUUCUCCUGAAAACUUUGUGAGACUCAUUUUCUCUACAAUUUUAGCAUUUUAGGCCAAAUAACUUCAUAUAAAUGACGUUUUGUCCCCCGGCUCCAUCUCUUCUAUAUAAAUCCGAACACCUGAAAAAUGACGAGACCGGAACAACUCUCCCUCUUAAGUCUAUGCAAAUUUUACACACCAGAGAAAGAGAGGGAGAGGGGCAGCCAUGAGAGACAACGAUACAGAAAAGAAUAUGGAAGAGAGUUUAUUAAUACCAAAAGAGAGUUUAUCAUCAACAUCCACAACAUGGGAUUUGUUGAGUGGAGAAUUGAAAAAGCAGGGUUACAUAGCAGCACCAAUGGUGGCAGUAACUUUAUCACAGUAUUUGCUUCAAGUUGUUUCCAUGAUGAUGGUUGGUCAUCUUCGUCAACUUGCUCUUUCUAGCACCGCCAUGGCCAUCUCUCUAGCUAGCGUCACCGGCUUCAGCGUCCUUGUGAGUCCUACAAUCCAUAUAUAGUUAUAUACACAAGAUUGUUUAUUCUUUCUUUUGAUAGGUAUUUGCAUCAUUGCAUGUGGGAUUUAAACAAAUAGAUAUGCCAAAUUUCUGAUGUUAAAAAACAUGCAAUUAACUAAUACCCUGUUUUAAAAAAUGCCAUUAAUUUUUAAAGGACUUGAUUUGCUCUUUUUUUUUAAAAAAAAAAAAAAAUUCUACAGCUAACUUGAAUUGUGUAAUAUUUUCUUUGAAACAGUUAGGAAUGGCAAGUGCUCUGGAAACAUUAUGUGGGCAAGCAUAUGGAGCUCAGCAAUAUCAAAGAAUUGGAACUCAAAUUUACACUGCAAUAUUUUGUUUAUUCUUAGUAUGUUUUCCGCUUUCCUUUCUAGGGAUUUACAUGGGAAGGCUGCUAGUUUUGGUAGGCCAAGACCCCCAGAUUUCACACGAAGUAGGCAAGUUUAUAAUCUGGCUUCUUCCAGCUCUGUUUGCUUAUGCAGCAAUGCAGGCGCUUAUUCGAUAUUUUCAGUCUCAAAGUUUGAUCAUUCCCAUGUUCUUAAGCUCCUAUGCCGCUCUUUGUUUGCAUAUUUGCAUCUGUUGGGGUUUGGUAUUCAAGUCUGGACUGGGAAACCUUGGAAUUGGAGAGUUCUUCCAAUUUGCUAUCCCUUCUGCAGUAAUGGUUUGGUAUGUUAAUUAUCUUCUGGAGUUUCAUUUUCCCUUCUCAUAGAUAUCGUAGACACGUCAUAAAUUUUCAUGCAUCUUCUUUUGUUUAUAAUUUUGCAGCCUAGAAUGGUGGUCAUUUGAAUUGCUCAUUUUAAUGUCAGGGCUGUUGCCUAACCCACAGCUUGAAACUUCAGUCCUAUCUGUAUGGUAUGUUGACGUAGACUUUGUAUGUGAAAGUUCUAUACGGAGAAGCACCUACCAAAGGAAAUAUAUUUUUUUUCUUUUUUUUUUUUUUUCCCGACUGCUCAUUAUUUGUCAACUUCUUUGGGCAGUCUCAGUACUAUUCAAACCCUCUCUGCAAUCCCAUAUGGACUUGGUGCUGCAGUGAGGUUUGUUCAUAACAAUCAUUUAAAUAAUAAUUGUUUUAUAUCAACUAAUUAGCAGAUUAACCAUUAUUUCCUUCUAUAGUACUAGAGUUUCAAAUGAACUAGGAGCUGGGAAUGUGCAAAGAGCCCGUGUAGCUGUCUAUGCUGUGGUUUUUAUGGCAGUCAUGGAGACUAUCAUAGCAAGUGCAUCUCUCUUUGCCAGCUGGGGUGUUUUUGGUUAUGUUUUCAGCAAUGAGGGAAAAGUUGUGGAUUAUGUCAUAACCAUGGCUCCUCUGGUUUGUUUGUCUGUCAUCAUGGAUAGCUUACAAGGACUCUUUUCAGGUUAAAUUAACUUCUUCAACUCUGUCAAUUGCUAAAUAGUUCUCUUUAAGUAGAAAUAAAAUUUUUCGGGUUUCUAAAUUCUUUUUAUUAUUUUUAAGGUGUUGCAAGAGGAUGUGGGUGGCAGAAUAUAGCUGCUUUUGUGAAUCUUGGGGCUUAUUAUUUGUGUGGAGUCCCAACUGCUGCCAUUUUGGGUUUCUGGUUAAAGUUUAGAGGAAGGGGUCUAUGGAUUGGGAUACAAGCUGGUGCUUUUACACAAACACUUCUGCUUGGCAUCAUAACAACAUUUACAGAUUGGGAAAAACAGGUCUGUUUCUCAACAUUUAAUCCCUUAAAAAUUAGAGAAGCUUAUUGGACUAUAUAUGUAAAUAUGUAGCAAUUUUUUUUCCCAAUAAGUAUAUGAUACGUUAUGACUGAAAGUUCAAGAUUAAAAUCACUCAGCUUGAUCUGAAAUGGUUAGUAUUAUCAUCUUAUGCAGAAAUGGUUUUGCUCAUUGAGAAAAUGAUAUUCAAUAACACAAAUGCAAACUCAUUUGAAAAUUUUGCCAUUGAGAAAAUGAUAUUCAAUAACAGACAUGCAAACUCAUUUGAAAAUUGCUUUUUUGCAAGAAUUAUAACCAUUUUCUAGUUUGUUAAUUGUUACAUGUUCUGUUUUUGUAAGGGGUUUCUCAUGUUGCAGGCAAGUAAAGCAAGGAAAAGAUUAUCAAAGGGAAGAUCUUUUGAAGAAAAUAGAAUAUUUUGUGAGUGAGCAGAGUCAAUCAAUGAGCUGAUAUAUACAUUUUCUAGUUGAAAGAGAUAACCAUUGCUUGAGAAAAUGAGCUGAUCAUAUGUCAAUUGAUGGCCAAGAAGGUUCCCCAAUCUGAUCUACGGAGCAUGGCAUUUCAUAAAACUCUCUUUCUAGAGAAAAAAAAAAUUAACAGCUUCUUAGGAUUGGAGCAUCAGGUGACUUAGCAUUUCCAGUAUGAAUGAAUUAUAAGAUGGAUGAUGCUGCAAAAAUGAAUAGAGAUAAAAUUAAGCAAGAGAAAAUAUUUGAAUGUUAUUAAUGAAACCUUUUCCAGUGAUUGUAGAGAUAAUUUUCUUUGUAUUGAAACUUUCAGCAUCUGAAAGAUAAGGAAAAUAUUAAAAGAAAAAAGAAAAUUCUUAAAUCUUUUCCAUGUCACUCCAGCAAAGUUGAAUUGUCAUUCUAAACCCUAUACCAAAAUGUAAGGUGGCCUGUGGCCUAUAGGUAAUACACAAUUUGACAACCCCAUAUAUUUAGUAAUCUAGGUUGAUGCCAUUAAUUUUUUUUUUAAUUUAAUUUUUGUUCAUUUUUAAUGCAAACAACGCCUCUUUCAUUGUGGCAUUGGAAUAUAUAGAGAUUUGUACACUGAUUUUGGACCAUAAUUCACAAAUAAUGCGACGCAUAUCUUUCUUUCAGUACUUCUUCAGGAGGAUAAGAUACAGACAUUGUUGUCUUUUUACCUGAAGCAAGUGCAUGUGCAUGAAUUGUUGUUGUCUGUUAAUCUGCUGCCACUUUGCUGCCAAAAAACUUGAAAAAUAAACCAGGAAAAUUUUCAAUAAGCAAAGUCAAACAACUAACCCCUGUUUAAGUUAUUUUCCGAAGAAAACUUUUAAACACUCAAAUAAAGCACACAAGUAAAGUAUUUCUGUCACAUUAGCUUUCGAGUGAGGUUUGAUUUACAUUUAUAUCAGAUAUACCAAGUGUUUUUUAUUCUUUUAAUUAAUGUAUAUCACAGCUUGGAAAUUCUAAAAAUUAAUCAUGCUUAAUCUUGAGCAAUAAUAUCUUUAAUCAUCAUACGAGGUCAAAGGUGAAGGAAAAAAAAAAGGAAAAGAAAAAGAAAGAGUUAGUUUUUGUUAGAGCAGCUCACUAUGCUGAACAGAAGAAGGUGAAGGCUAAGAUGAAGAAAAUACUGAGCAAGUGUGUUAGCAGUGCCAGCUCAGUUGACAGCUCAGCAGAUUAGUUAAAGAUGGUUGCAAGCAUGCUGUGCAUUGUAUUGAAGUUAGUUAGCUUGAUUACAGUUAGUCUUUGGAUUAGUUAAAUGAUGUUAUCGUGAUUACAUUAUAUAUAAAUAGCUGAUGCUUUGUAAUCAAUCGUUAAGCAAAAAUAAGAAGUAAAAGUUUGUUAAGAAAUAUUUCCAGAAUUAUCAAAUUCAUUUUCUUAGUAACCAAACAGCUUCAUUUCGUUUUCUUUCAUGGUAUCAGAGCCACUCUAAUGGCUAGUUCCAGUAGCACAACAUCAAAUCCAAAUCAAACGAAUAUAAAUCAAUCAUCACAUAUCUCCUUUUCAUUUAGCACUCCAGUCAAAUUGGAUCAAUCAAAUUUCAUGAUUUGGCGAAAGUAAUUUCUUACUACAAUAAGAGGAAAUCGUCUUGAAGAUUUUAUUUCUAGAAAUCAAAUCAUACCAGAACAAUAUAUUUCUAAUACAGUAGUUGACGGAUCAGUACAGAGAAUCACGAAUCCAGCCUACAUCAAUUGGCGAGCUCAAGAUCAAACCUUGCUUGGAUGGAUUUUAUCCUCCAUAAGUGAAGGUAUCUUAAAUACUGUUCUUAAUUGCGAAAAUUCAUUUGAAGCAUGAAGAUCAAUUGAAAAACAGUUUGGAGUACAAUCUGAAGCUAGAGUUAUGCAAUUGAGAUAUGAAAUGAAUGUCCUUAGAAAAGAGAAUAUGUAUGUUGAGGAGUACUGUUUAAAAGUAAAAGUUGUUGCUGAUAAGCUUGCUUGUGCUGGUAGUCCUGUUUCUGAGAAAGAUUUGAAAUACUAACUAGGCAACCCAAGAGGGGGGGUGAAUUGGAUUUUUAAAAAUUAAGCUAAGCAAACCACACAACAAACCAAUCUAAUGCCUUAAUAAAUUCGAAAACAAUAAAUUCAAUGAAAGCACAAUAAUAAAUGAGCAAGGGAAGAGAAAACAAACUCAAUGAUUUUUACGUGGCUCGACAAUCCCCGCCUACGUCCACGCCUCCAAGCACACCGGGCUUGAGGAUUUCACUAUCCGAGCCUUUCCAAGGCUUCAAGCGUUUACAAUUGACUUCAAGGUGUCAAUGAACCUUUACAACAAGAGAUUAUCUCUCCAAUCUCUUCACCCCAAGUGUUUUUCACACUUGUACACUCACAAUUUGAUGAGAAAUGAAAAUUACAAUAAUGAAACUCUCUUUAAGAGUGGAUAUACAAAUGAUAGCUCAAUGAAGAUUUAAUCUAUGAUGAUUUUCAAAUUUGAAGCUCAACAUAAGUUGUGUGCACUUGUUUAUGCUUGCUUAGAUUACCAAAAAUGAAUUGGUUUUGAGUUUAUAUAGUUUGAGCUCAAAAACUAGCCGUUAUGCACAUUUUGGUCAUAACCGGCUUGCCGUUUAGGAAUCCAGUAAGCCGCUUUUAUGUUACCGUUAAGGCAAAAAUUUGAAUUUCAGAAUAUCCGGCUUGCCGCUUGCGAAAUCCGGUAAGCCGUUUAUGCUCCAGAGGCUUACUGCCCAAAAUCCGGUUUGCCGUUUAACCAUAUCCGGUAAGCCGCGUUCAAUUCGGAUAGAUUCUGCCCAACAUCCGGCUUGCUGGUUUUUCACAUCCGAUAAGCCGCUUGCUACAGUGACUGCUACAGUGAAUUAUUUUUUAAAAUUAUAGUUUGACCCCAAAACUUUAUAAAACUAUAUUACGACCCAAAACGCUAUGAAAAUUUACAAAUAAGUUCAAUUUCAGAAUUUCUAAGUGAUGCUUUGUUAAUCUCAAAACUUUCUGAAAUUAUGGUAUAGCCCAAAAUACUAUGACACUUUUCAAAUAAGUCAUUCUCUAAAAUUUCAAGCAAUAUUUGUUGAUUUCAAAGUUUUCAAAAUUUUCAAAAUUCUUUCAAUUAAACCAUAAACUUGAAAAACAACUAAUUUCAUAAAAUCAUUUUUCCAUUAAAUAUGAAACAUUUAUAAUGUGAAAAUAAUGAUUUAUUUAAAAAGAAUAAAAAAUAAUUUGAGCUUAAAAGAUUAAUCAUUUUUAAUCUUGUUUGUUAUCAUCAAAAUCAACAUUAUGGAAACAUAUAUGUUAACAAUCUCCCCCUUUUUGAUGAUGACAAACAUUUCAUGUAUUUAAAGAAUGAUUCCACAAAUUGCUUCCCCUAAAUAUAAUCUUCUCUUACAAUUUUCCAAUUAGCUAAAUUAACAUAUUUAAAUACAUGGAUUUUUCUCCCCCUUCAUCAUCAAAAAGAAAACUUAAUUGGCAAAGAAAAAAAAUAGCAAAUUUUUAUAAAUUUAAAAACAUGUAUUCUUCUCCCCCUUCAUCAUCAAAAAGAAAACAUAAAAGAAAAGAAUAAAAGUAGCAAAUUUUUUUACUCAUGUUUGUCCUAGUAGAAAUUUCAACACAUUCUCCCCCUAACAAUAAGCAUGACCUCAAAUACAAAUUUAGUAAUAUUACUCCCAAAUUAUUAUAAAUCAUGAUACAAGCCAACUCCAUACACAAAUCAUCACACUAAAAUAUCAUGAACCAUUAUUCCAUUAAUUACUAAAUCAACAACUCAUAACAUAAAUUUAUCAUAUAAAACAACUAUGUAAUCAAAACAUCAUUAUAUCUCAAAAUCAUCAAAUCCUCACCAUAAUCACAUAUCAAUUAUCAAAACAAUUACUCAAAAUGUAUAUUAUUCUCCUCCUUUUGACAACAUCGAAAUGAUAUAUUACUUUGUCUCCCCCUUUGGACAACAAAAAAAGUUCAAAAUGUAUAUUAUCCAUAAUCAUAUUAUAUGCUCCCCCUAAAUAUAUGGCCAAUUUAAAAUUUUAACCGAAAUGAUUUUAUCCAAAAACAUAUCAUAUUUGUCUCCCCCUUAAUCAAAUACAAUGUAAUCAUCAAAACACAUUCUUUAUCAUCAAAACUUAAGUAAAGCAUAAGUACAUAAUAGCAAUAUAUAGAUCAUCAAAAUCAACAUAUGCCAUUAUAGAUCAUCAAAAUCAACAUAACUAUUAAGAAAAGCCAUCAUUAUGAGUUAAAGAACAAGUGAUCAAAUCCAUUAUUACAAAUGUUUAUAUAUAUUUCUAAAUGAUGAUCUAGUAGUUACAUCUUGUGAUGGAUCUCCUUAAAUUAAGUCCUUAGGGUGAGAAGAAUCAUAUAAUUCAAAAUCAUAGCAAACAUCCAUAUAAUCCAAAAUGAAAAAUCAAAGAAAAAUAAAACAGUAAAUGAAAUGUUGGUGUGUCCAAAUACAAGUAUAAAAGACUACUUGUGAGUUUUAUGAUGAAAAUGGAUUUUAAAGAUGAUUUUAGACACAAGAAUGGAUAGGAAUAAUUUAUAUGAAUCAAUUUGGAUUGGAAACGAAUGAGAAUGAUGGAUUUUGGAAUGAAAAUUAAUGAAGGAAGAAACCAUUUUUAGAGAGAGAAUGGGAUCUAGUUUGCCGAAAUGAAGAAGAAGAUGAAUGGUUUUAAAAUGUGCGAAUUCGGCUUACAGUUUAGCAUAACCGGCUAGACGGUUUGAGGCAGAAAAGAAGCUUUGGAAAUCCGGCUUACCGGAUUUCAUAACCGGCUGACCGAUUGUUGUCCAGAAAUGAAACUCUCUCAAACGGCUUACCGAUUUUGCCAAUCCGGUUAUCCGAAAUUCAACCCGAGAGCAACCAAAGCCAAUUCGGUUUACCGGUUGCCAAUAUCCGGCUGACCGGUUGUGCUCCAGUGAGCACCAAAAUGAAUUCGGCUUACCAGUUUUAAAUGUCCGGUUAUCCGAAUUUCAUCCACAGAGCUCCAAAAUGAAAAACGGCUUUCCAAUUGAUUAGAAGUGGUAUACCGGUUAAGUUUUGGAAAAUAUUUUUGAAAUUUUGUAAGCUCUUAGACUUGAAUUAUACACACCAAUUUAUUUUUGGCUUAGAACUUGAUUAAUUUUAAAUCAUUUUGUGAUUUAAAACUUUUCAAUAAGCCAAUUAAUACAUGAGACAUAAAUGCAUACAAGACCAACACAUAUGAAAUCGUAUCAAACAAUGAUGUCAAUUUUAUAAAUGAAUGAUAAUAUAACACAAUUAAUGGCAUAUGAAUUCACACAUAUAUAGGAGAUGGACAAUGAUGAUAGACAAUUAAGAAGAUGAAAUCAAAGACCAUACAAUCAUCAAAAUCAAACAAAGGCAUCAUGAUAAAUCAUUCAAUGUUAUACACAAUGAUAAUUCUAUCAUGUAAAUAUACAAACAUACUUUCGCAAAUUCAUUUAUCAUGAUUCAUUCAACAAAAUUAAUAUGGCAAGAAUUGUUACCAAAACAAUUAAAUCAUCUUGCCUCAUCUUUUUCUCCUAGAUCAUACUCAAGUGAUUAUCCUCACAAGAUUUCAUCAAGGAACUCUCCAUCAUUCCUCGAUUGUGGUACCUACAAAGAAAACAUUCACGUUGUGCCCUUUGGUACCCAAAUACUCUUGGGUCCUUGAGUGUUAGCAAUGGUUCCUUUUGGAACCCAAACACAUUUUACUCCAUAAUAUACUUUUCUUUGAAUAGGACAACCAAGCUUCAUGUGACUGUUUUGAUUACAAUAAUGACAUACAACUUGAUUGUUAAUAGAUGUACUCUUCACAAAGUAGCUCUUAUAAUACUUUUGUUUCAAAUUUGGCUUAUAACCAAGUCCUCCUUUAUUAAACACACAUUUUUGUGAAUUAAUCAAGUUAUCCAAUAUCUUUUGUCCAUUUGUAAAUUUUAAAACAAUCUCAUUUAACUCAUUGCUCUUCUUCUUAAGCACUUCAUUUUCCUUUUUCAAGUCAUCUAUGUGAUAUUCUAGAUGCUCAUAUGAAGUGCUAGGUUUCUCAUUUUAUAAUGCAAUUCUAUCAUGCAAUGUUUUAUUCUCUAAUUCUAGGCAUGUAAUCUUUGCACAUAGAGAUUCAUUUUUAUUUUUGAGCUCUACCAUUUUCUUUUUAAGACAUGCAUUCUUUUUACCAAUUUUCAUCCACUCAUCAUGCAAUUCUUUAAAAGCAUCAUGUAAUUCAUCAUAAGUAGGAAGAUCAUUUACCUCAUCAAGUUCAUCAUCCGAUUCAUCUCCAAUUGCCAUGAGAGCUAGAUUUUUCAUUUCUUGAUGCUCUUUAUCAUCACUUGUUUCCUCAUCACAAUCAUCCCAUGUGGCUACCAUUACUUUCUUCUUGAGCUUGUUGAGAAGAGGACAUUCUGAUCUUAUAUGGUCAGGUUUCUUGCACUCAUAACAUUUGAUUACUUUAUUUUUCUCCUUUCGGUUCUUGAGGUCUCUAAAUUUUCUUCGCUCACCGGAUUUCUUCAAAAUUUUCUGAACUUCCUAGCCAGCAUAUCCAUUUCCUCCUCAUCCACGUCGCUUUCCUCAUCACUCUUCUGUUUCAAGGCUUUGAGAGCAAUGCUUUUCUUCUUCUCCUCAUUGCCUCUUUCGGCUGCCAUGUCUUCCUCAUAAGAAAUAAGAGAACCAAUUAAAUCAUCAAUAGGUAAGAUAUUCAAAUCUUUAGCUUCCUCAAUGGUAGUCCUUUUUGGUCUCCAUUCCUUAGAUAACGACCUAAUGAUUUUCUUAACUUUCUCGCUAUUUGAAAAGGUCUUUCCUAGGGCUCUUAGAGUGUUCACUAUUUCUGUAAAUCUAGUAUACAUAGAAUACACACUCUCAUUUUGUUCCAUUUGGAACAAUUCAUAUUGCCGAGUGUACCUACUAAUUUUAGACUCUUUCACUUGAUUCAUGCCUUCAUAAACAACUUCAAGUUUGUGCCAAAUUUCAUUAGCACUUUCACAACUAGACACUCUAUGAAACUCUUUCUUAUCAAGUGCACAAAACAAGGCAUUCAUGGCUUUGGAAUUUAGAGAAGCUUUUCUCUUUUCCAAUUCAUUCCAUUUCCGUGAAGGUUUUGGAAUACCUUCUCUGACUUCGUUUUUAGUCAAAGACAUAAAUGGACCAUCACAAACAAUUUCCCAAAUUUCAUAAUCUAAAGCUUGUAAAUAAAUUCUCAUCCUAGUUUUCCAAUAUGGGUAGUCAUUACCGUCAAAGAACGGUGGUCUAAUUAUGGAUUGUCAUUCCCUAAAGGUUGAGUCAUUAUGGGUUGCGAUGGAUCUUUAACUCUAGACGGUUAAGUCUACACAAGAGCACCUCACUCUGAUACCAAAUGAAAUACUAACUAGGCAACCCAAGAGGGGGGUGAAUUAGGUUUUUAAAAAUUAAGCUAAGCAAACCACACAACAAACCAAUCUAAUGCCUUAAUAAAUUCGAAAACAAUAAAUUCAAUGAAAGCACAAUAAUAAAUGAGCAAGGGAAGAGAAAACAAACUCAAUGAUUUUUACGUGGCUCGGCAAUCCCCGCCUACAUCCAUGCCUCCAAGCACACCGGGCUUGAGGAUUUCACUAUCCGAGCCUUUCCAAGGCUUCAAACGUUUACAAUUGACUUCAAGGUGUCAAUGAACCUUUACAACAAGAGAUUAUCUCUCCAAUCUCUUCACCUCAAGUGUUUCUCACACUUGUACACUCACAAUUUGAUGAGAAAUGAAAAUUACAACAAUGAAACUCUCUUUAAGAGUGGAUAUACAAAUGAUAGCUCAAUGAAGAUUUAAUCGAUGAUGAUUUUUGAAUUUGAAGCUCAAUAUAAGUUGUGUGUAAUUGUUUAUGCUUGCUUAGAUUACCAAAAAUAAAUUGGUUUUGAGUUUAUAUAGUUUGAGCUAAACAACUAGCUAUUAUGCACAUUUUGGUCAUAACCGGCUUGCCGUUUAGGAAUCCGGUAAGCCGCUUUUAUGUUACCCUUAAGGCAAAAAUUUGAAUUUCAGAAUAUCCGGCUUGCCGCUUGAGAAAUCCGGUAAGCCGUUUAUGCUCCAGAGGCUUACUGCCCAAAAUCCGGUUUGCCGUUUAACCAUAUCCGGUAAGCCGCGUUCAAUUCGGAUAGAUUCUGCCCAACAUCCGGCUUGCCGAUUUUUCACAUCCGGUAAGCCGCUUGCUACAGUGACUACUACAGUGAAUUAUUUUUUAAAAUUACAGUUUGACCCUAAAACUUUAUAAAACUAUAUUACGGCCUAAAACGUUAUGAAAAUUUACAAAUAGGUCCAAUUUCAGAAUUUCUAAGUAAUGCUUUGUUAAUCUCAAAACUUUCUGAAAUUAUGGUAUAGCCCAAAAUACUAUGACACUUUUCAAAAAAGUCCUUCUCUAAAAUUUCAAGCAAUAUUUGUUGAUUUCAAAGUUUUCAAAAUUCUUUCAAUUAAACCAUAAACUUAAAAAACAACUAAUUUCAUAAAAUCAUUUUUCCAUUAAAUAUGAAACAUUUAUAAUGUGAAAAUAAUGAUUUAUUUAAAAAGAAUAAAAAAUAAUUUGAGCUUAAAAGAUUAAUCAUUUUUAAUCUUGUUUGUUAUCAUCAAAAUCAACAUUAUGGAAACAUAUAUGUUAACAAGAUUUGUUAAUGCAAAUUUUGAAUGGCCUAGGACCUGAAUUUCUAGAUCUUGCUUCAAUAAUUACUGCUAAUAGGAUGUCGUAUGAUGAUGCUUAUGCAUUACUCUUAACACAUGAGGCAAGACUGGAACUAAAUCAGAAUACUAAAGAUCUGUUUAAUGCAAACUAUGGGAUGAUGAAUGCUAACUACUCUCAGUUUAGAGGAAAUAAUAGGAGAGGUGGUUAUAGUGGAUAUCAAGGACAAUUUAAUGCUAGUAAUAGGAAUCAAAAUGGAGGAAGAGGAAUGCCUUUCAAUACACAUUCAAGAGGAUUUCCAGCCGGUGGAUAUACUGGUAAUGCUGGUGGCAGAGGAUAGCAAAUGAAUGCAUAUGCUUAAAAAAAAUGCUUAACAAUAGGCAUAAUUUCAAUAUGAUUCAUGGUUCAACUUCAAUGUCUAAUGGAAAUGGAUCCGAUGAUAAUGUGCCUAUCUGUCAAAUUUGUCAUAAAGCUGGACAUGCAGCUGAUGUUUGUUGGCAUAAACACUUUGAUAAAUAUGUUCCUUAACCUAGACAAUUUGGAAGGGGCAGAAGACAUAAGUCUGCUUAUAUGGCUAACUUUGAUCCACAAAUUGGUUUUGUUUCACAAUUUGAAGACUCAUUUGCUAUAGAGUAUCCUGGUUAUCAUGGGUAUCAUCCACCUUAUAUGAAUUCAUCAGUAAAUCAUCACUCAUCUGAUAUGAACUUUGCACUUAGAGCAGCUUAUAUUGCAAAUUUUGAAGGACCAGCUGAUGAAGGAUGGUAUCUUGAUAGCAGAGCUACACACCACAUCACUAACAACAUGGCUAAUAUGCAUAUAAGAGAUCAAUUCACUAGAGCAUAUCAGCUCAUUAUUGGAAAUGGACAAGGUUUGCCCAUAACUCAUGUUGGUGAUGCAUUCUUUCUCUUUAAAAGUUCCAAUUCUAAACACAAACACUCAUCUAUAGCACUUAAAGAUAUACUGUUGGUUCCUUCCAUUACCAAAAAUUUGUUAAGUAUUUCAAAGCUUACCACUGAUAACAACUUGUCUGUUGAAUUUCUUGGAAAUGUUUGUUUUGUGAAGGAUUCUCUGAGGGGACAGGUACUUCUGCAGGGUCUUCCUGAGAAAGGGUUAUACAGGCUGUUAUUGAAAUCAUCAUCAUCUUCUCAGUUAUCACACUCAUCUUUUCUUUCUCAAAUGUGUUUAAAUAAACCUUUGUCUAUGCUUUCUUGUUGUUAUUUCAAUUCUGUUCCUUCUGGAGUUGUUACAGAAUCUCAAAAAUCAUGUAAUCAAACUGAUGAUUCAUCUUGUAAAACUUCAGUCAAUAAAACUACUUUGCUUCAUAGAAAGUUUGGUCAUCCCAAUCAUCAAGUGCUAACACAUAUACUCAAGAUAGCAAAAUCUAUUCAUUUACCUACAUAUCAAAAACAACAAAUGCAUCAGUAUAUCUGUGAAGCCUGUCAAAUGGGCAAAACACAUAAACUUCACUUUCCAAUUACUGAAACCAAAACCUCAAAAAUUCUAAAACUUAUACACACUGAUUUAUGGGGUCCUUCUCCCAUUAUUUCUAGAGAUGGUUAUCAGUAUUAUAUAAGUUUUGUAGAUGAUUUUAGCAGGUAUACAUGGAUCUAUCCUUUGAAGCUAAAGUUAGAGGCAUUAGAGGUCUUUAAGCUUUUUAAACUACAGGUUGAAAAUCAGUUUAGCACAACCAUUAAGAUGAUGCAAUCUGAUUUGGGGGGGGGGGGAGAGGAUAGACCAUUCACUAAAUUUUUAAACCACUCUGGGAUUAUCUUUAGACAUCCUUGUCCUUAUACUCCUCAUCAAAAUGGGUUAGUUGAGAGAAAGCAUAAGCAUAUUGGUGAAAUGGGUCUGACUCUCCUAGCUCAAGCUCAACUUCCCUUUAAGUUCUGGUGGGAUGCAUUUCAUAAUGCUGUAUAACACAUCAACAGACUUNNNNNNNNNNNNNNNNNNNNNNNNNNNNNNNNNNNNNNNNNNNNNNNNNNNNNNNNNNNNNNNNNNNNNNNNNNNNNNNNNNNNNNNNNNNNNNNNNNNNGUAAAAAAACUCAGCCAAUAUGUAGCUGCACCAACACUACAACAUCUAAUGGCAUGCAAGAGAGUUCUAAGAUAUAUAAAGGCAACUCAAGAUUAUGGUUUGAAAUUUUUCAGAGAAGGAAGCUUAACACUCACUGGUUUUACUGAUGCAGAUUGGGCAUGUGAUUUAGAUGAUAGGAAAUCAGUUGAUGCUUAUUGCAUUUAUUUAGACAACAAUUUGAUAUCCUGGUCUUCUAAGAAACAAUCAAUGAUAACCAGAUCAAGUGCAGAGAGUGAAUAUAGAGCCUUGGCAUCAGCAAGCGCAGAGCUAACUUGGUUGCAAAUCCUUAUUUUCUGAGUUGGGAAUAAGUUGCAUAGAAAAGCCAACCAUAUGGUGUGACAACGUUAGUGCCACUGAAUUGGCAAAGAACCCUGUAUACCAUUCAAGAACAAAGCAUAUCGAAAUUGAUAUGCACUUAAUUAGGAAUAAGGUUCUUGCUGGUGAGUUAACUAUUCACUAUGUACCAAGUGAAGAACAGAUUGCAGACAUAAUGACUAAGCCUCUCUCAUUUGUAAGGUUUAACUACUUGAGAUCCAAAUUCAAUGUCCAUCUUUAUCCUCUGAGUUUGAGGGGGGCCGUUAGAGCAGUUCACUAUGCUGAACAGAAGAAGGUGAAGGCUAAGAUGAAGAAAAUACAGAGCAAGUGUGUUAGCAGUGCCAGCUCAGCUGACAGCUCAACAGAUUAGUUAAAGAUGGUUGCAAGCAUGAUGUGCAUUGUACUGAAGUUAGUUAGCUUGAUUACAGUUAGUCUUUGGAUUAGUUAAAUGAUGUUAUCGUGAUUACAUUGUAUAUAAAUAGCUGAUGCUUUGUAAUCAAUUGUUAAGCAAAAAUAAGAAGUAAAAGUUUGUUAAGAAAUAUUUCCAAAAUUAUCAAAUUCAUUUUCUUAGUAACCAAACAGCUUCAUUUCGUUUUCUUUCAGUUUUAUGUAUAUAAUUGAAAGGAUCUGUUAUAGAGUAUUUCUGUUGCAUGGUUUUCGGAGGGAUAGCAUUGUCCACAGCAUUUGGACUUUGCUUCUGAUUCAAUGGCAUUUAGAAUUUGGUUUCCUCUGAGAUCAUAUACAGCUUGAUUCUGAUAUCUUCCAUUUUGGAGGGAUUCAAAUAAAUUGAAGAAGUUUGAGGUUCCAGUUCAAAUUGGGAAUGCUGCAGAUAAUAUAUAUAAUUCUGUAGAGGUUUUCUAACUUUUAUUUUUAGUAAUGUAUUCAUGUCCUGUCAUUCUUCUUUCUGCUUAAAUCCAGUUGCCCAUGUUGGAAUUUCUUUUCAGCUUUUGUAUUCUUUUUCCUUUUUGUUCAAUAAUGCUAUAGACGAUGCUCUACCAUUUAAAAGACAUAAAUAAAAAAAUUUAUAAAUUUUUACUUUAUCAAGGUGUGAAACCUUAUAAAAUUUAUAAAUUUAACUAAUGAACAGAGAAGCAUAACAAAAUAUUUGGAGUUGCUUAAUUCCAUAGAAACAAAAGCAGAAAGAGAUGUUCAAGAACAAAACACAAAAAUUUUCAUCAAGUGGAGCAUCGAUCAUGCCACCAUAAUAACAUAAUUACAUAAUGCUCGAAGAGCACCCAAGACCUUCUGAAAAAAUAAUAUAACUUAAAAUAUCAAAAAACACAAAUAAUUAAUUGAUUAUCCAAAUAUAUAAACAAACCUAGCUCACAAUGUGAAAUAUAUUAAAACACCAACCAUAAGAUUUUCAAACAUUUAAAUUAACGGUGAUGAUAUUUCUGCCCCAUGAAUUUUAUAAAUCCACCCAUUUUUAAAAAAAUUAUUAUAAUCAGUUCACAUUAUUUUUUAAAAAUUUAAAUUAAGAAGAAAUUAAAAAAAUUGAUCAAUUAAAUUCAUAUUCAUUUCUUUUUUUUAACUGCGUUUUUUUAUUAUAUUUAAUCAAUAAGAUUGUUUUAACAUAAAUCAGUAUGACUAUUUUACCCUCAUAAGGUAAAAGUACCAAAAUAUCUAAAAAUUCACUUUAACUUUAAUAAAUUUUUAUGCAAUUUUUUUAUAUUUUAAUGAUGUAUUAGUAAUUGUUAGUACAAUUAUUAUUACUCCACUAAACUAACAAGAUAUAAUUAGGACAUGUGGUGAAUUGAAAAUAAUCAAAUUUUAUAUAAAACACAUUGGAUUAUAAACUAUAAAACAAAAUGCCUAAGCAAUUAGUUACAAUAAUAUAUAUAUAUAUUUCUUUGAGUAAUUUGGUAAUUUUAUAUUAUAAGGGUAAAAUAAUCAAAUUAAAUUUAUCUUGAAGCGCUUCAAAAGUUAAAGAUUGUUAAAAGGCUAAGUCGGAAAAAAUAAAAAAAUUUAUAAAAUUGAUUUAAUUAUUAAUUAUUUAAAGUUUUUAUUAAUUUAUAAUUUUAUAAAAUAAUGUAAAUUUAUUGUAAUUAUUUUAUACAGGUGGACUGGGUUUAUAAAAAUAGCGGGGUGGAUAUACUUACACCCUUGAAUUAAUAGUUAGUAUAAAUUUUAGAUACCUCCCCUAAAAUUUGACUUUGCUACACUUAGAGAGAAUGUAAACAGAUAUUGACAAUAUACCCCCCGGUCGUGUGUAAGGGUUAGGCACUCAUUAGGUAGUUGAGGGCAAUAACGUACAUGUUGUAUAUUUUUUUAUUUUUAAAUCUUACAAAAGCUGUUAUAUAAAGCUACAGCUGUGAAGUAGAAGUUAAAAAAAAAAAUUUGCUAAGCUACCAAAGCCCAACUAUAAGUGUCACCAAACACUUUAAUAACUGAGAUUUGACAGUCCAACUACCUCACCACACUUCCAAACGGGCUAUGUUAACUAAUUAGACGAGAGCAGCGAAAAUGCACAUAGUGCUUUGAAGCUAGGGAAGCCCAAGGGGAUAGUAACGCAUUUUCAUUGUCAAUGCCUAGCUUCAUUUCUUCUUUUUUCUCAGCAUAACUUGAUGAGUGCUUAGCUUCAUUUCGAAGGUCGUGACACCAACUGAUUUUAGCAAAAGCAGAGAUACUUUGUGAUGCAGUAAGCUAACAAGUUUCUGAAAUCAACUAUGUUUUGAACCAAAUUCCGGCGACGACCAGCAGCUGAAAAGCCGGUGAUUAAAGGGCAAUCUAGGUGCGUAAUUCUAUCAAAGCUUAAAAUUGAAGUUAGGUUUUAUUAUUUUCUUGCAUUUUGUUGAAAUUGCUGUUAGUUAGGUGCUUUAUUUUUAGUUCAAAUUAAUUGAGAAAAAUGUUUAGGGUUUAUAGAAAUUGAAGUAGUGGCCGAAUAUAUCGGAAUUGAUUUUUGAGUUGAUAGUCACUCGACAUGUUGUGUAAACUAUGAAAAUGAUUUAUUUUUUGAUGAUUUUGGACUGUGGGUUUUGAAUGCCUACUGAAAUUUGCUUGAUCUGUUAUUAAAAUUGAGAAAAAUCCAAUCUUUCUCUAAGAAUGCAGAGGUGUUGCUGAGAAAACGCUUAUGGUGUUGUUUUGUUUCUUUUUUUAUCUUACAAGUGUGCAGUUCAUGUAAGAUUGAGACAGUUGCUCUUGUUGCUUUAUGAUGUUUGUAUGGACUAAUUCCAAUCACUGAUUUUUGUUGGAAAAUGGAUGCUAUUAUUUGUCCUUUUCUUCGUGUAAAAAUUUGUACUUCCGUUCCCAACAUAAAACUCAGAUGCUUGCCUAUUACUUUUUGAGGUUGUUAUUAAGGUGUAAGAGAUAUAUUAGUUAUAGAGCUUGUAGGCAGUUGGUUUAUUGAAGAACUAGUACAGUUGAGAAGUGUCUUUUAGGUCAUCCAUUUUAAUACACAUAUUAACAGAUUUAAUUACAUAAACACAAGACUUCAUUUGUUUAUCAAAGUAGUACUUUCUGAUGCUUUCGUAUAAUGAAUGCCAAAGGGACGACAUUUGCAAAAAGGCCAUUUGAAUGUACCAACUGCUAUCCUUGUAAACCUCUAUUGUGAUUCUGUUAUCAUUAUAUGUUGUUUAAUGAUCUGAUGAUUUCGAGAUAUCAAGAUGAGUUUAUUCAUACAAUAAAUGUUGUCAUUAGGUUCAUAAUUAUUGUAGUACAUGUUCAUUUAGCUACUUUAGGUACUGCUACAUGCAUUUAUUGUAUAAUGCCUACUUAGCAGCCAUAACUACACCCAUUGUUGAAGCCACAGCAGCACAAAUGAGAAAAAAAACAUGUUUAGGAACAACGUUGUCUUUAUAUCAUUUCGUUUUACUCCAUUUUGUUGUGCUUUUUGCAUCAGUGACUUCAAAUCCUUCCUAUCCUUUUGCAUACUCAUCAGCAGUUCAUAAUUUGCUUGACAUGUUCCUAAACCAUCAAAUAUAACACCUUGGUCGAUAUCAUUUGAAGAUGGUAUCCAAAACUUGAAAUAGCCACAACCAUUUUUGCUAUCCAUACAGCAAUAAUAUAGCUUGUUUGGGUUGUCAUCUGAUUCCGCUACCUUCAUAGCAGCUAUUUUGUAGCAUUUACUAAUCUUGUUUGAAAAUCAAAUGAAUUUAAAAUAUUCUCAUUUAUUGUUUUUUGUAGCGUUCACUAAUCUUCUGAUAUUCAGUAUUGUUUUUAUAUAAAUUAAUUUAAAAUAUUAUCAUUUAUUUGUCUUAUUAUAUGAUUUUAGACUAUCAAAUUAUUUGUUUUAAGGGGCAUUUUGGUCUUUUCAACACUCAAUUGAGUUUUGUCUUAUUAUAAGAUUAUGUAAUGUCAACAACAAUUAUCAUAAGGGUAUAAUAGCCUUUUGACCCCCCCCCCCAGGCGCGAAAAAAAAUCGCCCCAAAUAUAAAGAUCAUCUACAGUGUCAAAUAAUUUUGAAGGGCAUAUUGUACAUUCACUCAACUACCUAACGGGUGCGUAACCUUCAUACAUGGCCGGGGGUAUGUUGUCAAUAUAUGGAUACAUUCUCUCUAAGUGUAGCAAAGCCAAACCUUAGGGGUGGUUUCUAAAAGUUUUCCUAAAUUGUUAAUAAUUUUAUACAACAGAUUCUUGGAUACCCCUCAAGUUCACUUAUUCUAUGUUAUGGCUGACUUUCAAGAAAUUAAAUUCUACAUUAUGACCCCUAGGGAAACAACGUCGCCAAUAAAAUUAUAAAAUAUAUGUGUGUAAUAGUUGUCAAACCUGAACCUAUGUCGUUUAGCAAUUUACAAAAUGAGAAAGACGACAAAAGCCAAGUGUUAAGAGUGGCAGCGAGCCAACGAGACAAGCUCAAGUUCACUGUGUUUUUGUUGAACCUUCUGAAGACCCAAAACUCGAGGUUUGUUUUUACGUUCCCUAAUCGUUUGACUACAUUUUUAUUCUGUGCUACGUUCGUUAUGAACUGUUCAGGCUAAGUGUUCGACGAAAUUCCUAAGUGAGUAUAUAUAAUGGUUUGCUCUUGUAUUUAUUCUGUUAUAGAAGGUUUUGCUUUGGGUGGUUAAAUAGAGGAGAUUAGACAUUGAACUUUAUGCACUUGUAUGUUUUCAAGUAAUUGUUUGCUGAGGCACAUGUACUUUGAAUGGCUUCAUUCAUCUACAGAGAUAUCAUAACAUUUUUUGCUUAAUGUGAGUCUUAUUGUUGUUAAUUUGUCCAAAGUGAAGGCUUUUUUAACUUUUAUUUCUUUGAUUUAUUUAUUUAUUGUUUUGUCGAAGUUCUGUGUCUCAACUUUUAUUUGAUAAGUUCUUUCAAACUACUAAUUAGAAGAAAAAAAUGCUAGAGAGUGAGUAUGAGAGGGAAUGAUGUUUGGGCAAGGGGUGAUUGGUUCACUUGGCUCAUGAAGGACCUCAACUAUAAUGACAUGUAUCAAUUUCGCAGCCUAAUUGGAAGGUAAGCUCAUUUCUUGAUUUCCUUCAAUUUUCACUUUCAUUUUACUGUUUUCAAGUAGCAGGUAAUCUAAAUAAAAGUAAAAUCAGUAGUGAUUUGCUUCAAGUGCAUAUGGAUAGUAUAUCACAUGUGAGAAGAUUGUAUUUGUUAUAUGAAAAUCCUUAAUAACUUUAAUUAACAAAUAUAUUCUCAAACCUGAUCGUGGAAUGUACUAUUUCUUAAUAUCUGAGUUUGGAUCAACACAUUUUUUGCCAUGCAAUUUGACAAGUUGUCAUGUCCUCAUAUUCUGCACUAUUAUAAGUUUUGCCAAUCUGCAUAGGUGUUUGAUAGAUUGAGUUAAUCUAGUUUCGAGAGCAUGCCUAACUAAAGGGCAUCGAGUUUCUAAGUGAGGGCAAGCACAACUAUAAUUAUCUAUUUCAUAUCCUCCCUAUCAGCGGGGCAGGUCUGUUACCUCUAAAUUCUUUCAAUAACUUGGGGACGUUAAUCCUAUUAAUGACAGCCACAUAUUAUAAGUCAAGAAAACUGAUUUUUUGAUUAUUGAAAAAUCAAAUUUUUUGUAUUAUUCUAUUUAUGACCUCAGUAACCUACAUGUUGCGAUUGUCUUGUAUGGAUCAUUGUUUCUCUUUUAAGCUGUUAUAGUGAAAAUUUUUAGCUCUUAUUGCAGUUCUUAAAGUCAUUGCAAGCACAUGCUCUGUCGAUCUCCAUAAAUUCGGAUACAUAUGCAUAGUUAGCUAUUCAAACAACCACACUGGUAUUUAACUUCGAUAUUCAGAAAUAUGGCUGAAGUGAAGCUUCAUAGGGCAUGGACGAGUGCAUUUUGUUACAGAGUGAUAUGGGCUCUGAAAUUGAAAGGCAUAGCAUAUGAUUACAUUGAAGAAGAUCUCUCUAACAAAAGUGCUUUGCUUUUGAAGCAUAAUCCAGUUCACAAGAAGGUCCCAGUACUUGUUCAUGACGAAAAAUCAGUUUGCGAGUCCAUUGUUAUCCUUGAAUACAUUGAGGAGAUGUGGCCACAGAAUCCCUUAAUGCCAAAUGAUCCUUAUGAUAGAGCUCUGGCUCAUUUUUGGAUUAAAUUUGCCGAAGAUAGGGUUUGCUUCAGAACUCUAGCUAAUGCGUUUAUAAGUUCAUUAUUUUCAUGUUUAUUUGUUAUUAGAGAAAAUGAUCAGUAUCCCCCAUUGUAUGUCAAAAUUAAUUAUUUGUUCUUUUAUGUUUUAAAACCUAUCAAAAUCUCCAUUGUCGUUCAAAAGAUUCUGUUAACCUUCAAUUUUUUUGUCUUUUACUAAUUUUACCUCUGGAAAAAUUUUUAUUAAUAGGAAGUUGAAAGUUUAAUAUAAUUUUUUUAACGGCAAGGGAAAUUUUGAUGGCUUUUGAAAUAUGAGGGAGAAAAGGAUUAAUUUACCAAAACAACAUUGUGGUUUUGUUGUUCAUUUACCCUUUGUCAUUCAAUGUAGUUGUUAACCUCUAGUAUAAGGGUGCUUGACAAAUGACAAGGAUAUGUAUUGUCUAAGUCUUUUAGUUCAUACAUAUUAUUAAUCAUGUGGUGAUAUUUUGACAGGAGCUACUGUUUGGAAAAUGUUUCGUAGCGUACAAGAUCAAGAGAAUACAAUGAAAGAAAUCUUGGAAAUGCUAAAAACCGUUGAAGAACAUGGCUUAGGAGAGAAGAAAUUUUUUCAUGGAGACAAGAUUGGCUUAGUGGACAUAGCAUUUGCUUCCAUUGUUUAUUGGUUGCAAAUCAUUGAAGAUGUAGCAGGAGUGAAACUAUUUAAAUCUCACAAAUUCACUUGCUUGCACGCAUGGUUUGAAAAAUUUAAACGAGUCCCAGAAAUUGAAGAGAACCUUCCUAAUUGGGGUGAACUAUUGGUUUUUUUCAAACGUCGCCGUGAAAAGUUGGUGGCCUCUUCCUCAUUGCAUUAGCACAAAAUUUGUCGUGCAAUUGUAUUGUUGUCAAGAGGCCGCUCUUUGCUUAGUUUUUUAUUAUCUUGUGUGCUCAAUUGGGAGGCCGCCGCUUUGCUGGGUACUUUCGUAUGGAUUUGAGUAAUAAGGGGGACUUGACUUUAUAUUUAUGAAUUAUUGCAUGUAUUUCGUUAAUUAUUAAUGGACUACUAACGGUUAUGUAUUGUUUGGGAGGAAGUUUAAAUGCUGAUAUAUACUAAUGACUUGAAGAAAAGUCAACUUUUAUUUGAAGUAAUAUAACUCUAAAAAAUCAGAAGAAAAACUCCUUGUGGAAAAAGAUAGUUCUGGUAAACAUGCCCAGCAUUAAAGGGUAUUAUCGAAACGUUUUUUUUUUUAUUACAUGAAACUAUUGCUCGGGUGUUAUCGAAACUUAAAUGUGAAUGGUUAGAGCCAACAUGUGAACAGUACACCAUUGUGAAAAGAAUGAUUUUUUUUUUCGCUAAGAAUAACGAGCCAAUAGGACUUUAGUGAUUUUUUUUAGAUCUAAUUUAUUGAAAGACUUCUUCAUCUUCUUCUUCGUUUAUGGUUGGGGUUUCUUUCUCCAUUUUAACACCACCAUGAAAAAUUUUAACCAUCUAUCUACCAAAGAAGCCUUUUCCCUUACUCUUCUCCUGAAAAACUCUCUAAUCUCUAUAAAACUCAUAUCUCCCUCAUGUCAUUAUUCCUCAUAAACAACCUUUAAUAAAGUUUUGUCCUUAUUAUAAUGCAAAUUAUGUAAUACUUCAUUUAUAUAGUGGAUUGGAGAUGAGUUACUCUUAUGGAUGUAGAUCAAAGGGCCGAACAAUGUAAAAUCAUAUGUGUUCUCUAUUGUUUAUGCUUAUUUUCUAUUUAUUAGGAUGAUGAUAAUACUCAAAUCGUAUUCCAUACAUGAGCUCAUAUAGAGGCAUAGCACGAGCUCUACUGAGCUCCCCAGAUAAGCUCUAUAGUUAAAGCUAUCCUCGAAUUUGCUAGAGCUACUUCCUAAACUCUCUUGAGCUCCCCAAAUCAACUCUUUAAACUAAAUCCCAUGAGCUCCAUAGAGCUUACCUCCCAAAACACUUCAAUUUACCUCUUAAAUUACCUCAGUUCACCUUCCAGAUCACCUUAGUUAUUUCUUUUGUCCUUAACAGCAGAAAAACACACCUAGAUUUUUACUAGCUCAAUCUCCCCUCAAAUAUAAAUUUAUUUAUUUAAAUUAUAUUUAACCUUGUUCUGGUGAGGACAACCACUAAAUGAUUCAAAUCAAAUCCUAGAGAAAAUCCGGUCAAAACAUGUAUCUAUGUAUAAUAUUUAACAUCACCCUAACAAUCAAUACGAAUGCACUUGGAUUUAUUCUUAAUAGUACACAAAGUGGAAAAAGCAUGACAAGCAACACUUGCACACUCGAGGCUCAAUAUAAGUACGAACGUCAUAAUUCCAAGCAACAAACAAUGACCAUCAUUACUAAUUUUUUCUGAAAGCCACCAAAUUGGAAAAGUACUGCCAAGUAAUUAAUUAUCAACUGCGACUUGCCAGCUUAAGCUUAUCCAAUGCUGAGAGUUCAUUAUUCUUCGAGGUUUGGUUAAUGUAAAUAUCUUUUAGAGUAAUUUCAGGGUAGAGCGGAGGAUUUUCUUUUGAUAGCAACUCUUUAAUUGGACCAUAUCGUCUCGAGCAACUAUUAUUCAUGAAAAAACUUCCGAUUGAAAUUCUGGAGCCUUCCUUAUUUGAUAACACUCUAUAAUAGGCACUCUUGAACUUAUCGUUGGUAAUCAGCUGCAAAAUGACACACUUCAUAUAAACCAUAAUUAAGUUAUCUCAUAGAGAUUCAUGCUUGGGUGUUGACGUUCACAUGAAAUUUUGUAAGGACGAUUCUUUCACAGUAUUGUGAAAGAAUGUUUCCGCACAAAAUUUAGUGCGAACGUCCCACUUGAGAAAUUUCAAUUUGAUGGAUAGUAUUUCUUAAUAAGUUAUCUAACACACACUUGCCUGCAUCAUGUAGCCUAAGUUUACAACUAGAGUUCCCGGAACAGGGGCAAUGUCAAACCAUUGAUCUUCGUGAAAGACUUGGAGGCCGCCAAUUUGAUCUUGUAUGAGCACAAUGACAAAUCCAGGGUCAGAAUGUGUUGCUAUGCCGAUGGACAAUUCUGGUUGAGGGCAUUCAGGGUAAUAACCAUUCCCAAUAGUCAUUUCCUCUACACAACCUAUGUCUUUCAGGUAAUUGGGGUUAAGCCCUAAAGCUUCGGAUAGAAGUUCAAACAGAGUGUCCCCUGUUUUCCACAUUAGGUUGUUGUAUGUGAUCAUUAUCUCUCUGCAAAUUAAUAAAGACAAAAAAUAAUCACUACUAAAAGAAAGGGAGAAUGACAUUUUGACUUUUAGAAAUUAUUUUUUUAUUGGGUUAACAACUAGAUGAAAUGAGAGUAAUAAAAACUUAUUAGGAACCCAAGUGAUGCAAAAAGUUCUAAGAAAGAUGCAAGUGUUAUCCACUGUAAAAGAAAUAAAAUCUAUUGGUCAUCGUCCACAUACCUGCAAGCUUCAGGCAAAUCUUCAGGAUUUGAAAAAUCGCGACCCAUAACACAACUCAAAGUAUCUUUCUGUUAAGGAAGCUCAUUGUGCUGAGUUUAUGAAGAACAUGAAGGCAAAGAAGUUCUCAGUCUUAGUCAGUGAAGCAAGUCAAUAGUGCCAGCUCAUCAGUACCAGAUCAGCAGAAUUAGUUACGAGAAUUAACAAGUCAGCAUAAGUUGUUAAUGUUUGUUACUAGUUUCUUUAGCAUGUGUAUGUAAAUAUCUUCAAGUAUAUAAGCUGUAGAAGUUCAGUUGGUAUGUAACAAAAAAGAAUUAAGAAAUAAGAACUUUGAUUUUUCCUCUGUAAAUUUUCUCUUGAAUCAAACAGCCUUUAACUUUCUUUCAUGGUAUCAGAGCCAACCAUGGCUAGUUCCAGUACAACUAAUCAAGUUCAUUCAACAAACAAUCAAUUUCAAUCUACGCAAACUUCAUUUACUUUUGCUGCGACUGUAAAACUCGAUCGAUCGAUCGAAUUUUCUUCUUUGGCGCAAACAAGUACUGACGUCAAUCAGAGGAAAUCGACUUGAAGGAUUAAUCUCAUAAGGUCAGAAUAUUCGAGAAUAGUAUCUAUCUCAAUCAAGAGCUGACGGAUUUGUGGAGAAGAUUGAGAAUCCAGCUUAUGUUAAUUGGAGAGCUUAGGAUCAGACUUUGCUUAGCUGGCUUCUUUCAACAAUAAGUGAAGGUAUUCUAAGCUCAGUUCUCAAUUAUGAUACUUCCUUCGAUGUUUGGAGAUCCAUUGAAAAAUAAUUUGGAGUUCAAUCCGAAGCAAAAAUAAUGCAACUUAGAUAUGAAUUGGACACUUUGAGAAAAGAAUCAAUGUCAGUUGAAGAAUAUUGCUAAAAAAUGAAAACUCUUGUGAAUAAGCUUGCUUGUGCUGGUGAUAAUAUAACUGAAAAAGAUCUGUUGAUAAGGACUCUUAAUGGAUUAGGAUAUGGUUAUUUGGAUCUGGCUUCCAUAAUCACAGCUAAUAAAAUGAACUUUGAUAAUGCGUAUGCACUGUUGUUGACAUAUGAAGCCCGAUUAGAACAGAAUCAGAAUCCACAAGCUAUGUUUAAUGCCAACUAUAGUAUGGUGAAUGCAAAUUAUGCAAAUUCUUCGCAUAUGAGAGGUUUUCCUAGGAGAAAUAAUUUUGUUAAUGCUUCUAAUGGUCAAUAUGGAGGAAGAUGUUAGUAUUUUGGUCGUGGUAUGUUCUCUACUUCUUAUUCUAGAGGUUUUCCAGCUGGUAAUGAUGGUUUUGGUAGAGGAAAUGCUGUUGCAAGUUUUGGCAGAAAUCAGUUUCAACAUUUUCACAGACCACCACACAUCAGAAAUAUGUUUUCUCCUGCACAUAAUCAAAACAAUUCUACUGGUGAACAUAAUGAACUGACACCUAUAUGCCAAAUAUGUCAUAAGCAAGGUCACACUGCUGAUGCUUGCUAGUAUCGAUAUGGUGAUAAUUACCUUCCUAAGAAUUUUGGCAUAGGUAAAAUGAUGGGAUCAAAGGCUGCUUAUAUGGCUAAUUUUGAGUCAUUUCCUUAUCAACAGUCAACAGAGGAAGAUUCUUAUGGAGUUGCAGAUAUUAACUCCAGCUAUCAACCAGUGAAUUACUCACCUGUCUCUUCUUAUCAAUCUGAAGCUUUUACUUUCCCUGAAGCUUAUGUUGCUAACCUUGAAGGCUCAUCAGAUGAAGGGUGGUAUCUUGAUAGUGGGGCCACACAUCACAUUACAAAUAACAUGGGAAACAUGCAUGUGAGAGAAGAGUUCAGAGGUGCAGACCAGCUGACCAUUGACAAUGGACAAGGUUUGAUUAUUACUCAUAUUGGUGAUGCUUGCUUUAGCUAUAAAAGUCUUAAUGCUGCCCACAAACACACACCUAUAGCACUUAAGGAUAUCUUAUUAGUUCCUUCUAUUACUAAGAACUUAAUAAGUAUAUCUAAGCUAACCACUGAUAAUAACCUUUCCAUUGAAUUUGUUGGUAAUGUGUGUUAUAUAAAGAAUUCACUGAAGGGACAAGUACUUCUGAAAGGUCUUGCUAAAAAAGGAUUAUACAAGUUGCUGUUAUAAUCAUCUCAGUCAUCUCCUUCCUCUUUCUUGAGUCAAAUUUCUUCAAACAAGCCUCUGUCUAUGCUUUCUAUAUGUCAUAUUCAAUUUCCUGUUAUAACUGAUGUCCAUAAUAAAGAUUCAAAGUCUGUAGCUUGUUAUUAAACUGCUGUCAAUUCUUUCUUUCCUUGUAAUGAAUUAGUUAAUAAAGUCAACUUGUUUCAUAGACGAUUUGGUCAUCCUCAUUAUGAUGUACUAGUGCAUUUACUUAAGAAUGAUCAGUCUGUCAAUAUCUCUACUUCUAUUAUUAAACAAGCUCCACAGUAAAUAUAUGAGGCAUGUCAAAUGGGUAAGGUUCAUAGGCUACACUUCCCUGCAACUGAAACCAAAACUUCCCACAUACUUGAACUUAUUCACACUGAUUUGUGGGGUCCUUCCCCUUUUUCUUCCAGAUCUGGUUAUGUUUAUUACAUCGGCUUUGUUGAUGAUUUCAGUAGGUACACCUGGAUCUAUCCACUGAAACUGAAAUCAGAAGCCUUACAAAUUUUCAAACUCUUCAAACUGCAAGUUGAAAAACAAUUCCAGUGUUCCAUUAAAAAGUUACAAUCUGACUGGGGGGGAGAAUAUCGAGCAUUCACUGAAUUUUUGAACCAAAAUGGAAUUAUUUUCAGACACUUUUGUCCAUACACACAUCAUCAAAAUGGGGUAGUUGAGAGAAAGCAUAGACACUUUGUUGAGUUAGGACUUACACUUCUAGCUCAAGCUAAAUUACCCUUAAACUUUUAGUGGGAAGCUUUCCAAACCUCAGUCUAUCAUAUCAAUAGGUUGCCUUUUGCAACUUUGAAAUUUCUUACUCCCUAUGAAAAGCUCUUCAAUCAUAAGCCAGAUUACAAAAUGCUCAAGUGGUUUGGUCGUGCAUGCUAUCCUUACCUGAGAGAUUAUAAUAAGCAUAAGUUUGCCUAUCAUUCUAACAAGUGUGUCUUUAUCGGUUACAGUCCUUCUCAUAAAGGGUAUAAAUGUUUGCAUCCAUCUGGUCAGGUCUAUAUAGCUAGACAUGUCAUAUUUGAUGAGCAUUCCUUUCCUUACUCAUCAGAUUCUGUUUUCACUUCAAAUAAUUCAUGUCAACCUCUGUCAUUUACUCCUCAACAAGUGUAUCAUCUAUCCACUUUGCCAAUACCUUCUAAUUCAAAUGACAGUAACUCACUCUUAUAAUCUUGUUUCUGCAAGUUCUACCAGCAGCAGUUCUCAUCAUUCAGUGAAUCAUACACAUAACAAUAACUCUCAGCCUUUGCCAUAAAUAUUUGAGCCACAUACAGAAUCUCAUCAUUCCAUGCCUACUCAAUCAUUCACUACCAAUACACUCUCUCCAUCACAAAUUUUACCAAACAUCAUUCCACACACCUCUGCUCCAGAAAAUACACAACAAAUCACUACACCAGCAAACACACAUUCCAUGACCACUAGAAGCAAAACUGGAAUCUUCAAACCUAAAGUCUAUAGUGCAGCACUUGUUCAUAAAGAACCAGAUUCUGUAGAAGAAGCUAUGCAGGAUUCUAAAUGGCUUGAAGCCAUGAAAGAAGAAUACAAUGCUUUACUCCAGAACAAUACAUGGUCUCUGGUUCCAAGGUUAGAUGGUCAGAAGUUUGUUGGUAACAAAUGGGUGUAUAGAGUUAAAUAUAAUUCAGAUGGAAGCUUAGCCAAGUACAAAGCCAGAUUAGUAGCUAAGGGAUUUCAAUAAAUUGAAGGGGUCAACUAUUUUGAAACAUUCAGCCCAGUGGUGAAAUCAGCUACUGUCAGAGUGGUAAUCAGUUUAGCUGUUAUGAACAAAUGGCAUAUAAGACAGGUAGAUGUAAAUAAUGCUUUUCUUAAUGGAGAGUUGACAGAAAAGGUAUUCAUGGAUCAACCAGCAGGCUUUGUUGAUAAUAAGAAGAAAGAUUUUGUGUGUCAGCUUCAUAAGUCACUCUAUGGUCUUAAACAAGCUCCAAGAGCUUGGUAUGAGAAGCUGAAGAGUUGUUUACUGUAGUGGAAUUUUGUAAACUCAAGAGCUGAUCCUUCUCUGUUCAUAAAGAAAACAAGCUCAGUCAUGAUAAUGGUAUUGAUUUAUGUAGAUGACAUUCUAGUUACAGGGCCAAACAGUGCAGAAUUAGAAUCCUUUAUAGCUGAGUUCAGUAAAGUUUUUGCAUUAAAGGAUCUGGGCAAGUUGUUUUAUUUUCUGGGCAUAGAAGUGUUGUAUGAUGCAGGCUGUAUAUAUUUGUCACAAAGGAAAUACAUACGAGACCUGCUAUCCAAAGUACAGCUUCUUAAGUGCAAAGGUACUGACACACCCAUGAGCACUGGUCUUAAGCUACAAAAGGAAACUCAAGGUGCUCCUACAAUGCAACACAUUCUAGCUUGUAAAAGAGUUCUUAGAUAUUUAAAAUCUACUCAAGAUUUUGGACUCAAGUUUGUUCAACAUGGAGAGAUGAAGAUUACAGGGUUCAGUGAUGCAGAUUGGGCUUGUGAUCUUGAUGAUAGAAAAUCUGUUGGUUCUUAUUGUGUUUACUUAGGGAACAAUCUGAUAUCCUGAUCAUCUAAGAAGCAGUCAGUCAUUGCUCGAUCAAGUGCUGAAAGUGAAUAUAGAGCCUUAGCUUCAGCUAGUGCAGAGAUAAGCUGGUUACAAUCCUUAUUUUCUUAGAUUGAUUUGUGUUGCACAGAAAUUCCUACCAUUUGGUGUGACAACAUUAGUGCCACUGAAUUAGUUCGCAAUCUUGUCUUUCAUUCACGAACAAAACAUAUCAAGCUUGACAUUCAUUUCAUCAGAAAUAAAGUGAUUGCAGGGGAGCUGACAAUUCAGUACAUUCCUAGUGAAGAACAGAUAGCUGAUAUCAUGACCAAGCCUCUCUCUUUUGUUCACUUCAACUAUCUAAGGAACAAACUCAAUGUGCAGCCUUGCCCCUUGAGUUUGAGGGGGGCUCUUAAGGAAGCUCAUUGUGCUGAGUUUAUGAAGAACAUGAAGGCAAAGAAGUUCUCAGUCUUAGUCAGUGAAGCAAGUCAAUAGUACCAGCUCAUCAGUGCCAGAUCAGCAGAAUUAGUUACGGGAAUUAACAAGUCAGCAUAAGUUGUUAAUGUUUGUUACUAGUUUCUUUAGCAUGUGUAUGUAAAUAUCCUCAAGUAUAUAAGCUGUAGAAGUUCAGUUGGUAUGUAACGAAAAAGACUUAAGAAAUAAGAACUUUGAUUUUUCCUCUGUAAAUUUUCUCUUGAAACAAACAGCCUUUAACUUUCUUUCACUUUCCAAAAGAGGGUUGGUGCACUAUACAAAUUUAAAUUUGAACAAUAUUUAAUUUUUUUGGAGUAAUCACGAGAACAAUAUUUCUGCUUAACCUCAACAUCUUGUUGAAAAAAAACUACGGAUCCCAUCAAUGGCCUGAUCCAAAAUGCUUGUUGGGAUUCCAUGAUUGAUCACUUGAAAGAAACCCCACUUCUCACAAGCACUUCUAAUUUGGUCAAUUACCUAAGAACGCAAACUUGAAUCCUUGUGUAUUCUUUGAAGGUCUAUGAUAGGGAUGCUGAUUUUGGGGUCCCUGCAGAUUGGCUUAUCAUCAAACUUAUGUUUAGUGUGAUGAUCUUGAAUGAUGAUCUGUGGAAUGGUUGUGAUCCCAGCAUCUACGAGUCCCUUAACACCAGCUUUCGUGUCAUCAAAAGCUUUCAACUCGCUAACUCUGUCACAAGUAAUGCUUCCCAUUGCUUGGUGAAUUGUCUUUUACCUGGUGAAUUAUGAAGUACAAAUGCUGACUUGCGGGUGAUUGCUUUUGGUAUAUGCCGUUUAUAUGAAUAUGAUUCCUAGCUUGCCACGUGCAACAUGUUGAAAUAUAACUAGGGAUGGCAAUUGUACCCGCAAACCCGCAAACCCGCCCAAACCCACCCGUCAAAACCCGCCCGUUGCGGGUAAUUUUAUCCGUUGCGGGCGGGUUUAUUAUUAUAAAUUAAAACCCGCAUAUGGAUGCGGGUGGGUUUGGUAUUAACCUUAUACCCGGUGGAUACCCGCAUGGAUAUCCACCAAACCCGCAAUAAUUUUUUUCAAAUAUUUUUAAUUUAAUUUAAAUAUAAAAAUAUAUAAAGAAAAUAAUGUAAUUAAUCAAAUUACCAAAUAGCCAAAGGCUCAAAGUUGUGUAUGUGUGUAUAUGGCUCAUCUCUUAUUCUAAAGUCAUAACCUAAAGAAAACUAAAGUCAUUUCCCUUCGAAUUAGUAUUUGAAAAUAUUAAUCUUAAUUAUUAUUUUAGGCAUUGUGUUAGAUGGGUGCUUAUGGUGGUGAAUAAAAUAAAUAUAUUCUCUUUGAUCUUGUUUUAAAUGAUAAUAUGAAAUGUAAUUAUUAUUUUUAGAUAUUAGUUUGUGUUUUUUAAAUAGAUUUGUAUAAUUUAUACUUAAAUUUGAGAAUUUGUGUUGAAUUGAUGUGGAAAUUUUAAUUUUUCAUUUACAUUGUUUAAAUAUAAAAUUGAAUAUGCUAUAUGGAACUUGAGGUUAUUAUUAUAAAUUUAUAUAUUAAAUAUUUGUGAUUUUAAAUACGGAAACCCGCAAAAAAUCCACCGGAUACCAUUGCGGGUUUGGUAAUUGUUAAAACCCGCUGCGGGUGGGUUUUUUUAAAAAAAUUAAAACCCGCUGCGGGUUGCGGGUGGGUUUGGUAAUUUAAAUUUUGUGCGGGUUUGGGUUUGGUAAUGGCAAACUCGCUGCGGGCGGUGCCCAUUGCCAUCCCUAAAUAUAACGAUAGCAUGAAGAUGUGGAAAUUUGUAAAAUUUGAUCCUGCGUUAUUUAUCUUGAUUAAAUUAAUUAUAAAUUAUCAAUAAUAGUCAAUUCCGGGGACCACCAAUUACUGGGUGGCACAUCACAAUAAUAAAUUAUCAAUAAUAGUCAAUUCUGCAUUAUUUAAUAUUUAUGUGGAUAAAAUUUCAAUUAGCUACACUACAUUGUUGUUUGAUAGUUAACGUUUCACCUUCUCCAUUUGUAAAUAUUAUUAUGGACUUAUAGUGUGGCUUAAAAGCUAGAUCUUAAAUGAAAAGAAAGCUUUAAUGGUGAAAUAAAAAUUUAAAUAAAUGAUAAAGGGAUUAAAGGUUAACCUAAUGUUAACAAAAAUAACUGCAAAAUAUACAUGUUUUAUCAUGUUAAUUGAUGUUUUUCCAGUAUGCACAUAAAAAAGAUCUAUUUUACAAUUGUUUCUGUUGGCGUUGGGGCAGAUUUUUUUUUAGUCUAAUUAAGUAUAUCAUAAGUUAAUAAUAGUGCGUAUUUUAACUUUAAUAAAUUUGGCCACUUAUAUUUUUAAUUUUGACUCCUUCCCUAAUCAAUCAAGAAAAAGAAUGCUUUUCUCCAUAAAAAUUAAAAUAGAAAAUUCAGCAAGGACAUAACUGCGGAGAUGUUUGAUCCUGGAUUUAUAUAUCAAAGCAACAUCAAAAUUAUAAUAAUACUUCCUUGUUACCGAGAAGAGAUAUAUUCAAGAGCACUAGCCUUAUAAAGCCUUAACAAUACUAAACUACCUACAUGGAAUCUAAUGCGUACAUGCAAUGCUUUCUAAAGUGAAACUGUCGCUUGAAAAUAGAAUUCAUGUUCAGCAGCCUCCCUCUAUCCGAGCUCCAAUUUUAUAACAAGGCAGCUAAAUAAGAUGAUUUAGAUGGCAUCGGCAUCUGUAGUAUCGUUUGUCUGUAGUCCCUCAUUAUCUACGAUCUGAUCGCUCCCUAUAGUAUUGUUUGUCUGUAGUCCCUCAUUAUCUACGCUCUGAUCACUCCCUAUGUAGAGGAUCGACAAGAGAAAAUUGUAGCACACGUUCACAGCACUAAUAACUGUUAAACUCUUAUAGUACUUGUCAAUCCUACUAUAAUCCAAGGUUUCAGCAAACUCGCCUUUGUUUGCCAAAAUGAAAAAGAUGUUAAAAAUGCUUCCAAUUCCGACGAAAAAAUAACUUAUUGCUGAUACAUGGUACUCCAUCCGUUCAGGAAAAUGAGAGCUCGAGAUUCAUCACAUCCAUACCAAGCAAGCCCUUCCAUAAGACCUAAUAGACAGAAUUGUGGAACAAGCCAAAACAUGCUCAUAUUUUCCAAUUGUUUGAGCUUUUCCAACCUGCGAACCUCAACCUGCCAUGCCACUACACAGCAAACUGUAGUCAUCACCAUUCCAAUGAAUGUUCUCAACACUUGAGCUUGUCUCUUUUUAGUUUUUGGAACAAAAUUGGAAAUUAAAUUUUUUGACAGAUAAGAGAUCGUUGCACGAAUUAUCCCUUUAAAAGUUCGUAGAAAGAUUAAGUAUCUUUCAGAAAUCAUGUUGGCUCCCUGCUCAGGAAAAAAUGUAUUUCCUGCUGACAGAACCAAUCCAAACACAAUGAAGCUAGACCACAAUGGCAACAAUUUAAGAAGAGAUUUUGACUCCCUGACCUGGGCCACAGUGCAAAGUGUGCCUGCCUCUUCUUGUUCGUUAGAAGUACUUGAUGUCUCUAUAAUUGCCGCUUUGUCUAUCCAUCUGCAAUUCAAAGAAUUAAUUUAUUGGUAAUUUUUUAGGAAAAUAGAAAGCGACAGCUCAUGGUUUGGCAAAAUGAUCACACAGACGCGUUUAUAAAUACGCCCUUUUGGACAAAUCUUGGAGGUCGGUGUGACUAUUCCCGAACACAUAAGGGUAUUAAUGUGUCCAUAAAGAGGUUUAUAUAAUUAUUAAUAAAAAUAAGAGGGUCUCCCCGACAAUUUUGCCAGACCACGGCCGGGUGUGGGUGUAUACAUGUUAGGCAUAUACCUGAGUAAUUUGAUUCUGGGUGACAAGUGUAAUACGUUUCCCUCAUCAUUACUGAAGAACAGCUCCGGAGAAAGAGGAUAAUUGAGAUGCUUUUUCUUCAGGGAGGUUUUAAUAACGCGGAUUAUAGCAAAACGGUCAAUAGGAGGUAUUUGUCUACUAUGAUAAAAGGGAAUACCCAACAACAAGAGGAUCAAACUGCCCCCCAUAAACAACAAUGUGAACAUGAAAGUCUUCUUCCAUGUCUUAAUAUUAUUUGCAUAGAAUGCCGCAGCUGCACCACAGCACCAGGCAAACCGCCACCACACUCUUUUCUGAGCCAUUACUUGAUCCUCAUUUGAAUUUUCUGUUCUCCCUCCUUUACCAUGUUCUCUUAAUUGAUCGGCAAGAAAUGGUCCCAAAAGAAGCGCCGCUCCAACUUCACCCACUGCUAACAGGAUAAUUCCUAUCAUGUUGAGUAGCUCAAAGUUGGUUUCUGAAAAUUCUCUGGACGCUGUACAGAACAAUAGCCCCAAUGCCUGAAACGAAAAUUGUUGGAACUAAUUCUAUAGCAUGACAUUAUGAUCCUAGAAAUGCUUUUCUUAAUCAUUAUUAUAAUCAAAGUGGAGCCAAAAUGAAUUAAUGUCACAUCAAUUGUAAUUUAACUAUUGAGAUCUCUAGCAUUAUUUUUAUAAGGGUAAAGCUCCUAAUAUCCUCUUAUUAGGUAUGUGUGUAUAUAUAUAUAUAUAUAUAUAUAUAUAUAUAUAUAUAUAUUUUUUUUUUUUUACAUGCUGUGAAAUUUAACAUUUACUGCAAAAUAAUAAAUUUUUAAUUUAGCUCAAAUUACUAUAAAGUCCUGGGUCCGCCCCUGAAUAUAUAUAUUGCUUGCAAUGAUAGACAUAUGUUUUAAUUUCGUCUCUGUUUAGAAGUUUAGCAAAUNNNNNNNNNNNNNNNNNNNNNNNNNNNNNNNNNNNNNNNNNNNNNNNNNNNNNNNNNNNNNNNNNNNNNNNNNNNNNNNNNNNNNNNNNNNNNNNNNNNNGAAAAAAUGAGGAUUCUGAGAGGACGAAUGGCAUAACACGAAAUCCAGGCGGCAACAAUCGUAAGAGUUGCUAAUAUUACAUCCUGAACACUCGUAAAUAUUGCAGCUUUCUGAAGUGUGAAUACUUUUGAAUAUUCGGAGUCGGAGAAGUAAGUUAUCAAGACACCCACUAUAGCCCAGUCUACGAGUUUGCGGCUUAUCAACAAACCUGGAAUCAAAAUAAUCAUUAGAAAAAAUGUUCGUGCUCACUAAAAAAAGCUUACACAUGAGGACUGCAAGAACAACGUGAGAGAACUAUUGUCAUGUUUUUAUAAUUUAGCCCAACCUAAUCAAAGAUCUUAAGUACACCUCUCUUAACUGAAAUUAUUCUAGGGGAUUAUCUAUUUAGGAAUCUCAAAGUUCAUGAGCUCUUAAUACAUACACACAUACAUAUACAUACAUACAUCAUCAUGUUGUUAAAGUAAUGAUGUUAGUAAAAUACAAAACAAAUAUAUGUACAUGUAUUAAAUUGUAUGGUUUAACAGAAUUAGUACAAAUAAAUAAAUUACAUGAUUUUGUAGUGCAUUGAAAAUUAAUUCUAUUAAACUAUACAAUUUACUAGUGUGUCUCCAUUAAAAAAAAUAAAGACCCUCAUAUAUAUAUAUAUGUAUACAAGUUUAUGUUCUGAAUAAAUACAUUUUUAAAAGAUAGGAUUACCUAAGGCCCCACAUGCAAAAUUACCUGACAGAAAUGCAGCAGCCUUACAAAAGCAGACGUAAUAUCGUACCCAAGUUAUGAACCUGUUUUGAAGCUUCAACAGCUGAGAAAAUGGAAACAUUGUAGUUUCUGAAACUGCUUUUAUCUGCAAAGACUUCUACUUGUGAGUUGUGAAUCCCGAGACGAUGAAGAUUUUGUAAUUAUGCCAAAGUCUUUUAGGUAGUUUAUUCAAAUUAAAAAAUAAUAAGUCGCACUUCAAGACCACCUAUUGGUCACAUCAAGACCACCAUUUGGUCACAUAAGUCUUCUUUUUUUUCUUGUAACUUUAAUCCAGCUAGUCAGCUACGGUCCAACAGGUGCACCGUACCCCUCUUUUUGACAGCACCCCUUACUUUCUUCUGUAUUUACAGUUUAUUAAAGUAAUUUCUUUUUCCUCUUUCUUUCACCCCUCACCUUUACAAUCUUCCAAUUUUUUCCAUUUUCAAUUAAACCUGUAAUCAACCAAUUGCAAGCAAUAAGAAAAAAGUUGGCAAGCUAUUUCUUUAUCACCUUAGGAUUCAUUUGCUCUAUAAUACACAAGUAAGAAGUAAUAAUGAAUUGAAGUUUUUAUAUAAAAAAAUUACAUAGAUGUAAUUUUUUUACGCACACUAUUUAUCAUCUACAAUGAAAUUAACAUGUAAGUAAAUUGAUUUUUUUAUCUUUUAUUAUAUGUAUUCUUCCCCUUUCUCCCCCGUAUGUCUUUUCAUUUUCUCUUUGAAUAAUCUAACCUAAGGCUUUCUAAUAAUUGGUUUAUUGUUAUUAUUUUUAUAAGUAAACCUUCUCUUUGUUAUGUCAAUAGGUUUAUUUAAAAAAAAAAAUUCGUAAAUGACCAAAAGUGAGAACCUUAAUAAAAAUUCAAAACCUAUCUUAGUUUUUGUUGUCUUUGUUGAUGCAUCUUGCAUGUUUGAUGUCUUAAUUAUAACUUGUGAGAGUAAGUACUGUAAUACAAUGAUGAUUAAUGAUUAUUACUAAGAGUAUUCAAAGAAAAAGAAGUUGGUGUAAAAUUUUAUAAACUUUGAGUUUUCUAAAUUUUCACUAAACAAUAGGGAUUGCAUUAUUAAUAACUAAAUAAACACAUCCAUAACCUUGAAACUACAUUUGUGUUAGAUCCAAUGGUGGCAGUACAUAAAGACAAAAAGAGGGGCAUGGUGCACCCCUUGCACCGUAGCUGGAUCCUUUAGUCACAAAAUAAUGACUUACUGUACAGCUCAAUAAUUUUAGGUGGUAUGAAACACGUAUGAUGAGACGGUCAUAAUUACACUGUACCAUGAAUGAUCCUCAUUGAGUAUAUAAUCCCUUUCUUUUUUCAAACAAGAUUUAUGCUUUAAUUUUGGGAGGUUUGCUAAGUUCUUUCUCUUUGUAAUGGUUACGAAGACUGACAAUUUUCUAUUGAAGUUAUUUAUACAUGUAUUUCUUUUUCAGCAUGUAAUACAUUUAGGAAAUGAGUAAUGAUUAAGUAGAAACACUUUUAGAUAAACAAUGUUGUACGAACUUAUGUGAUAUUUUUUUGAAAAAAGGAUGUGAACAUCCUUAAGAUUUUAAAAAAUGGUCAUAUAUACUUUGAGUUUUCAAUACAGAACAUCAAGACACUUUUUGACUAUAGUAUUCUUAAUAGAUAAUAACAAAAAAUAUUGAAUUUAAACAUUUUAAUAAAUAUAAAUAAAAUUUAAAUAGUUUAAUAUGUCUAGUAGACUAAUAAUAUUAGAAAUUUCUAGUAGACUAAUAAUAUUAGAACAUUUCUUAAUAUGUAAAUAAUUUUUAAAAGAUAAAUUAGUAUAUUUAUUUUAAUAAUAUAUUUUUACUUAUUAUAAAAAUUGUAAAUAAAUCUUUAGGUUAGAUAGAUUUUAAAUUUAAUAAAAUACAUGUCAUGUACUAAUAAUAUUAAAACUAUUUUAUAUAAUAUUGAAAAUAAUUUAAAUUUUAAAUUUUAAUAUUAUCUUUCGAUUUAUUUUGAAAUUUAGUUUAAUAUAAUUUAAUGUUGUAAAGUAUUAAAAUAUUUUAAAAAUAUUGAAAUUAUUUUAAAAUGUAUAUAUUGUUACAUUUAUUUUAAUAUUAUACUUCUAUUUAUUAUAAAAUAUUAAAAAUAAUAUUUUAAUUAAAAGGGAGUUUUGGUGUCUCUUACUGAAAAAUAGAGUGUACAUAAUCAUUUUUCAAAUUUUCAAGGGUGUACAUGUCAUUUUUCUUACUUUUUUAUAAUCAAUUGAAUAAAAAAAAAGUCAUCUGGCCACAUAAAUUAUUUCUAAUUUAUAUUUUCAAUCAACAAAUCAUAAUGUGUCAUAUCUAUUUGUAUAAGCAUUUAUGAACAUAAAAAAUUAAGUUUAGGCACUAGUCGGGUUGGAAAUCAACUCAUCCAAACCCAUGUAUAGUGCUAGUUGGGUGAGUUGGACUUAUCUCGAAGACCCAUUUUCUGUCUUUGAAAUAUCAAUAUGAAAUUAAAAUAAUUAAAAAAUAAUUUAAUUGAAACAACUAAAAAUAGAAUACAAAAUUACAAAUAAUAACUAUCCCUGAAACUUCAUUGUUAAUAAAAAUAAUUAUUUGUAUAGGAUCCUAAUUACACCAUAAAAAGUAAUAGGAUGAAUUCAAGAGUUGGGUUUGAAAAUUUUCAACACCUAGUAAAUAUAGUGCAUUUUCUCCACCCCUAUGAAAUUAGGGGUUGGCUUUCUACUUGAUUUUAAGUAGAGAAAAUGAUCAAAACUACCUUAUUGUUUGUUGAAACUAUAGGGUGAAUUUAAGAGUUGGGUUUGAAAGAUGCAAUAUGUUCAUAUGUAUAUAUGAACAUAUUGCAUCUUCACUAUCUUAUCCCCAGAAUUUUUGCACCAAAUCAUGGUACAAGAAUAAAAAUUCGCAACUCGAAUCAACAAAGUAUAUCACUAAGUUAUUCUGCAAGCCGCCAAAUUGGAAAAUGUCCCAAAUAAUUAAUUAACCACAGCGACUUGAUAGCUUAACUUUUUCCAACGCUGAGAGUCCUUCAUUCUUCCCUAUUGAGGAUUGGUUAUUGUAAACGUCUGUUGGAGUAACAUGGGGAUAGUGCGGAUGAUUUUUUUCGGAUAGCAACUAUUUAAUUGGACCAUAUUGUCUCGAGCAACUGUUAUUCAUAUAAAAAACUUCCAAUUGAAAUCGUUGAGCCUCGCCUUCUUGACAACACUCUGUGAUAGGCACUCUUGAACGCGACACUGGUAAUCAGCUGCAUAAACAUAUAAAAGAACACUAUAAUUAAGUUAUAUGAUGGAUUCAUAAUAGUCAAAGUUGUGCAUAACAUCUACUUGCCUGCAUCAUGUAGCCUAAGUUUACAACUAGAGCCCCGGAAACUGGGGUAAUAUCAAACCAUUGAUCUUCACAAAAGACUUGGAGGCCACAAUUCGAUCUUGUAUGAGCAUAGUGACAAAUCCAGGGUCAGAACGUAUUGUUAGGCCAAUUGUCAAUUUCGGAUGAGGGCUUUCUGGGUAGUGACUAUUCCUAAUAGUCAUUUCCUCUACAGAACCUGUGUCUUUCAGGUAACUGGGGCCAAACCCUAAAGCUUCAGACAAAAGUUCAAACAGAGUGAAUUAGCAAUUGACGUUGUUGGAGAAAAAUCAAUUUUUUUUUUUAAAAAAAAAAACUUUUUAGAGUCGAUUUCAUACAAUAUAUAAGAAUUCAUAAUUUAGAAAUUAUACCUUGAAAAUAUGAGAAAAUGAACAAUCUUUGCUUUUUCUACUGAAGUGAAACUAGGCUCCCAUAUCACGAUUUGUCACCACCACACCUGUUAGAUCACAAUCUGUCACCACCACGCUUGUUAGAUCACGAAUUAUCACCAAUGAUUUUCUAGAUUAUGACUCAGGUUUGAUCUGCACUUGACGUGUGGGUGCUUUUAUCACUACCAAUAGCAACUAGUAUGAGAAAAUUUUUCUCUCAAGAUUAAAGAGAAAAAUUCUUUUUCUCUUAUCUGUAUAAUGUGGCCUUAUAUCUUUUCAAGAGAAAAUAAGUCCUUUUAUAUCUUAUCUAGUGGAAAUCCUAAGCUCUAUAUUUUUUAUUUUUUAAUUCUAUUAACACAAGGCCCCUUACACAUAAGCAUAUUACAUGGAGCCUCCCACUAAAUAAUAUAUUUAGGCUUUUAACCCAAAUAGCUAGUUAUCUUACUUAUUAAUCCAGUAGCGGCGCAGUCAAUUAAAUGAGCUAACCCAAAGAUCAUUUGAGAACAUACAAUAGUGGCUACAAUAAUUAGGCAUGUAAUCAAACUAGCCCAAUUAUUUAAUUCUAAAUCUACUCCACUAAAAGAUUGGAACUGACCUCCACAAUUGUAUGCUUGAAUAAUAAUUCAUCCCAAACAAUAUUGAUUUCUUUACUGCACAAUCCUUUGUACCACAUCAUUAAUUAAAUUGAUAUCUCAACUGUCCAAUCAAUUUAACUACAUCUUGUUCCUUGAUUCUUACUGGUUUUCUCUAAUGAUCAUUUUCAACAUACUAAAUAUGUCGACACACUCUGACCAAAGAAUUCUAUGAUCAAGUGCCGAAAACCCAUCAAGAGAUGUAUUGUACAAAUUCUAUAUUGUCAAUCUAUAACUCCAAUACUCAUAAUUGGUCUCAUCAAGAUACCGGAUAAUCUUGACUACAAUUAUGUGUCGUGCCCAUUGGUAAUUCAAAUGAAAUAACAAUUAUAAUCAUGAAAUCAUAAUUAACUCAAGAUUAAGAUUGCAGUAAAAUCCAUGUCUAUGAGAUUUAAUAAGUCUGACAGUAAUUACAAAGUUAAUUAAAUCUCAUAUGUUAUCUUGUUCAAUGUAGUCUUACUACAUCAAUAAAUUCAUACAUGAAUAAGACAAAUCAUUCAAUGAAUUCAUUACAGUCUAUACCUAAAUAAAGUGCCCAACUUUAUUUAUCAACUGCGAAUUAAAUUUAUUUAAUCAUAAGAUAACUUGUAUUUAUGUCUUCUGUAAUCCACAUGGUGAUUCUUGUGCAAAUUUAUUGAACUCGCAAGUGCACGAAUAUAUUGUAGAAUAGAUUAAUGGUGACAAGUGUCGAUCCCACGAGAAAGUGGAUUUUAAUUAUGUGUAAAAUUAAUUUUCUAUGAGGGUGGUUGGAUUUGUGGUGAAAAUGAUUUGGAAUAUUCUAAACAUUAAAUUAGAAUGGCAGGAAUAAAUUAAAGCAAAAUCUAUUGAAAUAAAGCACUUGGGUAUCUGGAUCUGCAUUAACAUGCACAAUGUGCUAAAUAUUCCUUAGUAAUGCCAAUUAAAUCAUGAGGGGGGUUUCUACUCCUCAUGAACCACACUCUAAUCAAUAUGGUGUUAAGGGCUUAUUGUGGCAAACAAUAAUAACCUUGUACUAGGGAGUCGGUUAAAUCAGUGCAGUAUUCAGACGAGAUUAUUAUUAUUUGUCGACGAAAAGUCAAAAUAUCAACAAUAAUUAGAGGAGAAGAGAAAGUAAAUUUACUAAAUAAAGCCCAUGACACAUGUUGAGACUUCACCAACCCAAACUUGAAAGAAAAUUAGCUACUUAUAAUUGAACUAAGGGUAAAAUGAGAAUUUAUUAAAAUACAUAGAAAAUACAAGAUGGAGAAGGAAUUACAGAAAAUAGGCUCAAAAAUGAAUUCAAAAAUGCCAAAUUAGGGAGGAGCCUCCCUUUUAAUAGAUACACUGAGUAAAUCAUGGCCAUCAGAUUAAAAACAUUUUGGACGCUCAAGAUUGCGCCACGUCAUCGGUCAACAGUACGUGGUUUGACCACGUGGUUUGGUUGUAAAUAAUCUCGUGUAUAUGCAUUUACCGUACGCACUAUUUUUGAUCCACUAACAUGCUGCCACGUCACCGAUCAACAGUACAUAAGAAUUUUAGUCUAAUAAAAUCGUGACAUCUCAUCAGUCAAUACCACAUCAUCAGUCAAUGCCACGUCAUCGUUUUGUAUAUGUGAAUAGUGACAUGAACAGUAACAUGGAUAGUAUCGUAUCUGUGAAUAGUACCGUACAUGUGAACAAUUCCAUUUUUCCUUUUAAACUCCUCCUAAGAUUUUCGACUGUCCUGAUCUCAAAAGUGAUGUCUGUUUUGCUGUAUGAUCUCUCGUUCAUUGUGAAAUGACCAUGAUGCCCCUAAAAUACAUAAAAUAUUUAAUUAUAAUAUAAUACACAUAAUUAAAUCACAAGGAACUUAAAUACAUAAAAGUAUGAAUGUUAGUGAAACUUGAAGUGUAAAAUGACGAUUUUCUCCUUCAUAAAUAUACACUUUCUCACACUCAAAAGUGAUCACAUAAAUACAUAUAAUACGAUUAAAUGGACUUUAAUCAAAAUAUUAAUGUAAUUAAGAUAUUUGAAUAAAAUACCUUAUUUAUUUUAUUAAUCAGAAAAAUUGUUUAUUACAAUUAAAUAAACACUUAUGCUUUUAAAGAGCAUAUUUUCCCAACAGGCGUAUCUCAUAAAGCCAACUUCGGUGGUUGGGGUAUCCUGCCGUGCAACACUGUAUCCUGCCGAUUGUCCAUUGAAUUAAUUUGUUUUUGCUGAAAAUGAAUAUUAAAAAAAGAUUAAAAUAAAUAAAAUUAUAAAUAAUUAAAAUCACAGAUUGUCCCAGACCACCAAUAAAACCUCUAAAACUAAAAUUAUAAGCUCCUCCGUAAGAUCCACCAUUAUAUUUCUUAUUACCACUAGCAUUCUUUCAAGGAUUAAAAUGGUUUUGAGUUACAUUAGCUAACAAGUUAUGUGUGACAUCACUAGCAAUUUUACCUCUUGUCUGUUCAACUCUAUUCUCCUGAUUUAGCAGUAAAGAGUAAAAUUCAUCAAGACUGAUCGUAUCACCUCCAGCUAACACACUGAUAACUAAAGACUCAUAAUCAGAUGAAUCUAGUCUAGUCAAAAUAUAUUGAACAAAAUCACUUAACUCAACAGAUUUUCUAGCUAAAGCCAGACUGUCAGACAAUCUCUUCAUUUUAACAAAGUAAUCAAUCAUAGACAUUGAUCUUUUUUUGAGUGUUUGAAUAUGCAUCUUAAAGGCAUUAUUCUAGCUUGAGAUUGUAAAGUAAACAUACUUGUGAGUGUAUCCAAAAGCUCUUUAGCAAUGGAGCAAUGAACGAUUGUAGCGAGUAGAUUUUGCUGAAUAGAUGACAACAUCCAACUCAAAACUAAUUGAUCUGUCUUCAUCCAGGCUGUGUAUGCUGGAUUGACCUUUCGAUUUUCAGUAAUAGUUGAGGACCAACUUCAGUGCUAGCUGGUGUGAGAAAUUACUCCGAACAAGUUUGAUCACCAUUAAUGAAAUUAUCCAGAUCGUUUCCUUUGAUGGAUGUUAAAACCUGAGUUUGUCAGACAAUGAAAUUAUCAUGAUCUAGCUUAACAGGAUUGAUAAAACUAUAGGAUCCAGAAAAUUGAUUAGAACUGACCAUUGUAGGCUCUGAGAUCAUGAUAGAAUUUGUAAUAUAUAUGUCUGGAAAGCAAGAAAAUUAAGGAGAAAAAGAUAGAAAGAAAAGAAGAAGAAUUUAGAAUAUGUUAAUUGUUCAUUACAUUACAAAUGUGAUUAUAGCCUUUGUAUUUAUAUUAAGUGAAAUGCUUAACUAUAAUUUGUUAUAACUGGAAUAGGUGCUAAACAGUUCGUUAGCUAGAAGGCUGAGAUGGCUAACUAAUUAUUCCACGUUAGCAAGAGCACUCAUGUAUGGUCCUCAUCCGUACUGUAAUUAUCAUACUCUGUAACAGUUCUUCUACAUCUUCUUGCUCUUCAGGACCAAGUGUACUUCGUGGGUCUAUAAUUGCUGCUUUGUCUAUCUAUUUGCAAUUCAAAGAAUUAAUUUAUUGGUCAUUUUUUUAGGAAAAAAGAUAACGAAACAUAGUUGUUUGGUAAAAUAGUCAUGUGAACUCUUUCUUCAAAACAUAUAUAAAAACAAACCUUGGAGAUCAGUAUUGUCUAUGUGAUAAUUUCUAAAAAUAAGAGGUCUACCUGACAAUUUUUUCAAACCAUGGGAUGUUGGUAUAUACUCUUUAAGUAUGUACCUUAGUAAUUUGAUUCUAGGUGACAAGGGUAAUUCAUUUUCAUCAUCAUUACAGGAGAAUUGAUCUGCAAAAGAAGGAAAAUUUAGAUGCCUUUUCUUCAGGGCAGCUUUAAAAAGACAGAUUAUAGCAAAACCGUGAAUAAGAGGUAAUUGUUUACUAUGGUAAAAGGGAAUACCCAACAGCAACAAGGCCAAACUGCUCCCAUAACCAAUAUUGUGAACCUCAAAGUCCUCCGUCAUGUUUCCAGAUUAUUUGCAGGGAAUGCUGCAACUACAUUACAACACCAGGCAAGCUGCAGCUAUACUUCUUUUUGAGCCUUUACUUAUUUCUCAUUUGGAUUUUUUGUUCUCCCUUCAUCACCAUGUGCUCUUAAUUGAUCGACAAGACAUGGUCCUAAAAGAGGCCCCAUUCCAAAGUCACCCACUGCUAACAAGAUCAUUCCUAUUACGUUGUGUAGUUCAAAUUUAGUUUCUAAGAAUUUACUGGACGCUGUAUAAUACAAUAGCCUUAAUGCCUCCAACAACAAUAGUCGGAACUAAUUGUAUGGCAUAACAUUAUGAUCCUAAAUAUGCUUCUUAAUCAUUACUAUAGUUAGGAGCGGAACAAAAUUGAGAUUUAGGGGGCCAAGUGUAAUUAAGGUAAUUAUUUCAGGAUUAGAGAGUAUUAGUUAUUUUCUGGGGUUAUGGGAUGGGGUUCACGUUUAUGAAGCCACCAUAUAAAGAAAAACAACUAGUUUGAAAGUUGAAAUUACAAAUUUAUAUAGUGUGAGAUUAUUUCAACCUACUAAAAUAUAUGUUAUUUUAAAGACUAAUGAGCUUGCGGCUUUGAAAAGGUUGGAAUGUUAUUUGGUUGGAGAGGGACUCGGUUUCAACUUUAACUUGUCUUACGAGUACCAAAUUCAAGCCGUCGUAGCAUCUGCAUAUCAUAUAGUUGAAUUGUUUGAGAGCCUAAAAGUCAAAUAUUGUGGAUCAUAUCAAAUGCCAAAUGUUGGAUAAUCUUUUCCAAAUGUUGGAUAACAAGAAAAGGGUUGCACACAAGACCGCUGACUGAAAAUAGAAAUAAUUGGACAAAUAAAGCCCAAACCACAACUCAUCAUAAUCUUUGUGUUACUAAUGGAAGCUAAAAGCACCUGAGUUAUCAACUAUUCACAUUUUCUAUUAGAUACUGAUGCUUGAUACAUUCAUCAUGAUAUCCAGAAACAAUAAAAUUAAGCUAGUACAAAGAUAUCUAAAUGAAGAUGAUAAUAUCAUAGGCAAAAUAUGGUCCAAUUGAUUAGGAAAAUCAAGCUAAGGUAAUUUUUUUUUAUACUAAAUGCUUAAUUAAAAAGACAUCAUUAUAUGUUUUAUACAUGCACAAAUUGUCAUUUAUUUGAGGCAUGUCUAAUAUUUAGUAGAGUGACAAAUAUACUUGAAAAUGUAUAAAAAUUAUCAAAUAAUAUGUGAGAAAUAUAGUUAUUUUUGUUGUAAUAUUAAUGCAAUAAACUUUUAUUGUAUCAUAUCGGCAUGUUUAAAGAGGAAAAAAAAAACUCAGAGACUCAAAAAUUCCAAACUUUAAUGUGUAGCUGGCAUUUAUUUGUAGGCUCAAUUGAAGUACAGAAGUCACAAUUCCAAACAACAAACAAGCUAUCAUCACUAAUCCACCAAAUUGGAAAACAUCCUCAAUUAAAUUAACCACCGCGCCUUUCCAGCUUGAGUUUUUCCAAUGCUGAUAGUCCUUCUAUUGAGGAUUGGUUAUUGUAAAUAUCUUUUAAGGUAAUUUCAGGAUAGAGCGGAGGAUUUUCUUCGGAUAGCAACUCUUUAAUUGGACCAUAUUGUCUCGAGCAACUGUUGUUCAUAAAAAAACUUUCGAUUGAAAUUCUUGAGCCUUCCUUUUUUGAUAACACUCUGUGAUAGGCACUUUUGAACUUGUCAUUGGUGAUUAGCUGCAUAAACACACAAUAAAAAAAUCCACUAUAAUUAAGUUACAUGAUGGAUUAAUAAUAGUCAAAGUGAUGCAUAACAUGUACUUGCCUGCAUCAUGUAACCGAAGUUUACAACUAGAGCUCCGGGAACAGGGGUAAUUACGAUCUGCAGUUUCCUAAUUUAACUCAUGCACGCUCGAGGCUUUUGUUUACCCUAGUUUUCAGUAUAAAAAGAGGCGCGCAUCACAUAAUACGGCGGCAAAGAAUUAUCAUUAGAAAAAUUGGAGAGAAAAAGAAGAAGAAGAUCAUAAUUCAAGGGAACAGCUGCAACAUCAUUGAAGAAUCCAGCAGAGUUAUUUGGAUUCACUUUUUGUCGUUCUCGGCUUAUACCUUUCUUCUUUCUCUAACUGAUCUAAUGUAUCUCAUGAACAAUAUGUUGCUGAUUGUUUAUCUCUUUCAGAAUAUGAACUAAACUCGCUUGUAUUUGAGUGACAAACAAUCUAAUGGGUUCUUGACUGUUCUUAUGAGUUGCUAUGUCAUUGCUGUAGCAUUUUACUCUAGUAGCUAUUAUUAUAACUGUUAUUUCGGUUGACCACCCAUUUAAUGGUUCAAGUUAAGAUAGGACCAUAAAAGGGCAUGUCUUACUGGAUAUUAUUAUAGUAAUACUUGAUCUUAAUUUAAGUUUCCUAGAUUACGUUUAUCUUGAAUCCCAUAAGGGCCAUACUUAAAGUUAAGAUUUGUGAUAAACUAGACAUAAGUAUUCACCUUGUAGGGUGGAGAGAAUGGAUGUUCAUAAUGUCAUGCCAUAGGUAAAAUAGCAACUGGCCAUUGUUAAGAUGUUUACGGGUAUGAGACUUCCAAUAUGCGACAACUGAGGAUGCAAAUUAAAUUCUGUCCAGUGCUAUAGAAAUUAUUGUAGCAACUGGUGUUAACUUGAUGAAAAGAAGUUAACCCAUAAAAAGAGUUUGAUCAUUCAACUACCUUAUUCUCAUUUGAUUCUUCGACGCAUUUUAUUUAAUUUGUUUCAUUACUACAUUGUUUAACUUUAUUCUCUCACAAUUAUCAAUUUCAAUAGUAACCAACUUUACAUUUGUUAAUUUAGGAAUCAAGUUAGAUUACACUAUCGUGAUUGCUGUAGCAUUUCUAGUAAUAUCAAUCCUUGUGAAGACGAUCUUAAAUAUUCAUCAUUUUAUUACUUGUUCUGUACACUUGCACAUUGACAUAAAUAAAAUUUGAUAAAAAAUACCAACAAUGAGAUAGGGGUAAACUUCAGGAUGUGCUGCGCUUUUUAAUUGUUGUGUAGAUUCUUUUGAUUCCUAUCUCUAGUGGAGAACCAGAUGUGAUUUUGUGAGACCUUUCUCCUGAUGGUAGUUUUUCUUUGAGGACUGCUUCAAAUAUUGUGCAUUGGACAAUGCCAAGUGAUGAGGCUUUUUUUGUUAUUUGACAGCGACAUCUUUUCCUGGAUAUCUUUUUUUCUCUAGAGGUUGUGACACAAAUUCUUGACCACAGAUGAUGCCUCGUGUUCGGGGGAUUUCUGCAUAGUUUCUUAGUAUCUUUGUGGUCAGGCUUAUGAGACUUCUAGGUAUUUUCUUUCUUGGUUGCCCUCGAGUUAGGCCAGUUUGGGUCCAUUUUCUAUGUACUCUUGGUUUGCGCUAUGUUGCUUUUCUAUUCCCCCGUACUUUAUUUCUUAAUUGGUAGUGAUGUGCCCUUUCUUGGAGCCAUAUUCGAGUUCUUCUUCCUUGUUUCAUUUUGUGGCGAGUUUAGAAGGCCUGUAAUGCAUUGAAGUUUGACUCAAUGGCCUUUUUUGUUGAUGCUGUUAUUUAUUGGGCAAUGUUGGAUCUUAGGCUUGCUGGUUCUGCCUUUGGUCUUAAACCAUCCCAACUGUGAGGAGUUCUAGGUUCUCGAUUUGCAAAGUUCUUGAGAGUUGCUGUUUCAUCCAGGAGGCUGAUUCUUUUAGUUUUUUGGCAGUGGUCACCACCUGGGGCGGUGAAGCUGACUAUUGAUGGUUGCUUUAGGAGUAAUCCUAGGAUGGCUGCUUCAGAUAGUAUUUUACGUGAUGAUUAGGGUGUGGCUUUGGCUGCUUUUGGUUCCUUCCUUGGGCGCUCACUGAUUUUCAUGCAGAAUUCAUGGCUGUUUUUUAGGGGUUAGAGUUGGUGCUCAGCUCCAUUAUUCUGUGCUUGACGUAGAGUUGGACUCAACCAUGGUGGCUUCUUGGAUUCUUUUCUAAGGCCUUGUUCAUACGAACUAUACCUAUUCUUUGCAUCGGGUGUGUAGUUUGACAUUUUCUUCUACUUCGUGGUUAGUCAUGUGCUUCAGAAGGUUACUUCUACUGCUGAUUUCUUUGGCCUGCACUCUUCAAGGUCAUUUGUGUUUCUUGGGUUCUCAGGAUAUAUUUGCUAGCUUAUCUAAUAAUCUCCGUUUGGAUAUGUGGGUAAUUUCUCGUAUCAGGCAAUAGGAUUGCUUAUUUAUGUAUUCCAUUUUUUAUCUUGUAUUUUUCUCUUUUCCAUUCUUAUGUUCUUGCAAUUGCGGUUUUGAUUUAUAUUCACCUCCUUAUGUAUUUGAUUCAUUCUAUGAUUUAUAUGAAAGAUAGGAGUUCCACCUAACCCCACCUUUUUGUGGUUAAAAAAAAAAGAUCAGGAAUUCAACCUAGAUCAUCAAGGUGAAACAUCAAAUAGGUUGUAAAUUUAACAUAUGAACGUAAAAGCUUAACAAAACAUUUGAAGUUGCUUGACAACAUAGAAAUACAAGCAAAAAGAGAUGCUAAACAACACAAAAUUUUGAUUGGGUGGGAGUAUUGUUCAUGCUAGCAUAAUAAUGAGGUGCCUGAGAAUACCUAAGACUUUCUUGAUAAAUAAUAUCAUCUAAAAGGUUAGGAAUCACAGAUAAUUGUCCACGUAUGAACAAACCUAGCUCAAAAUGUGAAAUGUGUUAAGAUUUUCAAACAUUUAAAUUAAUAGUUAAUAAUUUCAGACAAAGGAUUCUUGGAGACCUUAAAGUUCACUGAUUCUAUCUUAUGGCUCAUUGUCUCUCUCAACAAUUUAAUUUCUAGAUUAUUUGGCUCCUAUCUAUUAAAAGACAACACCAUUACUAAAAUUAUAAAUUAUAACAGUUAAACCUAAACCUACGUCGUUUAGCAAUUUACGAAAGAAAAAAAUAUAACAAAAGCCAAUUGUUGGAGUAGCAACGUGCCAACGAGAAAACCUCAAGCCAUGUAAUAUCAUGUGUCAACAACUAAAGAAGAACAAACCACCACCCUCUAGGUCGUCGCUGCACUAACGCGGGGCCCGAUUUGAAUAGUUAGAAGUUGUAACAUUAAUUAGGGAAUGAGGGCAAAAUUUUGGACUUCGAUUUAAUAAAAUUGAUUUAAAUGAGUCCCAAUAGAAAUAUGAUUAUAAAUAUAUCAAUACAAUUAUGACAUGUUUAAAAGAAAAAAAUUAUUUUCACACAAAACAAAAAACACAACCCUUGGAUGUGGGAUGUGUCUAAAAAAUAAUAGGGUGGAAAUAUUAUCACCCUCAAAUUAGAUAUAUAAAUAUUUAAUGUUUUACUCUUAUAAUUUUAUAAUUGUUUUUUUAAAUAUUAGUAAGAGAAAGAUAGAAAUUAAUAUAUAGACAAAUCGAGUCCUUUAUUUUAUUAUUCAUAUCCAUAAAAAGUAACCACUAUGCUAGUCCCACGAACUUAGCAUAAGACGGUAAUUUAGAAAAAAAAAAAAGGAACGUUUUUAGACACCAAAACAAAAGCAAAACAAGCACAAAGCGAGACAUACAAACAAAUUUUAUGCUACUGCAUAGGGGUGUUCGCGGAUCGGAUUUUACGGAUUGGAUAUCAAUCCAUAUCCGAUCCAUGAUUUUACAGAUUAUAAUUUUUCAAUCCAAUCCAAUACACGGAUUGAUAAAAUUCAAUCCAAAUCCAAUCCAUACAUUUGCGGAUCGGAUGCGGAUUUGACUCAAUCCAUAUCCAAUCCAUACGUCUGCGGAUCGGAUGCAGAUUUGACUCAAUCCAUAUGCAAUCCACCAUUUUGCGCAUUAGUUUUCGAAUUAAAAAUUUUUAGUUCUCUCCAACUAAUGAAAUAAAAAAAAAUCUAAUAUAAAAAUAAUUUUGCUACUAAUUAAAUUUAAAAUUGAAUAAAAUUUAAAUAAAUUAAUUGUUUAAAUAAAGCUAAAAUAAUAUAUUUAAAGUUUUAAAAUAUAACACAUCGAGACUAAUUAUUCAAAUAAAGCUACAAUAAUACGUUCAAAGUUUCAAAAUAUAACACACAAAGCUUAAUUGUUCAAAUAAAGUUACAAUAAUACGUUAAUAUAACACCAAAAUUAAUUGUUCAAAUAAAGCCACAAUUAAUUGAAAAUGGCGAAGUUUUGGAAACCAAACACAGUUUGAUCCUUCACCAGGGCUGUUGUGCCUGUCGAAAAGUGGUGAUUACGGAGCCAUCCACGAUGGGAACCAGGAGAAGCCGUACGGGUGGCGAUCUUGAAGGUUGUGAUUGUGAAAUUGUUCAAUUGGAACCAAUGAAUGUGAAGUGGCUCGAUGGACUUGGGAAAGAAGAUGGCUUGCUCUCGCCAGAAUCGCGCAGCCGAUGUCCUUUAAAUCCGUGUCGAGAGUGUAUCCAUGAUGGGUGUCGAAGCCAACAAAAAUAAAUUCCUACUCUAAAUAAAUUGUGUAUAGUGAUUGAGCAGGGUCGUGUCCACAGAGAUCGGUAAUUAUUUAAAUCCUUUUAAAAUGCAAAACAUAAAAUGGGGGUUUUGUUGACAAUAAUAAAAAUCAAAUUAAAAUAAUAAGAAUGCAAAUUAAAGUUGUAAUUCAAAUUGGAGAAAGCUCUGGUUGAAGGAAUUAACUCAGCUUGAUUCGACUACUGAUCAUUGAUUCAAAUAUAGAUUAUUAUUACUUAUGAAUAGACCGGUUAUAGCUAUUGAGACCCUCUAAUAGCCAAUCUCUCCUUAACUAGUCGAUAACCAAGGUACGACCGUUGGUUAUUUCCCUAAUCAAUGGACAACCCUAGAUACGAUCAUAGGAUUUAAUCAAUUGACAGCCUGAAAAACCAGAGAGACCCAAAUCCUAAUCAACACAUAUGAUGAUUCAUUUAAAUUAGAUUGUUUAUUCUCACAACACAACUCUCUGCUAUGUUAUUUGUCACAAACAUUAAAUUCUUCAUACGAUGAAUCCUUUAAUUGACAAUAGAUUAAGUUGAUAAUUACAUAGUGGCCAAUUACCUAAUUAACAAACAUAAUCAUGAAACUAAUUCAGAGAAUAAACAAAUACCCAAAAAGUAAUAAAACAAUUAAAGCAUAAGAAAGAUCUCACAGUAAUGAUGAAUCAAAGCUUCAUUAUCCUUCAACCAGAAAAAUGGGUUUAGUUCCUCAUAGAGAGAAGAGAAAAAUUAGAUCUAGGGUUUCUUUUUCUCCAAUCCAAAAAUCCCCCUUUUUCACAAUAGAUUCCUCCCUUAAAUACUUUCUCUCUCUUCUCUUUUAGAAUUCUAUUUAAAAUAAAAUCCUAAUAUCUGAAAUAUUAAAUUCGUAAUUACAAAAAUAACCAAAAAUACAAAACACGUUAAACUAAAAACUGCAGGUCCGCAGUUGACAGCACGCGCCCACGCCUUAUCAACAAAGUUCUUCUGACGCUCAUAAUUUCUCCAAGAGAACAAUCAUCCUUAAACAUCAUCUUAUAGCUCAAUUUUAUCAUCAAUCAAUAGAAUUGCACCUACAAAAGUAAAACACAAGUAAAUCACUAUUAUUAAGUGCAAAACAUUGAUAUUAAGGGAAGUAAAUAAUGCAAAACUAGUGCAUAAAUUGCACUCUAACAAUCCAACUAGUAUUGAGUGUUGCUAGUGUGUAUGACGGCGGGGAAGUUUAGGGUUUUUUGUUUGUAAAUUGGUUGUAACUUUACGUUAUGUUACUUUGCUUUUGCUAGUGCGAGUGACUUUGCUUUUAUUUUGUUUUACAAUUUUUACAAGUUAUAUUUGUAUAUUUGUAUAUUUGAUUAUUUAAUUAUUUUUCAUUUUAUAUUAUUAUUAGGUAAUGGCUAAGAUAUGUUAUAAUGUUUAGUAACUAUGUAAUGUCAUAUUUAUAAUUUUUUAAUUAUAUAUAUAUAUAUAUAUAUUUUUUUUUUUUUUUUUUUUGCGGGUUCACGGAUUUCUACGGAUUUACAGAAGUAAAUCCAUAUCCAAUCCAUCGACUGCGGAUUUUUAAAUUUUCAAUCCAUAUCCAAUCCACCAAUCCACGGAUCGGAUUUAUACGGAUCAGACGGAUUGAGCGGAUCGGAUUGGAUUCUGAACACCCCUACUACUGCAUUCAAGCAGAAGCCACCAAUUGUUCACGACGGCGUUUGAAAACAACCAACAUUUCAUUCUGAUUGGGAAGGUUUUCUUCAAUUAUAGGGACUUGCUUGAAAGUUUCAAGCCAGGCAUGCAAGCGAGGGAAUUUGUGUGAUACAAAUAUUUUAACUCCUACUACAUCUUCAAUGACUUGCAACCAAUAAACAAUUGAACCAAAUGCUAGGUCCACUAAGCCAAUAUUGUCUCCGUUGAAAAAUUUCUUCUCUCCCAAGCCAUGCUCUUCAACGUUUUGUAGCAUUUCCAAGGCUUCCUUCGCUGUGUUUUGUAGUUCUUGUCCAGUGCUACGAAACAUUUUCCAAAUGGCAACACCCUGCCACAAAUAUUUUUACAUCAGAUUUUAUCACCGACAUGAUUAAUUAAUAAUAUGUAUAUAAAAGCGAAAAAUCGUCAGACGAUAUGUACACGUGUCACAAUAUCCUUAAAUUAGAGGUUUAAUAAGUUAAUUAAGAGAGUUCAACCACUGAGUUGUAAAAUCUGUCAUUAGCUAGUAAAUUCACUUUUUCCCAAUGCUUCAAAAGUCAUCAAAAUUCCCCGUGAAGUUAAAAACGGUUGCGUUAACUUUAACUUAUU